UUUCUGCCAGGUGACAUCUUGAUUUCCUCUAGAACUGGUUGGUCUUUGCUCUAAAGGAAAAUGGCUUUGGAAACCAUCUCUUUCAGCACGAACAAGGGAUUUAACAUCCUGAAUCUUAUACGCACUUUGAAGGAGAAGGAUUUGAGUUUUGGUGAAGGCAACAGCCUCACAUAGUAAAGCUGCACAUCGAGGAUCAUCAGGUUGCUUAUCCUCACAGGAGAUGUGAUAUUCAUCGAUGGCAUCUUCCAUGUGAAAAGCUGUUUCUCUCAGCCGCAUCACCCUUUCUUUUAUUCUAUGACGCCUUCCAUCAUCUUCUUCGGCUUCAGCCACUUUAUCAGCAUCAUUGAUGAAAUCUUGAAAGCUUUCAAGUUCAUCUGUAAUGUCUCUAACUUCUUUUGGGAGAUCUCUCAACAUUUUGACGGCUUCCAAUAUUUUUGGAAGCGCAUGCUGACCAGCCAAGGACACUGCAGUUUCUGCCAUUUCAGUCUUGCUAGCUAGCUCUGUUUUUUGGUUUGUUGUGAGUGCAAAACUUGAUGUUCUGCAACGUUAUAUAGCCAAUAAAUGUACUUAGCCAAACAAUGACACGGACACUGUUUAUGAUAAUAUCUUAACCAUAUAAUUUCAACAAAAUUUUAAAAUUAACAUGAUUCUCUAUUUAUAAGUUCUAAAGUCAUGAUUAACAGGUGUCGGUUAUCAAUUUUUUUUUUUAUAAAUUAUUUUUAUCUAUGUCAUACUGAGAUGAUAUUUUGUAACUUAGUGCACUGUGUACGCGGAGACGAAGACUUUGAGCUUUGCAGCGUCUCUUUUGCGAGCAAGUUGUGAUAUUGUGGUCCAGCUAAUGUGAAAAUGUGAUUAUCAGAUUAUUUGUUAAAGGAAUAAUUUCUUUGUCACUUAUCAAAUUAUUUGUUUUAAAGUUGUGAUAUUGUGGUCCAGCAAUUGUGUUGAACGUGUUUAAAAUAAGUGUAAGGUCGUGGGUAUUGUAUAAUUCAUGAGCAGUGUCUGCAUGCAAAAAUUAUUUUAGGGGUUGGACCUGAAUCAGGAGGGAGAGGCCCUGACGGACUCUUCGGAGUGUAGGCCUUGGGGGUCACCGGGUUUGAGUGCUCCUUUAAGCCUGUGCUGAUCCCAUAUGGUUAGAACAUUCUCGCAAAACAUCGUGACCCUGACUGGUCUCCCUAUGAUUUUACUUAGUGAGAGUGACCUGACAAACCCAUUGUGUGGUGUGUCUUGUUAUAUACUCCUAAGCGCCCCAGGGUAGUUUUUCACUGACAUGGUACAACAUUGCAUAUAGGAUUGAGUCUUAGCAUAAUUAUUGCAUAUGAUUGCUAAUUGAUGUGUUAUUAUAUCUUGAUCGGAGUGUGGGAUUCUUGUGUAAUGUGAUUGAUGGUUGAAAAGUGAACUUUGAAUGACAAAGUGACGGAAUUACGUGAGUUAUGUGCAAGUGAGUUUUAUUUGGCUUAUAUGAUAUGUAUAUCUAGUUGUCUUUCUUCUCUAUUAGUUAGGAAUGUGAUAACCCACUCCCCGUGUGUUGUUGGUGUUUGGAUCCUGUGAUGAUCUUGAACUUUGUGUUUGGGGGAGCAGAUGACUAGGUGAAUUGCUUUAAGGAACCAUGUGCUGAAGGACGUCGGGACACAACGCUCUGAUAGGAUGUGACAUUGGGGUAUAGGGUUUUAUAGACGGCCUUGUUUGAGCCGAAGUGAAUUUAUUAUUUAUUUAGAAAAGUUUUAUGAUGAUGUUAGAAAGGUGAAUGUGAGCCUACUACCCUCUUGAAAGGCUUGUAUUUAAAUAUGUUUUAAAAACUUGAAUUAAGUUUAAUUUUUUUAUUCUUUUAUUAUUAGUACAUAUAUGUGUGGGGUAGAGGGUGUCACAGUGGCUAUUGAAACUGUCUAACAAACUAUAGUAGAUAAGAUUUUUAUGCUAUUUUUUAGGAAAAAUAAAAGUCAUGUUGACUGAUAGGAUAAAGCAGUUUUGAUCCUAUUCUCUAGGCAUGAUUUGUUAGUGGUGUUAUCUUUUUGUUAGGAGUUACUAUCUUUUCCAUGUUUUUAAAUACGAUUGCUUCAUAUUAGAAUAAAACAAGCCUUUGCAGUCUCAAUUUCUUUCUUUAUGCUCCCUUUCAUUCUUUAAUAUUUCUGCCUGCUGUUAUUAACAAAAAACAACAAAUUGGUAUCUAGAGCUCUUAUCUUUAAGGGAUCUAUGAGUUGGGAGAAAUCGCAAUGGAGGGAGAAACAUCAUACACAGUAGGUUCACCACCAAUUUUGAUGGUGAGGAGUACGAAUUAUGGGCUGCAAGGAUGACCACUCAUCUUGAAGCUUUGGAUCUUUGGGAGGCAGUAGAAGAAAAUUAUGAUGUUCCUGAACUACCUUUAGAUCCAACGGUGGCUCAGAUGAAGAAUCACAGAGAAAGGAAGACCAAAAAGGCUAAGGCUAAAAAUUUCCUUUUCUCUGCUGUGUCAAAAAUUAUUUUUACAAGAAUUAUGAACUUCAAGUCUGCCAAACAGAUUUGGGAUUAUCUCAGAUCAGGAUAUCAAGGCUGUGAAAGAACAAAGGCAUACAAGUACUCAACUUGGACAGAGAAUUCGAGAUGCAGAGCAUGAAAGAGACUGAGACAAUUAAAGGCUACGCUGACCGACUGUUAGGCAUAGCAAAUAGAGUGAGGCUUCUUGGGAAGGACUUUCCUGAUGAAAGAAUAGUGCAAAAAAUCCUGGUCACUAUACCCGAGAAGUAUGAAUCGAAGAUAUCAGCAUUGGAGGAGUCUAAAGACCUAUCAACCAUCACCUUGGGAGAACUCAUAAAUGCUCUACAAGCCCAGGAGCAGAGAAGAAUUAUGAGACAAGAGGAGGUGGUACAAGGUGUGUUUCAUACGAAAGCACAAAAUUCAAGAGGUGGCAAAAACAAGAAGAACAACAAAUGGAGGAACAAAAAACCAGAAGGCUCCAACAAGCAGCAGGGUGAGACCUUUCCUCCUUGUCUGCAUUGCAAAAAGACAAAUCAUCCUGAAAGAAAAUGUUGGUGGAGGCCAGAUGUCAAGUGCAGAAAUUGUGGCAAUAUGGGACAUGUAGAGCAAAUAUGCAAGUCCAAAUCAGAGGAAGCAAAGGUGGUUGCGGAGAAACGAGAAGAUGAGCAACUCUUUGUCGCAACAUGCUUUGCCACAAGCAAUAGUUCCAGUGAUUCAUGGUUAAUAGACAAUGGCUGCACAAACCAUAUGAUCAAUGACCUGAACCUCUUUAAAGAAAUUGACAAAACCAUUGUUUCCAAAGCAAAAAUUGGAAAUGGUGAUGUCAUCUCAGUCAAGGGAAAAUGGACUGUUGCUAUUGAAAGCUUGACAGGUUUGAAAUAUAUCUUUGAUGUCUUAUAUGUGCCUGACAUUGAUCAAAAUCUACUUAGUGUUGCUCAGCUUGUAGAGAAAGGCUUCAAAGUUAUAUUUGAAGAAAAUUGGUGCUUGAUCAAAGAUGCAAAAGGAAAAGACGUAUUUAGGGUGAAAAUGAGGGCUUAAAGCUAUGCUCUAAAUCUAAUGGAGGAGAAGCAAAUAGCUUUUUCAAGCAUGACCACCAAUGUUGAACUAUGGCACAAAAGGCUCGGACACUUCCAUCUUGCUGGACUUUUAUACAUGCAAAAACAUGCCUUGGUGAAAGGUGUGUCAAUGCUUGAAGACAAUUUAGCCGAUUGCGUGGCUUGCCAAUAUGGUAAGCUAGUUAGAAAACCAUUUCCUCAAUCAACUUGGAGAGCAACUCAAAAGCUGCAAUUAGUUCACACAGAUGUUGGGGGACCUCAGAGAGUAUCAUCUUUAAAUGGUAAUAAAUACUAUAUUACAUUUAUUGAUGAUUAUACUAGAUUUUGUUGGAUUUAUUUCUUUAAAUCCAAGACUGAGGUUGCUAAUAUUUUCUGGAAAUUUAAAGCAUUGGUGGAGAAUCAAAGUGAUUGCAGGUUGCAAACAAUAAGGUCUGACAAUGGGAAGGAAUACAAAAAUGAUGUUUUUGAUAAAUUUUGUGAAGAAGCUGGCAUUGAGCACCAAUUCACCGUACCUUACACCCGACAACAAAAUGGUGUGAGUGAGAGAAAAAAUAGAAGUAUCAUGGAGAUGACAAGGUGUAUGCUGCAUGAAAAGGAGUUGUCAAAGGAGCUAUGGGCGGAGGCUGCAAACAUUGCAGUAUUUUUGCUGAAUAGACUACCUACAAGAGUUCUGCACAAAAAAACUCCAUUUGAAGGCUGGUUUGGUUACAAACCAGAUUUACAAAAUCUAAAAAUCUUUGGUUGUGUUUGUUUCUCUUAUGUUCCACAGGUUAAAAGGGACAAACUUGAUAAAAAGGCAGAACCUGGAGUUUUCAUUGGAUACAACAACACCUCCAAAGCUUACAGAAUUUUCCAACCUCAAAAUGGGAAAAUUCUUGUGAGUAGAGAUGUCAAAUUUAUGGAAGAUCAACAAUGGAGUUGGGAUGAGCCAAUAAGGAAGCAACUGCCAGAAAUCCCAUAGUUCCUUGAUGAUGAUGUAGAUGACAUUCCUGUCAGAGGUACAAGAUCUUUAUCUGAGAUUUAUCAAAAGAGUAAUGUAGCUGUUCUAGAACCUGCAGAAUUUGAAGAAGCUGAAAAGGAUGACAAGUGGAUAAAUGCUAUGAAGGAAGAGUUGAAAAUGAUCAAAAAAAUGACACGUGGGAGCUAGUGGACAGACCUCAACACAAACAACCUAUAGGGGUAAAAUGGGUUUGUAGAACCAAACUUAAUCCAGAUGGUUCUCUAAAUAAAUACAAGGCCAGGUUGGUGGUGAAAGGCUAUGCUCAGGUGUUUGGAGUGGAUUUUUCAGAAACCUUUGCUCCAGUUGCACGUCUUGAUACAAUUAGAAUACUACUUGCCUUGAUUGCACAUAAAAGGUGGAAAGUUUAUCAUUUAGAUGUAAAAUCUGCCUUUCUAAAUGGUUACUUGCAGGAGGAGAUUUAUGUAAAGCAACCUGAGGGGUUUCAAAUCAAAGGAGAGGAGCAAAAAAUUUACAAGUUGAAAAAGUCAUUAUAUGAUCUUAAACAGGCUCCUAGGGCUUGGUACAGCAGGAUAGAUGAUCAUCUUCAAGAUCUUGGAUUUGUCAAAAGUCGAAGUGAGGCUGCAUUAUAUGUGAAAUUGGUAGAUGCAAAUUUAAUAAUUAUUGUUGUCUAUGUUGAUGAUUUACUUGUGACAGGAAGUGAUGAGAAACUCAUAAAGGAGUUUAAAGCUGAAAUGCUUAAAGCAUUUGAAAUGACAGAUCUUGGCUUGAUGAGUUUCUUUUUGGGAAUGGAGGUGAAACAAGAUCAUGAUGGAAUCCUCAUUCACCAAAAGAAGUAUGCAAGGGAAAUACUCAAGAAGUUUCAUAUGGAGGACUGCAAAAGCACUACAUCUCCAAUGAACCAAAAGGAGAAAUUUAGCAAGGAUGAUGGAGCUGAUAAAGUUGAUGAAAUGCAUUGCAGAAGCUUGAUUGGUUGCUUAAUAUAUCUUACUGCAACCAGACAUGACAUUUUGUUUGCAGUAAGUAUACUUUCAAGGUUCAUGCAUUGUGCUAGUGAAGUUCAUCUUCAAGCUGCCAAACGAGUUAUUAGAUAUGUUAAAGACACUUUAGACUAUGGUAUAAUGUACUCUCAUUCUCAUAAUUUUAAGCUCCAUGGAUAUUCUGAUAGUGACUGGGCAGGUUGUAUUGAUGAUAUGAGAAACACCUCUAGUUAUUGUUUUUCCUUUGGUUCUGGAGUCUUUUCUUGGUGUUCUAAAAAGCAAGAAGUUGUAGCUCAAUCAACUGCAGAAGCAGAGUAUGUAGCUGCUGUUGCUGCAGUGAAUCAAGCUCUUUGGAUCAUGAAAAUUAUGACAGAUUUGCAUAUGAAACAAGAAGAAAGCACACAGAUUUUUGUGGACAACCAGGCUGCAAUCUCAAUUGCUAAUGAUCCAGUGUUUCAUGGCAAAACUAAGCACUUCAAGAUAAAGCUUUUUCUUCUAAGAGAAGUUCAAAGGGAAGGAGAAGUGAAGUUACUGUACUGCAAAAUAGAGAAUCAAAGUGCUGACAUUCUGACCAAGGCACUUGCAAAAGCCAAAUUUGAAUACUUGAGACAAAAGCUUGAAGUUUGCAGUUCCAAAGUCAAGGAGGAGUGUUAAGAUGUGACUGUUGAAACUGUCUAACAAACUAUAGUAAAUAAGAUUUUUAUGCUAUUUUUUAGGAAAAAUAAAAGUCAUGACUGAUAGGAUAAAACAGUUUUAAUCCUAUUCUCUAGGCAUGAUCUGCUAGUGGUGUUAUCUUUUUAUUAGCAGUUACUAUCUUUUUCAUGUUUUUAAAUACGUUGCUUCAUAUUAGAAUAAAACAAGUCUUUGGCGUCUCAAUUUCUUUCUUUAUGCUCCCUUUCAUUCUUUAAUAUUUCUGCCUGCUAUUAUUAACAAAAAACAACAAAUGUCUCUAACUUCUUUUGGGAGAUCUCUCCACAUUUUGACAGCUUCCAAUAUUUUUGGAAGCGCAUGCUGACCAGCCAAGGACACUGCAGUUUCUGCCAUUUUAGUCUUGCUAGCUAGCUCUGUUUUUUUUGGUUUGUUGUGAGUGCAAAACUUGAUGUUCUUCAACAUUAUAUAUAGCCAUGUCCGUAGUAAGAGGAGGACAAUUGAUUAAUAUUUAAUAUUCUUUGAUUCAGCACGUUGGAUGUCUUGUUAAUUUAUGAAGUAGAUUUAUUUCAAUGUAUUGAAAUAUUCCAUUAUGGUUGAACCAAUUAAUACGAAAACGCCAAAGUAAUAUUGGUUUAAGUCAUAAUAUAUUACAUUUCCAAGUUGAAGUAUCAUCCACUUGUCCUAAAAACAGAUGCUAGAUAUGACCAGCGCUAGUUUCAGACAUAGCUGAACGUGUGUAUGCCAGCACUGAAUUUGCCAUUGUUAAUGUUAAUUAUUUGUCACCUAUCCAUACCAUAUCACGCUACCCAAUUUUUAAAUAAGUACGAAAACUAAUUAUGUUAGAGAAAACUAAUUAGUCGAUUCAAAUGAUGUUUGUCGAUUAGGACAUAUAUUUAUUUUAUUUACCUUACAAAUUUUAUUUUAAUUCAUAAAAUUAUUUCUCUUUAUUUAUUUAAUCAUAAAAAUCUUAUUAUUUUUCUAAAAAUUUAUUUAUUUAUAAGUAAAAUCUUGUUUAAUUUAUUUUACGAAAAAUUGAAUGUUACAUUCUUCAUUACAUGCCACCCAUGAUGAGUGAUUAAUAAGUUUGUCCCAUCCUUUUUAAUAAGUUUGUCUUAUGUUUAUAAUAUUUUUUAAAAUUAUCCUUGUACUUAUACUUCUCUCUCGUCUAAUGAUUUAUCAAUACAUUUUCUUUCUUCUUUUAAUGAUGGAUAUUUUUAGUCUAAAAAUAAUUAAUAAAAGAAAUAUUAUAGAUUGAGUUUUAUAAAAUAGAAUAAAUAUUAUUUUAAAAGUCUUAUAAACAAAAAUGGAGGCAAAAUAAUUAAUUUCAACUAAUAGAAAAUAGUGUGUAAAAAAAGAAUAUGUUAAAGUCUUAAAAGAGCAUAUAUUUAUUUUAUAAAAAGGAAUUCUAUUUUAAUUUAUAUCAAAUUAAUAAAUAAAACAUCAUUUUUAUUUUCUAAGGACAUAUAUUUAUUUUAUUUACCUUACAAACAUUAUUUUAAUUAAUAAAAUUAUUUCUCCUGAUUUAUUUAAUCACAAAAACCUCAUUAUUUUUCUAAAAUUCUAUUUAUUUUUAAAUAAAAUCUGUUUUAAUAUAUAUAAUUUCAUUUAUCGUAGCUUAAGAAGAUGAACACAAACUUAACAUUUAAAACUUAUGAUUUCAUGAAACUACUCAAAUUAUCUACUACUUGUUUGACUCUAUAUAGUAGGUUAUUUCUUUUUCUUUUUGUGGAUUGGUAUUGUUUAUUUGAUAUUAGGGUCACAUGAUAAGUUUUUAUUUUUAUCGACGAAAUAAUAUAUAUAUAUAUAUAUAUAUAUAUAUAUAUAUAUAUAUAUAUAUAUAUAUAUAUAUAUAUAUAUAUAUAUAUAUAUAUAUAUAUAUAUAUAUUGAUAAUAAGAAGCACAAGCAGUGCAAAUACAAGUGGCUACAUUGGCCCGUACAUGGAAUGCAAAGAACUACUAGCCUACCCCUAAGGCUCGAAAGAAAGCAUUACCCAACAAAUGACUGCGCCUUACAUCUUAAUCUACAUAAGAAUAAAUACACAAAGGAAGAUGCAAGACUAACCAUCAAACACAACAUACUCACCCCCUCAUCUACGUAAUUAUGUCAUUAUCGGCGAGAGACACCCAUUGUCAAGAAUCGCACCAUGCAUAUAUCAUACCUGUACGUCCCUUAAAAUUUAAGAAUGCAAGGACUUAAUUAUAUUAUGUUGGUUGACCAUUCCUUAGGCCGGGCCCAACAUAUUAGUAAGCCUAAACCAAAACUCGAAGAGUGUUGCUAGGUGCACCCAGUAUUUUUGUUAGUGCAUCCAACACUUGAAGUGAAAAACCCGUAAUACCCCUGGUUUAUUUUUUAUAAAAAAAAUGCGAGACUCUCUCUCUCCCGCCCGCGUUUUGGCUUCUUCUUCCUCAGCCAGAUUUGUUCUUCUUCUUCCUCACCUCAGCUGUUUUUGUCUUCUUCUUGCUCGCCUCACCGGCGUUUUCAUUUGUCACCAUUGUUGCAGUUAAGAGGAGGUUGCUGGGAAGAGGUUUUUCUUCUUCUUCAAUCACCAUUGUUGCCGUGAAGGGGAGCUUGCCGUGAGGUGUAUUGAGGAGGUUUCCGUGAAGAGCAACGUCAUCGUCCACCGUCGAGGGAGCUUCGUCACCGUCCACCGUCGAGGUAAGCGCGCCGUAACCAUGUCUUUUAGUUCAUUGUUGCCAGAGUUAGGUUGAUCAAGUUGAUUCGUAAGUUUGAUUAAGGAUGUAGUUGAUCCGUAAGCUUGUUGACGGAUCAAGUUGAUCCGUAAGAAUGAAUUUUAAUUUUAAAAAAAAUGCCAAAUAGGUUAUAGAUAAUGAAAAUUAUUUUUAUUAAGAUUUAGGGUUAGUUGUGAGGCUUUUAGGCUGAAGUAGAGUACAAUUGAGUGAUAAAAAAAGUUUGAAAUCAUGCGUUCAUUAUUUGAUGAAGUUUCUCUCAACUUAUUUGAGAUAAUGAAUAUUUAUUAAGAUAUUUCUGUGGACAUAAGCAAGAAGUACUGAAAAUGUUAAAUCCUGCCUAGGGUAGCUUUGUUAUUCUUAGCCGGUCCCAAGCCUGGAUAAAAGGAGAGGGUUGUGUUAGGCUUUCGACAGCCAAUGUUAAACUUUGUCGAAUCUCUAUGACAUGGAUCAAUUACGUAAUAAUGUGAAUGCUAGGUCGUUGCCCGGAAGCAACGCGCUGUAUGGCUCGAGUACAGUGUCAAAAGAGCAAGGGCCGUUGCAUCGCCGCCCGGAUGUAGUGAAAAGUAAGCAAGGGUUCCCACAUUUUCGUGAACGGGUGUGGGUAAAGAAGCUAGUUCAUGACAGGAGGAUUCGCUUUGGUACAUGGAAUAUAGGCACACUUACUGGAAAAUCUAUGGAAAUAGUGGAUGUUAUGGUGAGGAGGAAGAUCAAUUUUAUGUGCCUACAAGAAACUAAGUGGACAGGUGAAAAAGCGAAAGAAUUAGACAACUCGGGAUUUAAGCUGUGGUAUACCGGAAAAAUCAGAUCAAGAAAUGGGGUAGGGAUUAUUGUGGACAAGGAGUGGAAGAAGGAUGUCGUGGAUGUAAGAAGAGUAGGAAAUCGUAUCAUAGUCUUAAAAUUGGUAGUGGGACAGGACACCUUUAAUGUUAUUAGUGGGUACGCACCUCAGGUUGGGUUAGCAGAACACUUUAAGGUAAAAUUUUGGGAGGAUCUAGAAGGGGUACUUCAGGAUAUACCCCAAGGAGAGAAAGUUUUCCUAGGAGGGGAUCUCAAUGGACAUGUAGGUAGCAUGGCUAGAGGUUUUGAGGGGGUGCAUGGGGGUUUUGGCCUAGGGGAGAUGAAUGGGGAGGGUAAAUCCAUCUUGGAGUUUUCGGAGGCUUUGGAUCUUUCUAUAGCCAAUACAUGGUUUAAGAAAAGAGAAGAACAUCUUAUCACUUACAAAAGUGGAGGGACAUGUUCUCAGAUAGAUUUCUUCCUUAUCAGGAAGUCUGAUAGGAAGUAUUGCUUGAACUGUAAAGUUAUCCCGGGAGAGAGCUUGACUACCCAACAUAGAGUUUUGGUUAUGGAUGUAAGAAUUAGAGAGGGCAAAGAGAAGAAGUCCUAUGGUAGCACCAAGGAUCAAAUGGUGGCACUUGAAGGGUGAGAAACAAGGAAUCUUCCAACAAAAGAUAUGGGAGGGAUGGUGUGGACAAUCACAAGGAAGUGAAAAUGAUAUGUGGAACAAGACGUCCCAAGAGAUUAUUAAAGUGGCUAAAGAGACGUUGGGUGAAUCUAGAGGUUUUGGACCUAGGGGUAAAGAAUCGUGGUGGUGGAAUGAAAGUGUUCAGAGCAAAGUUAGAGUAAAAAAAGAGUGUUUCAAGGAGUGGUCUAGGUGUAGAAAUUCUGAAACUUGGGAUAAGUAUAAGAUAGCUAGAAAUGAAACCAAAAAGGCGGUGAGUGAGGCAAGAGCCCAAGCUUUUGACGGACUAUACCAAGCUCUAGGAACCAGGGACGGAGAAAGAUCUAUAUAUAGGCUUGCUAAGGGUAGAGAGAGGAAGACUAGAGAUUUGGAUCAAGUAAAGUGUGUUAAGGAUGAAGAAGGCAAAGUCUUAGUGCAUGAAAAGGAUAUCAAGGAAAGGUGGAAGGCGUAUUUCCACAACUUAUUUAAUGAUGGAUAUGGAUAUGACUCUAGCAGUCUAGACACAAGAGAAGAGGACCGGAACUAUAAGUACUAUCGUCGGAUUCAGAAACAGGAAGUAAAGGAAGUGUUGAAAAGAAUGAGUAAUGGUAAGGCGGUGGGGCCAGACAACAUACCUAUUGAAGUGUGGAAAACUCUUGGAGAUAGAGGUCUUGAGUGGCUCACCGAACUCUUUAACGAAAUUAUGAGGUCAAAACGCAUGCCGGAGGAAUGGAGGAGAAUCACGUUAGUGCCAAUCUAUAAGAACAAGGGGGAUAUACAAAAUUGUGCAAAUUAUAGAGGAAUCAAGCUCAUGAGUCAUACCAUGAAAUUAUGGGAAAGAGUGAUCGAACGGAGAUUAAGAAAGGAGACUCAAGUUACUGAGAAUCAAUUUGGUUUCAUGCCGGGAAGGUCGACCAUGGAAGCGAUUUAUUUAUUACGGCGGGUGAUGGAGCAAUAUCGCAUGGCCCAACAAGACUUGCACUUGAUUUUUAUUGACUUGGAGAAAGCGUAUGAUAGAGUGCCUAGAGAGAUUUUGUGGAAAGCUCUAGAGAAGAAAGGGGUUAGGGGUGCAUAUAUUCGAGCNNNNNNNNNNNNNNNNNNNNNNNNNNNNNNNNNNNNNNNNNNNNNNNNNNNNNNNNNNNNNNNNNNNNNNNNNNNNNNNNNNNNNNNNNNNNNNNNNNNNUUUUUACCUUAAUUCUGGAUGUCUCACGGAACAAAUCCAAGAGAUAGCGCCGAGAUGCAUGCUUUUUGCAGAUGACAUAGUCCUCCUUGGAGAGUCGAGGGAGGAGUUGAAUGAGAGGUUGGAAACUUGGAGACGAGCUCUAGAAACACAUGGCUUUCGCCUAAGCAGAAGCAAAUCGGAGUAUAUGGAAUGUAAGUUCAACAAAAGAAGGAGGGUUUCUAACUCAGAGGUGAAAAUAGGAGACCAUAUUAUCCCUCAAGUCACACGGUUUAAAUAUCUUGGGUCUGUAAUACAUGAUGAUGGGGAAAUUGAAGGGGAUGUGAAUCAUCGCAUUCAAGCAGGAUGGAUGAAAUGGAGAAAAGCAUCGGGGGUGUUAUGUGAUGCAAAGGUACCGAUCAAGCUAAAGGGAAAGUUUUAUCGGACUGUGGUAAGACCGGCGAUUUUGUACGGAACAGAAUGUUGGGCGGUCAAGAGCCAACAUGAGAAUAAAGUAGGUGUAGCGGAGAUGAGGAUGUUGCGGUGGAUGUGUGGUAAGACUCGACAUGAUAAAAUUAGAAACGAAGCUAUUAGAGAGAGGGUUGGAGUAGCGCCUAUUGUAGAGAAGAUGGUGGAAAAUAGACUUAGGUGGUUUGGGCAUGUAGAGAGAAGACCGGUAGACUCUGUAGUGAGGAGAGUAGACCAGAUGGAGAGAAGACAAACAAUUCGAGGCAGAGGAAGACCCAAAAAGACUAUAAGAGAGGUUAUCAAAAAGGAUCUCGAAAUUAAUGGUUUGGAUAGAAGUAUGGUACUUGAUAGAACAUUAUGGCGGAAGUUGAUCCAUGUAGCCGACCCCACCUAGUGGGAUAAGGCGUUGUUGUUGUUGUUGUUGUUGUUGUUGUAUGGUGGUGUUGUUAGUGUGUUCUGUCUUUGAUGUUCAUUGUAGCUAAAAGGGUUUGUUUCCCUAACAAUCGCAUUCAGCUACUACAAUUUAUCAUAGCCUGAAACUAAUUGCUUCAAUACCAAUAGGAACACAAUGAAAACGAGUAAUCAUUGAUUAUUACCUCAAGAAAAUCAUACAGUUGAUACAUUUCGGUUGGUUUCACCCUCAAACCAAUCACACCUAUGCCAUCUAUGGUAAAUGAUGAUACUUGUACCAAACAUCUAGAGAUCAACUCUAUUAAAUAUUUUUGUGUAAUUUCUUCCAAAGUUUUCCCCCUUUCAUGAUUGACAAACCCUUCGGCUAUCCACUGCCUAAUCGAUCAACCAGAUUUAACUUCGUAGUCUUCAGGAUACAUUCCCAAAUACAAAAAACAUGAUCUGAGAUUGUAUGACAAGUCAUUGUUACUUAGACUUAAAAAUUUUGCUACAAUAUUUAACUCGAAAUUCCUCUCCUCCAUUUCUCAACUUUAGAUUUUGACUAAACUGUUUCCAUUCUGGUGCACUUUUUCUAUAUAAAAGACCACCAAUGACCACAAUUGCUAGAGGUAAACAUUGACACUUUCUAACAAUUUCAAGACCUACAUCUUCAUAUUCUUUUGGACAACACCCAUUAAAACCAUAUGAUACGAAUGUUCAUGAAGCACAAACAGGAGGUACAUGAGAAGAAAUGGAGGUGCAGGUAGCAGCCAAGAUCAAGAGAAGAAUUGUAAAACCCACUUACCUCAAUGACUACGUUUGAGGCAGUGUGAGGAGAGCUGAGGAGAGCCAGCUUCUAAGCUUCUAGAAGAUCCUUUUAGGAAUUCCUUGCUUGAAUUGUCUGCUUCUAGGGGACAAGAGGAAUAAAAUUCGUUAGGCCAAAUAUUUUGUAAUCCUUUCUGUUAUGAAGGAGUCUAUAAAUAUAGAAUGUAAAUAACAAGCAAGGCAUGCAAUGAAAUAGUCCAUUCCCUCACUCUCUCUAUCCCUUCCUUCUUCCUUGUGCUUAUUGGACGUACUGGUUCCUCGAAAACUAGAGGUGGCCCUAACACCAUACCAAUAUGGCUUCUUACAUAGCAACCCCAAAGGUUCUAGCUUAUGCACCUCAAUCAAUGAAGAUUUCUUACAAAACUCCGCAACCUCCUCGUUCCUGGUUGUGAUUAAUAUCCUACUGCCAUUUUUAUUGUCAACAAGAGAAAAUUUAAUGUCAUCCUAAAAAAAUUUCUUCCAUACAUCAUCAAACAUGACAAUUGCACAAACCAUUUCUGACUUUAUCUAUCAUCUUAUAGGAACACUUGGAGCAGCCUUCUGCACUUUUUCAUUGCAAAGCAUGUCCAGCAUAUCUGGCAGAAAUCCUUCUAUAGUGUAAGAUUGGGGCACUAUGAUCUUGAAAUAUAAACUUGAUUUUGGGUCUUAUUUGUCUAAACAAGAAAGUACAAGUUCUAGAAGACAUGCUAAGCUAAAAGGAAAAGAAAAACAAUAGCAGUCAGUGAGAAGGAAAAAAAAGACAGGAGAAAAGAAUAGAAGGGAGACAAAAGAACAAGUAGCAUGUAUGUCAAGAUUGAAAGAUUAGAAUCUUUAUAAAUAUAUAUCCCAAUCCAUGUCUCUAUCUUUAAUUUUCCUUAUUUUUAUUAUUAUAGUUCUUGAAGGUUUUGGUUUACAGCUAUGGUUGAAUUGAUUUGCACAAAAUUAGGUCAAGAAAGUGAUAUAUAUAUAUAUAUAUAUAUAUAUAUAUAUAUAUAUAUAUAUAUAUAUAUAUAUAUAUAUAUAUAUAUAUAACUGGCUUGGACCGACCCCAUACAUACGCUAUGGGAAAAAUUCAGUAUUGUUUAUGAACCUUACAAGUUUUCAGAAUAUACACUAUUGUUUUUUUUCUUUUUUUACGCAUAAUUAUAAAUACUCUUUUGAUUUCUAUUGUUAUAAGUUGUAAAGACUUUUCAAAAUUUGACUUCAGGAAUUGUGCAUUGGUUUGGGAAAUGUGGUUCCCACAAUUAAUCAGAACACUGUAUAUGGUUAUUUUGUUUCCUUCACACGGACCUAAAUCAGCACCUAGAUGACACACAUACAUUGUAUAUGCUACUAGGUUCAGCACCUUAAUGACACUCACUGAUUACACAACACACUAAUGACACUGCAUAAUUGUUCCCUGCAUGAACACAUAAAUGAUAGAACACAUACUUCAUUGGCAAGUCACAACUGUAGUACAACCUUUGGCUCAAACAAUUAUUAUGCUCCACUAGAAUUGUUAAAUAAAAACAAAUUCUACUUUUAUAAUUAGUUUUGAGAGUUAAUAUACAAUCGGGUCGCCUAAAGUGGUAAGUAAUUUGUGUUGCUUUGGUUCUCUCAAAGAUACGAGUUAGUACUUUGAUGGAUCAAAUUGUAUACAAUCUGGCAAUUUGGUAUGGGAUAACUUGUUAGAAAGUAGAUAACUUAGUGCUUUCAAAGAUCGUAUGUGUGCCUUUCCUGGUUGGGUGCCAACCAUUAUUGUCUCUAGUUGAAUACCUCUGAGUUGAAUUUUUCUAAAGUUGAUGCAGAAACAUAAGAAAAAAAAUAAUGAUAAUGCAAGAAAACUAUAUUAUAGGUACUUAUUCACUACUAAUGAAUACUAUCUUGCAGUGGAUUUAAGUGUAGUGCAUAAUAGUGCACACAGUCAAACAAAUUAAGUUUUUCAUUAUCCAAAUUUUAUUCAGUCAUAUUUCAAUGAUAACUGCUAAAUAAUUGUAUUUUGAUAGUAGAAAAUUAGUCAAAUAUUGGCCUGAAAUUAAUUAUUUAGCAGUUAUUUGUGAUUAAAAGUUAGAAAAUUAAUUGAAUUGAAUUUUUGGGUGCAGAUAUAAAAAUUGGAGGUGUAACAAGCAAAAAUGGCAGAAAAAUUGAAGAAAAGAAGAAAAUGUGAAGAAGGCCCAACCCAAUACGCGCGCUCAGCACGCGUCACGAGCUAAGCAGGUCAGGAAGUACACGCGCUAAGCGCGGGGUGUCGCGCUAAGCGCGCCUAUGGAGGCCCAAAGCCCACUUCAACAACUAUAAAUAGAGAGUCAGUUCAAGGGACAAAAACAACAACAGAACCCCCUCUCCUAGGGGUUUCAUUUACUCCCUUUCUUUCACCCCCUUCUCAUUGUAAAGCCCUCAUGACCAUGAGUGGCUAAUCCCCCUAGCUAGGGCCUGGCAGGCCUAAAAAGCCAAUGAUGUAUGGAGCAUUUCAAGAGUUAUCAAUAAAAAGAGGAAUUCCCUCCAAGUUAUUUAUUUAUGUACCGUUCUUUCUUUUUACAUCCUGUAUCUCGGAACUUGCUUUCUGUUAGGGUUUAGUCCACUCGGGAGAGGGUAAAGCGUAAUUAGGGGUAAGGAAUGAAUACUUGAAUCUGUUUUAAGGGUUAGGCCACUCGGGAGAGGGUAACGCUUAAGAGAACACUAAAAGGAGGAAAUUAUCGGGUUAUCUUUUAGAGAGUUUUUCCUUCCAGUUUCUUUUAUCUGCUUUUCUUUCUUGCUUAUUCUGCAUCUCGGACUUUGUUUUCUGUUAGUCUUUAGGCCACUCGGGAAAGGGUAAAGCCUAAUUAGGGAUAAGGAAUGAAUGCGUGAAUCGGUUUUAAGGGUUAGACCACUUGGGAGAGGGUAACGCUUAAUAGAACAAUAAAAGAAAGAAAUUAUUGGGUUAGUAUGACUUAAUGCCCCAAUGCCCAUGCUUUAGCAAACAUCUAGAAUGUAAUCCUUAUGCAUCUUAGUUAUUGAGUCUUCACAAAGGGCAUUUGGAAGAUAGGUAAUUAAGGUAGGCUUGUCAUCGUGAGGCAUCAAGGGCAAGUAGAUGGAUAGAUGUGGGGCAGAAUUAGUUCACUGGUAUUGAUAACAGACAAAUCCUGAAUCCAUGUAUCUAGGCUGAUUAGACUUAUUAGGUUUUAGCAAUUUUAUAGGUUUUAUUUCUCUUUUAUUUGAAUUUCGUAGAAGUAGUUAUCUUUAUCAUAUCGCAAUUUAAAUAUUUUAUCUUCUAUUUUGAUCUUUCAAUCUUUUAUCUUUUCUUUUAUCUUCUAAUUUUAUCUUUAAGUAUCUUAUCUUUUCUUUUCUCUUCUAAGUUUAUCUUUAAAUAUCUUAUCUUUUCUUUACUUUAUCUUCUAUCUUUCUUUAUCUUUUAUUUUAAAUUCUUAUCUCUUGUUUUUAAAUUGGGUUUGCAUUAAUCUAAGUACAAACAAAGUCCAUGUGGAUUCGACACUCGGACUUCCGAGAACUUUACUACUUGUGACGAUUUGGUACACUUGCCAACGAGUUAACAUCCAAUAAAAAAAUUUAUUAAAAUUUCAACUAAAAAACCAAAAAUAAACUCAUUUCAACUAUUUCAUAAACUCAUUACAAGUCCAAAUAAGAAAAAAAUCAACUUGAUAUUUAUUAAUCUUAUUGUUCCAUCCAAAUAAUAAAAGAAAAACUACAUUCUACACAAUGUUUAAGUGCAGUAUUCCAACUAUUUUUCUCACUCAAUCUGAUUUUCAAUUCCAUAAAAUAAGUCACAAAAACACAAACAAAUUUAGUUAAACUGAUUUUAAAUUCUGUUUCGCAUUAAAUUUAAGUGCAGUCACAUUAUUCUAAGUAUGUUUCGCACUAAAUUCUGUUAACAAAAUUAAGUCAAAACAAUAAAAAAUGGGGCAUAAAUUAUGGUUCAAACACAAUCAAAUAACAGUUUAUCAAUGAAACCAUUAAAAAAUUGUGUUGAUAUGAAGUUUAAAAUAGUUAUAAUAAAAGUCAACAAAUUUAUCAAAUAUUAUACGUGAUGAUAUACAAGGGAAUGAUAGUCUAAAAUUGUUUUACACUAAUAAUGCAAACUAUUUUUUAUAAUUCUAGCUUAAAGACUAUGUACAUUGUUGGUGUAAAAUUUUUUAUAUUGUACACCAUUUAAAAAAAUCAUUAAUAUAAUAAUGUAAAGGUAAAAAAAUACCCUAUAUAUGAUUGUGUAUGAUCGAAUAAUAAUGUAUGAUUCCUUUGAAUUGUCAAUACAUAAUUUAUUUUUUAUAUUUUUUUCAUUUGAAAAAUAUGGAAUCAAAACUGAACAUAAAAGUUUGGGUACCAAAGCACUAUGCUAAGAGGAUUAAAGUGCUAUGCCACAAUCCAACAUAUCUUGUUACAAUACGAGUUCACCCAACCUUAGCAUGUAUAAUCCAAAUGUUCAUUCUAAUUCAAGUUCUAGAAGCAUAAUUGAAAACUGAAUUUACUAUUUACUAUUGUAAUUGAAGGUGAAUAUAUCUUAUAACUCGAAAGCUCAUUUUCGCAGUUGAAAAUCCUAAAUCUUUAGAAUUUCUCAAUUAGGACACUCAUUAGGUUCAAGAAUAUCUAAAUUGUCUUAAUUGUUGAUAUUAAUUCCUAUAGAAUCUCCAACCUCGUUUGCAUUAUAUCCUAAAUUCAAUCGUUAUUUUAAUUUUACAGUUGUCAAUAGGAAUAUACGAUCAAUGUAGUAUAAGUGACCAAAUAUCAAUAUAUAAAGGCAUUAAAUUAAAACAAAGACAAACAAUCAAUUUAAAAGAAAUGAACUUGAAUUAUACAUAAGAGUUCAAAUUACAUAAGGUUAACAAAAAUUUAACUACACAGUUUAGAAAAAGGGAAACAAGAGAAAGAGAAGAAGGAAGCUUAUAAAAUUAAUUUGAUGAAUCUUGCACUUUGAUGCCUCAAAUCCACUUAUCCACCAUUUCAGAAGCCGCAAAAGAAAGAACAUGAGCGAAUCUUCAGUUUUCUAGUUGUCAAAAAUUGCAUGCAUGUGUAGGAACACCAUUUUCCCUUCUACGUAUUGUUUAGUGUUAAUAACGCUAGAAUGGGCGUACUAAUUAACACUCUAAAAACCACAAGUUUCGAAUGCUGGAAAUAUUGGAAUUGGAACACCUCUUACAAUCUUCCCUUGGUGCUUUCCUAAAUUUCAUGAUUGUACAAAGUGGGUCAAACUUCAAAGCAUCAAAAUUAGGAAAAAAUCCACCUUAUUAGGCUUCAAUCAUAAUGAAAAAUUAAAAAUCCACAACAAUUACACGAAAUAUAUGCUUACAACCCUAUAAAAAUACCAAGUUAAUUUCUUCUUAAAAUCAUACAAUGAAAUUGUUCAAGUACUUAUCAACACGGAAAUAAAAUAAAAAAAAAAAACUCAAUUCAGUUGAGGUCAACAUUUACCAAUUCUGAGCACAAUAAUACGAAGGAUUAUAAUGGUUAGACUCUAAUAAUGAAGAAAUGUUAACUAAGGUUGGUGUAGGCAUAUACUUGUUAGACAAUUCUUUCCCUAACUUCUACGUGACAUAUUGUAUAAAAAGAAUUAUGAAGCAAAUACAAUAAGAGAAAACGAGGCAAAAGUAAUUAUUUUAGGAAUUAGAUAACGGUUGCAUUUUAUAUUAAAGAAAAGAAUAAGGCCAGGAAUGCCAUUCUACAAAGUUAUUAAUGUGAAAAAGACGCACCUUCUAUUUUCAAAGUUGGACGCAUCUUAGUGAUGACUUCUGCCGAACAUAUGCAAAGGUUCUUCAGCAUCUUCACUCCAAAUACGUACGUGGGGCACAUCUUGGAUGAUCCAGUGGUCUUCUCCUCCAUCAGGAGCAGUGCGCUGCUCAAAUUCAGUUGGCAUGUCCUUGAUAUAGAGAUCUUUAAGUUUCUCCAAGUGUUGAAUUCCAGAGGGUACUGUUUUGAGUUGGGAGAGUUCUCGUAAAGAAAAUAGUUCCAAAGAACACAGUGCUCCUCUGUCGAUAAGGAUGGACUCCAACUUAUUCAAAGAUUUGAGUAGCAGUGUCUUUAGUUUCUGAAACCCUCCACUUUGAAAAUUCAAAGUUUCACCUUCAUAAGCAUUGUCACUUAAAAAGAGGAGCAUCAACCUUGGCAUAUUUUUUAGUGAUUUCAAUGCAUCAUUAGUCAACCUGGAGCCGCUCAAAUACAGUUGCACAAGAUUUGGGAACUGUGAAAUCCAAUUUGGCAACCUUGUUAACGUCCCACGUAGGACAAGCUUCUUAAGUGUAGACAUUGGUGACGUAAUGUACAAGUCAAUUACUUCACUCUCAUCAGCUGUAUCAAUACGUACUUUCUCCAAGAGUGGCAUCUCAUUUAUUAAGGAACACAAAGUCUUUUCGUGUUUUCCCCUAAAAUAUACCACCGACAGUUCCCUUAACUGCUUUAGCUUUCCUACCUCUCUAAUGACCACUCCAUCAUCAUCUAUAAUCACUGGAGGUAUCUCUUGUAGGGAUGUCAUGCCUCCAAUAUCCUUCCAUUGAAUUAAACCCGUAAAAUAAGACAGAAGAUGGCGUAGCUUAGUAAGCUUACUAAUCUCCUCUGGCAUCUCAGACACACCUGUGUCUCUUAUAUCCAAGGUCUCCAAAUUCUGGAGCUUGCCAAUUGAUUUUGGUAGACUUUCUAUCCCUGUAUACCGGAAGCUUAAAUACUUCAAGUGGCAUAAAUUCCCCAAAUUUUCAGGAACAUAACGUAAACCAGAACCUUCAAAAUCAAGUACCUUCAAUAGCAUGUAAUUUGUAGGGAUUUUGUUUACUAAGUGUUCAGAUAUUUCAUCUUCUCCUGUGCUAAUAAAAAUUGACCGAAUGGAUGAGCUUCCUAUACUUUCACUAAAAUCAUCGGUGGCAAUUGUCAGGCGUCGAACAAUCUUACUUGAUACAGAUUGAUCACACCCGUCAAUAUACUGACAAAACCCUGUAUCCUUGACUUUUCUAAGGAUCAUGUCGUGUAUUAAGUCAUGAACACCACAACUUUUAACUUUGCCAUCAAUUCUAAAUGAGGAUACUUGCACCAAACUUCUACGGACCAACCCUGAUAAAUAUUGUUGCCCAACUUCUUCCAAUGUUUUUCCGGUUUCAUGUUUGACAAACCCUUCAGCUAUCCACUGUCUAAUCAAUCUAUCAGAUUUAAUUUCAUAGUCCUCCGGAUAUAUUCCGAAAUACAAUAAACAUGAUCUGAGAUUGAUCGGCAAAUAUUCAUAACUUAGACCUAAAAUUUUUGUUAUACUAUUUAACUCAGAAUUCCUCUCCAAGUCUAAACUUAGAUCUCGACUAAACUGUCCCCAUUCAGGUGCACUUUCAUCUUUUUGAGACAAAAGACCACCAACGGCCACUAUUGCUAGAGGUAAACCUUUACACUUUCUAACAAUGUGAAGAGAUAUAUCUUUAAGUUCUUCUGGACAAUCUCCAUCGGAACUAUACUGAAAUGCCUUCUUAGAAAACAAUUUCAAUGAUUCUUGUUCAGUUAAUGGCUCUUCUAGCUUAAGCACCUCAACAAAAGAAGAUUUCUUACAAUAUCCCGCAACCUUCUCAUCCCUGGUUGUGAUUAAAAUCCUACUUCCAUUUUUAUUAUCAAUUACAGCAGAUUCAAUGUGAUCCCAAAAUGUUUCAUUCCAUACGUCAUCAAACAAGACAACAUACCUCUUGUUGCGCAAGCGGUUUCUGACUUCUUCGGUCAACGACUCCAUGUUAGAAACAUCCUUGGGAGGGUCCUCCUUUUUCACUUUGCAAAGCUCAUCCAACAAACGCCUCAGUAGUCCUUCUGCAGAGUAGGAUUGAGACACUGUGAUCAAUGCAUGGCACUCGAAAUUGUUACGCACCUGGUCAUAAACUUGCUUGGCAAGAGUGGUUUUUCCCACCCCAGGAAUUCCCACCACAGAGAUUACAGUGCGUUUUUCUCUUCCCUUUGUCAACCAAUUUUUCAAUGUAUCUCUAGGGCCAUCAAGCCCCACAACAUCAUCUUCAUCGAUAAAGAGAGGAUCCAUUCGAAGUUUCUGCCAGGUGACAUCUUGAUUUCCUCUAGAACUUGUUAGUCUUGGUUCUAAAGGAAAAUGGGUUUGGAAACCAUCUCUUUCAGCACGAACAAGGGAUUUAACAUCCUGAAUCUUAUACGCACUUUGAAGGAGAAGGAUUUGAGUUUUGAUGAAGGCAACAGCCUCACAUAGUAAAGCUGCACAUCGAGGAUCACCAGGUUGCUUAUCCUCACAGGAGAUGUUAUAUUCAUCGAUGACAUCUUCCAUGCAAAAAGCUGCUUCUCUCAGCCGCAUCACCCUUUCUUUUAUUCUAUGACGCCUUCCAUCAUCUUGUUCAGCUUCAGCCACUUUAUCAGCAUCAUUAAUGAAAUCUUGAAAGCUUUCAAGUUCAUCUGUAAUGUCUCUAACUUCUUUUGGGAGAUCUCUCACCAUUUUGAUAGCUUCCAAUAUUUUUGGAAGCGCAUGCUGACCAGCCAAGGACACUGCAGUUUCUGCCAUUUUAGUCUUGCUAGCUAGCUCUGUUUUUUGGUUUGUUGUGAGUGCAAAACUUGAUGUUCUUGAACAUAUAUAGCCAUGUCCGUAGUAAGAGGGGGACAAUUGAUUAAUAUUUAAUAUUCUUUUAUUCAGCAAGUUGGAUGUAUUGCUAAUUUAUAAAGUAGUUAUUUAUUCCAAUUAAUACGAAGUCAUAAUAUUUGGCAUGUGGAAGUUAAAGUAUCAUCCACUUGACCUAUAAACACAUGCUAGAUAUGACCAGCGCUAGUUUCAGACGCAGCUGAACGUGCAUGUCAGCACUGAAUUUGCCAUUGUUAAUGUUAAUUGUUUGCCACUGUAUCCACAUCAUAUCACGCUACCACAUAAGUGGAUAUUUAUUGGAAUGAACCAUAAAAAAUCAAGUAAGAAAAUUUAACAAUAUACUUUAAUCCAAAACUUUAAUACUCAGAUUUAUAAAUCUUAUUCUAACUUGUAUGAUGCAACUUUCCACUUCUACUCUCUGAUUUCACCUCAAACUUAUAUUCUUUAACAUUAUGAAAACUAAUAUCUUAGAGAAAACUAAUUAUUUGUUUCAAUGAUGUUAGUCGGUAUUAUCUAGUUUUACCAACAAAAUUAAACGGCCAUGCUUGUCAACUUAAUAGCCUGUUAGGAAUAAACUAAUAUUUGCUUUAGAAUGUUCUAUUGGCUCUGAAGCUGUAGGCUCAUACUUCCGUCAACAACUUAUUUGCUUAACAAUAACAUCUGAACUCAGCAACUACAAAGUUUAAACGAAUAGAAAAGACAAUCUCUGUGAAUAUACUUCUUAUUUUAAUGUUUAAAGUACAACUUGUUAACCAGCUACAGUGCAAUAUCAAUUCAAGCGGGCUAACUUUCAAGCUUUGUUUAUUUUCCGAGAAAACGGAGGGAACAUGCAAGACGGACGAUAUAAAACUAUCCUUUUUAGUAUAUAUACUUCUUAUUUUGAGUAUAUAUAACUUUUUUUUUUAAAAAUUCUACAUAAUUAAAUAUAAAAUAAAGAUUUUUUUUUAAUUUUUUCUCUUAUAAAAAAAUCACUGAACAAAUCAGAUUCUUUAACAGAAAUUAUUUGUUGGUAAAAUUGAUAGAUUAGUUUGCAUCUAUAAUAUAAUAACAACAAAAAAAAACCUAAGAAAUUAGGUCAUUUUAUACUUCUUUUUUUACUUUUAUUUUUCAUUUAUUUUCUUCAUUUUAGGAGCAUUGAUCAAAUUGACUUGAUCAUAAACUCGACAUUCUAAAUAAAACCAAUUAUUUUGAUUCAAAUCGGUUCCAUUAAUUAGUUUUUUUUUUACUUCAAAUUUGAAUAUCCAAUUACAGUUUGUUUGAUUCUCUACUAUAUUCUUUGCUUUAAAAAAUUACAAUUUGUUUGAUUCUCUAAUUUAUCUUUUUUUCCUUGCAUUAACAUAAAGUUUAAAAUCAUAAAAAUCAACACUUAGUGGAGAUAAAAACUUAAAAGAAAAUAGAUAGAUUUUUUAAAAAAUUUCAAAUAUAACCAAUAUAUAAUUGGAUAUGACUGGUUAGGAUUUAAUUUUAAUUUACUCUAAAUUUUGACUAAUUGCACAAAAACUUGUAAAAUUCAUACUCCCUCCCUCCGGUCUCAAAAUAUUUAUUUUACUAACCAAGAAAGUUAAUUAAUUACAUUUAAUUCAUUAAUCUCAAUUAAAAAUUAUUUUUCCUCUCAACAUAUUUUACAUUGGAACUUAAUAUUAAACAUAAAAAAAUCAUUGAAAAAAACCUCAAUUAAAUGAAGGAUAUUUUAGAAAUAGUAACAUUAAAUAAAGUAAAUUUACUUGAAAUUUUUUUAUAUUUAAAACUAAAAAAAUAAAUUUUAUCUUAUAAAGGAAGUAUUACUUUUCUCUCAUAAAGAAAACCUAAUUAUGGUUAGCCCUUAAAAUUAGUAUUACCACACAAAGUUUUGAUUGUUGGUCGUAUCUAGCAUACUUUCUUAUUAGUUGAAAUUUGUUAAAAAAAAAUCAUGAAUAAGACCAAUUAAAUAAGAAGUGAUGAAAUAUAUACAAUUUUAUGAUUUUUACUCUCUGUUCUUGUAUACAUGAUCACAUUACCUAAUUAAUUAAAAUUAAAAAAAGUUACUAAUUUAAUUAAUAGUAAUAAGUUUGUUUUACAUUUAUAAUCUUUUCAAAAAAAAUUCCAUCAUUAAUAUUUCUUUCUCGUCUAAUGAUUUGUAAAUGCAUUCUUUUUUUUUCUUUUAAUGAUGAAUAUUUGUAGUUUAAAAAUAAUUAAUGUAAGAAACAUUAUAAAUUGAGCUUUAUAAAAAAUUAUCAUUUUAAAAGUCUUAUAAUUAGGAAUAAGGAGAGAAUAAUUAAUUUCAACUAAUAGAAAAUAAUAUGUCAAAAGAGUAUGUUAAAGUCUUAAAUAAAAGAGCACGCUGUCAAUAUUUCUCUUAUUAUGAUUAUGAUUUUUUUUCUUCAUUCGAUCAAUGGAUGGAUUGCAUAUAUUAGCCAAACAUGUUAGCCACACGCGAUGACACACAUAGCCACAAAUUUUAUUAUAAUAUUUUGUAUAUUUUCAUAUUGCCAUUUUUUAUAUCCAGUAAAUUUGUACGAUGAUGUUCUCACAUAUUAUUCAUAUUGCCUUUUUUAUAAUCAGCGGUGUGUAAGAUGAUAUUUUCAGGUACUAUUCAUAUGAGUUUAUGAGUCUAUUUGAUUCAUACGGUUAAAUACUAUUCAAAUUCAUUUUUAGCAUAUUGAGACGACUCACAAGACACUCAAACUAAACUCUGUUAACUCAAGUCUAUUUUCACUUACUAUUUAUAUGAGUUUAAUAGUCUAUUUUGUUUAUGCACGUUAAAUUAAUAGUAUUCAAACUCAUUUUUAGCAUAUUGAGACAAGACUCAGUACACAACCAGACUAAACUUGUGUUAACUCCGUCUAGAUAGAAUCAAACAAGUUUACUUGAAAGAUAGCAGUUUUCUUGGGUCAAUUAGCGAUUAGGGUUGUCAUUUAUUCCUCAAUUGCGGGACCUUGAAACGAAUCCGUGAAAUCCUUCUAAAAACACAUGCUAGAUAUGACCCGCGCUAGCUAGUUUCAGACACAACGUGCAUGCCAGCACUGAAUUUACCAUUGCUAAUGUUAACUAUUUAAUUGUUACCGUAUCCAUACCAUAUCACGCUACCCAAUUUUUAAAUAAGUAUGAAAACUAAUUAUUCGAUUCAAAUAAUGAUGUUUGUGGUAUUAGUUUUACCAACAAAAUUAAACGGCCCUGCUUGUCAACUUAAUUGCCUGUUAGGAACAAAUUAAUAUUUGCUUGUUCUAUCGGCUCUGUAGCUUUAGGCUCAUGCUUCCGUUACCAACUUAUUUGCUUAAUAAUAUACAUCUGAACUCUGCAACUACAAAGUUUAAACGAAUAAAAAAGACAAAUAUGUUUGAGAAUAUAUCAUAAAAAAACAGUUUAAUGUUUAAAGUACAACUUGUUAAACAGAUACAGUGCAAUAUCAAUUCAAGCGGCCAAUCUUUCAAGCUUUGUUUAUUUUCCGGGAAAACGGAGGAACAUCAAGACUGACUAUAUAAGACUAUCAUUUUUAGUAAACAUAUAUAACUUUGAGUAUAUAUAACUUUUUUUUUAUUUACUACACAAUUAAAUAUAAGAUGAACAAACAAUCACUUAUGGUGAACAAAUCACAUUCUCUAACAGAAAUAUUGAUCGACAAAAUUGAUAGAUUACUUUUGCACCUAUUAUAUAGUAACAAACGAAAAAGAAAACCUAACAAAUUGGGUCAUUUUAAACUUCUUUUCCCUAUUUUUUUUCACUUGUUUUCUUCAUUUUAGGAGCAUUGAUUAAAUUGACUUGAUAAACUAGACAAUCUAUAUCAAAUCAAUUAUUUUGAUUCAAAUUGGUUUGAUUAAUUAGUUUUUUUUUUUUACUUCAAAUAUGAAUAUCCAAUUACAGUUUGUUUGAUUCUCUAAUAUAUUCAUUUGCUUACAGUUUUAAAUAAUAAAAAAUCAACACUUAGUGGAGAUAAAAAUUUUAAAUGACAAUAGAAUGAUUUAUUUUUUAAAAAUUCAAAUAUAACCAAUAUAUAAUAUAUUCAACAUGACUCAUUAGGAUUUAAUUUUAAUUUAAUCUAAAUUCGGACCAAUUCAUGCACAAAAACCUGUAAAUUUCAUACUCCGUUGGAUCUCAAUUAAUAUAAGAAAAAUGGUCUUGCUAAACUUGUGACCUGAGAGCACUAGUUAAGAAACCAAAAGAAGAAAAUAUUCAGUGUAAAAAGUAUUAAGAGAAUGCCAAAAAGAUCAUGAGCAGUACGUAAUUUUCUAUCUUCCAUUAAAAUAUUUCUACUUUAAGUUCUUUACCUAAUGUGUUAAGGAUACUAGUUGGCAUUUACCAAAGAAAAUACUUAUUUGUUCUAAUUAAGAAAAUUAGUUAACCACAUUUAAUUAAAACUAACUUUUUUCUUCACUUAUCCUUCAUUGGAAUUCGGUAUUAAAAACAUAAAAAAUGAAAAAUAUUUUAGAGAUAAUAAUUAAAUAAAGUAAAUUUAAUUAAUACUGAUUUUCUUAUAUUUGUGACUAAAAACAAUUUUUUCUUAUAUUUGAAAUGAAAGGAAGUAUUAUUUUUCUUUCAUAAAGCAAACCUACUCAUGAUUAACACUUAAAAUUAGUAUUACAACACAAAGUUUUGAGUGUUGGCAUUACACUUUCUAGCACACUUUCUUAUUGGUUGAAAUUUGUUAAAAAUGAAAAAUCAUGAGUAAGGUCCUUUAAAUAAGAACUAAUGAAAUCCAUUCAAUUUUAUGAAUUUUAGUCCCUCCAUGCAAUUACCUAAUUCAUUACGAUUAAAGAAAGUGACUAAUUUAAUUCAUAAUAAUAAGUUUGUCUUACAUUUAUAACAUUUUUUAAAAUUAUUUUUAUCAUUAAUAUUUUUCUCUCGUCUAAUGGUUUGUUAAUAUAUAUAUAUUUUUUUAAUAAUGCAUAUUUAAUUUAAAAAUAAUUGAUGCAAGAAAUAUUAUAAAUUAAAUUUUAUAAAAAAAAAAUAAGCAUUAUUUUAAAAGUCUUAUAAAUAGGAACAGGAAAAGAAUAAUCAAUUUCAACUAAUAGAAAACAAUAUGUAAAAAAGAGCAUGUUAAAGUCUUAAAAGAGCAUGCUCUUAAUAUUUCUCUUAUUACGAUUAUGAUCUGUUUUUCUCCAUUCGAUCAAUGUAUUGAGUGCAUGUUAGCCACACGCGAUGACACACAUUGGCAGAAAAUUUAUUAUAAUAUCUUGUAUAUUUUCAUAUUGCCUUUUUUAUAUCCAGUAAGCUUUUAAGAUGAUGUUCUCAUGUACUAUUCAUCCUAUUUUUGAGGUGAAAAAUUACAAUAGGGGAAGUCAUGCCACCUCUUAUAAAGUCAAGGAAGACUGUCAAGUUAUAGCAAGCGUGGACAAAAGUCUCCAUCAAAUGUGUCAACUCUUGUUAGCCUCACGCACCAUUAAUUAAUCUUAAUUGUACAAAUACAAUAAAUAUAAAAUUAAUUUUAAGUAAAAUAAUAAUCUAUGCAUAAUUAUACAGAUAUGAUUAACUUUUCUGGCCAUCAGGUUUUUUCGAAUACAUCUCUUUUAUCUAUAGCAUAUUAGUGUUAUAUAUUUUGUAUCCAUAAGUGAUAUAUAAAAAAUUUAUCACAUCUGUGGACAGGAAGACUUUGAACUUUUCAGCAACAUCUAUCUUAAAUAUACUAGGAGCAAGUUGUGAUAUUUUUCCCUUUAUUUUUGUCGUGCUAUAGCAAGUUGUGAGUUUGCUAUCUAGUUAAUUGUAUAUAAAUGUGAUUAAUUAAACAAUGUCAGAUGUAUUUGUCUGUGUUAGUUGAACCGAUAAAAUUUAAAUAAAAUAUCUUACACUUGUCAAAUUAUUUGAUGAAUUGCCGUUGAAUAGGUUAGCCACCUGAUUUGAUCUAAUCGAUGCUGACAAUAAUAAUAUAUUAUAUGAUGACCAAGAAAUUAAAUGCUGAUCCACAGGAACAGUUUUUUUUUUUUUUUUAACUAGGUUAACCAUUGGUGGAAGAGGGUUAAGCUAUUCUAUUUACUUUUAAAAGCUAUAUACAGGCUGGUGUAUCCUUCUUAUCAUUGCAUAUGGUUUUACUCUAAGCUUCAAAAUUUACUCUCUUUUUUUUCUUUCAAAAAUGGAAAUUUUCGAUUCAUUUCGUUGGUCUUUAAUUUAGAAGAACAAAAUUUGCUUUCCUAUUUUUGCGCAGGAUCGAGGAUCACCUAGUUGUCAUUAAAAUACUGGAUGAAGAUUUUCCUAGAGAGUUUAAUACUACUAAAAGAUGCUUACAAAGAGUCUUCUGGUGAUAAAUUGGCUAAGAAUAAAUGUUUUAUAGAAGCAAGAUAUAGUUAAUGCAAAAAUAUAAGACUUUACUCUCUCAUCUAAUCAUAAAUGGUAUAUAUAUAAUAAAUUUAAUUAUCAAUUUUUAUAAUAAUUAUUUUAAAAAUGAUAUAUACACUUAAUAUGAUUUUUUUAUUAGGACAUACUUUUAUCUACAUCAAAUUGACAUCAUAUUUUUUAUCCUCGCCGGUGUUUACAAAAAAAUUAGUGCAACGCCUACCUUGAGACAAACUUGAUAGGAAGACUUUGAGAUUCCAGCAUCUCUCUUAAAUAUUUGGGCUAAUUAUUCCUAAACUUUUUCAAAAUUUAGUUUUUAAUUUUUAAAGUUUUUUUCUGUUCCUCAAGAUCUCUCAACUUUUUAUUUUUAUCAAGGUUUUUAGUUCUUACAUUUUUAUUUGACGGGUCAAUGUCUCUCCACUUUUUUCAUUAAGAUUUUUAAUUUCUAAACUUUUAAAAAAAUCGAUUUAUAAUUAUUGAAAACUCAUUAAAUUAAUAAAAAUAAUGGGUUUAAUUUUUUAUUCAAGAACUAAAAAUUGAAAUUUCUAAAAGUUAAAAAACUUUGACAAGUCAAACAAGAAAUUAGGGAUUAAAAUUAUAUUUUAAAAAAAUUAAAAACUAAAGCCUUAGCUAAUUCUAAAUAUUUUUGUGAGCAAGUUAGUGAUUUUCUCUCCUUAUUUUUGUCCAACUACAACAUCAUGUGAAUUUCUGAUCUUCCUAAUGUGUAAAUGUGAUAAAACAAUGUUUAUUGUAAUUGUGAGUAGUGUUAGUUGUACCAAUAAAAGUUGUAGUGAAUUUAACUCUUUUAGAUUGACAAUAUAUAAGGCGAAUCUAUAUUUAUAAUUAUUAAAAAUUCAUCUGUUUAAAUUUUUAAUUUUGGUGUUAUUUAUAUUUAUAUUUUGAUUUUAGGUAUAACUAUUUCUUUAAAUGAUUUUUGUGAGAUUAAAUAAACAUUUGAAUCAAUAUCAUGUUUUUAUUAUAAAAUUCUUAUAUGAAUCAUUUAUCGAAUACAUUUUGUAGAAAUGACAACUAGAAAUUGGAGAUCAUAUUUGAUGAGGUAUAUUAUCUUACUCUUUGUCUUUUAUCAUUAUUUUUUUCUUUGCGAGUAUCAAUCAUGUUAUUUUUCUUUUCUUCAUUUUAUUGUUACGUUGCUAUAUAUUUUGAUGUAGUAUCAUUUCUUUUAUUCUUCAAUUUUUAUGUAUGAAAAGAUAAUUUGAACGUAUUAUCGAUAAUCGUCAAAAAUCAAAUUUUAACUUUUUUAGAUUAGUAAGGUAUAAUAUGGAUCUAUAUUCAAUAUUGUUAAAAAAUAAAUUUGUUGAAAUUAUUAUUUUUAGUGUUUUUUAUAUUUAUAUUUUGAUUUUAGGUCUAAUUGUUUCUUUAAAUAUUUUUUGUGAAAUUGAAUAAACAUUUGAAUGAAUAUCAUACUUUUAUUAGAAAGUUCUUACAUUAAUCAUCUUUCUCUUUCUCUUUCAUUAUUUUUUCUUUUUUCUUUGCAAGAAUUGCUUCUGUUUUUUUCUCUCUUCAUUUUAGUUUUAUGUUAUUAAAGUUUUAAUUAUUAUUAUUGCUCAGGUUUUUUAUAUAUGUUUCAUUUUUUUCUUCUAUAACUAUUAUAUUUGUUGGAGUUGAUUCUGUUUUUAUAGUUGUUGGAGUCGACUUGGAUCCGAUGCAAAAAAUCUUCCUUAUUUGUAUUUUUUUAUAUUUUUUGAAUAUUUUUCACUUUUAAUUCCUUCUUUUUAUAUCUGCAGGCCAUAAAUAAGAAAAAUAUCAAUUCCUAACAUUUAAGUAAAAGAUAAUUGCUAAAUAAAUAUUUUUAAAUAUAUUUUCACUAUAAUUUUAUUAUAAAAAAUAGCUCAUAUUUAUCAGUUAUCAGGAUCACCAAUGGUUUAGGACUUUGGAUGAUGUUUCCUCAACAAUCGUUCAGUUGGUUCUCUAACUUUUUCAGGUUGAUCAUCCGCUAGUGUGUUGGACUCAACUUGACUUGACUAGAUGCAACAACAAAUUUGAUGAUAUUUUCUAUUUUUAUCUUUGUAGAGGAGACAUGCAACUCUGGCAUUGUGGUGUGAAGCUUGUUGUCAUUAAAUCUUACAUGAAUGGUCUUUUUCGCACUCAAGGUUUUGGAUUUAUACACUCUAUAUACCUUUGACGAUUAAGAGUAUCCAAGGAAGGUUUCAUAAUCACAUUUGGAGUCAAACUUUCCAAGGUUAUCCUUGGUGUUUAAAAUGAAACACUAGCAUCCAAAUGGGUGGAAAUAAGAGAUGUUGGGCUUAGAUCCCUUCCACAAUUCAUAGGGAGGGUUCUUUAAGAUUGGCCUUACAUAAAUUAUGUUUUGUAAAUAACAGGCAGUGUUUACUACUUCAGCCUUGCUUAGUUAUUUGGCAGAACUUAGGCAAAGCAAAGAGGAAACAUAGAGUUCUGAACGAGGGUAAAAGCUAGAUCCUUAAUAAGUUCUUUUUACUACUUCACUCUAUGUUGUGGUGAAAGCUAGAUCCUUAAUAAGUUCCUAGCCAUUUCUUGAAGAGAUCUAUUUUUCCUCUCAACAACUCCAUUAUGUUGUGGUGUUUUUGGAGUGGAAAAAAUAUGGUGAAUACCAUUCUCUUCACAUAAUUUUUCAAAAAAUCAUUUUCAAACUCUCCUUGAUGAUCACUUCUAAUUGAAUAGAUACACAUAACUUUUUCAUUUAGAAUCUUUUUACAUAAUUUAUAGAAGGAAUCAAAAGACUCAUCCUUGUGGAUUAGGAACCUGGCCCAUGUUCAUCUAGUGUAAUCGUCCACUAUGACCAGACCAUAUCUGAGUCCAAAGAGGCAUGUAGUCCUGAUUAGUCCAAACAAGUCAAGGUGUAGAAGCUCUAAAGGCCUUGAAGUGGAAACAACAUUUUUGGCUUUAAAAUAAUCUUUUACGUGUUUUCCUUUCUAGCAAGCUUCACAAAGAGAAUCAUCUUGAUAUGAUAGCUUUGGAAGUCCUCUUACGAGGCUAUGCUUUUGAAGCAUUGAGAUUAACCUCAAGUUACCAUGACCAAGCUUCUAAUGCCAUGCCCAUUGAUGCUCUUUGAUUGAGAGUAAGCAUGACACCUUUUGACUGGACAAAUACCCAAGUUUAAUCUUAUAGAGUUUUGUUUGUCUCUUAGCAGAGAAUAAUGAAGACUUGCCCUUGUUUUGGAUGAUACACAUAUCAUUUUUAAAGGUGACAUUGUAUCCAUUGUCACAGAAUUGACUUAUGCCUAACAGAUUAUGCUUUCCCUUUAACAAGUGCAACAAUAUCAAUAGGAGGAUAAGGAGCAAUGUAGACCUUACCUACAUAAGUUAUUAGACCUUUCUGAUUCCCUCCAAAAGUGACCACCCCACCAGACAUAGGGCUUAGGGAUUGGAACAUAAACUUUUUUCUUGUCAUGUGUCAUGGGAAAACACUAUCCAGGUACUAUGACUGGUGUUUCUUUCCUAGCAUCAAGGAGGUCUACGACAAGAAUUAUUUUAUUCUUUGGUACCCAAAUAUUUUUGUCAUUUUUCCUUGUUAGCUUGUGGGUGCUAGUAGGCAAUGGAUGGACCCUUUGAUGGGUUAUGCUUUAUAGGGAGGUCCUUGCACUUAUUAGUUUCAUGGCCUACUUUUCCACAUAAGUUGCAAAUAGUGACUUCUUCGCCGUGUACAAUCUUUUUACCUUUGAAACCAUGGCAAAAUUUGUCUUUAGGGUUUCUUUGCACCUUAAUAAUUUUGUUAAGGGCUUCAUGACCACCAACAAAUUUGCCUAGUUUAUCUCUCAUGUUUUCUAUCUUCUCAUAGAGUUUUGGAUCUUAGGUGGUAGUUCCUUCAAGACCUUACAUCCCUUAAGCUUAUAGUUCAAAUUAGAAGACAUCUAUUUGUAAUGACAUUCCGUCUAGAGAUUUGAGUUCUUCUUUUUUAGCUUAUCAAGUUCAUCAUUAGCAAGGGCGAAUUCUUUUUGAAACAAGAGUUUUUGUUUAAGCAUUUCCUUGUGCCCUUCUUCUGAAACUUCAAGAUUUGUGGUUAAAGAUUUCACCCUUUCUUCAAGUCUUGAAAAUCCUUAAGAAGAGUUUUGCAACCACUGGAUACCUUAUCGUUCAGUAGUGCCUUGACUUCCUCACAAACAGAGGUAUCUUGAACAAUACCAGGCAAAGUGUUUUCCAAGACAAAAUCAACUAAAUUAACUUGAUGAACUUUCUUGAGAUCCUCAUGCUCUCUUUCAAGGUGUUGAAAGUAUUUUUUUUAAUUUUCUAUAAGCUUUAGAGAUGUGAGUAGGGGUAGAAAAAAGUUGAUUGUACCCUUUAAUUAAAUCUUCUCUAGAUUCAAAUAUUACCUCUUCACCAUCAGAGUUGAUAGUGUCAUCAGGCUGGGGAUCCUCAUAUUUUGAACUUGUGUUUAGUGUUUGUUCAACUUUACUAGUGGAUGCAUUAACCAUAAAAAACAAGUUGGCUUCUUUCUCAUUGUCCUCAUUAGAUGAUGAGUCGUCUAGGUCUUCCCAAGUGCUUAUAAGGCUUUUCUUUUUGGACUUGAGGAAUUUCUUCUUCUUAUCCUUUGAAUUUUCAAGGUCAGAACAUUUUGACUCGAAGUGCCCUGGCUUUUUGCACUCAUAGCAGAUGAUUGGACUUUUCUCUUUCUUGUGAAAGCACUUUUGGAUGAACUAUUGAAUCUAGAGCAGUUCUAGUUUUUCCCACAUGUUUUUGAUCUUUCUGGUGAUCAAACUUACCUUGCCACCUUCUUGAUCAGAGUCAUCAUUGUUAGAUUCUUCUUCUGAAGCAUCAUUGACGGUAAAAACCUUGGAUGAUGACUCUUUGGAUGCAAAAUUAUGUUUUGAUCUUUGAACCGUAAGGGCUAGCAACUUCCCUUUCUUUGUUCCUUCAUCUUGAGCAAGCUCUUGCUCAUAGACUUUAGGAAUCCCAAGGAGCUCUUCUAGAGUCAUUGAAUCAAGAUUCUUGAUACCUCUUUAUGUUGUAACCUGUGAUCUUAAUUUUCUAGAUAAACUUCAUAAGAUUUUAUCAAUGUGUUCAUAAUUAUCAUAAUGUCUACCUAGAGAGCGAAGCUCACUAAGAAGGGUUACGUUUGGAGGCGUCCAAACAUGGUUUGGAUAUCUUCUCCCCCUUUCAUACUGAAGAGUUCAUAGUUACGUGUCAGAAGACUCAACUUGUUACAUUUUACCUCAAAGGACCCUUCAUAGGUAAUGGCUAAGGUGUCCCACAUCUGUUUGGUGCUUCUGAAGUUGUGAACUUUGGAAUUUUCUUCUUGUGAUGGAGCGCACAACAAAGCGUUCCUUGCACGUAAAUUGAGAAAAAAUUUGGACUUAUCACCAUCUGUCCAUUUUUCCCUAGGGAUCUCAUUCUUCUAAACAUCUAAAGGAAUGUGAUUUCCUUUUUCUAUGACAUCCCGUAUAUCAAAGUGAGUGGAUUCAAAGAAGGUAACCAUUCUUUCCUUCUAGUAGUCAUAGUUCGCUCCCUUGAACAUGGGAGGCCUUUUCAAAGCACAUCCUUCCUCCAUCAUUUCAGGAAUUUUCUUUCCUCUACUCUGUUAAGAGCUCAACCUAGAGGCCAAGCUUUGAUACCAAUAGAAGUACCUGAAACACACUAGAAAGAAGGGGAUCAAAUAUUGUGAUGGAUAAAACUUCAUCUUUUGGAAACUUUGAAGUUUUUCUCAAACAAAUAUCAAUGGACAAUGAGGUUCAUUAAAGGGGUUUGAUAUCACUUUGACCUUUGAAAACAAGUUUGCAAAACUUGACACAAUAGUGUAAAAGUAAACUAUAGAAAGAACUAGUUAUAUAAAAGUAUUAAAGAAAACACCGAGGUUUUAUACCAGUUCACCCAACUCUUGGGCUAUGUCUAGUUCUCCUUCAAAUCUUGAAGGGUUCCACUAAUCAAUUCUUUGAUUACAAUCAAGUAUUCUCUAUGCCACUUCUUGCUACAACGAGUACUCUCUAGGCCACUCCUGAUGCUACCCUUAAUCUUCCCUUGAGAUUAAGACCCAAGUAUUCUUUAUCACUAAGUCAUUCAUGGCUUUCACAAACAAUAAAUGUUCGAAAGAAAGUGUGUUCUUAUUACUUAAAGCGUGUUUACACAAUAACAUCAAAUACAAUAAAACUUGAUAACUUAGCAGAGCUAAGAUUCACUCAAAUUGCUCAAGUUUUCUUCAUUCAAGAAAACUGAUAGUGUUACAACACUUCGUUCAUUUUGACUCACAUUAUUCUCUUAUUAUUUGACAACCUUAACACAAAUAUCUUCAAGCUUUAUAUAGAUAUUAACCAUUUGGCAAGUGUGCUAAUUGUCCAAGUAGUAAAGACUCGGAAGUCCGAGUGUCGAUUUCCAUAGAAACUUUAUUUUGUACUUGCAUUGGAUAAUUUCCUAUUUAUAAGAGGAAAAGAUAAGUUGGAGUGAAAGAUGAGUGAAAAGAAAAAUUACUAGAUAAUAGAUAUUAGUAGACAAAGGAAAUAAUAGAAGACAAAAGAAUUAAUAGGGAAUUCAAUGAGAUGAGAAUGUUAAGACCUUACAUGUCUUAUUUUUGUUGGAUCAAGUGGCCUCGAAAUAAUUAAGAAGAGGGGGUUGAAUUAAUUAUUACUAGACCUUUACUAAUUAAAAUUUACCCUUCUUAGGCUUUUACUAUGUUGUUAAGAAAGUAAAGAACAGAAAUAUAAACUUAACCAAAAGUAAAAGCGGUAAUUAAAGUGCACAGCGGAAAUUAAAAGAGUAGGGAAGAAGAAGACAAACACACAAGAGUUUUAUACUGGUUCGGUAACAACCCGUGCCUACAUCCAGUCCCCAAGCAACCUGCGAUCCUUGAGAUUUCUUUUCAACCUUGUAAAUUCCUUUACAAGCAAAGAUCCACAAGGGAUGUACCAUCCCUUGUUCUCUUUGAACAACCUAAUGGAUGUACCCUCCACUAGAACUGAUCCACAAGAGAUGUACCCUCUCUUGUUCUCAGUCACAACAACCCAAGUAGAUGUAACCUCUACUUGUACCACAAAGGAUGUACCCUCCAAUGUGUUAAGACAAAGUUCUCAGGCAGUUAGUCCUUUGAAACUUUGUGAAUGGGGAAACAAAAGAAUUCUCAGGCGGUUAGUCCUUUGAAAUCUUUUGUUUAUGGGAAAGGGAAGAAUCAAAAGAAUUCUUAGACUGUGUCGUUUUGAAUUCUUUGACAAGGGAGAAGGGAGACACAAAAGAAUUCAGGCGGUUAGCCCUUCGUUCUUUUGGAAAAGGGAGAAGAGAGACAAAAAGAAUUCAGGCGGUUAGUCCUUGGCGAAUUCUUUUUGGCAAAGGGAGAAGGGAGACACAAAAGAAUUCAGGCGGUUAGUCCUUCGUUCUUUUGGAAAAGGGAGAAGAGAGACACAAAAAGAAUUCAGGCAAUUAGUCCUUGUUGAAUUAUUUUUGGCAAAGGGAGAAGAGAAUGAAAAAGAUGAAUAACACAAGUUUUUGAACAAAGAACUUUUCUUGGAAGAGAAAGUUUUGAACAAAAACUUUUAGAAAGAUGAAGAGAAAAAGAAUUAGAAAAAUUCUGUAGAAAGAAAUGAAAGAAGAUGUUGAAAGAUAGAUUGAAAGAUAGAAUGAUUGAAAAAUAUGAUGGAUCUAUAUCAAAUUCAUGCCAUGGUCACAUAUUUAUAAUCUUUUGAUGACUCAAGUCAAAGUUUGUGACUUUUGGCAAUUUCUUUUAAAACUAGUCACUUAGAAAAGUGGCAACUUUUGAAAGAAUCUUCAGAAACAAGUCACUUGAAGAAUUGUGACUUUUGGAAAUGAAUUUUUCGAAAACAGUCACUGGUAAUCAAUUACCAUAAAGGUGUAAUCGAUUACACAUCAACAGAUGUGACUCUUCAUUUUGAAUUUUGAAAAUCUUAACAUUUUAAAACACUGGUAAUCGAUUACAUGAUUAUGGUAAUCGAUUACAACUUUGUAAAUUAGUUUGAAAACAAUGCUGGCUACUGGUAAUCUAUUACUACCUUAUGGUAAUCGAUUACCAGAGAGUAAAACUCUUUGGUAAAAUAUUUUGUGAAAACUUCAUGUGCUACUCAAUGUUUUGAAAAACUUUUUAGUACUUAUCUUGAUUGAGUCUUCUCUUGAUUCUUGAAUCUUGAGUCUUGAAUUUUGAUCUUGCUUAUUCUUGAUUCUUGAUUCUUGAAACUUGAUCUUGAAACUUGAAACUUGAUUCUUGAAUCUUUGCUUGAAACUUUGCUUAACUCUUGAUUCUUUGGCAUCAUCAAAAUAACCUUGGAAAACAUUGCUUCCACAAUUUUCCCAAGAUGUAUUAUUUUUUAUUUUUCCUUAUCAACCAGAUGAAUUUGUGCUACCCACGUCUAUUAGAUUACUUGCCCCUGAUGUCUCACGAUGACAAACAUAUUUUACCUAUCUAUCUCCCAAAUGUUUUUUCAAAGAUUCAAUAGAUAAAAUGCAUGAAGUUUUAAUUCUAGAUGCUUGCUUUGAUGCAUCGGCAUAAUGCAAUGGCUAUAUGUCUAGCAAUGAUUUUAUUAACAUACCCAUUUCUUUUAGUUCUAUUAGAAAUUAUCCUCUAUCAAGCGACUAAUUCUUAAAACUGACACAUGCAAAACCUUCCUUGUAUUCCUAUUAAGGAUUACCCUUUGUCAAGCACCUAACCCCCAAAAUAAUGCAAGGCUGAAUGAUGCAUGAAAUCAAAAGUAAGAAAGGAUAAUAGGAAAGAAAACAUUUGUUACAUUGAUAAAUAUGAAGUAUACAAUACAUCUCUUGGCUCUUUAGGCUUGGCAAGCCCUAACUAAAGGUUUAGCCUCUCAUAGCCAUAAGGGGUCUUACAUUAGAAAAUGGGUAUAGGAACUGAUGGAGGAGAAGGGAGCAACCUGUGGGAUGAAGGCCUCUGGGAUCAUCAGUGGUUGAUUCAUCCCCCAAUAUUUUUUCUUACUUUACAAAUGAAAAAUAGAACAAAGCAAAAAUACUGGGUUGCCUCCAAGUAUGUGCUUAAUUUAUCGUCUUUAGCUAGACGUUGUCUUUUCUUUUAUGGAUUGUUCAAGUAGACAACACUUGUUAACCUUUCUAAGUGGCCUCCAUUGUAAAUUUUUAAGUGUUGUCCAUUAACAAUCCAUGUUUUCUCAGGGGUGCCCACUGUAGGGUCCACCAAUUCCACAGCUCCAUGGGGUCUGACUUCUUUGAUCACGAUUGGCCCUGACCACUUUGACUUUAGCUUUCUUGGGAAUAACCUAAGUCUAGAAUUGAAGAGCAAGACUUGUUGGUCUGGCUGAAAGUUUUGUCUCUGUAGCUUCUUGUCAUGAUACACCUUUAUCUUCUGUUUAUGAAUCUUAGAUAAUUCAUAUAUGUUUAUCCUUAUUUCUUCUAACUCUAACAAUUGUAACUUCCUCUUCUCUCCAGAUGCAACUUCAUCAAAGUUAAGCAGUUUGAGGGUUCAAUAGGCUUUGUGCUCCAAUUCCACCAGUAGGUGGCCUGCUUUCCCAAAGACCAGCUGAAAUGGUGAUAGGCCUAUAAGAGUAUUUAAUGUAGCCCUGUAAGCUAGAGAGCACCAUCUAGCUUUAAAGCCCAAUCCUUUCUUGAUGAUGCAACAGUCUUCUCAAGGAUUUGCUUUAGCUCUCUAUUUGACAAAUUUGCUUGGCCAAUUGUCUGGGGAUGAUAAGGUGUGGCCACCUUAUGUCUAACAUUGUAAUGCUCUAGAACCUUCUUCAGUUGCACAUUGUAGAAGUGUGUUCCCCCAUCACUGAUUUGGGCUCGUGGUACCCCAAAAAGGGAAAAUAUGUUUUUCUUUAAGAAUUUUAUCACUACUCUGGGAUCAUUCUUAGGGGUGUCUAUGGCUUCCACCCACUUGGACACGCAAGCAACAACUACCAGGUUAUAAACAUUCCUGUAUGAAGAUAGGAGAGGCCCCACAAACAUCAACCCCCCAUCAAUCAAAGAUUUCUACCUCCUAGAAAUCCCCCCUAUUCUCUGGUAUUUGUCACAACGAUGCACAUAGUCAUGAGGGUCUGUAAAAAUUGAGGGCCGAAAGAAUCCUACUGGUAGAACCUUUGUUGUUGUCCUAUCUCCUUCGUGGUGAUCGCCAUAUGGUGAACUAUGACAGUGCCAAAGGAUGCUCUAUGCUUCCUCCAUCGUAACACACCUCCUCGGCAGAUUGUCUGCUCCUAGCUUGAAUAGAUGUAGAUUAUCCCACACAUAGAAGUAGGCAUCAUGUAGAAAUUUCUUCCGCUGGCUCCAGUUAAGCUCAUCGGGGAUGAUUCCUAUGGCUUUAUAGUUAUCCAGAUCAGCAAACUAAGGUCUUGCAGUGGCUUGUAUGAGGAACUCAUUUGGAAAUUCUUCCUUUAUCUCUGGUUCUUCUUUGGUUACUUCUUCAUUAUUUAACUGGGAGAGGUGGUCAACCACCACAUUCUCGGAUCCUUUCUUGUCCUUGAUGACUAUAUCAAACUCUUGAAUGAGCAGGACCCAUCGAAUCAAUCUUGGUUUUGAAUCUAUUUUUGUGAAAAGGUGCUUGAUGGCGGCAUGAUCAAUGAAAAUCACUACCUUUAACCCCAUCAAGUAUGGUCUGAAUUUUUCUAAGGAAAAGACAAUAGCUAGCAUUUACUUCUCUGUAGUGGCAUAAUUCAUUUGUGCUUCAUUGAGAACUUUGCUAGCAUAAUAAAUGGAAUGGAAUGUCUUGUCCUGCCUUUGUCUUAGGACAACACCUACUGCAUAAUCACUAGUGUCGCACAUUAAUUCAAACUUUUUAUGCUAGUCAGGUGCGAUCAUCACCGGGGUGGUCAUGAGCUUGUCUUUCAGGGUCUGGAAGGUUGCUAAACAAUCUUCAUCAAAUUUGAACACAACAUCUUUGUUCAGCAGAUCGCUCAACGAUCUUGCAAUUUUGGAGAAAUCUUUGAUAAAUCUCCUGUAAAACCCAGCAUGUCCUUAGAAGCUCCUAAUGCCUUUAACAUUCGAUGGUGGUGGCAACUUCUCAAUGGCAUCAAUUUUUGCCCAGUUUAUCUCAAUCGCUAGGGCCUAAAUUUUGUGGCCCAAGAAAAUUCCUUCUUGAACCAUAAAGUGGCACUCAUCCCAAUUUAGAACUAGGUUUGUCUCCACAAAUCUUAGUAGCACCAUCUCCAAGUUCUUCAAGCAUCAUUCAAAUGAGGGCCCAAAUACCAAGACAUCGUCCAUGAAUACCUUGAUACUUUUCUCUACCAUAUCUGCAAAAAUGGCCAACAUGCACCUCUAAAAUGCGGCAGAUGCAUUACAUAACCCAAAUGGCAUCUUCUAUAGGCAAAGAAACAAAAAAGGCAUGUGAAGGUCAUCUUCUCCUAAUCCUUGGGGUCCAUCACAAUCUAAUUGUAUCCAGAGUAUUCAUUCAAGAAGCAAUAAUAAGCCUAUCCUGGAAGCUUCUCCAACAUCUGGUCCAUGAAAGGCAAAGGAAAAUGGUCUUUCCUUGUGGCUUCGCUGAGCUUGUGGUAAUCGAUGCACAUUCUCCAGCCACUAACAGUCCUUGUUGGGAUUAGGUCAUUCCUUUCAUUUCGAAUGACUGUCAUGCCCCCCUUCUUUUGUACCACUUGGAUUAGGCUUACCCAAGCACUGUCGCAAAUGGGAUACAUAAGUCCAGCUUCUAAAAGCUUGAGCACCUCUUCCUUUAUUGAUGGGUUGAGCCUUCUCUAGGGUUUUCUGACUGGUCUAUAUUCUUCCUCCAUCAUAUCUUAUGCAUGCAAUAGGAAGGGCUGAUUCCUUUAAGAUCUGAUAUGUGCCACCCAAUUGCCUUCUUGCAUCUCUUGAGGACCUCUACCAACCUAUUUUCUUCUUUUACUGUGAGCUCACUGCUGAUCACCACAGGCUUUGUCUUGUUCUCCUCCAAGAACACAUACUUCAGGUGGCUGGGUAGGAUCUUUAGCUCCACCUUGGUCUUCUCAGGUGGACUCUUGCUUUUCAAUUCUCCAAAUUGGUUCCUCUUGCCGGCAUAUUUUUUUCUUGAUCUAAGUCUUCCAAGCAAGCCCUUAGAUCCUUCUCUUCUUCACUGGUUAAACAAUCCACAACAUUGAUCAAAGCUUUCUCUAAUGAAGUUUGUGUGGUUUGAAUAACACCAAUGUCUUCUUUAUCGACCUCCUUCACCUUGAAGCACCACCUAUCUUCCACUGGGUAUUUAAUUGCUUCGAAAAUGUUAAAGGUUACCUUUUGGUAAUCAACGCUCAUUUCCAGAUUACCAUUCCUCAUAUCUACUACACCAUUAGCGGUUAGCAUGAAGGAUCUGCCUAGGAUAAGCGGAAUCUCCAUAUCUUUUUCUAUGUCCAUGAUGACAAAAUCCACCAGGAAAGUAAAGUGAGCUAGAGCAUCUUUUACAACCCCGUAUAGUUUGAUGAUUGAUCGAUCUGUGAGCUAGAGCAUCAUCUUGGUAGGGUUUAUCUUUAGGUUUCCAAUUCUUCUACACAUUGACAAAGGCAUCAAGUUAAUACUUGCCCCUAAGUCAAUGAGGGUCUUCCCUACUAACUCAUUCCCUAUAGUGUAAGCACUACUAAAAAAUAGGAUUUCAACAUCGGUUAUUAAGGACUUUUAACAUCGGUAAUUAAUCGAUGUUGAAAGUACUAACGUUGAAAGUAAUAUUGUUAUCAUUAGUUUUCCAAAACCAAUGUUAACAUAAAAUUACAAAAUCGGUUAUUUAAAAAACAGAUGUUGUCUGCAUAUAAUAACAUCAGUUUUUCCAAAAACCAAUGUUGUUGGUAACAAAAUAACAUCGGAUUUUACUGAAAAUCGAUGUUGUUUUCUAAUAAUAGACAUCGGUUUUUGGUAAGAACCAAUGUUGUUUUAUUACCAACAACAUCAGUUUUUAACUUUGCAAUUGUUAUUCUGUCCAACAAAAUCUUGGAACUUUUUACUUACAAACAAUUUACUUGUUACUAAUAUAAUCCAACACACAUUUUUCUUUAGAUCUACUUUUUCACUCCGAUAGUAUCAGAAAUCGAAUCAAUGCAUAGGAAAUGAAUGUUUUGUCAUACUAUUAAGUUUACUAAAAUACAUAUGAUAUAAUUCAGACUAUACUACAUUACUUAUUUUACUGGAUCUUACGGAGCCUGUUCAUAUAGAAUAUAAUCGAGUCUGAUCAUAGAAAAGUUUCUUUUCAAGUAAAACUGAUGUUGUUGAUGAAGCUUAACAUCGGUUUUUAAAAAAACUGAUGUUAAUAUAUACAUACAACAUCGAUUUUUACAAAAAAAAUGAUGAUAUUUUUUACGAUUUUUUUAAUAUGUUGUCUAUUUUUUUAAUAACCCCAAAUUAACCUACAAAAUUAAAAGAAUAACUACAACAUAUAAUUUUCAUUUUGUUUUGAAACAAUUUUUACUAGAAAAUUCCAUAAAAAAAUUUAUUAUUUACUAUGAAUUAAAAGAAUGUUUAAUGUUAAGGAGACAUGAAUUGUAAAAAAUGUAAAGUAACUAAACUAAAAUUCCAAAAUUGCCGAAACACUAAUAGUUUCAUUUUUAACUUUCAAAUAAUAGGUUGUCCACCGGAUGCGAAGCGCCUUCAAUCUCUAAACUUCUAAUGGUCUUGUAUCAUUGAAAUACUGCAUGAUAUAAUAAAACAUAAGUCAAUAAUAUAUAAUACCAAUUAUACCAAAAUGAAAUAUGUUUGAAUAAAACAAUUACCGUUUCCCAAUUAUUCUUGAAACUUUCUAAGAUUAUAGUUGACAUCCAUUGCAUGACAUAAUACUCACACUCAGUGCUUCCUUUUUGUCUAUUACACUAAAUACAUUCUUAAGUACAAAUUAGUCUACACAAUAUUAAAAUAUAACUAGAAGCAUUGUUUAAAUGGCUUACUUUAACAACAAUCCACUUAGCAGCAACCUUGGAUUUACUUUAUGGAGUAUCAUCAAGUCCUUUCAAAGCAUUAUUCAAUACCAGUAAGACUCUGGCUGAAGCUUUUAUGUGUCAAAUAGUUAAGUUACACGGUGUUCCCAAGUCCAUUGUCUCGGAUAGAGAUAAGGUGUUGACCAAUAAUUUUUGGCAACACCUAUUCAAAAUACAAGGGACUACUUUAGCUAUGAGCUUGACUUACUACCCUUAAAUGGAUGGAUAAUCGAAGGCUCUUAAUAAGUGCUUGGAAAUGUAUUUGUGGUGUUUUUCUUUUGACAAUCCAAAGGCUUGGGCUAAGUUGUUGGUAUGGACAAAAUUAUGGUACAAUACCUCUUUCCACAAUAGUUUAGGCAUGACACUUUUUUAGGCUUUGUAUGGAAGGGAACCUCCAGCUUUACUUAGAUACAAUGGCAGCUCUCCAGAUCCGUUAGCAGUGCGAGAAGUGUUACAUGACAGACAAAUGCUAUUGGACAAAGGCUUGAUAGAAAGUUCAGGCGGAUAAGAAGAGGCUUGAUAGAAAGUUCCAAGUGGGAGAUGAAGUGUUAGUAAAACUCCAACCAUAUAGACAACAUUCUGUAGCCCUAAGGCGGAAUAAAAAAUUGUCCAUGCGUUAUUUUGGUCCAUUCACGGUGCUUGAGAAAAUUAGCGAAGUGGCUUAUAAAUUGCAGUUGCUUGACACUGCAAAGAUUCAUCCUAUUUUCCAUGUUUCUCAACUCACUUCCAAGGAGCUGCUACUAAGCCUUAUGUGCCACUACCGCUUACCACAUUUGAAUUAGGCCCUUAUUAGGCCCUACAACAAUGCUUGAAACUCAAACCAUUGUUAAAGGAUCCACUUUAAUUCCUUAAGUACUCAUUCAAUAGGAAGGUUGUAGCAUGACAGAGACAACUUGGGAGGAUGUUGUAGAAAUUCAAGUCAGUUAUCCAUAAUUCAACCUUGAGGACAAGGUUCCUUUUAAAGGGGAAGGCAAUGUAAUGAACCUGCUAGGUAAUGGAAGGGUUGAGUCAACAAAAGACAGAGAAAAAGAGAAGUUAUUUAUAAAUGGUCCAAGAAUGCGCUUGGCCAAUGGCAGGCUAAGGGAUUUUGUAUGAAAAGUUGGUUAUUAAAAGGGAAGGGUAAUCAUUGUGAGAGGGAGGAUGGGUAAAUUGUGAUUUUCUCUCUCUUCCUUUAAAUAUUCCCUCUAUUUUUUCCAUAUUUGUCUUUUGCUAUUGUACUAGUCCUCUCAACUACAUUGGUUGAGAGAAGAAUUUGCAUUUGCCACAACAAUAACACAGUACAAUUUUAAUUCCUUUUCCCUUUGUCGCAUUACAAACCUUUCAACUUGCUAAGUAAAUCAGACAAUAUCAAUUCACCAAAAUAAAAGACACUUGCUAAUUAAUCUUCGUGUGUUGUUUCUUGACUUACACCAUGAAAGGGAUUUAUUUGGAUUAAUUUUAUUUGGGGACAUAUAAUCACUUUGAAGAAUUAAUUUGAAUCAAGCAUUCUAAAAAUGUUAAAGAAAUUGACCAAUGCUUUGUUAAAGAUAAAAUUUAGUGGUUCUUAUGCAAUUUUGUGAUUGAAUGUGACAAACCAAUUAUACCUAAUAAACAAAAUUGAUAGUUCAUUUUGACAAAAAAAAUAUUCUUUUUUAUAUUAAUUCCUAAUAAAAGAAAUUUAAUUUAAAGUAAAUAUCUAUAAAGAAAAUAAUAUUUUUAAUUUUUUUUAGAAAAAACAUUAUAAGGCAGUUCUCCAAAAAUUUACUUUCUCAGACGAUUUAAGAAAAAUUGUCUUAGAAUCCUCAAUUUAUUUAAUUUUUUUAAAAGACAUUCUAACAUGAUUCCCUAAAAAAUCGUCUUCGAAAUUUUUUGGAAAAUCGUGUUAGAAUCCUAAAAUUUUUUAUUUUUUUAUUCUAACAAAAAAUCUUAACAUUGCUUUAUGAGAACCAGUGUUAACAACUUCCAUUUAUUUACAAAUUAAAAUGCAGCCAAAUAUUUGUUACCACCGAUUUUCAUUUAAAUUGAUGUUAACUGGACGAUGUAGUAUGCAAAUUUUCUGGUAGUGACUUGACAUUAAAUCAACAUUUUUAAAUGGCUUCUUGCAAGAAGAAAUUUAUGUAGAACAACCCUAAGGUUUUGUAAAGAAAGGAGAAGAAGAUAAGAUUUAUCAUCUCAAGAAAGAUCUUUGUGGAUUGAAACAAGCUCCAAGAGCUUGGUACAGUGGAAUAGAAGAGCAUUUGUUGAACUUAAGGUAUAAGCUUGUCAGAGUCAACAUUAUAUGUCAAAAUAGAUGGAGCUGGUUUUCUUAUCAUCUCACUCUAUGUGGAUGAUCUUCUUGUGACAAGAAGCAACUCAAGUCUUGUAGAGAAGUUCAAGGAAGAGAUGAUGGAGGUGUUUGGGAUGACAGAUCUUGGUUUAUAGACAUUCUUUCUUGGAAUGGAAAUUAAACAAGGAGAACAUGAAGUCUUCAUUUGUCAAAAAAAGUAGGCCAAGGAGAUUUUGAUGAAGUUUAAACUUAAAGAAUGAAAAGAAAUGAGUACUCCUAUGAAUCAAAAGGAGAAGCCGUGUAAGGAAAAUGAAACCCAGAAGAUAGAACAGGCGGAUUUUAUAUAAAGACAUGAUUGGUUGUUUGAUGUAUCUUACAACAACUCGUCCUGAUAUUCUAAAUUAUAUAAGCAUUUUGUCUCAGUUUAUGCAUUAUGCAAGUGAAAUGCAUCUCAAAGCUGCAAAAAAAAAAGUAUUAUCGUCAAAGACACUUGCAAUUUUGGCAUUCAGUACAAGAGAACUGAAGAAUUCAAGCUAACAGGCUUCUCAGACAGGGAUUGAGGUGAUUUGAUUGAUGACAUGAAGAGUACUUCAAGAUACUAUUUUAACUUUGGAUCAAGAGUUUUCUCAUGGAGCUCGAAAAAACUAGAGAUUGUUGUUCAAUCUACAACAGAAGUCAAAUUUAAUUUGUUGUUGUUGCAGCUGCUAUUAACCAAGCUUUGUGGUUGGAAAAAAAACUUGACUUAAAUAUUUUUUUGAUCCCCAAUAAAUAUCUAAUUUUGCAUUUGCUCCCUAAUAAAUAUCUAAUUUUGCAUUGCUCGCUAAUAAAUUUUUAUUUUGCGAUGAAUCUCUAAUAAAAACAACAAUUUUGAUUUUGGUCCUUGACACCUAUUUUUAGUCCCAAAUAAAUUAACAAAUUUUGUGUUUGCUCCAAGAUAAAUAUUUCCCGUUUGUUAUUAAUACAAACCAAACGAAAUUUGUUAAUUUAUUAGGAAACAAAUACAAAAUUUUCUAAUUUAUGAGUGACUGAAACAAAAUAUUAAGAAUAAAAAAUAAAAGUGGUAUUUUAUUAUGGACCCAUUGCAAAAAAAAAAAUGAAAACAAAUGUAAAAAUUGAUUAUUUAUUAGGAAUCAAAAACAUAUUUAAGCACAUACAUUUUUGUUGACAACAAAGCUGCAAUAGUUAUCUCUCAUAAUCUUGUCUCGUUGGAAAACUAAGCAUUUUAAUAUUAAGUUGUUUUUCCUUGAGGUAAGUACAAAGAGAUAAACUUGUUGGUCUUGUGUAUUGCAAAACAGGAAAUCAAGUUACAGAUUUGUCCACCAAGCCACUAGCUGUGAGCAAGUUCGUGUUUUUAAAACAGAAAUUAGGACUCUAUAGAUCUAAAGCAAGGAGUGUUAAGAAAACUGUUAUUCCUUGACAUCCUUAUCUUUUAUGGUUUUAGUCAUUGAAUAAGUCUUCUUAGUAAAGUAGUGAUUCAUAUAUACUGUAGGAGUGUUGUUCCUAAACUUUAGGAAAAAGUAUUUCCUUUUUUCUUAAAAGAAUGCAUUUGUAUGGUCCCUUUAUUCCGUCCAAUUUUGAAGGAAAAAUAGGAUAAAAGAUUUAUAUAAAAAUAUCUUUAUUUAUAGUAUAUUUCUAUCUUAAGUAUUUGUGUAUAUAUAUAUAUAAUAUGAAAGAAAAAAAAAAUUAUUUUAUUUUCUUUCAAACAAUUUCAUAAGUAUCUAUUUAUAGUUGGUUUAAGUAAAAUUAAACUCAUAUCUCUUGAUAGAUAUGAGCAAGAUUUUAGGUUCAAGUCUUAUAAAUAAAUAAAGAAAAUGUUGUUAGGAAGGGAGACUCAUUAAAGAUGAUUACAAUCAUUAGUAAAGUCAAUGAAUACUUCAUAAAUGUAACAUGAUAAAAACCCAUCAAAUCAAGUCAUUUUUUAGCUUUGUUUUUUUCUCUUUCUCCUUCUUUUCUUUCAAUUUCUUUCUGGAGUAAAUUAUGAUCUUAGUCCUAAAUUUUUUUACUUUUAUGGUUUUGGUUCUUUAACUUUUCAAAGAUUGGUCUUCGAUCACAAAUUUUUUUUUCAUCCAAGGUUUUCGUCCUUUUUAUUCAUUUUCGUUUAGUGAUGACAUGAUGAUGUUUUUAUUAUUAUUAUUAUUUUAUUUUAUCACAUUUUCUAGUGGUUUUUAAACUGUCAGGUGUAUUUUAAAAAAUGUGGUAAUUUUAGCCCCGCAAAUUGCUUAAUCUUGAACAACCUAGAACCGGAACAAUCAAAUUUCAUCCAAAUUAACCACUUCACAAAUUUUGGGGAACCCACUGAUGUUGUUCUCAUAGAGCGAGCAACUUCAACAUUCAAAUUUUGGGGCAACCCAACCAUUCUCUGAGAAGAACGACUAUUCUUGGAUAUCUGACACUUUCUAUUUUGAGGAGAAUGUAUUCAUGGAUGUGCUAGAAUGAACACGGUCGUUCUUCAAAACAGCAUGGUUGUGCUGUUCAUCAAAUUACUCUUUUUUCAAUCUUUUUUUGUAUUUUUUCCACAUUUUUCUGCCUUUGAACCUGCUGUUAAAUACUUUAUAAAAAUUCAUGAGUUUUACCAACAUAUUAUGAUCAAAAUAUGUCAAAACAUAACAAAAACUGAUGCCCAAAACAUAACUUUGGUUUAUCACAAGUUCUCGUUAUUAGUUAUUUAUUUGAAAUAUCAACAUUGUGUUAAUAAAUUAAAAAAUAAAACCGUGAAACCAAACCAAAUCAAAUCAAACCGCAACAAAUUGAUUUAGUUUGGUUCAGAUUUGAUGUUGUCUUGAGAAUGAAUGAAACCAUAAUCCAAGAAAACAAGUGGUCUCACAUAUAUUAUAUUGAUGCUUGUGUUAAUAAAAAUUUGGCGCAAUGAGGAUGUCGAUAUUGAUAGGAAGCCUUUGAGAUUUUUUAGUGUUUUUAUUCAAUAUUUUGUGAGCAAAAGUUGUGGUAUAUUUUCCUUUUUUUAUCCAUAGGAAUCAAAGACUUUACUUUCAAGAUUUCUAAUGUUUUUAUUAAAUAUUUUAUCAGAAAAUUUGCAACAAUUCAUAUAUUUUACUCAAUUAAUUGAGUUAAAUUUUCUUGAUUUUCUCCCCCUUUCAUUUUUUGGUGCUAGAGCAAAUUGUAAAUUGGCAAUCUAGCUCAUAUGUAACUGUGAUUAAAUAAUAUCAGUUAUAUUUGCCAUUUUUAGUGUUGUACCAAUAAAAAGUUAAAAUCAAUCUUUAUAAAACUAUAAUAGAUCAUUACGUAAAAGAAUACUACUUUUGUCCCUAUUUAUACGACAUAAUCAGUAAGUUUUUUUCCUUAUUAUAUAAGACUUCAUUUCAUCUCUGGUGUACAUUAACUAUUUUUUUAUUAAAAUAUACUUAAUUAUAUUUUUCUCUCUCCUAUGAUGAUUAUAGAAGAUGAAUAGAUUUCCGAUAAAAUUAAAGAUAAAUCUAAAAAAGUAUUAUAAAUUUAAUGUCAACAACUAAAUAAACUAACUUUUUUAAUAAAUAUAAAUUAAUCAAUUAUAUCUUAUAAUUAAAGACAGAUAAAAUAAUUAGUCAUGAUUAACUUGAUUCAAUUAUCACAUUUUCUCUAACACAUCUUUCUUAUCUGUAUUUAUUGAUGACAAUAUAUUCUAUACCAACAUUAGUGUUUACAAAAAAAAAAAAUUGUGUAACGUCUAUGUUGAGACUUUAGAGGAAGACUUUGAGCUUUUCAACAUCUUCCUUAAAUAUUCUUUUGAGCAAGUUGUGAUUUUUGUUGCCUUUAUUUGUGUCCUAGCUACUACAAGUUGUAAGUUUGUGAUCCAGCUAGUAUGUAAAUGUGAUGAUUAAAUAAUGUUAUCGUUUAUUAUAUUUGUCAGUUUUAGUUGAACCAAUAGAAAAUUAAAAAACCAAAAAUUUAUCUUUAUACAAUUACAACUUGUAGUAGCUAAAUCACGACUAUAAAUAGAUUGUUAUUUUACUUAUCUUUAAUUUUAAUGAUUUAUUGUGUCCUAGCUACUACAAGUUGUAAGUUUGUGAUCCAGCUAGUAUGUAAAUGUGAUGAUUAAAUAAUGUUAUCGUUUAUUAUAUUUGUCAAUUUUAGUUGAACCAAUAGAAAAUUAAAAAACCAAAAAUUUAUCUUCAUACAAUUAUAAUAAAUCAUUAAAAUUAAAGAUAAGUAAAAUAACAAUCUAUUUAUAGUCGUGAUUUACUUGCCUCCAUUAUCACAUUUUAUCUAAUACAUCUUCCUUGUCAAUAUCAAAUUGAUGACAUCAUAUUUUAUACCCACGCUAGAGUGUACAAAAAUUUAGUGUAACAUCUUUCUUAAAUAUUCUUUUGAGCAAGUUGUGAUUUAUUUUACCUUUAUUUUUGUCCUACUACAACAAGUUGUGAAUUUGUCAUCUACAUAAUCGGUAAAUGUGAUUAAAUAAUGUUAAUUGUAUUUUUCAGUUUUAGUUUUAUCAAUAAAAAAUUAAGAAACUAAAAUUAAUCUUUAUACAACUAUAGUAAAAAAAAAAACCUAGCAUACCCUAAUGUUGGGAGAUUCAAUCCUCACUUAGUGGAGGUACGAGGAAGAAUAAUUAUAUGCGGUCUUACUUUGCAUAUGAAAAAUCUGUUUUCGGAUGCGAACCUAUGAACAACCAAUAACCAAGGCAAAACUAUACAACUAUAUAUAAUAAAUCAUUAAAAUUAAAUAUAAGUAAAAUAAUAAUUUUAUAUGUAAUCAUGAUUAACUUGUCUGGGUUAUCACAUAUUCUCUAAUAGUUAUUUCUUAUCAAUAUCAUAUUCAUGACAUCACAUUUUAUAUCCACUUUAGUGUGUACAAAAAAUUAGUGCAAUGUUGAGACUUGAGAGGAAGACUUCAUCAUCUUUCUUAGAUAUUCUUUUGAGUAAAUUGUGAUUUUUUUCCCUUUAUUUUUUUCCUACUACAACCAAUUAUGAAUUUGUGAUCUAGAUAAUGUGUAAUUGUUAUUAAACAACGUUAAUUUGUUUGUUAGUGUUGGUUGUAGGGUGUGCUUGAUAACAACAAAAUACAAAUAACAUACAAAUUAUCAAAAUACCCUUUUUACUAAGGUGUAUCAAACACCUUUCCAUAGCUUCUUCCCGGACGGGAGUACUUCAUUUUCUUUCUUUUCUUCACCUCUUCACCCAUGUUCUUCCUCCUUUUUUUUACAGGCAAAGAAAAAGCAUUAUAAUAUGAUUAAAUAUUCCGGUUUUAGACUUUUAAGUUUUUAUCUUUGUUUCCUCUUUUAAUGUUUUUGGCAUGAGCCAUCAACAUUGAAACAACCAUGCCUCAAGAUACUACUAUAUAUGACCACUGCAAUACCUAUUUUCUAGUCAUGUUUCUAUGAAACUACAAUAAAAAUAAUUAAGAAGAAUACAAUCUAAAGCCAACUAACGAAAAUAAAAGAUCAAACUAACAAAUUCAUGAAAAUACCAAUUAACGAUUAUAUGCAAGUGAACUUGUGGAUGUACGUGAACAAUUAUUAUGUGCAUUUGUACAAAUGCAUCCAAUAAACAACGGAAAUUUCAGGAGGAACAAAAAUCAAACUUCCCAAAUCCUAAAAUUUUAAUUAAAUUUAAUCUCUUUGCUACAGAAACCAACAUGGCCAAACGCAUCUUCUAUUUUGCUCGCUUUUUCCAAUUUCCAAACCAGUAAUGGUUCUCACUUAUCAUGAUUCAUGAACUCCUUUUUUUUGUCAAUCAAAUUUCUCAAAAUCCAUUUCCUGAUAAUGCCAUGGGUAGAUUUCUUUUUUAUUUUAAUUUUCUUACUACUUUUUUAAAGAACACCAUUAUGGAAUUGAUUGCUUGGGAACAUGAGAAAUGAGAACCGCAACAAAGCCAGAAGUGGGAGAAGAAGAGGUGGAACGUGUGAAAGAUAAAGGGGAGGGAAAAAGGUAUAUAAUUUAAACUUUUCCAUUUGUUAGCCAUGGUACAAAAAGUAAGUUGUCCCCUGAUUCAGUGAGUUACAAAUUUUGAGUUUUGUCCGGUCUUGUUUUCCUCAUCUUAUGUUGUCUACUAAUUAUUAUUUGAAACAAACAUUGAAAAAUGCUUUUUUAUUGUCCAGUCCGCUAAAAUUUAACAAAAUCAAACGCUUCGUAUUGAUAAAAGUUAAUGAAAAAAUGCUUUCUAAUUAUGUCUUGCAGGUAUAAUUUCAUUUUGCUUUAUUUUUUAUUGUUCGUAUACUUCCGUAAACUACCCUUUUUCCUUAAUAAUUAAUAUGCAUAUGAGCUUUGCAACUUGCAACUCAUAAAUGUUUAUAGAUGCUUUAAAAGAAAAGACAAAUCUCUGUAAAUGUGUCUGAGUAAAGAAACAAUUUGAGCAACUGUGAGAAGGAAUAAAAUGCUAACCUACAUAGAAGAAGUGGUCUUUUAUUUUUUGUCAGUCAUGGAGGAAGAUGUAAAAUGGCCACUAAUUUAUAAUUGAAUUCUUUACGCUACGUUUUUUUUUAUUUAUUUUGUCCCAGCUUGUUUUUCUCUUCCGUUGUUGGGCUAAUUCAGCAACUGUCUUCAUUCGUUAGUCGUUUUGCAUGUUUUUUUAACAUUAGGCUCUGUUUCCAAGAAAAUAAUAUAGCCAAGUCUUCACAACUUCACCGCAAAGCACUGUUUCCAACUACUAUUAUCUUAUAUUUUUGUAAAUAACCUUUUUGUUUAUAUCUACUAAGUAUGUAAGAUGAUGUUCUGACAGUAACAUUGUCCGUAUAAUUACAAUAAAUUGUUAAAAAUAUAAAUAAAAUAAUCAUCUACAUAUUAUUAUGGCAUGAUUAACUUAUCUCGGUUAUCAAGUUCUUUCUAAUACUUCCUCUUUAUAUCUAUAUUGUAUUGAUAUCAUAUUUUGUACCCAUACUACUCUUUUCAAAAAUUUAGUCUGAGACGAAGACUUUGAGCUUUCCAGCAUCUUUUUAAUUGUUUUCCAAGCAAUUAUAUUUGUUUCCUUUUAUGCCAUACUGAAAACAAGUUGCGAAAUUGUAAUUUAGGUAAUGUAAUUAACAAUUGUUAAUUGUAUAUGUCAGUGUUAGUUGUACCUAUAAAACGUAAUAAAAAUGUACUGGUCAAAUUAUCAUAUUCUCUCUGAUACAUCCUCUUUAUAUCUAUAUCAUAUUGAUAAAAUACCAUAGUUACAAAAAAAAAAUAUAUUAAUAUGAUACCAUGCUAGUAUUCACAAAAUUUUAGUACAAUGUCUACGCUGAGAUGACGACUUUGAGCUUUCCAAUAUCUUUCUUAAGUGUUUUCCAAGCAAGUUGUGAUUUUUUCCCUUUUAUUAAUUUGUAUGUCGUACUGAAAACAAGUUGUAAAAUUGUGAACUAGCUAAUGUGAUAAUGUGAUUAAACAACUUUAAUUUGUUUAUGUUAGUUUGUACCAACAAAAUUCGGGUGCUAACCAGUUUACACAAUUUACGUAUCCAAUUUAAUCUAGAUAAUUUGGAUUGGAUUCUUUAAUUCUUUUAUUCAAACUCAAUCUAAUCCAAUUAGAUUCUUCAUAUAUGAGUUGGAUAAUAUAUUUCUAUUUUUAAACUUGAUUCAACUCGACCCUAUUCAUAACAUAUAAUUAAUUUAUUGUUAAAAUUAAUUAAUAAUUAAAUAAAAAUAUAUUAUUUUUUAGUUGACAUAGUUUAUUAAAAUAUUAAAUUAAACCACUCAUUCUUUUUCUUUUUUAAGUUGUGGGUUUUGUCUAUAUCUUUAUUUUGUUUAAGUUUUCUCAUAUGAAUAAUUUAAUAUAGUAAUUUGUUUUUAUCUAAAAUAAAAAUAUUGUAUUAGCAUUAAAAUCAUUAAUAUUAUUACAAUUUGGUCUCUUUUGAGAGCGUUUAAUCAUUAUACACUUGUAAAGUGUGACACCCUCUAUCCCGACAUACAUAUGAUUAAGAAAUAGAUAUAAACAUCUUGAAUUUUAUUUAAAUCUUUUAAAAAAUUCAGGUGGGUAAAAGAGUCACAUUCCCUUCAUUGUUACGAAAUAAAACUUAUUAAAAAAAUAGAUUUAAAAUAAGAUCAUCCAAGUUUACAAAAGAACUCAAGUUAGGCAGCAGAAUGAAGUAAAGUAUAUGUUUCAUGCAAUUAAAACAAAACCUCAUGCACCAAUAUCACAUCAUAUCAUAGCAUUAUGUUACAUUGUUCUCUAGUACAAGAUUCUUUAAAGUUAUCUACCUGUUGGACAAGUGACCUCUAUGAAGAUUUGCAUAUGGGUUUUUCCGUAAUGAUAACCACACCAUUAAAUAUAGAAGGCAUAUUAAUGGAGUUUCCUUCGGGAAAUAGAAAAUUUGAUGAAGGCAUAACUAUUCUUGAGUUUUCUAAACUUGAUACGAGAAUCAAGCUUUGAUAUCACUUGUUGGACAAGUGGCCUCAAUAACUUAAGAGGGGGGAGAAUUAAGUUUGAAAAUAUUCUCGAUUAAUCAAGUUCUAAAUAUAGAAGAUGAAGAUGAGGAUGCAAGUUAUUUCAACAAUAUUCUUAAAGUAUGCAAGAUAAAAAAAAUAUACGAAAUAAAAAAUCAAGAUAGGGAAGAGAGAAAUACAAACUCAUUUUAUCCUGGUUCGGCUACUUCCCGUGCCUACGUUUAUCCUCAAGCAACCCACAUGAUAUUUUUCACUAUCUUUAUAAAACACUUUUACAAUUUCAGAACAACCUAGGGAUCCCUCUCCGUUGUGUUCAGGAAUCUCACAAUUCAAGAGACAAACGGUCUCUUGAUCACAAUAUUUUUUUCAGAAAGUAUAGAAGUUUUUCUUUCUUUUAGAGAAUAUGAUACAAGUUGAAAAUCUUAGAAGAAUACUCAAUUGAUUUACAAGAUUCGUUGACCAAUGAUUUAUUUUUGAGAAAACAAGACAAUAAGGUUCUAAAAAUAUCUGAAGAUUUUUCAUAAAACAAGCCACUUAUUUAUAGGCCAAUGGUGGCUUUUCAAAAACAUUUUGAAAAGAUGUGACCUUUUAGAGAAAUUUUGAAAUUCCCUCACUGGUAAUCGAUUAUAGUUUCUUGGUAAUCGAUCACACAAUUAUAUAUUAAUAGGUCAUGACUUUUUAAAUUGAAUUUCUGAAGUUUCAUUAAUGGUAAUCGAUUAGAGCCAACUGGUAAUUGAUUACAACAUUUAAAUUUCAAAUUUCAAACUUUUUUUUGAAAAGCCUUUAUAGUAAUCUAUCUUUGGUAAUCGAUUACAAUUAUUGGUAAUCGAUUACCAGUGGAAAAAUACUUAUUUUUGCACUGAUAAAAUAUUUUUAUAAUCAUUUGAAAAUCAUGUUUUUAAGGCCAAACAUUUUUAACCAAUAAGAGAUUCUUUUAACAAAAAUAAACUAAGUCUUAUCUUUAUCUUGAUCUUGUUUUCUUGAUCUCAGAUUUGACUUAAAGUAAUUUUGUGUUGCUUACAUCUUGGCAUCAUCAAAACCUUCAUACGCAUACAUUCACACUACCUAGUCAUCUACUCCUACGAAUACAAGGUUCGAGAUUAUCACCAGAUACAAAUACAAACAACACAUAGGGAGUGAGUUAUCACAUUUCUAAAUAAAAUACAGAUAAGAAAAAACAUAAGCAAAAUCCAUUAUAGAAAUAUUUAUAACAUAGUUCAACUCAACUUAAUACAAUUCACGUCACUUUACCACUUUAUCAUGUAAAAUUUAUUUUUCAAUCAUCAAUGACAUUACACAAGAAUCACACACUCGAGUCAAGAAGUAACAACACUCAUCAAUUUCAUAAUAAAUAAUUCAGAGGCGUUAUGCAACAAUUAUAAUAAGACUCAAACCUAUAUGCAAUGUGGUAUUAUGUUAAUGAAAACUAUAAUAGAGCACUUAGGAGUGCAUAACAAGAUAUGUCACACAAUGGGUAUAUCAUGUCACUCUCACUAAGUACAAUUAUAAGAUGAUCAGUCAGGGUCACUGUAUUUUACGAAAAUACUCCAACCAUAUGAGAUCAACAUAUGCUUAAAGGAGCAUUCAAACCGAGUGUAUUUACCCCCAUGGCCUAGACUCUGAAAAAUCCUUUAAGGUCUCACCUUCUUGAUUUUGGUCCAAUCCCUAAAAUAACUUUUGCACACAGACAUUGCUCAUGAAUUAUACAAUACUCACGACCUUACACUAUUGUUUUCAAACAUGUUUAACACAUUGCGCUAUAAUUUAACACUUCAAGUUCCUAACUUGGAACCUUACACUUUUCUUUUAACAUUUUGCACAUAAAAUUUUUUCUCAUGGUAAACACCAGUCAUGUUAUUGUAUAAUUCAAAACUCACAAUACAAGUAUUAUCACAACAAGUAUUAACCUCACACUUACAACCAUAUCUCAUGUUCAACUUUGCACUUAUAUUCAAUCUCAGUAACAAUGUUAUAAUAUCAAAGCAACAUGUUAUCUCACAAUUCAUCACAUAUUCAAUUUAUCACUUACACAUAAUUUCAAUCAUAAUUUCAUGAUCUCAAUAUAAGAAUUUAUCACACUAAUCUAGUAAAAUUUAUCCAAAACACAAACAACUUAUACAAAAGAGAAGAGAUUAAUGCCUCUAAUUCACUAUCUUUGUGUGAGGGAUAUUCCUCUCAUUACUAGAAAUUAUAGAUUUAACAUCGUUAGGUUAGCAUCGGUUUUGGAUAAAACUAAUGUUAACAAAAACACGAUGGCAUACUUGUAAAUAAGAUCGGUUUAUUAACAUCGGUUUUGACAAAAUCGAUGUUAACUUGGUCAUGUUAACAUCGAUAUUUUGAAAAACCGAUGUUAACAUGACAUAGUUAACAUUGCUUUUGUCAAAACCGAUGUUAACGACGUCAUGUUAACAUCGAUUUCUUGAAAAAACCGAUGCUGACGAUGUUGUGUCAACAUCGGUUUUUUUUUUAAAAAAAUUGAUGUUGUGUUUUUACUUAAAUUAAAAAUCCAAAACCCUUUUAUGCCCACGCUCAGUCUCGUAAACUCACCCUUGUCACUGCCAUUGUCUCUGACCCACACACUUAAUCUCGUAAGCCACCCUCAGGCCAUCGUCGCGCUCACUGUUGUGUGUUGGUAAGUUUGUUGCUUCGGAAAAAUUCAUCUCGUGACUUUCAUUGUCUCUGAAUGACAUUCGUUGCUUUCCUUGCAGCCAUUCCAUUGGCACCAAAGCACUCUUUGAUCUUCUUUGUACUUGCAAUCAAAGGGUAAGAUUUUGUUCUUCUUUCCAUUAUGUUAACAAGUUUUUUAUCUCCUUAAAUUGAGCUUUUAACUUCCCUUAGUUGGUCGCAACUGGCAUGUGAUCUAUUUAGGAAAGUUGUAGUUUCACUAUUAUAAUACAUUCUGCUUGGUGGCAUGUUAUGUUAUUAUUAUCUAUCAUAUGGUCUAUUUGAAAACUCCAAACCAGCUCUGGUUCAAGGUCACUGUUGGUCUGAUUCAGUUUAUAAACACUAGUACUGUGUUAAAAGAAUAAUAAUUAUAGAAAGACAAAGCAUUUCUACCUCUUUGUGAUGGUGUUUCACGGUUUCCCCUUUAGUUCCAAUCACCCAGAGUGUUUGUUAUGCUAUAAUUAGGAUUUUACACAGUUCUGUUACUCUUGUUAUUGUUUCACCAGGUCUUCCUCAAUCCUAAGCUAAACAACAAGACCACCUGGACUGCCCUAUUCUUUGAAGGUUGCUUGAGGUAUUUGUGUUCAUACUACUAUCAAUGCUUCAUUGCUUUACCAAAAAUCGCAAUAUCUUUUUUAAUGACUAUCAAUCAUGAUUUAUUUUAUGUUUUUCAACAAACUUCAAUCAAUAAUAUAUUAGAGACUAUGUUGCAUAACUUAAUUGUAUGUUUAACUUGCAUGUCUAGACUUUUGACAUUGUUGCCCAUUUCUUUAGUUAUUUAUGACUUCAAAUUUGACAAAGAUGACUUCAAACACAAAAGUUAUUUGACAGGAUCCUAACAAACUUAGGUCAUACUGCCCCACCAGUUAUUGGAUUUUGCAUGCAAAAAGGAGGUAAGAAGCUGCAUUUUUAUACCAUGAGUGGUUUACCAAUUGGAUGAGUGAUUUACCAAUUGGAUGCCUAUUUUUAGACUCUGUAUUUGUUAGUAGGAAGGGGGUUUCACUGGUUGACCUUGUCUCUCCUGUAUAGUAAUCAAUUACCUCUGUUAGAUUGAUACCUAUUUUUGUAUGAGUGUUUUACCAAUUGGAUGCCUAUUUUAGACACAGUCCAUCCAGAGAUUUGAACAAUCGCAAUUUGAAUUAGAAAGUUACAUUAUGAACUAGAUACAAAAUUCAAAGCGGGAUUUGUACCUAGGAGCUUGUUUGAAUGGGUAAGUUAAACUAAACAAAUGAAUUUAAAUAAUGGAUAAUAGUAUAAUAACCUAUAUUGGUCUCCACUGAAGUUCACAUUGACAAAUGAUCAUCAUUUUGCCUAAGGAAAAUGUUGUCAUCUGGUUUUGUUCGAUGCAUAAUAGGCCACACAACUACCUCAAAGGAAUAAUUAAUAGGUCAGUGUUGUUUUUCAAUACAUUUGCAUUAGCAUUAGUCAGGAACAUUAAUAUUUUAAUUGUACACUAAACAUCCAUGUUUGUAUUCAACAGUGCUUUCAAAGGACUUGACAAUACUCCACAAAGUACAUCCAAGGAUGCUGCUAGGUGGAUUGUUGUUAAAGUAAUUCAUUUAAACAAUGCUUCUAGUUAUAUUUUAGUAUUGUGUAGACUAAUUUGUACUUAACGUUAAAUAUCUAAAUUUCAUAAUGUAUUUAGUGUAUUAGACAAAAAGGAAGCACCGAGUGUAGGUAUUACGUCAUGCACUAGAUGUCAACUAUAAUCUUAGGAAGUUUCAAGAUGGGAAAUGGUAAUUGUUUGAUUAAAAAAAAAUUCAUUUUGUUAUGAUUGGUAUUAUAUUAUUAACUUAUAUUUUAUUAUAUCAUGCAGUAUUUCAAUGAUGCUAUACCAUUGGAACAAGAGAGAUUGAAGGCGCUUCACAUCCAAUGGGCAAAGUUUUAUUUGAAAGUUAAAAAUGAAACAUAGGAUGUUUACGCAAUUUUAUAAUUGUAGUUUAUUUACUUCACUUUUUUUACAAUUCAUGUCUCUUUAACAUUAAAUAUUUUUUUAUUCAUAGUAAUUAAUAAAUUUGUCAUGGAAUUUCUAGUAAAAACUAUUUCAAAAUAGAAUGAAAAUUAUAUACCGUGUGGUCUGAUUUUAAAAUUUGCAGAUUAAUUUUGGGGUUAUUGAAAAAACAAAUAUUAUAUUAAAAAAUUCCUAAAAACAACAUUGGUAAUUCUUAUUAAGAUGUUGUAAUAUAACUUUUUUUUUUUUACCAAAACAACAUUUUUUAUAAUUUUGGGGAAUGAAAAUAACAUUUUUACCAAAACCGAUGUUUAUAUGAAGAUAUAUAACUUUUUAUAAUUCUUAUUAUAUAACAUCAGUAAUUUAAAGAAUAGAUGUUGUAAUUUUACAUUAACAUAUGUUUUUGGAAAACCGAUGUUAACAAUAAUACUUUUAAAGUUGGUACUUUGAACAUCGGUUAAUAACAUAUGUUGAAAGUUCUUAAUAACUGAUGUUAAAAAUUUAUUUUCUGGUAGUGUUUCACAGAUAUUUUUUCACAAAUCCUAACAAUCGAAAUGUGUCAAACUGUGUUAUAAACUUGGUGUUCAAAUAUUAUGAUGAUCAAAUAGGCAACAAGUCCGGAAUUAUAGUUUUACUAGGACAUAUUUAAGUGUAUGAAGGAAAAAUAGAAGAUUUUGGGAGAAAGGGAAAGGAAAACAAAUUUGAGAGAAAUAGAGAGCGUAAAGACGUAUCGUAAAUGUAAAAAAAUGAUAUAAUAUAUCUCUAUUUAUAGCCAGAAUAUUUUCAACCAAUUAUUUACUCUAUUUUUUUUAUUUUUUUAUUUUAUAAAAAAAACUCAAUUUUACUUCCUAUCAAAUGAAUAAUAAAAUAUUUUUAUUUUCUAAAAAUAUAUAUUUAUUUUAUUUAUCUUAAUAUCAUUGUUUUAAUCAAUAAAAUUAUUUCUUCUUAUUUGUUUAAUUACAAAAACCUCAUUAUUUUUCUAAAAUUUUAUUUAUUUUUAAAUAAAAUUCUUUUUAAUUUAUUUUAAAAAAAUGGAGUACUACAUAAAAUUUAAGAUAAAAAUAAAUUAUUAUUCUAAAAAAUUUAUAUUUUACAAAGUAAAAAAAUAUAUUUUUUAAAUAUUUAGAUUCGAUCAAUAGAAGUCAAUCCAUCUCAUUUAUGAUUAGAUUAAUUUAAAUUCAAUCUCUCAAUAAAAUUGUACAAACCCAACCUAAUCCAACCGAAAACAAGUUGGAAAGCGACAUCCAUAAACACCACUAUAAUAAAAGUUAAUAAAAAACGAUCUUGUCAAAUUAUUUGUCUUGCAAGAAUAAACUAAUUUUAUUUAUUGAUUUGACUCUAUUUUCAAGGCUCAUACUUCCUUCAACCACUUAUAUAAACUAUGUGUAUCCAAGGUUUGUCAUACAGUCUUAAAAAAAUAGGUUGAGCACCGUGAAAGAAAAUGCUAACUCACAGGAAGUUUAGGUCAAUAAUGGAGGAGGAGGAGAUCAAAUUGCCACAUUUUCAGAAUCCAGUCGUCAGUACCUGGAGGUAUCCUUACAUUUGCUUUACUCUAUAUAAUUGAAAUAAAUUAUUAAUAAAAUAUAAAAAUAGUAAUCUAUGUAUGAUAUAGAGUCAUGAUUACUUGUCUCAAUCGGUUAUCACGUUCUGUCUAAUACAUCCUCUUAUAUCAUAUUGAUAUCACAUUUUGUACCCAUGUGCGAUGUCUAUGUUAAGAAGACUUUGAACUUUCUGGGGUCUUUCUUAUAUCUUAUUUAUAUCGUAAUUAUUUUUUAUGAAGUAAAAAAAAACUACUUAUGUAGGAAAAAAAAAAGACUUAAUAUGUCGUUAUCUUUUUUUUUUUUCCUUAAAAAGUCUCUUCCAAAAUUUAUUUGAGUUUCAUUCACAGUUGAGUUGGCCUUGUAUCCUUUCCAGUUGGCUUUUACUUUGCCUACUCAGCGUAUAUUUGCAUGUUUCUUAUUCUUAGGUCAUUAAUAAUCUAUUAUAUGUUUUGUCUUCAUCCCAUUAGACACUUGCAAUUUUGUUUAAUUUGGACUCACUCUUUAUUUGUUUUAUUUUUUAUACUGAGAUUCACUCUUUGGUUAUUUACAACUUAGUUUAUUUUUAUAAUAUCUUAUAUUUUUCAUAUUGCCAUUUUCAUUUUUAGCAAGUGUGUCGUGUAAUAUGAUGUUCUCACAAUUAAUCUUAAUUAACCAUGUAAUUAGAAUAAAUUGUUGAAAUUAAAUAUAAGUAAAAUAGUCUGAUUAACUUGUCUCGUCGGUUGUCAUGUCCUCUUUAACACAUCCUCCUUAUCUAUAUCAUAUUGAUACCAUGUUCUGUAUCGUGCUAGUAUUCACAAAAAUUUAGUGCAAUGUCAAUGUACAGACGAAGACUUUGAGCUUCCAGCGUCUUUCUUAAAUGUUUUCCUAGCAAGUUGUGGUUUCUUUUUCCCUUUUUAUUUUGUCAUGCUACAGAGCAAGUUGGGAAAUUGUGAUUUAACAAUGUUAAUUGUAUUUGUCAGUAGUAGUUGUACAAGAAAGAUAAAGACAUAUAUAAAACAUGAGAUCCCAUCAUGAUAUACUCUAUCUCUUUUUGUCUUGAUAAAAACAUAAAAGAGAAAAAUAUAAAUUUAUAUAAUAUAUAAGUGAUAUAAUGUGAUAAUAUAAAACAGAGAAAAUUUAUUUAUCGAACGAUCAAACAAGUUUUUUAUCUAGUAAAAAACUUGUAAAAUAUAGCCUAUAUUUUAUAUAAAUUUUUAUAAACUAAAAAUACUUGAAAAUAUUUAAAUGUAGCUAUCUUCUAAAAAUACUUGGGAAUUGUUUUUUUAAACCGAGAUUCACUCUUUUGGUUUUUCAUAUGUUAAGAGAUGACAAUGAUGAUGGAAUGGUUAGGGGGUCGAAUCCUUUUAUAAUUCUCCUGAUUUCAUCGAAGUGUUCCCAUCUAAUACAAGAUUAUCCUCAAUCAUUGAAGUGUUCCGAUUACAUUCAAUUAGAGAAAAUCCCUUUGGAAUAAAUUCUAAUUGUCUAACUCCUUAACUCUAAUAAGAUUAACCGAAGCCUUAACUUUAAGAAUUCAAAAAGAAAGAAAAAAAUAACAAAUGCAUCAAGAAAUUCUAUUCUCAAACUUAUCCCAAUAUAUACAUGGCAAUCAAUCUCAAUUCCAUCCACAUGCACAAGAUUACAAAAGUUAAUGAAAAGCAUUAAGCUAAUGAAUAGCUUGCAUUGAAUAUAAAAAAGUCAGAUUACAAAAGAUUCUCGUAAAAUUCAUUCAUCACUAACCAACAGGAUUUAGCAAAACAAAAAGAUAAACAAAGUGAAAGAGUAAGAGAUGAUGGUAGAUGGAGGUACUUCCACUAUUUCUUCAAGGCCCUUUAGGUCAUGGUACACUGCUUCUGGAGUCUUUAACACUCAGCUCAAUUGCAACUACUUUGUUCUUAUUCCCUGCAAAAUCAAUGGAAAUAUACAUAAAAAGAAAAAUACUUACAAAAUAAAAUGAGCAAAAAAAAUAUACCAUGUCUAUCUUAUAUUUCAAUGUUUCAAUAGUUUCUUGCACCCAAAAAAAAUAUUUCGAUACUUUUAUACCUUUUCAUUAAAUGUGAAUUUAAGGUUUGUCAAAAUUUAUACUAACUCUUAUCUUAUAUUAAAUAUGUGAAUAUAUAUCGUAACACCUCUUACAAAUCUUCACUCACACUUGUCCUAUAAAAUUCACAAUUAUAAAAAAGUGAAUCUCAGGUAUUAAAAUCUUAAAUAAUUAACACACAAUCUAAUCGAUCUAUAAAUCUACACUAUGCUAUAGUAUACUUCAAUUAUACCAUGUUAGGAAAUAUUCAAGUCCCACGUUGGUUAAAAAUAAAUCCACAUUAGAAUAUAUAAAUGAGGAGCAACCCUCAGUCCUUGAGUUAUUUUUUGGGGUUGAGUUAGAUCCAAACUCACAUUCUAAGUGUUGGAUAAUACCCAAGUCUCACAUCGGCUAAAAAUAAAGUCAUAUUAGUAGGACCCUGAAAGAAUGAUGGUAUUAGAGCAGGUUCUGAUCCUGGGUGUGACCGCUAAACCUCGUUUUGUGGUGACAAGCACCCACCAUUACCAAUAGAAAUAAAAAAUUCAAAUUAGUUGAGAUCCAAUAUUGUACCAAUUAUUUAUAUUUUCUUGCAAUUUUUAGACAAUUUUACUCCUAAUUAACUUGUAUGAGUGAUACACAAAAGAAAAAUAAAGUAAAUACCAGAACAAAAAGGGUGUCAAAAGGAAAUCAUUUCAGGAAUUAGAAAAAGGUUGCAUUUUUCUUAAUGUUUGAAGGAAUUUGUUGUUUUUAGAAAGAUACGAAUGAUUAAAAGAUAAAGAAACUCAGGAUAUUACUGCAGAAGAAAGGCUGUUUUAUUGAUCUGAAAAGCAGAGUGCAUUUUACAAAGAGAUGCUAAAAUAUAUAGAUAAAACUCCUAUGGGUUGUUGCCUAAAAAAUAGAAGAUAAAUUUAAAACCAGCAUAACAGCAUAACAGCCUAACAACAUAUCUGAACAGCAUAACAACCUAACAACAUAUCUGCAGCAUAACAGCAUAUCCUAAAAAAAACUAGCAACAAUUUAAAAAAUUUGUUUCAAGAGUCAAACAGUUAACAGAAUAAAUGCCAAGAAUAUCAUUCAAGAGACAUAUUAUUGAUUAAUUAAUUAAUAAGAAAAAAAAACACACCUUUGAUUACGAUUUCUAACUUUGUGAGUGAUGUCUUCUGUUGAGGUUUUUCCGAAGUUCUACACCAACCCGGAAAAUAAUGUUACAUGGGGCACAUGCUGGAUGACCCAACGCUCUUGUCCUCCAUUGAGAGAAAUGCUUUGCUCAAACUCAGUGGGCAUAAACCACAUAUUGAGAACUUUAAGUUUCUUCAAGUGUUGAAUGCCAGAGGGUAUUUUCUUGAGUUGAGGGAUUCUGUAUAACUGAAGCUUUUCCAAAGAAUGCAGCGCUCCUUCAUCAAUAGAGAUGGAACUCAAGUAAUGCAAAUCUUCGAGCUUUAGUUCCUUUAGUUUCUGAAACCCUCCAUAUUGAAAAUGCAAAGCUCUACCUUGAUAAGCACGACGGCUGAUAGAGAGGAACAACAAACUUGGCAUAUCUUUUAGUGAUUCCAAUGGAUCAUAAAUUAAGUUAGAGCACAUCAAGGACAAUUUCGUAAGAUUAAGGAGCUUUGGAAUCCAAUCUGGCCACUUUGUUAACUCCCCACUUAGGCAAAGCUUCCUAAGUGUAGACAAGGAUGACAUAAAGGGCAAGUCAAUUACUUGGUGGUCUUCGUCUGUAUCAACAAAUAGUUUCUCCAAAUGACGCAUCUCAUUUAAUGAGGAACACAGAGCGUUUUUGUGUGCUUCUCUGAAUUCAGUAAUGCUCAGAUUUCUUAACUUCUUUAGCUUUCCUAGCUCUCUAAUCACCACUCCAUCAUAAUCAAUUAUCAGCAUAGAUAUCUUUUGUAGAGAUGUCAUGCCUCCAAGACUAUCCUUCAAUUGAACGGAAGAUAUCUUGUUAGCCAGAAGAUGACAUAGUUUUCUAAGCUCACUAAUCUCCUUUGGCAUCUCAUGCACAUUUGUUUGUCGCACAUCCAAGGUCUCCAAGUUUUGGAGCUUACCAAUGGAUCUUGGAAGACUUUUUACUCUUGUAUUCCUGAAGCUUAAAUACUUCAAGUAGAUUAAAUUCCCCAAAUUUUCAGGGACAUGAUAUAAUCGAGCAUCUUCAAAAUCAAGUACCUUCAAUGGAGUGGAGUUUGCGGGAAUUCUAUUGAUGAAAUCUUGAGAUAAUCCUUUGUUUGUGAAAAAUAGAAUCACCCUAAUGUGUGAGCUUUCAAUGCUUAAAUCAUUGGAACCCGUUGCAAUUGUCAGGCGUCGAAUGAUCCCACUUGACACUAAUUGAUCAUGCUCAUCAAUCUCACUUGACACAGAUUGAUCACGCUCACCAACAUACUGACAAAAUCCCGUAUCCUUGAUUUUUCUAAUGAUCAUCUCACGUAUUGAGUCAUGGACACAGCAUGUCUUAACUUUUCCAUCGAUGGUGAAUGAAGUCACUUGUACCAAACUUCUAUUAAUCAACUCUGUUAAAUAUUGUUGUGCAAGUUCUUUCAAAGUUUUCCUCCCUUCAUAUUUCACAAACCAUUCUGCUAUCCACUGUCUAAUCAAUCUACUAGAUUUAACUUCAUAGUCUUCAGGAUACAUUCCGAAAUACAAUAAACAUGAUUUGAGAUUGUAUGGCAAAUUAUCAUAACUUAAACUUAAAAUUUUUAUGAUACUAAUUAACCUAGAAUUUCCCUCCAACUCUAAUCUUAGACGCUGACUAAACCUUUCCCAUUCACCUUUGUCUUUAGGUUUGUUAGCUAAAAGGCCACCAAUAACCACAAUAGCUAGAGGAAAACCUUGACACUUCUUAACAAUUUCAAGAGAUGUAUUUUCAAGUCCUUCUGGACAACAUCCAUUAAAAUCACGCUGAAAUGCCUUCUUAUAGAACAAUUUCAAAGAUUCUACUUCAGUUAAAGGAUUCAUCUUAUGCACAUGAACAAAACAAGAUUCCUUACAACACACUGCAACAUCUUUGUCUCUGGUUGUGAUUAAUAUCCUACUCUUUUCUUUAUUAUCAAAUAAGGCCAAUUUAAUGUCAUACCAAAAUUCUUUAUUCCAUACAUCAUCAAAUACGACAACGUACCUCUUGCCGUUCAGGUAGUUUCUCACUUCAUCUAUCAACGACUCUCGAUCCAUGGUAGAAACAUUCUGGGGAGGACUAUUCUUUUUAUCUUCGUAAAACUUGCACAACAAUUUCCUCAGCAAUUCUACUACAGUGUAGGAUUGAGAUACAGUGAUCCAUGCAUGACAAUCAAAAAGCUUACGGACAUCUGGGUUGUCAAAAACUUGCUUGCUGAGAGUGGUUUUACCCAAUCCUCCCAUUCCUUCCACGGUGAUGACAGUGAGCUCUUUGAGUCCAUCUACCAACCAAUCUUUCAAAAUUUUUCUCGGGCCUUCCAAACCCUCAGUGUCAGCUUCAUGAGUAUGUAGAGCAGCCAGUCUAAUGUUUUGCCACGCGGCAUUUUGAUUUCCUCUAGAACUGUAUGGUCUUUGUUCUAAAGAAAAUUGGCUACAUAAACCAUAUCUUUCCUUGAUUCCACAGACAAGUGAUUUCACAUCGUGAAUCUUAUACGCUAAUAGAAUACGAGGGAUCAGAGUUUUCGUGAAGCCAACAGCAUCACAGGGUAAAACUGCACAUCCAGGAUCACCAGGUUGCUUUUCCUCACAGGAGAUCUCAUAUUCAUCGAUGACAUCUUCCAUGCAAAAAGCUGCUUCUCUCAGCUGUUUCACCAUUUUUUUUAUUCCUUCACGCCUAUCAGCAUCUUGUUCAUCUUCAGCUUCUUUAUCAGCACCAUGGAUGAAAGCUUUAAAGCUUUCCAGAUCAGCUUCAAUGUCUGCAGACUCCUUUUUUACACCCCUGACCUGAUUGAAUACAUCCACAAUUAUUGGAUACACCGCACGAGCGAAGGACACUAAGUAGUCCCAGUUACACAUUUUUUGCUUUGUAGUGACUAGCUAGUGACUGCGAUACGUUUUUUGCUUUGUGGUGAGUGCUAAUUGUUAUGAAUGGAGCAAGGCCUUGUUUCGAGGACAAGGUACCUCCUGGACUCAAGUUAUGGAAAAUGCCUUUUUCUUAUUUUCCUUCAUUCCUUGCAACCUUAUUUAUACAUUUCUAAUAUUAAUUCUGUAACAAACUUUGAUAACAGAAUAUCCUAACAAUCUUUAUUUCUAGAAUAUCCUAAUAGUAACUGCUUCUAGAAUAUUAUCAUAGUCAUGCUUCUGGUUGCAUUGUUCCUUCUUUGGUAGAGGCUUGCUUAUGUUCACGUGAUGUAGUCCUUCAGGUAGUGAGGGGGUUGAGUGUUUCUGAUGGGCCUAGUUAUGCCUGUGUGUGUAUUACUAGCAGCACCCCUGUCUGUGAAUGUAGUGUCCCUCUCUGUGUGUAUAUUGCUAUCAACACCCCCCUCCUCGAAAUCCACCUUGUCCUCAAGGUGGUAUUGUGCCUUUAAUUCGUCCCAUGAUUCCCAAGUAGAGUCUUCAGGGGCUUGUCCUACCCACUGGACCAGGACCAGGCGUGUGGGAGGUUGGGUUGAGUCAUCAAACUUGGAGCUUAAGAUGGAUAACGGGCUCAACACAGGUUGGUUGUUAACCAUUGUUAGGGGAAUUGGGUCCGCUGUUGUCAUCGGAAGGGGACCCUGGUGGGGCCGAAGGAGUGAACAAUGAAAAACGGGGUGGAUCUUGGCAGUGGGGGGAAGCUGCAACCGGUACGCAACGGGCCCAAUCUUCUCGAGAAUCUGGAAUGGGCCAAAAAAUCGUUUGGACAGCUUGGGAUGGGCGGUACCAGUAAUAGAGCGUUGACGGAUCGGUCGGAGCCGAACAUAGACCCAUUGACCCACUUCGAAGUGGACGUCACGCCGGUGAGCAUCGGCUUGGUGUUUCAUGGUAUCUUGAGCCUUGAGUAGACGUCGUCGAAGAGUGUCAUGAAGUACCUGGCGCGACGUCAAUAGAGAAUCAACAGCUUCGUUGGUAGAGGACCCUGUGAUGUAGUGUGGAAUGGACGGUGGAGCUUUGCCGAAAACGAUUUCAUAUGGAGUGAAGCCGGUGCUUGAGUGGACCGACGUGUUGUAGGACCAUUCCGCCAUGGCUAAGAAUUUAAACCAGUGCGAGGGAUGAGCGCUGACAAAGGAGCGUAAGUAUUGUUCUAACACGCGGUUCAUGACCUCCGUCUGACCAUCCGUCUGUGGGUGGUAGGCGGUGCUCAUCUGCAGGCGUGUACCACUCAGCCGGAAUAGUUCCCGCCAAAAGGAACUAACGAACACAGGGUCGCGGUCCGAUAUCAAGCUGCGAGGAAGACCGUGGUGCUUACAGACCAUGUCGAGAAACAACACCGCUACUCUGUAAGCCGUAAAAUUAGUAGGGAGGGCACCGAAAUGGACUCCCUUGGAGAAGCGGUCGACGACGACUAGUAUCACCGUGAAACCAUGUGAGCAGGGUAAGUGGGUGAUGAAGUCGAGGGAGAGAUCUUCCCAGACGCCGGAAGGGAUGGGUAUAGGGUGGAGGAGGCCCGUCGGUCGUGAAGUGGAGUGCUUCGAUUGUUGACACGUGACACAAUUGCGCACGAAUUUCUUUACAUCUUGGCGGAGAGUUGACCAAUAGAAGUUGGUGCUGACUCUGUGAGAGGUCUUUGCGAUGCCCAGAUGUCCCCCUAAAGGAGUGGAGUGAAAUUCAGUGAUCAAUACUGGAAUGAAGGGAUUGUCGGAAGUCAACCAGAUACGCCCCCGAAAGAAUAAUAGACCAUUAGAGAUGGUGAAGUCCGGUUGAUCCAAAGGAUGAGCUUGAACAUUGGCCAUGGUGGUUUGAAAUUCGGUGUUAUCGUGGAGGGAUUGGCGUAAUUGAUCCAUAAAUGUGAAAUUAGGAAUAGAUAGGAGGAGAUACUAGCUUUCCGGAGGUAACGUGACGCGUGAGAGGGCGUCCGCUACUGCAUUCGAAGCGCCGGUUUUGUACUGGAUGUCAUAAUCGUAGCCCAGUAAUUUGGAUAGAUAGUGCUGCUGCUCCGGGGUCUGGAUGACCUGAGAUAAGAGGUCCUUGAUACUCUUAUGGUCCGUGAGUAUCGUGAAACGGUGACCCAAUAAAUAUUGGCGCCACUUGCGCACGGCUGACACAAUGGCAUGAAGCUCCCGUACAUAAGUAGAAGAUCGUAAAAGCCGCGGUCCGAAAGGUUUGCUAAAGUAGGCAAGGGGAUGACCCUGUUGAAGGAGAACGGCACCCAUGGCAGUGCCUGAUGCAUCAGUUUCGAGGACAAAGGGGUGUUCGAAAUUGGGCAAAGCCAGCACUGGAGCUCGGGUCAUUGCGGUUUUCAGUGUCUCAAAGGCGAGCUGGGACUCUGGGGUCCAGUCAAAGGCGUUUUUGCAGAGGAGGGCCGUCAACGGGGAGGCCAGGGCGGCAUAACCUUGGACAAAUUUGCGGUAGAAGCCUGUGAGGCCCAAAAAAGCACGGAGAUCCUUAGGGGUCUUGGGGGUGGGCCAGUCGAUCAUGGCUCUAAUUUUAGAGGGGUCGGGCUCCACGCCACGCUCCGAGAUGAUGUGGCCCAAAUACUCCAGGCGCCUCUGAGCAAAGGAACACUUGGUAUGUUUGAGGUAGAAUUGGCCCUGUAACAAGGCUUGGAACACGAGUUCGAGAUGAUGGAGGUGGGCCUGCAAAGAAUCACUAAAGACAAGUAUAUCAUCAAAGAAAACCGCAGUGAAACGACGGAGAAAGGGUUGGAGCAAGGUGUUCAUGGCGGCUUGGAACGUUGACGGGGCAUUACAGAGACCGAAUGGCAUGACACGGUACUCGUAAUGUCCCUGAUGAGUCCGGAAUGCUGUCUUUGGAGUAUCUUCAGGAGCCAUAAGAAUUUGGUGAAAGCCUUGUUGCAGGUCGAGUUUCGAGUACCAGGAUGCAUGGCCCAAAUCGUCCAACAAUUCAUCAACAGUAGGCAUUGGGAAACGAUCCCGAAUGGUCACGGCGUUAAGAGCGCGAUAAUCGACGCACAUACGCCAACUGUCGUCUUUUUUCUUUACCAAGAGGACAGGGGAGGAAAAGGGACUCCGGCUGACUUGAAUGAGGCCGGCGGAGAGGAGGUCGGCCACCUGUUUCUCAAUCUCGGCUUUCUGAAAAUGCGGGUAGCGAUAAGGACGAACAUUAAUGGGCUCCGUGUUGGGUCGUAAAUGGAUGUGAUGGUCAAUGGAGCGUGAGGGGGGUAGGGCUGUGGGUGUUUGGAAAAGGGAUUGGUAUUUGUGGAUUAAAGCAUCAAUGGCGGGUAUGGACGAAGGUGUUGAUGAGGGUGGGUGCUGGGGGAUGGUGGUGUCACUAGCAGGGAGGACGCAAAGGUGGAAGAGGGCUGAAGUGGCAUUGGUCUGGAUCAUACGCUUGAUUUGGGUAGCAGAAAUAGGGUGCGGCCCAUGGUCGGCGUCGACAUGAAGCUCGACGGGUUGGCCCAGGUGGUGAAACUUCAUAAUGAGGGAGGUGUAGUCAGUCGUAAUGGGCCCAAGUAGUUUUAGCCACUGGAUUCCCAAAAUGACGUCGGCACCACUAAUAGGCAAAAGGUGAAACGUUAGGGUAAAAUGGUGAGACUGGAGGGAAAUGGUGGUGUCGGGGCAUAAGUGGGUACAUGUGAGGACGGCGCCAUUGCCGACAAGAACUCGCAGAGGGUUAGUGGGGACGGUGGGGAGGUGGAGGAAGGUAGCAAGUCGGGGUUGCAAGAAAUUGUGGGUGCUACCACUGUCAAUAAGGACAGUGAUGCGCGUAUGGUUGAUAUAGCCGAAGAGGCGGAAGGUCUCGGGGGUGGGGAGGCCGGAAAGGGCGUUAAGGCUGAUGUGAGGAGUGGGGAAAGGAAGAUAAAAAUCAGGGAUGGGGUCAAGGUCCGUAGGGGGGGUAGAGGCCGGGAGGGAUGGUGGUGGGGAGUUGAAGGGUAAAACGGCGUUGUCGGGGUUGUCGGGGGUGUCGGGGUCUGCGAUAAGUAAAAGGACGCGCCCCUUGCAAUGAUGGGAAGCGCUCCACUUAUCGUCACAAUUAUAACAGAGGCCGCGUUCGCGGCGGUAAGCGAUUUCGGAGGGUGUGCGUUGGGUGAAAGGGGGUUUGGGUCGUGGGGGUGGUAAUGGAGAAGGAAAGGUGGUGGGAUGGGCAGGGGCUAUGUGGGGAAUGGUAUUAGGGUGGCGUGGAGGUCUAGGACGGUCACGGAGCUUGUCCUCCUGAAGCUUCGCUAACGCGGUGGCCUGCGGAAAAGAGAUGGGCUGGAGGGCUAAGACCUCCCGGCGGAUGUCCGGGGCAAGACCGGAUACAAAGCAACUCAACAGGAAUGGGGGUGGGAGCCCGAAAAUCCUGUUCGCGAGGCGUUCGAAUUCGAUCAGAUAAUCAUUGACGGAGCCGGUCUGGGUUAGCUUGAACAAAGCCCCUUUCGGGUCAUCGUAGUACGUGGGAGCGAACCGGGACUCCAAAGCCUGAAGAAAACUGGACCAGGAUGUGAUGAAGCCAUUGCGGAACAUCCAUUGGUACCAGCUGAGCGCCGGACCAUCGAGGUAGAAAGAGGCUAAGGUAACUCGUUCCUCUUCUGGCGUUCCCUGAUAUUCAAACAGCUGGGUGAUUUUGAAAAUCCAACCCACGGGGUCGGAUCCGUCGAAACGUGGAACAUCAAUUUUGACAUGAUUGCGUGAUGCAGGGGGCGGUUUGGGAGAGGAGACGGGGCUCGCGCUGCUUUGGCGGUCGAGGCGAUCCAGGAUGGCAUCAACUUUGCUGGCAAGCUCGGAAUGGUGCAGGGAUAGGCGGGAGAUGGCCUCCUCGAGCCUAUCCGUGGUGGUCUUACGUGUGUUAUGGUCAGCCAUGGAAGGGCAGGUCGGACCAAAUGUUAUGAAUGGAGCAAGGCCUUGUUUCGAGGACAAGGUACCUCCUGGACUCAAGUUAUGGAAAAUGCCUUUUUCUUAUUUUCCUUCAUUCCUUGCAACCUUAUUUAUACAUUUCUAAUAUUAAUUCUGUAACAAACUCUGAUAACAGAAUAUCCUAACAAUCUUUAUUUCUAGAAUAUCCUAAUAGUAACUGCUUCUAGAAUAUUAUCAUAGUCAUGCUUCUGGUUGCAUCGUUCCUUCUUUGGUAGAGGCUUGCUUAUGUUCACGUGAUGUAGUCCUUCAGGUAGUGAGGGGGUUGAGUGUUUCUGAUGGGCCUAGUUAUGCCUGUGUGUGUAUUACUAGCAGCACCCCUGUCUGUGAAUGUAGUGUCCCUCUCUGUGUGUAUAUUGCUAAUCUUCAUGUUCUUCAAGAUUAUAUAUAGCCAAGUCCAUGGUCAUAGACUCAUAGGAGGAGUUUGAUGGUAUGAUUUUCCCUUUUCCAUUCUUUAAUAUUUAUUUAGCAAGUUGGAUACAGCUAAUUAAUUUACAGAUUUUAUUCGAUUGUUUAAUUGGUCCAUGCUUUACUGUUUGCAAAUGUAAUUAGUUAUCACAGUAUGCAUACCAUAUCACGGUACCCAAUUUUUUGUAAGUUGCACAUACAAUAUAGUUAGUAUAACUUUAAGGUAAUUAUGAUUAAUGGGAUGAUAUGAAUGGAUAAUUUCAUAUUCAUUUUCUUCAAAUAAUUUGACUUCAUUAUAAAACACAUCUCCUUAUUUUAUCUAUUUCAUCAAAUUAGUCCUCCUAUUUUUUAAUUUACUAUUUAAAUCUCUCUAUAUUUUAAGAUGCUUGAGAAAAUACUAGAAUUAUAAUCCUUUAAGUAAAUGACACAUUUUUUUAACACUACACUCACAUGAUAUAUUUGGUACAAAAUAUAGUAUCAAUAUAAGUUUUAUGAAAAAAUAGUUCAAAAUUCAAAUUUUAUUUAUUUUAAUUUAUUAUAAUUUUAUAAUCUUAUAUAUUAUCUUUCAUAAUAUAAUAUAUGAGAUUAAAUUCUAUUUUUUAUAUAAAUUAAAAUUUGUAUACUUAUAUAGGCGUUAUUUUAUUUUAUAUAUUAUAUUUUUAUAAUAUUAUAUAUUUUUAUUACAUUAUUCAAAAAUUAUUUUACACAAUAAAUAUAUAAUAUAAAUUUUAUCUUUAAUAUAUAUAUUUUAAUAUAAAUUAUACUUUCGUAAAAUAAUAUUAUUUUAUUAUAUUUUAAAAUAUUUAUAUAUGUAACUUAAUGGCAGUUGUUUUUAUCUAUACUAAGAUAUUCUUGUUAUUUAUAAUAAUAUUAUUAUUUAUUUAAAUUUAAUUUUAUUUAAUCAGGUACAUAUUUUUUUAGGAAUUAAAUUAUAUAGUUAAGAUAUAUAAUUAAAUAAAAUGAGAGUAUUUUUUAUUUUAAAAAAUAUUUAUAUAUAUGAUUUAUUGACAUUAUUUUUUAUGUAUAUUAAACCAAAUAACAUGAAUAUAUUAAUAUAGAUAAAAAAAUAUUAUCACUAAAUCACAAGCAAUAUUUUAAAAGAUAAAUAUAAUAUAUAAAAUAAAAAUAAUACUUAUAUAGAUAUAGAUAUUCUAAUUUAUGUAAAAAUAGAAUUUAAUCUUAUAUAUUAUAUUUUAAAUGAUAAUAUAUAAGAUUAUUAAAAUAUAAUCAAUUAAAAAAGAAUAAAUUUUAAAUUAUUUUCGCAUUAAACUUAUAUUAAUAAUAUAUUUUAUAUUAAAUAUUCAAAUAAAUACUUUGCUGUAUUAGUAAUACAUGCAUGUGCUUUUUAUUUUAAGGACCAUAAUUUUAGUCUUUCCUCAAACAUUUUUAAAUUUUUAUUAUUUUAAAAAAAUAUUGGUCAACUUUUUAGUUUAAUCAACAUUUAAAUUUUAAUAGUCAACGAUUACCAAUGGUUAAAAUCAACACCGAUAACUAAAAUAGUGAAUUUUAAAAUAUAAGAGAAUUUAAAUAAUCAAUUCAAAAAUAAGAAGAUUGAUUCAAUGAAAUAAUUAAAAUAAGAAGAUAAAUUUUGUAGUUAAGCAUAUUUUUUUCUCCAUUCGAUUAAUGUAUGAAUUGCAUGUUAGCCACGUGCAAUGACACACAUUGUCACAAACUUUAUUAUAAUAUCUAGUAUACUUUCAUAUUGCCUUUUUUAUAUUCAGUAAGUGUGUGAGAUGAUCUUCUCACGUACUAUUCAUCCUAUUUUUUAGGUGAAAAUUUACAUUAGGGGAAGCCAUGCCGCCUCUUGUAAAGUCAAGGAAGGCUAUCAACCCCAGUGAAAAUUUAUAGUAAUAAUAUUCCCAUAUUACCUACCGAAAUAGGAAAAUGAAUCCAUGUUAUAGCAAGUGUGGACAAAAGCCUCCAUCAAAUGUGUCAUCUCUAGUUAGCCUCACAAUUAAUUAAUCUUAAUUGUAUAAUUAUAAUAAAUAUAAAAUUAAAUUUAAGUAAAAUAAUAAUCUAUGCAUAAUUAUACAAGCAUGAUUAAAUUUUCUGGCCUUCAGGUUUUCUCUUAUACAUCUCCUUUAUCUAUAGCAUAUCAAUGUUAUAUAUUUUGUACCCAUUAGGGUUAUAUAAAAAAUUUAUCACAUAUGUUGAGAGGAAGACUUUGAACUUUUCAGCAUCGGUCAUCUCUUAAAUAUAUGGUGAGCAAGUUGUGCUAUUUCCCCCUCUAUUUUUGUCGUGCUAGAGCAAGUUGUGAAUUUGUUAUCUAGUUAAUUAUAUAUAAAUGUGAUUAAUUAAGCAAAUGUUAGAUGUAUUUGUCAGUGUUAGUUGUACCGAUAAAAUGUAAAUAAAAUACCGUACACUUGUCAAAUGAUUUACCUUGCUGGUAUAUAUAUAAUUUUGAUUAUUCAUUUGGCUUUAUUGUUUUAGUUUGCACCGGUAAUUUACACAAUUGAUCAUUUUGAUGGUUGAUCUUGAAACUGGUUUGAUCUAAUCGAUCCUGACAAUAAUAAUAUGUUAUAUGAUGAGCAAGAAAUUAUGCUGAUCCGCAGGAACAUGUUUUUUUUUUUUAACUAGGUUAACCAUUGGUGGAAGAGGGUUAAGCUAUUCUAUUUACUUUUAAAAGCUAUAUAUAUACAGGCUAGGGUAUCCUUCUUAUCAUUAAUACAUAUGGUUUUACUCUAAGCUUUAAAAUUUACUUUUUUUUUUCUUUCAAAAAUGGAAACUAUCCGAUCUAUUUCGUUGGUCUUUAAUUUAUAAGAAAAAAAAUUCGCUUUCCUACUUUUGAGCAGGAUCGAGGAUCACCUAGUUAGUCAUUAAAAUAAUACUGGAUGAAGAUUUUCCUAGAGAAAGUUAAAUUUCAAUAGUUUAAUACUACUAAGAGAUGCUUACAGCGAGCCUGCUUCUGAUGAUAAAUUAGCUAAGAAAUGAUUUGUAGAAGCAAGAUCUAGUCAAUGUGAAAAUAUAAGAUUUUACUCUCGCAUCUAAUCAUAAAUAAUAUAUAUGAUAAAUUUAAUUAUCAAUUUUUAUAAUAAUUAUUUUAAAAAUUAUAUAUGCAUCUAACAUAAUUUUUUAUUAUGACAUCUUUUUGUCUACAUCAAAUUGACAUCAUAGUUUUUACCCAGACUAGUGUUUACAAAAAAAUAAUGCAACGUCUGUGUUGAGACUUAGAGGAAGACUUUGAGCUUCCAGCAUCUUUCUUAAAUAUUAGGGUUAAUUAAAUUAUUUAGUUUCUAAAUUUUUUUAAAAUUUAUUUUUUUAGUUCUUAAACUUUUAUUUAACUGGUGAAUGUUUUUUAAUUGUCUUUUUAUUAAGGUUAUUAGUUCUUAAAUUAAAAAUAAUUUUUAAUUGUUGAAAUCUCAUUAAAUAAAUAAAAAUAACGUGUUCAAAUUUUUAUUGAGGGACUAAAAAUUAAAAUUUCUAAAGAUGAAUGGACCUUGACUAGAAAAAUUAAAUUUUAGGGCCUAAUAAUUAAAUUUCAAAAAAAAUUAAAAUCAAAAACCUUAUUUUUGUGAGCUUGUUAGGGAUUUUUCUCUCCUUAUUUUUGUCCGAUUACAACAUGUGAAUUUCUGAUCUACCUAAUAUGUAAAUAUGAUAAAAUAAUGUUAAUUGUAUUUGUGAGUAGUAUUAGUUGUACCAAUAAAGUCGUAGUAAAAAAAACCGUGAUUGUAUACUUAUUAUUAAUGGUCAUACUUCCGUAAAAUACUCAGAUUCCUUAUAUCUAAUGUUUUUUUUUAAUCUUAAUACUAAUAUAAUAUGUAUAUGAGGUUGGCAUGUUGCAACUAAUUAAUAAAUAUAACAUUUUUUAUUAGAUUAUCAUGAUUUUGGUGUGGAGUAUUUAAUAUCUUUUUAAAAUUAUUUUUUUAUAUGAAAGAUUCAAAUCCAAAAUCUUAUUUAAAAGAAUUAAAUUUCAUAUUAUUUAAACUAACAACUAGUUAAUAUUUAAUUAUAAAUAUACAAAUGCUUUAAAUAAAAGACAAAUAUUUGUAAAUGUAUCUUAAUAAAGAAAUUGUUUGAGCAACUUGUUAAUUUGCUAAUGUGAGAAAGGAAAUUCUAACCCGCAUGGAAGAAGGGUUUUUUUUUUUUCCAACCAUGGAGAAAGAUAUAAAAUGACCGGAUUUUUUUAUCUCUUCGGUUGCUGGGCUGUCUUCAUUCGCUAUUCGGUUUGAAUGCUUUUGGACUUUUCAGCUACUAGGCUCUGUUUCGAAGAGAAAAAUAUACCCAAUGUCUUCAUUCGUUAUCCCUGUUUCCACUUUCCAAACAAAAGAAAUACUAUAAGUACAACUUAUAGAUUUUUGGGAAAAAUAUGAUUUUAGUGUAUAUAUUUUUGAUAAAAAUGGUAUUAGUUUUUACUUUAAUUUUGAUCAAUUUAAUUUUUAAACUUUAGAAAAUAAGUGGUUUUUGUCCGGCGGCAGAUUCAUAAUUAUUUUUCAGUUAGACACUUAAAGGAUCAAAUUAAUACUUUUAAAAGAAUUUGAGAAUUAAAUUAAAUUUUUAAAAAAAUCAGAGAUUAAAUUAAAUCUUUUACAAUAAUUUAAAGAUUGCAUUAAUAAUGAAGUCUUAUAUUUUUGCUAUACGACUUUUUUUUUGUUGCCAUUACGUCCUCAAGGAUUCUUCAAGUACGCCCCCAAAACACUUACGCAGACCAAUGUAUACAUAUUCCAUAAUCCAUGAUAUACGUUUGGCCCUUAACUUUUUCUGAAUUUUGUAUUUAAUCUUUAAUUAAAAAAAUUGACUUUUUGUCCGUAUAAUUUUUUUUAUAAAAUAUUUUUUUGUCCUUAAAUUUCUUAUAAUUUAUGAUUUUGAUCCUUAAAUUAUUUUACCACCGAUCAACAUUCCUAAUUAAACUUUUCUGUGUCCAAUGUUUUAUCCUUUUCAUCUAUUUAAAUUUGCAUUUAAAUGAAUAAAUUCAUGUUAGAAUGAACACAACAAUCAGUCAUAUCAUACACGAAAUUUAUAUAUUAGGAGAUAAAAAAAAAGCUUUUUAAACUAGAAUAUUAUAUUAUAUAUAUAAACUAGAAUAUUAGAUGUAAUACUGCAAAAAAAAAAAAUAGUUUGAGGAAAUUAAAUAUAUCAUGGGAAACAAGGUGCCAAACUUGAGAUGAAACUUUGUUGUCAUCUCAGCAUGUGAAAAAUAGAUCAUACUAGUCAAAAUAAUUCCUCAAUACUACAAGGAAAAUGACUUUUACCUACAGUCAAAAUCUAUCAUUAGAAGUUCAAAAUUCGUAGGUAGAUGUAUAAAGGACUUUGUCCUACAGACGUUUUUUGUGUCAACUUUGAGGGGGUAUACAGUGACAACUAAUAGUCUGUCACUAUAGGCUUUACCUACAGAUAUAUUUUUACCUAUAGUCAAAAUUUAACUAUCACUAUAGGUAACACCUACUAUUCGAAAUGUGUAGGUAAAAGAUAUUAAUUUAUACCUAUAAUCUCUAACUGUAGGUAAAAGUCAAUUUACUUGUACCUACGGUCUUCUAUAGGUAAAUGUCAUAUAAUAAUAAUAAAACUAAUUCUUAAUUACACUUUGUUGAUCAGUCUUUCCUGUACUAGGUGGCCCCACAACCAUAAUUAGACCAGGCUGAAUGCCAGAGAUGAUUGCUUCAACCUGCUUGAUAGGAACAUUUCACACUAUUAUUAAUAUUUAUCCAAUACUCAUAGAUAGGGAAUAUAAAUAAGAGGAUAAAGACAUAAAGUACAUGUGGGGAAGUAUAUAUGGGGGAUUUUGAUCACCUACAGUUGAACUGCAGCUAGAGAGAAAGGAAGAAUAGGAAGGCCUCACAAUUUUUUAAAAUGUGUGAACCAAGUGCUUUUUUCCUUGCUCUCCUCAACUGCACCCACUGACAGAAAAUACAAAGAAAACAGAAAGCCAACAUGGCCAAAAAGAACUUUCCAAUUUCUUUGCAUAUUAACAAUGGAAAUUUCUUUAAAACAACCAUCAGCAAAACAUCAACAAGUAAUGGUAAACACAAUCCUAUUCUUUAAUAAAUUUAAGGGUAACAUGAAUCUACAUUGUCACAAAAUCAUGGACUCCUUAUUCUUGUCAAAACUUUUAAAAUAUAUCAUGGCACACUAAUCAUUCAUUUCAUAUUACUGACGAGGCAACAGUAUAAAGGGAAAUAGGACAUGACUUGUGAUGCUAACUACACUACAUACUUAAUAUGUACUGGAUCAAGAAACACAAGCAUUGUAUUUUUGCAUUCUACAUGCAUCAAUUUAGGCAUAUGAAUCAAUUGGAUUUUGGUCAAAUACUCAUAUUCAACUAUUGUGAGGAAAGCAGGGGGGCAAAGAAAGAUUAAAAGAAAAAUCAUUAUGCAUGAAAAGUGACAAUAUAUGAUUGAGAUCAAGAGCUGAAUUCACCUGGGUGGGUGUAAAUCGAACUGAAUUUUGUUUAGGCUGAUCUUGAGGAUAGGGGCCAGGAUCUGGAGGAGUAUAUGUCUCAAUAAUUAGUGCUUGAGGAUAGGGGCCAUGAUCUUGAGGAGGAACUUGAUUAUCUGUAUAUGUAACUGUAUUAAAUAUACAAAUGCCAACUAAUUCAAUAUGUGUGUGUGUGAGAGAGUGAAGAUCCAAAAUCAAGAUUAUUAAAAACAGAAGAGUCAAAAGUUACAUCUUUUAAUCACAUACCUUACAGCAAACAAAAUCUCUUAACUCCUCCGGAGAAAGAACAGACAAUUUCUUGGACAGAUUAGCACGUAAAAGUUGAAGGGAAGGAAUAUUAAUCAGAUAUCUAGAGUACCAUUUGGCUAAGGCUAUAAGAAACUUGUAUACCUUAAGGAGCAUAUCCUUUGGCAAGUUUGAUCUUAAUAACAGGGACCCACUGUGGAUAGACAGUUGCACAAGACAGAAAGUGAAUGAGAAACUUGUGAUAGAAGACUAGACCAGUAGAAACCAAUUGCAAAAUUUACACUACAAAUCUCUUAGAUAGGUAUAUAUGUCUUACCUUGCCACAGGUUACUUCCUAAAUCAUCUUCAACCCCAUCUUUCUUGUACAGCUAAAUAAAAAAAUCAUGUUAGGUGUUGCUAGUAGUAUGAAAAAGUAUCAACCAAAUAAAAUACAAUAAACCCAAAUAACAACUAAUCAUUCUUGUAUAUAUAUAUGAAUUUGUCUUUAAUUCUAUACAGGGCUCAGUUUAACAUGAUCAUCUAGCUUUAAAGAAAUUUGGUCUCUGCAAAUUUCUAUCGAGUAACUCAUCUUUCCAAUGAAAAAAUAUUUACAUUUGAUUUGAAAUAGCAAAGCUUAUAGUAUAAAUCAGCCCAAUGAAUGCUUUCAAUCACACACAUCUAAUAUGGUCUUUUGGUAGUAAGGUUUUGAAAUAACUAAAGUAUAACUAUAAAGAAUAAUAAAUGUAAUCACCAAAGAGUUGUAUCCUGAAUCUUGUGUACUCUUAGGACAAGAAUAUAUGUCCUGGCCACCAUAAUGGAUUGAUGAGCUAAGUUGACAUGGUUGAAGUCUUUGUUCCUAAUAUAUAGAACUCAUAUCCUUUUGUGCUGUGUUCUGAGUUUCACCAUGAUUUCCCAUGCUGAUGUAAUCUGUAUUAAUAGAAAAGAAAAUUUUUUAAUCAUUGCCAAAAAUUUAUAGAAACGUAACAAAACUUGAAAGUUGUAAGCAAGGUUUUAAAAAAGGUCUGCAACCACGAUUUUGACGGCAACAUCAAGAUUUGUUGCAAUAUUGAGGAACGCGACAAAACCACAAAUGCAACUGCAAUUUAAAACUUUGCGUGUACGAAGAGUGUCUAAAAACAUAGUACACUAACCAAAUUUGGAGUUCCACCCUUCACUGGAACUUUUUCCACUCACUUCGGAGCACAGAGAACCUCUCCCUAACACCUGAAUCAUCACAACCAAGAAAAACCUCAGAGCUGUUUCAACAUAGUCCAUAUGCAAUGAUGAUGAUGAAACGACAAUAUGACGAAGAUGCUCACUGUUUGUUUCUUUUGUACAUAAAUUAAACUCGCUGAAAAGCUGAAAUUGGAUUUGCUAAAUGACACAUGAAGCAUUAAAUCACAGACCAUUAGCAGCAGAACAACAAAGCCAGUAAAAAUACAAAACAGAAACUUUCAUGUAAAACAUGAAAUGCACAUAACAAACACAGAGAUUAAAAUGAAUUGAACUAUGAAAAAUCAAACCAAACAAACAUCACACCUUAGGCGGUGGAGGAAACAUAGAUUCAAAAAUCCCAGAAGCAGAAGAUUUCUGGAACUGGUUAGACCCAAAGAGCUCAGAAGUGAAAGAAGAAGAAGAACCCAAAGUUACAAGCUAGCUGGUUACGUAUAAUAAGAGCAAAGUUGCUUAACAAUUCUUUUAAUGCUGCAGCAUGUGUUUCUCUAUUGUAUUUAUAAAUGAUUAAUUGCACCGCUACUCUAUUGUAAGAUUGUGAUUCACUCAUUAAUAAUAUUUACACCACUUAUAUUCACCUUUCUAAUUUUCAAAGAUCUAGACGCUGCAAUAUUAGUGACUUUCGGUUACUUACAAUUUACAAAUCACUAGUUUUAAUUUAUCCGAUCCCAGCAUAGGAUGUGUCGCCCAAGGCUAACAUGGGUUGCUUUAAAUUCAUCAUACCUGCAGCAGGCAUUUGAAUUAUUAGUUUAAUAAAAUAAAUACUUUUUCUUAUCGAAUUUUUGUUUUAAACUUUUCAAGACAAGAUCAAUGUGAAAUUGUUUCAGCAAAAAUAUUCAAACUAUUCAUACGGUACAUGUACUAACUUUUUUAAGAGUUACUUUUUAAGUUGUUUUUUUUUUCAAAGGACUAUUUUUAAUAACUGUUUGGCCCAAUUUUUACUUGUAAGUAACUUUUAAGCUCUAAAAAAGCUGGGCUAAACUGACUAUAAAAAAUACGUUUAUUUCUUAUGUUAGCUGCUAACAAAUACCUUGUUUGUUUAACUCUUAAAUUUUGAACUAUAUAAUUGCUUCUUCUUUUUAUGGGUUUUUCCACUAACGUCUUCCAUGAGGUUAGAGUUAAUUACAUUUACAUCCUUUUUAAUUACAAAAUUAAAUUAUCAUUUAGAUGACUCUUAUUUUUAUAUUAUUAUUUUUAAGGGUACUAGCCUACUAGGUGUGUGGUCUGUACAUAAAAAUAGAAUAAAAUGACCAUUCCUAGUGUCACUCUCGUUAGGUAUGCUAAAUUAUAGAAUGACAAUACCAUUUCAUUUGUAUGUUAAACUGCCUUAUCAAUUCUCUAAGUAGCACCAACUGACAAUCAUUAACCUGAAGCCAAAUUCCAAACGGGCAUAUUUAGGAUGGGAUGACGGGUUGCUACAGUACAUGUUCAGAGACAAGAAUUGAUGACUUUAGAAAUUGCAAAUUAUUUUCUUCCUUUUGGUAUUUUCUUUCAUGAUGACAAGUUUUUGCCAAAAUUAUACCUAGAUGGAUUGGAUGGUUAGUGGAUAAAUGGAUUGAAUUGUCACCCCUAUUGAACUGUGAACAAUGAACCUAUCUAUUCUAUCCUACCUUUUGUGAAAACUUAACUUUUACUUAGAAAGAAUGGGAGAAUUAAUAAGGAUCGAACUCUAUACCACAUAGUCAUAGAGUAACAUUCUGAAAAGCUUAUGCUAUCAGUGCACAGGAGGAAUGAUUUUAUAUCUAAUCUAAUAAGAUAAAUAAGUUUUAUAACACAUGCUUUGGAAAGAAGAAAUAAAAACCGCACCUAUAUUAUAAGACCAUAACUGGUAAAAGCAUAAAGUUUUAGUUAGGGAAACAACUGAAAAGAAGGAAUUCUUACAGGAAAAGGUUCCAAGUUGAUGCAAUCCUACCCCGCAAGGGCAUUGGAUAGAAAACUCCAAGUAGAUUGGGCCAGAGAUGUAAGAGAAGGCCCUAGGGUUCUUAUGAGCCUUAGGGUAGAUUUCGGGCCCAUGGGCUAAGUAUGAGCCCACUUAUCUUUGUAAAUAUUAGAUUAAGGUUUCAUUAUUUUUGGGCCUUAUAUUUAGGGCUCCAUAAUGUAGGUAGGGUACCCUAGAAAUAUAGGAUUUUUCAGCAGUUGUAUUUUAGGGCACCUAGACUAGUUUUUGUAUUAGGGGUAGUUUUGUAAUUUCACAUGCACUAAGUGGAUAUUUGAAUUAUGUGGUUGGAAAUAAAUUUAAUUGAAUUGGUAGAAGCCCAAUCCAAUUAAAUUUUAGAGGGGGAGGUGAGCAUUUGCUUACUACACCCCAUUGCCACAUCAUAUAGUCACACUUUGUGCAUGUCCUUCAUGCUUUUCAUGCCUCAUGACACCUAAGCACACUUAGUGGAGAAUCUUGGAAUUGAUCUUGGAUUAGUGGGCUGAACCAUAACUAAAAUUCACUAAUCAUAAUUAGUGAAAUUUUGGCUCCAAAGUUUGGCUCCACAAAUUCAAUUUCAAAUUCAAGUGAAAUUUGAAUUUCCCUCCAAUUUUGUGUGACACUUAGGCUAUAAAUAGAGGUCAUGUGUGUGCAUUUUUUUCAACUUUGAUCAUUUGAAUAUUAAACUUCAGAUUUCAAAGCUCAUUUAGAGCACAAAAUUUCGUGCUCUUCUCUCCCUCUCCCUUCAUUCAUCUCCUUCUUCCUCCAAGCUCUUAUCCAUGGCCUCCUAUGGUGGUGAGCUUCUUCUAGACUCAUCUUCUCCUUGAAGUGGCGUCUCCUCUCUCUCUCCCUUUCUCCAUUCCGCUGCCAUUCCUUUGCUUCUUAUAAGAUGAAUGAGUGAAAUGAGCCUUUUCUGAAUUUCAGUAUAAAUAUACAUAUUGCAAUAAACUGCAUAUGCAUGAGUGAAAUGAGCCUUUCCUGAAUUUUAUCUUCUUCUUCGUAGAGGUCACUGGUUCUCGAAACCAGCUUUCCCAUACUCAUCACGUAACAUUUUGAUGCUUUCAUUGAGAGCCAAUGACUGUCAUACUAGCUUCAACUACCGCAACCCAAACCACCCGCUAAACAGAGCUCCCGUGGCUGCCUUCCAUGGCUGCCAUUCCAGCCCAAACCACCGCAGUCCAUAGCAUCCGCCAAACCAUCUUGAACUUUCUCCCGCUAGCGAGGACCGCCUCGAGACCGCCCUGGCCAAACUCACCCUCAGUUAACUCAACCUCGCUGCUGUCGUCGACACCUUGGCCACCACCAUCGACAACCUUCUUCAGCGACUAAGCCCCCGUAAUCCCACUCCAUAUUUUUCAUCUUAUGCCCCUGUGCAAGCACCAGCCGCCAUCAUAUCACCUCUGCCGUCCAUGUCGACUCCACCGCCUAUGCCACCUCCGCCGUCCAUUCUGACUGCGCCUCCAUGUCCUACACCCGUGCAACCAUUCACCGCACCCUUGCUGACUCCACAUCCCAUGCCUGCUGCCUACCUCCCUGAUCUCGAACACACGCGCGCCAGUGUUUCAUGCAACAAGCUCGUCGGUACUGUUGCUCCGUAUGACCGUGCAACAACUCCUAAUGGUAAAGAUCUCGAAGGGAGAAACAUGAUGUUGUUUAAGAUAGGAACUGAAUACCAUGGACCUACCAUGGUUGCAUGCAAGCACCAACAAGUUGUUGACCAAGAGUAGUCUCGCCGGAACCGACCUUGGGAUCCUGGUAUUGAUUUUAGAAGCCACUGUUUGAAGCCCCAACACCUUGAGGACAAGGUGUUUUUGAUGGGCCUGGGAAUGAUACAGCUACACCACUAGGGGGGUCUGCAAGAAGUAAGGGCUAUAAGGCCCAAAAGGGAGACUGCACCACCAGCCUACUUGAAGGAUUACCUAUAGCAUGGUUAAUAGGAAGCAAAACGUGCUUUUUAGAUAAAUAGGUUGUUAAAAAAGAAUAAUAUUAUUAUCAUUCUGUUAGGAUAUUUUGUGAUUUUGUUUAUCUUUUUGUUAGUGUUGUCGAGAGCUUGUCACCCAACACUUAGCCUUAUAUAUGUACGAAGGUGCUUUCCUUUAGGAGGUAGUGAAAAUAAAAAUUGGACUUUCCUUUCUCCUUGCAUUAAGAGGUUGGUCCUCGAAUUCCAAGUGCUAUCUUCUUCUCUUCUUCUUCUUCUUCAGGAGGUGAUGGACCCUCGAAACCAGCUUUCCCAUACUCAACACGUAACAUUUUGGUGCUUUCAUUGAGAGCCCAUGGCUGCCAUACCAGCUUUAACUACCGCAACCCACACCACCCACUAAAUAGAGCUCCCAUGGCUGCCAUUCCAGCCCAAACCACCGUAGUCCACAGCACUUGCCAAAUCACCUUGAACUUUCUCCCGCUAGCGAGGACCGCCUCGAGACUGCCCUGGCCAAACUCACCCUCAGUCAACUCAACCUCGUCGCUAUCGUCGACACCUUGGUCACCACCAUCGACAACUUUCUUCAGCGACUAAGCCCUCGCAAUCCCACUCCACAAUUUUCAUCUUCUAAAGCAACUAGCAAGGAGCCUAGUAGAGAUAGUAACAGAGGGUGCUACUAGAAGCAAAGGUAAAGAGAGCAAUCACUAAACCUUCAUACCUGAAGGAUUAUGUGAUAUGAUCGUGGCUGAGAUGACAAUAGGAGGAUUUGCAGAGUAUUGAUGUCGUCCAGCAGGGGGGCAGCAAUAACCAAUUCUGUUUUUGGUUUAGGAUAUUUCCUAGCAUAGAAUCCCAAUUCUGUUAAGGAAUUUCAGUAUAAAUAUACAUAUUGUAAUAAAUUGUAGAUGCAUGAGUGAAAUGAGCCUUUCCUGAAUUUUAUCUUCUUCCUAGAGGUCACUGAUCCUCAAAACCAGCUCUUUAAUUUCCUGCACGUAUCAUUCUCCAUUCCCAACUUCCUUUCCUAAUGUUGAAUCCACCAACUAGUUUCCCUGCUAGCAUAACAAGAUUUAUUAUCCCUGGUCCUAACCAUGAUAAGAAGUGCAGUCCAAAAUAUUUCUAUCUACCCAGAAAAAAUAUAUAGAAAAAAUAAUCAUAACUUAUAAUGAACCUUGCCGCUAUCAAUGAUGUAAAUCCGAUAAAGAAUGUGAUUAGGAAACAAAUGAAUGAGAUCUUAUAGAAUACAUAAUCAGCAAAGUAAGCCAGAAAAAGAGGAAGGAUUUACUUGCCUCUUAGGUGGCCCUUGUGCUUGCACCUAUUGUGAAUGGCUGGGUCCCAGCCUUGGAAGUACGAAGAUGCAUAACUCUCCCUAAUUCGCUUGUAAUUUCGUCAUAUUUUUUAUUCUCCUCCUGUAAUAUAUAUAUAAAAAACAGUGAGGACUGAUUUUUCACUGGAAUUCCAAAGGACUAUAAAAUUCUUUAUAUGAUGUUAGACAAGAGGAAAUAAAAGAACAGCAUAGAGGAACUCGUAUGUGUAGGAUCAAUUCCUGCCACACAUUUAUAGCAAAAGCUUGAGCUAUUAUUUCUUUAUUGCUUUACAUCAAACAAAUACAGAAACAUCCUAAUAUUUUUGUUUUCCCAAAAUUAAACAGAGAUUCAUCCUAGUAAAUGAAGAACUGUAUCAACAUUUACCCAGAAAAACCCAGAGCAAUCAAAGAACAUUCAUCCUUUUCUAGAUUUUAUUAAAAUUGUUGACAUCAAUAUUUUCAGACAAAAAUAUUUGGACAUCCUCCUUAUGAUCUUAAGAACACAAAAAAAAUUAUCUCUCCAAAAAUCGUCAGAGAAAAAUAAUGAUCGAUCCAGAGCACGAACAUCCUCACUGGAAAGGCAGAGAAUGAACAUAGGGUUCAAUCCAUAUUCUUCCAACAAAAUUAUCAUAAAAAAUUUUGAAAAUUUUAUGGGAUACUACCAACCCAUAUAUCAACAUAAAUCAACUACCUUUUUUUUUAUUUUUAACAUUCCAGAACACAUUAAUUAAAAUAAAACAGAAUGGAUAGAAAACAGAGAACACUCAAACCUAAGUGAACACCUAUCAUUUUUUACCAAAAUGCGUGUACCAUUUAAGCUUCACAAUGAUAUAGACAUCACAUUUCCUUCAACCAAAUAUCCUUUUUAAUAACAUAAGAUGCAUCCAAGAUCAGAUCAAAACACCAAAAAUCAGAACAGGGCCAAAUUUCUCGGUGCAUGCGACACGGAUCCUCCAAAAUCAACAUGCAACCACAUAUAUCAUCACUUGCAUCCACGGAUUCGAGCAUCACCCAUCAAGCAAUUUGAAACUCAUCAAGCACCAAGUAGAGGUGCUUAGGACUUGUGAAAAACUCAUCAAGCAAUUUGAACGCAUCAACCACAAGCAAUUUGAAGUGCAAUGGAGACAUAGUCAGGGCUUAGGACUGGUGGAAAAUUAUGAUUAUCACCCUUUUCGAAAAAGCCUAGUUCUUCAAACUUCAAACAGUGACAAACCAAGUAGAUUUUCCAUUAUUUCCCUUGCUCACCUUAGUAUGAGGGCGAGCCCUGGUGCAGCGGUAAAGUUGUGCCUUGGUGACUUGGGAGCAAAUAUAUGAGUCUCGGCUUUACUUUACAAAUUUUUCAAAUUAAAAGGUGUAAUAAUGUAUAGAAUGCAAUGAAGACAUAGUCAGGGCUUAGGACUGGUGGAAAAUUAUAAUUAUAACCCUUUUCGAAAAAGCCUAGUUCUUCAAACUUCAAACAGUGGCAAACCAAGUAGAUUUACCAUUAUUUCCCUUGCUCGCCUUACUAAGCUGUUGUUAGUUUAAUUUACUUGGAAGAGAAUGAAAGGAGUAUAUGGGAGCAAAUAUAUGAGUCUCGGCUUUACUUUACAAAUUUUUCAAAUUAAAAGGUGUAAUAAUGUAUAGAAUAAUUGAACACUGUAGGCGAAAGAGGAAUUAUCUUGACCUUAGUCGCUAUAAUCCUUACAGAAGGCACAUCUUGAAUCAAAUUCCUUGAUCCCUCUCUUGACCUUAGUGGUCAAAAUAAUCUUGCAUAUACGAGUAAGAGAUAACUUUUAGGUUCUCUAAGUAUUGAUGAAUACCAUAAACUCAAGCUUUUACAAAGAGUGCAGUGCUCCUCUAUCAAUGCAGAUGAAAUUCAAGUUAUCCAAUCCCUCGAGCUGUAGUUCCUUCAGUUUCUGAAACCCUCCAUUUUGAAAAUGUAAUCUUUCACCUACAUAGGCCCUGGUCUGGAUAACGAGGAACAACAAAUUUGGCAUAUCUUUUAUUGAUUCUAAUGGAUCAUUAGUUAACUUGAAGUACAUCAAAGACAGUUUCACAAGAUUUUGGAAUCGUGGAAUCCAAUUUGGCAACUUUUUUAACUUUCCAUUGAGGAAAAACUUCCUAAGUCCAACCGGGAUCGACAUAAACUUCAUUGUUAUCUAUUGUAUCAAUAGGUAGUUUCUCCAAGAAUUGCAUCUCAUUUAUCGAGGAACAUAAAGUAUUUCCAUGUUCUCCCUUAAAAUUAGUGAUGCUCAGACUCCUUAACUGCUUUAGCUUUCCUAACUCUCUGAUCACCACUCCUUCAUCAUCCAUUAUCAGUGAAGAUAUCUUUUGUAGAGAUGUCAUGCCUCCAAUACUAUCCUUCUGAUACGUGCAAGGAAAAUAAGAAGGUUUCGAGGACCUAUAGGACCUCCAAAGAACAAAGGGAAUAAAGAAAAGGUAAUUCUCAUUCAUAUCUUGCUUGUUUAUUACAUAUGUAUUAUUUAUACUAUCUCUUCUAGCAAAUUCUGUUAUCGUUUUGUGCCUAAGAGAAUAUAGUUUGUUAUGCAUGUCUCCUCUAGUAUCGACAAGCGCCAAGCAAGAAGAUCACGAAAGAUUGCAUGCUAAAUUCCCUAUCUCAUCCUCAGACAAAGUCCCUGAGGUAAGAUGGUCUCGUCACUACCCUUUUGGGCUUUUUUGCUCUUUGCACCUGCUCUGUUGCUGUUGCUCUGUUUUCAGCACCUUUUGCAUUAGCUUCUAUUUUCCCUUCAGCUGAUUCUGCUUCCUUAUCACUCCACGGCCCUUGGAAAAGCACCUUAUCCCCAAGGUGAAAAUCGUGGCAAAGUUGAGACCAAUCCUCCCAAGAAGUGUCAUCAGGAGAUAGUCCCUGCCACUGGACUAAGACCUGCCAAGUCUCAUUGGGUGAAUCAGCCUUGCGAUAAUCCAGGAUUGCCAAAGGGGCUACGAUAGGCUGAUGAUCAAUAAUUUGGCCUGGUAAAGUGAGUGCAGUAACUUCAGGAUCCCCUUUAAAUGGUUUCAACAUAGAACAAUGAAAAACAGAGUGAAUUUUCGCUUCUGGUGGCAGCUGCAAUCGAUAGGAAACCUUGCCAAUACGUUCAAUGAUCUGAAAAGGUCCAUAAAACAUUUUAGCUAACUUUCCCGAGAAAACUUGAGAACCUUUGGCAGUGGAUUGACGAUGUGGUCUCAACUUCAGCAGCACCCACUCUCCGGGAUUAUAUGUCACCUCACGACGGUGGGUGUCAGCCUGGUCUUUCAUUGUAGCCUGUGCCUUCAAAAGUUUCUUGCGGAUGAAUUGAAAAACUUCAUCUCUGUUGGUCAUAAAGGUGUCAACUGCAUCGAGAUUAGAAGUUCCGGCAAUGUAUGUCGGAAAGUUGAAUGGUUUGCGGCCAAAUGUUACCUCAUAAGGUGUGGUGCCUGUUGCUGCAUUCCAUGAUGUAUUGUGGGAAUACUCCGCCCAUGCCAGAAACCUUCCCCAAUUUGACGGCUGAUGAUGAAUGAAACUCCUCAAAUAUUGGUCAAUGACGUGGUUUAAAACCUCUGUCUGGCCAUCACUUUGAGGGUGAUAGGCCAAACUCAUCUUUAAUUGCGUGCCACUAAGAUGAAAAAGUUUUUGCCAGAACUUGCUGACGAAGAGCGGAUCCCUAUCAGAGACCAAGCUCCGUGGCACUCCAUGGAUCUUCACAACCAAUUCCAGGAAUAGAGAGGCUACUGCGUGAGCUGUGUGUGCUGUGGGCAACAUUCCGAGAUGCACCCCCUUGAAAAAAUGAUCAACCACCACUAGAAUAACAGUAUUGCCGCGGAAAGGGGGUAAGCCGGUGAUAAAGUCAAGGGAGAGAUCCAUUAUAAAGUCAAGCGGAAAAGCGAUGUUGUUUAAGUUCUUUGGCUCUUAAAAGCUUUCAAGGUUGUCUCAAAUUCGUAAAAGAUAAGAAUAAAACUCAAAAUAAUUGAAAAAUGAUUUUUACAUAGUCUAAAAACCUAUAUAUAGCUUCGUAAAGAUAUUUUCUUGAAAAGGAGCACUACAAUCGUGGUUAGAAGUGACGCUGAAGCCUCGAACCAUUAUAAAUUGACUAUGAUCCUCUUGAUUUACCAUGAUCGUGGUCAAUUUACCAUGGCUAUUGUUGGAUCUUGAUGCUGUUUGGGAGGACUCUUAUCUCUUUAUUGUGAUCAUGCUGAUUAUCACGACUGUGAUCAAUGUACCACGAUAGUAAUCUAGUUAUGUAAAGUUCUUAAAUCUUCAUAAAUUUGUAUAAUUUCCUACUCUUUCACUCAAUUGAGUGGUUAUACUUUUGGAAUACAAAACUAGUGUCCAAUUGCAAAUUCUACCAAGAAAAUGCAUACAAAAUAACACAAAAAUUUGUACAAAAUAUCACUCACAAAGUGAUUUAUCAAUAACUUAUAAAAGUCCCAUUUUAGAAAACAUUGUUGUGUUGUUUUAUGAGAGUUAAAAUAUGUUUUUAAUCAAAAAGAUUUUUGAUGUUUUCAAACAUCAAGGAUUAAAAGGAAAAAAAAAGAGUGAAUAAACAAAAAAUUAGGCAAUUUAAUUGAAUAUUUUAGAAUUCAAUAAAAUUUUCAAAAUUUUUAAAAGUAAAAAAAAACCUUACUUUUUUGUCGUGCUAUUUCUUUAUUUAGCAUUGGUCCUCUAUUAAUAAACAAUUUAAUUUAGUAGUUUAAUUUUCAAAACGGUGCAAUUUGACCCCUUAGUAAACUUCUUGUUCUCACUGUUUGUUUUGUUUGUUUUUUAAAUUUUAAUAAACAAUUUAAUUUGUUCCUUUGUUUGAUUCAAUCUCAUCCCACUAUUAAUAAACAAUGUCAAGUGAAUUUGGACCGAAAAGAUAAAAUUGAAUCGAUUUGGAAUUAAGCGAUUAAAUUAAAGAUUAUAUUAUUAGGAGGACAAAAUUAAAUAAAAUAAAUAAUGAAUGAGAUAAAAAGAUAAAAUUAAGCCUUGAAAAAUUUAUCUAACUCCAGAUAAGUGAUAUAUAACUUGAUUUUAAUAAUAUAUAUUCGACCAUUAAAAUGUUUUUGAAAAAUAUGGGAUCAAACCUAAACAUAAAAGUUUGAGUACCAAAAUUGCUGAAGCACUAUGCUAAGAGGAUUAAAGUGCUAAGCCAAAAUCAAACAUGUCUUGUUACAAUACGAGUUCACCCCAAGCUUAACAUGUACAACCCAAAUUUUCACUCCAAUUCAAGUUCUAGAACGUGGGUUUGGUUAUACAAAACUGAGAGUACCCCAUCCUAUUUAUAGAGUUUGUCCAUCACAGAGCUCAACCAACUCGUUAUCAGAACGUGGGCUUGAGGAUAGGUACGUGAGUUUGUUACUGAAGGUUACAGAGAUAAAGGUUGAAUGUGGAAGGAAAAUGAAUUAGAUUCAGAAAACCAAAUUCCUGAAAAAUUGCAACUUGAAAAAUAAAAUAAAAGAACGUGGAACGUGGGCCGCACAACCAUUCCAACAUUCUCCCACUUAGUCCAUUUAACUCCACAUCAACCGUAACAAGAAACAUAAUAUAUGAGUCAUGUGAUAGGUCCUCUGAUGAUGAGUAAUGUCUUUCAUGUACCACAAUAUAUCAAGUCUCUCAACACUAGCUCUCAACUUAAUGAAUAAACCAUAUGUUUAUUCUAUAUCUAAACCGAAUGAUUUUUCUCGAAAUAAAUAAAUAUAUGCACAAAACCAUAUGAGAAAAUAUCUAACUAGAUAAGAGUUUCAUUGAAAAUAACAAAUGUACGUACAAUGAAAUUACAUCAUGGAACCAAGUCCCAUUCGUACUAUAUAAUCCUUAAAAUUUUUUGGUGGCAUGCCUUUAGUUAAAGGAUAAACAAUCAUCAACUCAGUGUUGACGUGUUCAAUGACCACUUUCUUUUCUUUAACACGUCCUCUUAUGGCUAAGUACUUGAUGUCGAUGUGCUUACUUCGACUUCCACUUUUAUUGUGUUAGCCAUAAACAUCGCAACAGAGUUGUCACAGUACAACUUUAAUGGCCUGAAAAUAGAGUCUGCAACUCUAAGGCCAAACAUGAAACUCUUCAGCCAUACACCAUGCGAGGUAGCCUCAAAACAAGAAAUGAACUCAGCCUCCAUAGUGGAAGUAGCAGUUAAGGUUUGCUUGGCACUUCUCCAAGAUACAGCUCCACCGGCUAACAUAAAAAUAUAACUAGAUGUUGAUUUUCGUGAAUCAAUGCAACUAGCAAAGUUUGAAUCAGAGUAGCCAAUCACUUCUAGACAAUCAGUUCAUCUGUACAUGAGCAUGUAAUCCUUUGUUCCUUGAAGAUAUCUCAUCACUUUCUUUGCAGCUUUCCAGUGGUCAAUACUUGGAUUACUCUGAUAUCUUCCCAAGACUCCAAUAGCGAACACAAUAUCAGGUCUAGUGCAAACCUGAGCAUACAUAAGGCUUCCAACUGCUGAAGCAUAUGGAAUAUUUUUCAUGUGUUCCCGUUCAAAAUCAUUUUUGGGAGAUUGACCCAAAUCAAGUUUAUCACCUUUCACAAUGGGAGCUACACUUGGUGAACAACUUUUCAUAUUAAAUCUCUUUAAAAUUUUGUUGAUAUAGGUUUCGUGAGACAAGCCUAAAAUGCCUCGAGAUCUUUCUCUAUGGAUCUUUAUGCCUAUGACAUAAGAUGCCUCUCUCAUAUCCUUCAUAUCAAAGUUCUUUGAGAGAAACUGUUUCACCUCAUACAGUAUACCCUUAUCAUUAGUCACAAGCAAAAUAUCAUCUACGUAUAACACUAGAAAACAAAUCUUACUCCCGCUGACCUUCUGGUAUAUACAGUGAUCCAUGACAUUCUCUUCAAAGCUGAAUGAAGAAAUGACCUCAUGAAAUUUUAAAUACCACUGGCGGGAGGCUUGUUUCAAUCCAUAGAUGGACUUAUUAAGCUUGUAGACUAAGUGCUCACCAACACUAGAUAAGAAUCCCUCAGGUUGUUUCAUGUAAACCUCUUCUUCUAGAUCACCAUUCAGGAACACUGUUCUCACAUCUAUUUGAUGCAGCUCAAGAUCAAAAUGAGCUACUAAUGCCAAAAUUACUCGAAGAGAGUCUUUCUUAGAUACAAGGGAAAAGGUCUCUGUGUAAUCGAUUCCUUUUCUUUGAAUGAAUCCUUUAGCAACAAGUCUUGCCUUAUGUCUCUCAAUGUUGCCUUCUAAGUCUUUCUUUGUUUAAAAGACCCAUCUACAUCCGGCGGCUUUUACACCAACUGGAAACUCAACGAGAUCCCAAACUUGGUUAGAUGCCAUAGAAUCCAUCUCAUCCCUCAUAGCAUUAUACCACAAAUUUGAUUCCUUAGAACUCAUGGCUUGUGAAAACGUCUCAGGAUCAUUUUCAACUCCAAUAUUGUAGUCUGAUUCUUGUAGGUACAUUACAUAAUCACUAGGAAUUACUAUCCUUUUUACUCUAGUAGAUCUUCUUAAUGCUGCUUGGUCAUCCUGCUGAGGAACUUGUUUAACCGAUUCUUCACCAGUUUGUUCAAUAUCAUCACAUUGUUCCUCACAAACAACUUGAUCUACAUGAUCACUUUCAACAGCUUGUGGAACUUCAAUCAUUAGUUGUCUAACACCCAUUUUAACUUAAGGGGUGGUAAUGACUACCAACCUGUUACUUAUCCCAGAAGGUUAAGCUUCAUAGUGAUCCCUUUCAGAAGAAAUGUUCUUAAAUUGAUCACUCCCACUGAUCAAGUCAUUUUCAUGAAACUUUGCAUUCCUUGAUUCUACAAUCCUAGUGUUGUGGGAUGGACAAUAGAACCUAUACCCUUUAGACUUUUCAGCAUAUCCAAUGAAAUACCCAGUAAUAGUCCCCAGUAAUAGUCCUAGGGCCUUGUUUCUUCUCUUGUGGAUUAUAAAUUCUUACUUCAGACGGGUAUCCCCAAACGCGUAUAUGUCACAAACUUGGUUUCCAACCCUUGAAUAACUCAAAAGAUGUCUUUGAGAUAGCCUUGGUUGGAACUCAGUUUAAUAUAUACACAACCGUCUUAAGUGCAUCAAUCCAUAAAAAUUAAGGAAAAUUUACAUUACUCCUCAUGCUUCUCACCAUGUCUAAUAAGGUUCAAUUUCUUCGUUCUGCCACACCAUUCUAAUCCGGAGAACCAGGCAUAGUGUAUUGGGCAACAAUCCCAUGUUCUUGAAGAAAUUUCGCAGUUGAACCUGAUUGUCCAUCCUCUGUGUAUCUACCAUAGUACUCCCUACCUUUAUUUGAUCUCACGAUCUUAAUUUGUUUUUUACAUUGUUUCUCAACUUCAGCCUUAAAAACUUUAAAGGCAUCUAAAGCUUCAUUCUUAGAAUGAAGUAAGUAGAGAUACAUAUAUCGUGAAUAAUCAUCUAUAAAGGUUAUGAAGUAUUUUAGACUAUUUGCAUCCAUGUCUGGACAACAUAUGUCUGUAUGUAUGAUUUCUAAUAAAUUAGAACUCCUCUUUGCACCCUUUUUAGACUUGUUAGUUUGCUUACCCUUAAUGCAAUCUACACAAGUCUCAAAAUCAGCGAAAUUCAAAGUACUAAGUACUCCUUCAUUUACUAAUCGCUUAAUUCUCUCAAUAGAGAUAUGUCCUAAUCUCCGGUGCCACAACAUAGAGGAUUCUUUAUUCACAAUACAUCGUUUUAACCCAACAGAAACAUGCAUAGAAUUAUAAGUAGCAUCGCUUUUCAAUUCAAUCGAAUGAAGACCAUCAAUCAAUUGACCACAACCAAUAAUUUUGGAUUUAUUCAGUAAAUUAAAACCAAAGUCUGUAAAAUUAAAAUAGAAUCCCAAAGGUGCAAGUUUAGAAACAGAAAUUAAGUUUUUACAAAAACUAGGAACAUAAAAAACUUUCUCCAAAUGCAAUUUAAAGCCACUACUUAAAACUAAGAUGCGCGUUCUAAUGGCCUCUACAUGCGAGCUCAUCCUACUCUUUGAGUAGAUGCACUGCUCACUUUCCACUGGCUUCCUUAGACUUUCCAUACCCUGCAAGGUAUUAGAAACAUGGAUUGUAGAACCAGAGUCAAUCCACCAUGUAUUAUGAUUCACAUUAAUCAUAUUAGAUUCAUAACAAAUGAAAGUAAAUAGUGUACCUUUAUUCUCAAACCAACUUUUAAAUUUGGGGCAAUCCUUCUUUAUGUGUCUUUUCUUUUUACAGAAGAAACACUUUGACUCCUUUGUAAUUGUUGGUUGAGUUGGAAUCCUUCCUUUAUUGGUCCCUACAGACUUCUUCCUAUCCUUUCCAAAAGUAGAAGUAGUCAAAUUUACCUUCUCACCCUCUUCCAUUAUCAAUCUCUCCUCUUCUUGAACACACAUGGUCAUCAGUUCAUUAAUAGACCAUUUAUCCUUAUGUGUGUUGUAGGAGAUUUUAAAGGGUGUAUACUAUUGAGGUAGGGAGCACAAAAUGAAAUGUACCAGGAAGGAUUCAUACAUGGUAACUUCCAAGAUUUUCAACUAAGCCUCUAUGUCCCUUAUGCACAUGAUAUGUUAACGCACACCUCUCGUUCCAGUAAGCUUAAUGGAAAAGAAUUGCAUAAUGAGUGUGCUAGCAAGCGACUUCUCAGAGGUCGUAAACUGUUCAUCAAUGGCUUUCAAAAGAUCUCUGACCUUAUUAUGUUGGUCAACUGAAUCCCGGAUAUUAGCGGAUAUGUUGGUUUUUAUGAACAUAGCGGAGAGACGAUUAGAUCUCUCCUACUUUUCAUAAAGGUCAACAACAUCAGGUUCCCUAGUUUCAGUAAUAGCCGGUGGCUCAUCCUUCCUUAUAGCAUAGUCAAUAUCCAUCCAGCCCAAAUGAAGGAGAAUUCUUACCUUCCAAACCUUAUAAUUAUCACCUUUCAAUAUGGGAAGGUCACAAGAAAUUAAUAUUCAUAGAUUGUGAAAUUGCAAACAAACACACAUGCUCAUUAAGAAAAUUUGAGACUAAACAAAUGUCAUGUUUUGUCAAUGCAAAUCAUGUCUCAAUAUAUGAAUCUAGUGACACAAAACUUGCCUAUGGGCUAAAGUCCUACUCAAUUAGAUUCAUCAUGCAAAUUUAAGAUAAAACUAUUAAAUCAUGUUCUUUUCCUUAAUUCUUGUGGGUAAAUUAAGAAAUAUAAUCUAAUAUUUUAUCCUAAUUAAUCAUACAAAUACAACAAAAUUCCUGUAGGUAGAUUUCAUCACAUUACAUAUUAUUAAUCACAAUUAAUGUUUCUAAUGUGAUUAUAAAGUUAGCAUAUAAUUUUACUCAAUUAAAGAUAUUGUGGCUACUCUCUAAUUUAAUAAAAUUAUAUUAAUCACUUAACAUUCAAAAAUAAUCUUUGCAUAACAUACUUAAUAAUACAAAUGUGCUCAAUAUUAAAUCAUAAAAAUUACUUGUAUACCAAUUCAAAAUAAUAUUAUACGUAUAUCCAUUCAACAUGUAAUAAACUUUAAAGGAUCAAAUCCAAUGCAUACUAGUAUUUAACAUAAUAUUGCAUGUUCAACAUAACUUAGAGACACACAAUUUUAAAUAGCUUGCACAUAAAUGAUUUAUCCUUCAGCAGUUAUAAAAAUAAACAAAUAAAUUGCAAUAGCUUAAUGGCAAAGGGAGUCAUUUCAUGCUAUAGUAAACAAAACACGUGCAUGUGCGUCUUCUUCCUCCGGCGUAUCACAUUAUUUUAAUAUAUAAAAGUUAGCUUCCCUUUAUGCUUUCUAAAAAGCUUCAAACUUUUAAUAUUUAAAUAUUAAAUUCAGAUAUAAAAGUUAGCUUCCCUUUUACGUUUUUUGAAAAGUUUCAAACUUUUAAUAUUUAAAUAUUAAAUUCAGCUUUCUGAGAAGUGUACGCUUUCAAAAAUUCCGUUUAACGCUUAUUGUUCACCUUUCUUCUCUAAUUGAACAAAAGCAGAAUAGAAGCAAGGCAGAGGCACUAUGAAGCUUUGAUACCAAAUGUAAAUUAAACAGGUACUCAUCUAAACAUGUAAAUCAAUUGAAAUGGCACAUUUAGAUCAAACAGCGGAAACUAAAUAUUACGAGCGUACCUUUAGCCAUUGCAGAUCGAACGCGAAGUGACGCAUACACGAACCCAAAGGCAUCUUUGUUCUUCCAGACCCUUACUCGCUCUAAAUAGAUGGUGUAUUUUUCUGAAUAGAGGAGUGACUCUGUCCAUCAUAGAGUUCAACCAACUCGUUAUUAAAACAUGGGCUUGAAGAUAAAUACGUGAGUUUGUUACUAAAGGUUAUAGAGAUAAGCGUUGAAUGUGAAAGGAAAAUGAACCAAAUUCAAAAAACAAAGUUCCUAAAAUAUUGCAUCGGGAAAAAUAAAAUAAAAGAACGUGGAAUGUGGGCCGAACGACCAUUCCAACAGAAUCCACCAAGUUGUUUCCCUGCUAGCAUAACAAGAUUUAUUAUCCUUGGUCCUAACCAUGAUUAAGAAGUGCAGUCCAAAAUAUUUCUAUCUGCCCAGAAAAAAAUAUAUAGAAAAAAUAAUCAUAACUUAUAAAGAAACUUGCCACUAUCAAUGAUGUAAAUACGAGAAACAAUGUGAUUAGGAAAAAAAUGAAUGAGAUCUUAUAGAAUACAUAUCAGCAAAGUAAGCCAGAAAGAGAGGAAGGAUUUACUUGUCUCUUUAGCUGGCCCUUGUGCUUGCAACUAAUGUGAAUGGCUGGGUCCCAUCCUUGAAGUUCUAAGAUACAUAACUCUCCCUAAUCCGCUUGUAAUUUCGUCAUAUUUUUUAUUCUCCUCCUGUAAUAUAUAUAAAAAAACAGUGAGGACUGAAUUUUCACUGGAAUUCCAAAGCUUUUACGUGAACAAAAUAUACUUAUUAAUUCCUUAGUAAAACGCCCGUCGGUAAUAUAUAUAAAAUGAAGAAAGAAUUAAUAAUUAAGAAUAAGUGUAUAAAUAUAAUUAGAUGAAAUUAGGGUGAGCUCAAAAGUCUGAUUCUAUAAAGAUUGAUUUUGAUACCUCCAAUGCAUCCUAGCUUGUUCACUUGCAGCCCUCUAUAUAGCUUUGUUCUUCGUCUUCUUCCCUCUUCUCUACAUAUACAACAGAAUAGAUAUGAUCGAAACCUUAAGCGUCUCUCAUUAAUAUUUUUUGCUUUAGUUGUUGUCAUUGUUAUCUAUCUCCACUUUUGUAUUGGUUCUCAUUCUGUUUCGUCCAUUCCACUAUCCCAGAGAUACCAGAAAGUUCCCUUUCAACAACUCAGUCAUGCCAUGUGGGGAGUAGAGACAAGUUGAGAGUACUGCAUGUAUGGCGUGGUCAUGCCAUGUAUUUUUUUAUUUAUUAUUAUUUGCCUUCAAUCUCACGUCACGUUCUCAUCAAACAAAUACUGAAACAUCCUAAUAUUUUUUUCCCAAAAUUCAACAGAGAUUCAUCCUAGUAAGUGAAGAACCGUAUCAACAUUCACCCAGAAAAACCCAGAACAUCAAAGAACAUUCAUCCUUUUCUAGAUUUUAUUAAAAUUGUUGACAUUAAUAUUUUCACACAAAAAUAUUUGGACAUCCUCCUUAUGAUUUUAAGAACACAAAAAAAUAAUUAUCUCUCCAAAAAUCGUCAGAGAAAAAAUAAUGAUCGAUCCAGAGCACGAAUGUUAGGUGCAAAACGAUAACUGGCUUCGAGGACCAGAAAUCUCCAGAAGAUUAGAGAGGAAGAAGGAGAAAGAGUAAGGUAAAGGAAAAUUUUAUUCAUAUUCUUGCUUGUUAUUUACAUAGAUAUGUAUAGCAAUUCUCCUAACAGAAUUGUGCCAUUUUGCUCAAGGAAUAUUACAGGUAUCAGAAUUUGUUAUUCUUGUCGGAUGAAAUGAGACAAGCACAACCCAAGCAAGAUCUUUGCUGCUGCAUUGCCCUAUUUGUCCUUUGCUUCAUACGUAAUCGUGAAGGUAUGAUGGUUUCGCUGCCCUUCUCUUGGACUUUUCUUCUUUUCGCACCUCCGGUUUGCUGGAUAUUGCCAUUUUCUUCUCUGUUUCUGCUUUCUUGUUGUCUGCUUCUGGUUUCUUGUUCAUGUUGCCUGCUUCUGAUAACCUAUCAUAUCGUCACUGGAAAUGCAGAGAAUGAACAUAGGGUUCAAUCCAUACUCUUCCAACAAAAUUAUCAUAAAAAAUUCUGAAAAUUUUAUGGGAUACUACCAACCCAUAUAUCAACAUAAAUCAACUACCUUUUUUAUUUUUAACAUUCCAAAACACAUUAAAUAAAAUAAAACAUAAUGGAUAGAAAACAGAGAAUACUCAAACCUAAGUGAGCACCUAUCACUUUUUACCAAAAUGCGUGUACCAUUUAAGCUUCACAAUGAUAUAGACAUCACAUUUCCUUCAACCAAAUAUCCUUUUUAAUAACAUAAGAUGCAUCCAAGAUCAGAUCAAAACACCAAAAAUCAGAACAGGGCCAAAUUUCUCCAUGCAUGCGCAUGGAUCCUCCAAAAUCAACAUGCAACCACAUGUAUCAUCACUUGCAUCCACGGAUUCGAGCAUCAACCAUCAAGCAAUUUGAAACUCAUCAAGCACCAAGUAGAGGUGCUUAGGACUUGUGAAAAACUCAUCAAGCAAUUUGAACGCAUCAACCACAAGCAAUUUGAAGUGAAAUGGAGACAUAGUCAGGGCUUAGGACUGGUGGAAAAUUAUGAUUAUCACCCUUUUCGAAAAAGCCUAGUUCUUCAAACUUCAAACAGUGACAAACCAAGUAGAUUUUCCAUUAUUUCCCUUGCUCACCUUAGUAUGAGGGCGAGCCCUGGUGCAGCGGUAAAGUUGUGCCUUGGUGACUUGUUGGUCAUGGGUUCGAAUCCGGAAACAGCCUCUUUGCAUAUGCAAGGGUAAGACUGCGUACAACAUCCCUCCCCCAUACCUUCGCAUAACGAAGAGCCUCCGGGCAAUGGGGUACGAAGUUUUUCCCUUGCUCACCUUAGUAAGCUGUUGGAGUUGAGAGAAGUUGAUAAUGAAUUCUUCCAAGUUCGUAUAAAUGAUUCCCCUUUCCAACAUCAAAAGGAAAGUGUUAGUUUAAUUUAAUUGGAAGAGAAUGAAAGGAGUAUAUGGGAGCAAAUAUAUGAGUCUCGGCUUUACUUUACAAAUUUUUAAAAUUAAAAGGUGUAAAAAUGUAUAGAAUAAUUGAACACUGUAGGCGAAAGAGGAAUUCUCUUGACCUUAGUCGCUAUAAUCCUUACAGAAGGCACAUCUUGAAUCAAACUCCUUGAUCCCUCUCUGACUAAUGUAGUAGUCAAAAUAAUCUUGCAUAUACGAGUAAGUGAUAACUUUUAGGUUCUCUAAGUAUUGAUGAAUACCAUAGGCCUGGUGCCUCCAAGAGUCGUGGGAUUGUCAUAAACUAAAGCUUUUGCUAAGAGUGCAGUUCUCCUCUAUCUAUGCAGAUGAACUUCAAGUUAUCCAAUCCCUCGAGCUGUAGUUCCUUCAGUUUCUGAAACCCUCCAUUUAGAAAAUGUAAUCUUUCACCUACAUUGGCCCUGGUCUUGAUAACGAGGAACAACAAAUUUGGCAUAUCUUUUAUUGAUUCCAAUGGAUCAUUAGUUAACUCGGAAUACAUCAAAGACAGUUUCACAAGAUUUUGGAAUCGUGGAAUCCAAUCUGACAACUUUUUUAACUUCCCAUUGAGGAAAAGCUUCCUAAGUCCAGCCGGGAUCAACAUAAACUUCAUUGUUAUCUAUUGUAUCAAUAGGUAGUUUCUCCAAGAAUUGCAUCUCAUUUAUCGAGGAACAUAAAGUGUUCCAUGUUCUCCCUUAAAAUUAGUGAUGCUCAGACUCCUUAACUGCUUUAGCUUUCCUAACUCUCUGAUCACCACUCCUUCAUCAUCCAUUAUCAGUGAAGAUAUCUUUUGUAGAGAUGUCAUGCCUCCAAUACUAUCCUUCACUGCAAUUGAAGAUAUUUCGUUAGCCAGAAGAUGACGUAGCUUUAAAAGCUUGCUAAUCUCCUUUGGUAUCUCAAACACUUUUGUUUGUCUUACAUCCAAUGAUAUGAAUAGUGGAAGAGAGGUGCAGGAAGUAACUCAGGGUCUAGACAGCAAUGAGGGGGUGCAAGGAGGAAAACCAAAGAGAACUAUUCACAGGCCUGCAUACCUGAAAGAUUAUGCGUGACCAAGCUGAGCUGGAAUAGAGAAUAGAGAAUCUGCUGAGAUUGUUGUCGAGCCUCAGGGGGCAGCAAUACCAUUUUCGUUAUGCUUGUAAUCUUUUCCUUCAACAGAAUCACAAUUCUGUUAGGAAUAUAGCUUUAUAUAUAUGACCACUGUAAUAACAGCAGAUAUAGAAGAAAUAUAUACAACUUUACCUUCUCUGUUCUCUGCGUUCCUUUCUUCUUAGGAGGUUCUGGGCCUCGAACCCAGCUCGCGUCUAUCAUUUUUGGUGCUCUCGUUCACCAUGUCUGAUUCCUCCCAUACCCUUGGUUCUGCAGUCACCCUCGAAGCCGCCAUUCUCAAACUUCCCCAACACCAAAUGUCCCUCAGUGAAUCCGUCCACAACAUGACCCAGAAAUUUGAUGAACUCCUCCUUCGCUUACCACUCUCCCCGAUUCAACCGCAACCCACUUCUGCUCCUACCCUCACCUCCCCUGUUCCUGCAACACAGCAUCGUAUGAAACUUGACAUACCCAGGUUCGAUGGCACUGACCCUUGCGAGUGGGUGUUCAAAAUCAACCAAUACUUUCAAUACCACGCUACCCCAGAACAUGAACGUCUUACCAUUGUUGCCUUCUACAUGGAGGGUCGAGCACUGGCGUGGUUCCAGUGGAUGACCAGCAAUGGUCAACUGACAUCGUGGCCCCCUUUCCUCCACGCCUUGCAGACUCGAUUCGCCGCCACCACGUACGAGGACCCUACGGGCUCCCUCUUCAAGUUGACGCAGACCGGCACGGUGGCUCAAUAUUUGUCCGACUUCGAGGACUUAGCCAACAGAAUCGUUGGUCUCCCUGCGCAAUUCCUCUUGAGUUGCUUCAUUUCGGGCCUCAUGCCCGAAAUACGCCGUGAGGUUCAGGCGUUGCAGCCUAUGACCCUUGUGCAAGCCGCGGGUCUCGCUCGCCUCCAAGAAGACAAGCUUCUGGAUACACGCUCCUCCUUCCGUCACCGUGCACCGCCGACUUUGACGAUACCGGUUUCUCGCCCAGCUCCCACUACGACCCUCUUACCCUCUCCACCUUCUCGCGUGCCCACCCCUCGCUCACCCACACCGCGACCUCCACCCACUCUGAAAAGGCUCUCACCGGAGGAGAUGAUCUCCCGCAGGGAACGCGGGCUGUGCUUUAAUUGUGACGAGAAGUACCAUAGAGGUCACAGAUGUGCCUCUAGGGUUUUCUUCUUGGUUGCUGAAGAAGACCCAGCUGCUGAGGUUAAUAUAGAGGAACUGGACCCAGGACCCGAACCACCCGCGACCCAUGACCCGUUAGCGACCCAAAUCAGUUUCAAUUCUUUGGCGGGUCAUUUAGCCCCGGAAACGCUCUGACUGUUAGGGAUGCUCUCCGGCCACCAGGUUAUCAUCCUCGUGGACGGGGGUAGCACCCAAUUCCGGCGACUCCUCCGUAAACCACAUACGGGAGUCUAUUUUCACAUCACCGUGCUCGAAGACGAACCUCAGACUGGUAAGAGUCCCCACCCACGUCUUCAAUAUUUAAUUGAUCGUUUCCUUGCCUUAUUUCAGCCCCCUUCUUCGCUGCCACAAGCUGCGCCGGUCAACGUAUGACCUUAUCGUUAUCCACAUUACCAGAAACACGAGAUUGAGUCGCAGGUUGAAUCAAUGCUCCAGAAAGGACUCAUUCGCCCAAGUAACAGUCCCUUCUCCUCCCAUGUGCUUCUGGUUCGCAAACAGGAUGGGUCAUGGCGCUUUUGCGUGGACUACAGAGCUUUAAAUGCAAUCACGGUGCGUGAUCGGUUCCUGAUACCCACCAUUGACGAGCUCUUAGACGAAUUGGGCAAAGCUUGUUGGUUCUCCAAACUUGACCUGCUCCAGGGGUAUCAUCAGAUCAGAAUGAACUCCGACGACAUUGCCAAGACUGCAUUCCGUACGCACCACGGGCAUUAUGAAUUCAAAGUCAUGCCCUUCGGCCUCUACAAUGCGCCGUCGUCAUUUCGGGCGACCAUGAACAUGAUUUUCCGGCCAUUCCUUCACAGAUUCGUGAUCGUCUUUUUCGAUGACAUCUUGAUUUAUAGUGUGACAUUUGAUGAUCAUCUUGUUCAUCUGGAACAAGCCUUCCAAGUCUUAGCUGAGAAUCAAUUCGUCCUCAAAUUGACCAAAUGCUCUUUCGGUCAACCUCAGGUGGAGUACCUGGGACAUAUGGUUUCUUCGAAGGGCGUUGAGCCUGUGGCUUCCAAGGUCAGCGCCAUACACCAUUGGCCCGUUCCAAAGUCAACUCGUGCUCUACGGAGUUUUCUUGGACUUGCGGGAUUUUACAGACGCUUCAUAAGGGGGUAUGCUUCCAUCGCGACACCUCUGGUGCGAGUCACCACGGUGGAACCCUUCCAAUGGACCACUGAAGCUCAGGGAGCAUUUAGCAUGUUGAAGAAGGCUUUGUCGGAGGCUCCAGUUCUCGCGCUUCCCGAUUUCCAGGUUCCCUUCACUAUGGAAACGGAUGCUUUUAGGGUAGGGAUGGGUGCCAUUCUCUCUCAGCGAGGCCAUCCUAUAGCUUAUUUUAGCAAGCCAUUCCCCCCGAAACUCCACCAUGCCUCUACUUAUGUCAGGGAAUUAUUCGCAGUGACCACCGCAGUCCGGAAAUGGAGACAAUAUAUCCUUGGGCACCGUUUUACAAUCAUUACAGAUCAUCGGAGUUUGAAGGAACUCCUCACCCAAGUCAUACAAACUCCCGAACAGCACAUGUACUUGGCACGACUGAUGGGGUUUGAUUAUCAGAUACAAUUUCGUUCCGGCGCAAGCAACCAGGCAGCAGAUGCCUUAUCGCGGCUCCCAGAGCACACCACUUCCUUGUUCUUGACACUAUCAGUACCCUGCCUGACAUUCAUGGACGAAUUACGAGCUCAGUUGACAGCGAGUUCUGAAUUCCAGGACAUGGUCAAAGCCAUUCAAACAUCACCCUCAGUGUAUCCUGAUUACACUAUUGUCAAUGAUUUGGUACUCAGAAAAGGGCAAAUUUGGCUCCCUUCCAAACUUGCUCUCAUUCCUACAUUGUUGACCGAAUUCCACGCAACACCCACUGGGGGACACUUGGGAACUGCCAAGACAGUAGCACGCAUAAUGGAGAACUUCCACUGGACUGGCUUAAGGAAAGACGUUGCUGACUUUGUAGCUCAAUGCAUGGAUUGUCAGAGUGUGAAAUACGAGACAAAACGAGUAGCCGGACUGCUUUGCCCCUUACCCAUUCCUCACCGGCCAUGGGAAGACCUCUCCCUUGACUUCAUUGUUGGCCUUCCCCCGUAUCAUGGUCACACUGUUAUUCUUGUUGUUGUGGAUCGAUUUUCCAAAGGGAUCCAUUUGGGCAUGUUGCCCACAGUCCAUACAGCCCAUUUUGUAGCUUGUCUGUUCAUGGAUAUCGUCGGAAAGAUUCAUGGUAUGCCCCGGAGCUUGGUAUCGGACCGUGACCCUCUUUUCGUAAGUCGUUUUUGGCAGGAAUUGUUCCGGCUUAGCGGUACUCAGCUCCGCAUGAGCUCUGCCUACCAUCCACAGAGUGAUGGUCAAACAGAGGUGUUGAACAGAGUUAUUGAGCAGUGCCUCCGUUCGUUCAUACAUCGCCGGCCGAGCUCAUUGGGUAAAUUUCUCCUCUGGGUUGAAUGGUCUCACAACAAGUCGUGGAACGCGGCCACUGGGUCCACGCCAUAUGAAGUCACCUUUGGCCGGAAACCCUUCAACUUCCCGGAAUACAUUACUGGUUCAUCCAAUGUGGACGCGGUGGAAGAGAUGCUGACCAAUCGUGAGGAGACUUUCCUAUCUAUUCGAAAGAAACUCCUUAAGGCACAAGCUCAGAUGAAGCAUUAUGCAGAUGCAAGGCGGAGGAACGUGGAAUAUCACCCGGGAGAUUGGGUCAUGCUCAAAUUGUGACCACACCGUCAAUCUUCAGCUAAACACUCGCAGGCAACGUCGGGCAAGUUAUCUAAACGGUAUUAUGGGCCGUUUCAGAUAUUGCAACGUGUUGGACAGGUCGCGUAUAAGCUGCAGUUACCUGAGGGUGCUAGAAUUCACCCGAUAUUCCACUGCUCUGUUUUGAAACCUUUUAAAGGUUCACCGGAGACGAUGGAGCCAGUAGCCCUGCCGUCUCGCUUUGAUCAGAAUCAACCACUCAUUGCACCCUUAACGAUUCUAGACUAUCGCCAGCGUACGGAUAAGAAGUGGGAAGUUUUGGUUCAGUGGGAGGGCUUAUCUCCCGACGAGACGACAUGGGAGGAGCUAGACCAGCUUCGCCGUGAUUACCACCUUGAGGACAAGGUGUUUCUGCAAGGGCCAUGGAAUGAUAUGAAUAGUGGAAGAGAGGUGCAGGAAGUAACUCAGGGUCUAGACAGCAAUGAGGGGGUGCAAGGAGGAAAACCAAAGAGAACUAUUCACAGGCCUGCAUACCUGAAAGAUUAUGCGUGACCAAGCUGAGCUGGAAUAGAGAAUAGAGAAUCUGCUGAGAUUGUUGUCGAGCCUCAGGGGGCAGCAAUACCAUUUUCGUUAUGCUUGUAAUCUUUUCCUUCAACAGAAUCACAAUUAUGUUAGGAAUAUAGCUUUAUAUAUAUGACCAUUGUAAUAACAGCAGAUAUAGAAGAAAUAUAUACAACUUUACCUUCUCUGUUCUCUGCGUUCCUUUCUUCUUAGGAGGUUCUGGGCCUCGAACCCAACUCGCGUCUAUCAUCCAAGGUCUCCAUGUUCUGGAGCUUACCAAUGGAUUUUGGAAGACUUUCUAUCUGUGUAUACCAUGAAGCUCAGAUACUUCAAGUGUAUUAAAUUCCCCCAAUUUUCAGGAAGAUGAUAUAGUAUAGCAUCUUCAAAAUCAAGUACCUUCACUGGUAUGUAUUUUUCAAGUAUUCCACUGAUUAAGUAUUCGGAUAACUUUUGCUUUGUGAAAAUUAGAACUGACCGAAUGCGUGAUCUUUCAGUAUUUUCAAUUAAAUCAUUGGAAUCUGAUGCUAUUGUUAAGCGUCUAACGAUCGCACUUGACAUCAAUUGGUUAUCCUCAUCAAUAUACUGACAAAACCUUGAUCCAAGGAUCAUUUCAUGUAUUAAGUCAUAAACACGACGUUCUUUAACUUUGUCAUCUAUGGUAAAUGAAGAUACUUGCACCAAACUUGUAGUGAUCCACUCCAUUAAAUGUUGUUAUGCAACUUCUUCUAAAAUUCUCUCACUUUCAUGUUUGACAAACCCUUCAGCUAUCCACUGCCUAAUCAAUCUUCGAGAUUUAACUUCAUCAUCUUUCGGAUAUGUAGCAUCUCAUUUUUUGUAAAAAAAUUAAAAAGGCUUUUUUAGUAAAAAAAAGAUAGAGUUUUAGAAAAUGAUGAGAUUUUAUAAUUAAAAAAAUAAGGAAAAAUAAAUAUAUUAAAAUAAUAGUUUGGAGGAAAAAAAAAUACUUGAUUUAUUCAUUUGAUAGAAAAUAAAAUAGAGUAUUUAUUUAUAAAAUAAUAAACAAAAAAAAGAGCAAAUCCUAGCUAUAAAUAAAGACAUCUUAGGUCAAUUCUCAAUUUCGUUUUCCCUUCUCCUUCUCCCAAAAUUCUCUUUUUUCCAUAUACUACCAAACCUGUCUCAGAAAAAUUAUGAUCUCGGACUCAUUCACCAUUGGAUUAUCAUGAAAUUUGAGAAGCAGGUUAGAAACUUAUUCCCAAACAUUCUCACCGUUGGGAAUAACAAAAACAUAUCGGAACAGAGAGAAAUACCCUUUACAUUGUAGUUUUUUUUCCUACAGAAACCCAAAAUUAUUUCAGUAAAACUAUGAUCCUGAACUUGUUAACCGUUGGAUUGUCAUGAAAUUGUGAUAUGCGGUUUGAAAUGCAUUUCUGCACAUCUUUACCGUUGGGGUAUGAAAAAUAACAUAUGUGGAGGGAGAAAUACUCAUUGCAUGUAGACAAUUGAAUGAAGACUUCAAUCCCUUUUUCUUCACUCUAACGUUUGGGAAUCCUAUCAGAGGAAAAACUUGAGGAAUCUCAGGAAACCGCUAAAGAUGCCACUAUUGCUAUCACAAUACACACGUGAGUUCUGUUAGAGGUAAGGGAUGAGUUAUUCACAAUUGGGGAGUAGUGAGAACAUGUGUAGGAAUCCUUAGAGUAUCAAUUGGAAUGAGUUUUUGGGAUGUUUCUGCAAAUUAUGAUUUUAUCCUUACAAUUAUAACUAUGAAUUAUAUAUGUUUGACGAACCAAUUAAUGUUCCAAUGUGAAAUUGCGGUGAAAUUGAUGUAUUCUUAUGUUGAGUGUGAAGCCUUAAAAAAAUUGAGUUCUUUUUAUUAACGUGAAUUAUACUCUAAAUAAUAUUCUUUAAUGACUUAUUUUAUACAAAUUAUUAUCUUGUUCUAUAUUUUCCACGAUGAUGAUCAACUUGUUAUGUGUGUGUAUAUAUAUAUAUAUAUAUAUAUAUAUAUAUAUAUAUAUAUAUAUAUAUAUAUAUAUAUAUAUAUAUAUAUAUAUAUAUAUAUAUAUAUAUAUUGUAAUACUAAAUAAUAAAUUAAAGAAAGUUGUAAGCUUAAUGCUUAGUAGUAAUUUCUUUUGAUGUAAUCUUGAAUUAAUUGUUGUAGAAACUCUUUUGAUUAAAAAUAAUGUAGUUUGAUUUACUAUAUAUAUAUAUAUAUAUAUAUGUUUUGCUUUGUGUCAUGCAAAUAUUAUUACUGUGUGAUGUGUUGUUAGUCGUCAUUUACGACUAACUUUUUUAUUGAAAAACUUUAUGAAAUUUAUGUCUUUUUUCCAAUUUAUGGUUCUUUUUGUAGGGUUGUGUAUACUUUUAGCUUAGUUUAGUUUUUAUGCAGAGAUAUUCACUUCAAUGAGCAUUAAUGAGUUUUCAACUUCAGUUUCAGGUAAAAAGAUGGAAAAAUAGAAGGUUGUUGCAGUUGGUGUCUCGCUAAGCGAGCAACAUCCGUUAAGCGAGACAGCAACUCGCUUAGCGAGUCAAAGGAAUCUAAAAGAGAAUCUGUCACGCAUGCACACGCCUAGCGCGCCAUCAACUCGCCCAGAGAGUCAUUUGUCUCUUCUGGCGCCCUGCGCGCCUGGCUUGCUAAGCCAAAAGUCACUUACUCGCCUUAGCACGAAAAUGGCGCUAAGCAAGCCUUCGAGGACAGAAAGCCCUUAAAAGCUGAAGUUGGCGAAAAAGGAGGAGUUUUUUUUAUCGGAGCUUUGGCAUAGAACAAUUGGGCACUACGUGAAAGACACAAGGGAGCACCAAAAACCCCAGCUUUCAAGAGGAUCUAAGGUUUUAGGUUAAUUUGUAGGUUCCUAGAGGUGGAGGAGACAUCCCCACCACUAUGUAAUCUGUAUUUUGCUUCCAAAAACCCUUAUUGUAGCUAAAAGGUGGUACCUUGCCAUGGAAGGCUAAAGCUUUUGUUGGGUAAUUCUAGUGAGUCUUGAUGUAAAUAUUAUUUACUAUCUAUUUAAUGUUCUUUUGUUGUGUUCAAUGUUUCUAUUUGCAUUUAAUUCUUGCAUGUUUUUGGUCUGAUCACCCAUUUGUAUGUAAAGUUAGGAUUUUUAGCAUUAAAAAAUGUUUUGAAUCCUUAGAACUCGAUAGAGUAGGGCUAGAUAACUGUAUUGUCUGGACACGGAAUACAGGGACUCUAGUUUGUAUUAUGCUGUGACCUUAAUGUUGUUCGGUUAGGCUAAGUUCGACGAGGGAUCCGAGAACGAAGUUUAAUUAGAAUUAGCCCAUUCAUGCGAGACAUCGGUGUAUGGGAUAAUUGUCCUCAGCAUAGAACACAGGAACAACAUUAGAUAAAGAAAAACCUUUAAUUGCAUCAAGUAACUCAGUAGAAAACCCAACAUUUUUAUCAUUGGUUUAUCUUUUGUAUUUAGAGUUAAUUCUGUAGUUAUCUUAAGAAUUACAAAUAUCUCUUUUGUUUAAUUCCAUUUCAUGCUUUUCUUAUACAAAUGUCUAUUUACUGAAUGAACGUUUUUCCAAAUGUCACAAACUCCCUGUGUUCGAUACUCGGUUCUUACCGUUUUAUAUUACUUGUGACUCAGUACACUUGCUAAUAAAAGAUUUUCUAGUACUGAGUUAGUGUCUGAACAAGUUUUUGGUGCCGUUGCGGGGGAGUUUAUUUCCAUUUAGGAAAGUUUAGUUCAGUUUGUAGACAUUGAUUCUUUAUUCUUUGAUUAAUUUUUGUAUGAAUAUUUAGUUAGUUCAUAAUUUGUUUUUCUCUUGAAUUGGUUAACCCCUACUCUUGCUAGUGCUUUAUAUGUGAGGUAAAUCUUCUGCAGGUGAUUUGGUUCCAUUGGAUUUGGAAAUUGAUGCCAGAUGUAGAAGAAACAACGCAGAAAGAAGAAGGAAAAUCUUGUAGGACAGGACAACACCGCCACACAUUUAUAGCAAAAGCUUGAGCUAUUAUUGCUUUAUUGCUUUAUACAGCUGCAUCAAACAAAUACAGAAACAUCCAAAUAUUUUUUUCCCAAAAUUCAACAGAGAUUCAUCCUAGUAAGUGAAGAAACGUAUCAACAUUCACCCAGAAAAAUCCAGAACAUCAAAGAAAACAUUCAUCCUUUUCUAGAUUUUAUUAAAAUUGUUGACAUUAAUAUUUUCACACAAAAAUAUUUGGACAUCCUCCUUAUGAUCUUAAGAACACAAAAAAAGAAAUUAUCUCUACAAAAAUCGUCAGAGAAAAAUAAUGAUCGAUCCAGAGCAUGAACAUCCUCACUGGAAAUGUCACACCCUCUACCCCGACAUAUAUAUAAAUAAGUAAAAUAUAUAAAAAUCUCAGUAAACCAAUUCACGUGGAUAAAAGGUUCACAUUCAUUUCACUAUUAUUAAUUAAAACUUAUUAAAAACAUAUUCGACUCAAAAUAAGGCCGUCAAAAUUUACAAAAAUAUUUUGUUAAAUUAGUGAGGUAAAAUAAAAUAGACUAACAUCAUGCAAUCAAUAUAAAAACUUAUGCCCCAAUGUCACAUCCUAUCAGAGCAUUGUGUCCCGACAUCCUUCAGCACAAGGUUCCUUAAAGCAAUUCACCUAGUCAUCUGCUCCCUCGAACACAAAGUUCAAGAUCAUCACAUGAUCUAAACACAAACAACACACGAGGAGUGAGUUGUCACAUUCCUAACUAAUAGAGAAACAAGAUAACUACAUAUACAUAUCAUAUAAACAAAAUAAAACUUACUUAAACAUAACUCAUGUAAUUCCACCACUUUGUCAUUCAAAAUUCACUUUUCAAUCAUCAAUCACAUUACAGAAGAAUAACACACUCCGAUCAAGAUAUAAUAACACAUCAAUUUCAUAAUAAAAAAUUGGAAAGCAUAUGCAACAGUUAUGCUAAGACUCAAGCCUAUAUGCAAUGUGGUAUGUCAGGUCACUCUCACAAAGUAAAAUCAUAGGGAGACCAGUCAAGGUCUGUUUUAUGAGAAUGCUCCAACCAUAUGGGAUAUGGGAUCACCAUAGGCUUAAAGGAGCACUCAAACCGGGUGACCCCCAAGGCCUACACUCCGAAGAGUCCGUCAGGGCCUCUCCCUUCUGAUUCAGGUCCAACCUCUAAAAUAAUUUUUGCAUACAGACACUGCUCAUGAAUUAUACAAUACCCACGACCUCACACUCGUGUUUCAAACACGUUUAGCACAAUUGCGCUACAAUUUAACAUUGGUUCCUAAAUAGGAAACCUACACUUUCUCUUUAACACUUUUUUGAAGAUAGCAUUGGUCAGGUUAUUGUACAAUUCACAGCUUACAACACAAGUAAUGUCACAUCAAGUGUUAACCACACACUAAUUCACAACCAAAAUUCAUUCACAAUUUCACAUCUCAUAAUGUCACAAUCCACCAUCACAUGUUUACACGUAUCACACAAAUUAACACAUGUUCAACAUUGCACUUAUACUCAAUCUCAAUAACAAUACUAUAAUCUCAAAGCAACAUGUUAUUCCAUAAUUCAUCACAUAUUUCCCUUACAAACACUGCUCAUGAAUUAUAUAAUACCCACGACCUCACACUCAUGUUUCAAACACGUUUAACACAUUGCGCUAUAAUUUAAUACUGGUUCUUAAAUAGGAAACCUACAUUUUUCCUUUAACAUUGUGCAUCAACACUUUUCUCAAGAUAACACUGAUCGGGUUAUUGUAUAAUUCAUAGUUCACAAUAUAAUUAUUGUCACAUCAAUUAUCAAACACACACAUUUAUUUACAACCAAAUAUCAUUCUCACAAUUUAACAUCUCAUAAUGUCACAUUGAUCAUCUCAUGUUUACAUGUAUCUCACAAAUUGACACAUUAAACCUUGUACUACUUAAUCUCCAUAAUAAUAUUAUAAUGUCAUUAUAAUAACUUAUUACACCUCAUAACUCAUAUACACAUCACACAAUAAUAAUAUUUGUAUGACACAAAACAUAUAUAUGUAUAAGUAUAUAGUAAAUAAAACUACAUUAUUUUUAAUCAAAGAGUUUUUAUAACAAUUAAUUUAAGAUUACAUUAAAAGAAAUUACUACUAGGCAUUAACCUUACAACUUUAUUUAAUUUAUUAUUUUAGUAUUACAAUAUAUAUAUACACAUAACAUGUCGAUCAUCAUUGUGGGAAAAUAUAAAAUAAGGUAAUAAUUUGUAUAAAAUAAGUCACUGAAUAAUAGUAUUUACAAUAUAGAUCACAUUAAUAAAAAGAACUCAAUUUUUUAAGGGUUCACACUCAACACUAGAACACAUCAUUUUCAUAGCAUUUUCUCAUUGGGACAUCAACUGGUUCAUCAAACAUAUAUAAUUCACAGUUAUGAUUAUAAGGAUAAAAUAAAAAUUAUAGAAACACCCCAAAACUCAUUCUAAUUGAUAAUCUAAGGAUCUCUACACAUGUUCUCACCAAUCCUUAAUUGUGAAUAACUUAUCCCUUACCUCGAUUUAGUCGCUCAAGCGUUCUUCGUUAUCAGUUGUGAUGUUUCUGGUGUUCUCUAGAGCUCCUCCUCCACUGUAUGAUGGUAAUCUUGUAUUCAAGGAAACAAUUUCUUUCAUGGUAUCAGAUUGAUUAGGGAAAGAUCUUUGAACCUUCCUCUGCCUUCCGCACACAGGCCCUAACGCCGUUCAACCCCUUUCUUCUUCUUUUCCCCUUCUUCUCCAUCACCAUGUCUGACUCAAAAUCUACCUUUCACCCUACUUUUACUGUCUCCAACAUCAAGAAUCAUGUCCCAGUCAUUCUUGAGAUGGAAAAUAUCCAAUACGCGACAUGGGCUGAACUUUUCAAAAUUUACGCACGAUCCCAUAGGGUAAUUGAUCAUAUAAUUCCUCGCAGGAUGGCAAGCAGAAGGCGCCACCAAUGGAGGAGGAGAAAGAACUCUGGUCGACACUAGACGCCACCGUUCUAUAAUGGAUUUAUGCCACCAUUUCUCAUGAUCUUUUACAUACUAUUCUUGAACUUGACACCACGGCAAUGGAGGCUUGGAAUAGGUUGCGUGAUAUAUUCCAAGAUAACAAACACUCUCGUGAUAUUAAACUUGAGUAUGAUUUCACCCACACAACCAUGGAGGCCUUUUCAAGUGUCUCGACUUACUGUCAACAUCUCAAGUCACUGUCAGAUCAACUUAACAAUGUCGGCUCUCCGAUCGGUAACAGUAGGUUGGUUCUGCAAUUGGUGUCCGGUUUCAUUGCACACUACAAGGGAGUGGCCACACUCAUCUGUCAAAGUGAUCCCUUGCCUCGGUUUUAUCAAGCACGGUCGAUGCUUGUUCUCAAAGAAUCCAGCCUCAAGAAGGCGGCUCAGACCUCGUCCUCCACCAUGGUGGCUCGUGCUUGGGAUGAAUCUCAAGAGGUGUCUGAUCAUUCAUUAGCACAUCGCAUAAAUAAUGGUAGAAAACAGUAUUCAAACUGUGGUAAUUCUGGAAAGAAUCGCAACAACACUGGUGGUUGUGGUAACUCAUGCGGUGGCAAGGGAGGCUCUGGUGGUGGGGGUAAGUGUGGUGGUGGCAGCAACCGCUGGGGUGGACAAUAGCAGCCCCAGAACAACCCCUAGCCUGCAAGACAGCAAUGGCCUUGGCCAUGGAUGCAGUGGGUUGUUCCUCCUUGUCCGUACCCAGUGCUCCAUGGGCCAGGCCCAAUUUUCAGCAACCUCUGCAUCAACAGCCCGGUAUUCUUGGGUCCAGACCUCAGCAGGCAUACACAGCCACAACUCCUACUCCAAUAGACAUCGAGGCUGCAAUGCACACCCUUGGUAUCUCUUCUCCGGAUCUGAAUUGGUAUAUGAACACUGGUGCCACCUCUCAUAUAACGUCCGCCUCAAGUACUCUAACGUCUUAUUUUAAUAUGAGCAAUAAUCGUGGUAUAACUGUUGGUAAUGGUCAAUCAAUUCCAAUUCUUGGUUAUGGUCAAACCAACUUGCCUUGCCCAUAUCCUCCUUUAGCCUUGAAAAAUGUCCUUCAUGCUUCUAAACUAAUAAAAAACUUAGUGUCGGUUAGAAAAUUUACCACUGAUAACUCUGUGUCUGUUGAAUUUGAUCCCUUUGGAUUUUCUGUGAAGUAUUUUCAGACGGGGAUGCCUCUAAUGAGGUGUGAGAGUCGUGGCACGCUUUAUCAUAUCAUCGAGUCCACCACUCCAGCUACUUUUUCCUCUACUCUUGCUGCCUUAGCUUCUUCUCUUUGGCAUGAGCGGUUGGGACACCCGGGAGUACCUAUCUUGCAUUCUCUUAGGAAGGAUAGAUUUAUCAAAUGUAAUCAAAUUAGAGAUUCUCAUAUUUGUCAUUCAUGUUCUCUUGGAAAACAUAUCAAGUUACCAUUUAUUGUGUCACAUUCUAAUACUCUUAUGCCAUUUGAUAUUGUUCACACUGAUCUUUGGAAAUCACCUGUUUUGAGUUUCUCAGGGCACCGAUAUUAUAUCUUAUUGUUAGAUGAUUAUUCUAAAUUUUUGUGGACUUUUCCUUUGUCAAACAAAUCAAAUGCUUAUUCCACAUUCAUAAAUUUUAGAGCUUUCAUCCGAACUCAAUUCAAACGGGGAGUAAAGAAUAUACAAUGUGAUAAUGGUAAAGAGUUUGAUAAUAAGCAUUUUUGGGAUUUUUGUAAAGUGAAUGGUAUUUCUUUCUGAUUGUCUUGUCCUCAUACUUCUCCUCAAAAUGGGAAAGCCGAAAGGACAAUUCGUACAAUUAAAAAUAUUGUUCGUACUUCACUUGCCCAUGCUUCAUUACCUCCUUCAUUUUGGCGUCAUGCCUUGCAAAUAGCGACUUACCUUCUCAAUAUUCUUCCUCAUAAGUUACUAAACUAUAAAUCUCCUCUUAGGGUUCUUUAUCAUAAGGAUUCGACCUAUUCUCAUCUUCGGGUUUUUGGGUGUUUAUGUUAUCCUUUAUUUCCUUCCACUACCAUAAACAAACUUCAACCCCGCUCUACUCCAUGUAUUUUUUUGGGAUAUCCUUCGAAUCAUCGUGGUUAGAAAUGUUGUGACUUUUGGGAAAAUAAUUAUAAGUCAUCUUGUCAUUUUCGAUGAGACACAAUUUCCAUUUGCUAAAUUACAUACUCCCCAUAUUCACACUUAUGAUUUCUUAGAUGAUGGCCCAAACCCAUACAUGGUCCACCAUUUAGUGUCUUAAUCCACUACUCCUAAUGCUCAAACUCCUGGUCUGGUUCCAUUUGGGCCCAACUCCCCUAAUAUUGCAACCGGCCCAACCAUUGAGACAAAGAAGAAUAUUUUUAAUUGUAUGAAUUGUCCAACAACUGCUUCCCCUCCUCCUAGUCCAGCCCCUUCUUCACGUCCCAGCCCACUUCUUCGGGUUGUUACACGUAGCCAGCAUGGGAUAGUUAAGCCAAAGAAGAUCUUUAAUCUUCAUACUACUGUUGCUAAAUCCUCUCUGUCACGUAACCCCGUGUCGGCCCUUAGGGACCCGAAUUGGAAAAAGGCUAUGGAUGAUGAAUUUGAUGCUCUUAUUAAAAAUAAGACGUGGGAGUUAAAGCCCAGUCCACCUGAUGUUAAUGUAAUUCGGUCAUUGUGGAUUUUUGCUCGUAAAUAAAAAUCUAAUGGUUCUUUAGAGAGGCAUAAAGUCGGUCUUGUAGGUGAUGGCAAAACUCAACAGGUUGGCGUAGAUUGUGGUGACACAUUUAGUCCGGUGGUCAAACCGGCAACUAUUCGCACAGUUCUGAGUCUGACUUUGUCUAAGGCAUGGCCCAUUCAUCAACUUGACGUCAAAAAUGCCUUCUUACAUGGUGAAAUUAAUGAGACUGUCUACAUGCAUCAGCCUAUGGGUUUUAGGGACCCGCAAAAACCUAAUCAUGUUUGUCUGUUAAAGAAGUCUCUAUACAGGCUUAAACGGGCACCAUGGGCUUGGUACAAGAGAUUUGUUGAUUUUGUUCAUACACUCGGGUUCUCUCAAAGCACUUCGGAUCAUUCUUUUUUCAUCUAUAGACAAGGUACUUCUAUGGCUUAUAUUUUGUUAUAUGUGGAUGACAUCAUUUUGACUAUUUCCUAUUAUGAGCUUCGUAAGUCCAUUAUUACCCUUCUUAGCUUGGAAUUUGCUAUGAAGGACUUGGGACAGUUGAGCUAUUUUUUGGGCAUUGCUGUAACUCAUCAUGCAGGUGGUUUGUUUUUAUCUCAAAAGGAAUAUGCCAUGGAGAUUAUUGAUCAUGCUGGCAUGUCUUCUUGUAAGCCAUUACCUACCCCUGUUGAUACUAAAUCGAAGCUUAGUGCUACAUCAAGCACUCCAUUUGAGGAUCUGACUCUCUACAGGAGCCUUACUGGAGCUAUACAAUACCUUACUUUUACCAUAUCCGACAUUACAUAUGCAGUGCAACAGGUGUGCUUAUUCAUGCAUGACCCAAAGGAUGAGCACAUGCACGCUCUCAAGCACAUAUUUCACUACAUUCAGGGUACUCUAGACCAUGGUCUUCGUCUUUAUCCAUCAUUUACAUCCACUCUUAUUUCUUAUACGGAUGUUGAUUGGGGUGGAUGCCCGGAUACAAGAAGGUCUACUUCUGGGUAUUGUGUAUUUCUUGGGGAUAAUUUGAUCUCUUGGUCAGCUAAACGACAGGCUACUUUGUCCAGGUCUAGUCCAGAGGCUAAAUAUGGAGGGGUUGCCAAUGUAGUUUCAGAGUCAUGUUGGUUGCGAAAUCUGCUUUUGGAGCUUCAUUGUCCGAUCCAGAAGGCUACAUUGGUUUAUUGUGAUAAUGUAAGUGUGAUAUAUCUUGUGGGUAAUCCGGUUCAACAUUAACGCACUAAACACAUUGAGAUGAAUAUACAUUUUGUUCAUGAAAAGGUUGCUCAUGGUCAAGUUCGAGUUUUACAUGUCCCAUAGAUUGACAUAUUUACCAAAGGACUUCUUUUGGUGUUAUUUGAGGAUUUUCGAGACAAUCUCAGUGUUCGUCAACUUCCUACUUCGACUGUGGGGGUGUGUUAGAAUAUAUGAUAAUAUAUUCUGAUUUUGUAUAGUUGUUAUAGCCAUAUAAUUAGCCCUUAGUUAUAGCUAAUCAGUUGGGAUUCUCAGCCUAACUAUACGCUGGUAAUCUUGUAUAUAAGCUAAUGAUGCUUAAUGAAUUAUUCAAGGAAACAAUUUCUUUCAAAGAUAUUCAUUUUUUUUCAUGAUCUGAAAAUAUAUAUUAACUUUGUUCCUUUUUAAUAAUGCUAUUUUUAUUUUCACUAACAUUUUUAAUUUAUAUUAGAAUAUAAAAAACAGAGUAAUUUGAUUGGUAUAAGUUAUGAAUUAUCACUGUUUGAUUGAUAUAAUAACCUGCAAGUUACCCUGUUUAGCCAACUCUUUAUUUGUCAGAGUAUUAUUUGGUAAAGGUAAUGCUUGUGCUGACAAGCUUGCCUCUUUUGGAGUUCAGGCUUUAGAGAACUUGGUGGACUACUCCGCCUCAUUUUGUUUCUGAGGAGCUCACUAGAUACAGAUAUGGGCUCCCAGCAUACAGAUUCACUUAGUGUUGUUACUUGAGUAUGGUUUUACCCUCCCGAGGGUUGUAUCUUGUGCGUUUAUUAAGAUAUUCUAAGGUGUUUCUUCUGCUGGAGGCCUAUGGGCUGAUACCCCUCCGAAGAUCACCUCCUAUUUUGCUUCAAAAAAGAAAAAAGGAUUCCCUAGCUAGCUUCUUUUCACAUCUUGAAUUCACCAACUGGUUUUCCAGCUAGCAUAGCAUCACCUUGAGUAACACUGCACCCAUUAGCCAGGGUCCAGUCACUAACCAAGAAGUAACCGGAAGAUUUGUGAUCUGUGCAGUAAGAUAUGAAGAAAAAACAAUAAUAACUUAUAAAGAACAAUGCCAAUAUGUCCAGCAUAUCCCGCAGCAAUCCUUCUAGAGUGUAAGAUUGGGGCACUAUGAUCUUGAAAUAUAAACUUGAUUUUGGGUCUUAUUUGUCUAAACAAGGAAGUACAAGUUCUAGAAGACAUGCUAAGCUAAAAGGAAAAGAAAAACAAUAGCAGUCAGUGGCAAGGAAAAAAAAGACAGGAGAAAAGAAUAGAAGGGAGACAAAAGAACAAGUAGCAUGUAUGUCAAGAUUGAAAGAUUAGGAUCUUUAUAAAUAUAUCCCAAUCCAUGUCUCUGUCUUUAAUUUUCCUUAUUUUUAUUAUUAUAGUUCUUGAAGGAGCCCUUUAUUUUUUUGGUUUACAGCUUGGUUGAAUUGAUUUGCACAAAAGGUCAAGAAAGUGAUAUAUAUAUAUAUAUAUAUAUAUAUAUAUAUAUCUGGCUUGGACCGACCCCAUACAUACGCUAUGGGAAAACUUCAGUAUUGUUUAUGAAACUAAGUUUUCAGAAUACGCUAUUGUUUCUUUCUUUUUUAGGUAUAAUUAUAAAUAUUCUUUUGGUUCCUAUUGUUAUAAUUUGUAACGACUUUUCAAAAUUUGAUUUCAGGAAUUGUGCAUCUGUUCGGGAACUGUGGUUCCAACAAUUAAUCAGAACACUGCAUAUGGUUAUUUUGUUUCCUUUACACGGACCUAAAUCAGCGCCUAGAUGACACACAUAUACAUUGUAUAUGCUACUAGGUUCAGCACCUUAAUGACACUCACUGAUUGCACAGCACACUAAUGACCCUGCAUAAUUGGUCCCUGCAUGAACACAUAAAUGAUAGAACACAUACUUCAUUGGCAAGUCACAAGUGUAGUACAACCUCGCUCAAACAAUUAUUAUGCUCCACUAGAAUUGUUAAAUAAAAACAAAUUCUACUUCUAUAAUUAGUUUUGUGAGUUAAUAUACAAUUGGGUCCCCUAAAGUGGUUAGUAAUUUGUGUUGUUUUGGUUCUGUCAAAGAUACGAGUUAGUACUUUGAGGGAUCAAAUUGUAUACAAGCUGACAAUUUGGUACGGGAUAACUUGUUAGAAAGUAGAUAACUUAGUGCUUUCAAAGAUUGUAUGUGUGCCUUUCCUGAUUGGGUGCCAACCAUUAUGGUCUCAAGUUGAAUACCUCUGAGUUAAAUUUUUCUAAAGUUGAUGCAGAAACAUAAGAAAAAAAUAAUGAUAAUGCAAGAAAACUAUAUUACAUACAUAUUCACUGCUAAUGAAUACUGUCUUCGAGUCGAUUUAAGUGUAGUGCAUAAUAGUGCACACAGUCAAACAAAUUCAGUUUUUAUUCCCCCUAUGUUAUUAUCCAAAUUUUAUUCAGUCAUAUUCCAAUAAAAAAAUUUAUUAAAAUUUCAACUAUUUCAUAAACUCAUAAGUCCAAAUGAGCAAAAAAACCAACUUGAUAUUUAUUAAUCUUGUCGUUCCAUCCAAAUAAUAAAAGAAAAACUUUAUUCUACACAAUGUUUAAGUGUAGUCACAGUAUUCCAAGUAUUUUUCUCACUCAAUCUGAUUUUCAAUUCCAUGAAACAAGUCACAAUAACACAAACAAAUUCAGUCAAUUUUAUUUUAAAUUCUGUUUCGCAUUGAAUUUAAGUACAGCCACAGUAUUCCAAGUCUGUUUCGCACUAAAUUCUGUUAACAAAAUUAAGUGAAAACAAUAAAAAAAAUGGGGCACAAAUUACGGUUCAGACACAAUCAAAUAACAGUUUAUUAAUGAAACCAUUAUAAAAUUACGUUGAUAUGAAUUUUGAAAUAGUUAUAAUAGAAGUCAACAAAUUUAUCAAAUACUAUACAUGGUGAUUUGCAAGUGAAUGAUGGUCUAAAAUUGUUUUACAUUGGCGAUGCAAACUAUUUUUUAUAAUUUUUUUAGCUUAAAGACUAUGUACAUUGUUGGUGUAAAAAGUUUUACAUUGUCCAUCAUUUUAAAAUAAUCAUUAUAACUUUUAAUGCUAUUAGCCAUUGUAAAGGUAAAAAAAAUAUCCUAUAUAUGAUUGUUUAUGAUCAAAUAAUAAUGUAUGAUUCCUUUGAAUUGUCAAUACAUAAUUUAUUUUUUAUAUUUUUUUCAUUUGAAAAAUAUGGGAUCAAAACUGAACAUAAAAGUUUCGAUACCAGAGCACUACGCAAAGAGGAUUAAACUGCCAAGCCACAAUCCAAAAUAUCUUCUUACAGUACGAGUUCACCCAACCUUAACAUGUACAAUCCAAAUGUUCAUUCCGUUCUAGAAGCAUAAUCUGAAUUUACUAUUUACUAUUGUAAUUGAAGAUGAAUAUAUCUUAUAACUCAAAAGCUCUUUUCCACAGUUGAAAAUUCUAAAUCUUUAGAAUUUCUCAAUCAGGGCACUCAUUAGGUUCAAGAAUAUCUAAAUUGUCUUAAUUGUUGAUAAUAAUUCCCGUAGAAUCUCCAACCUCGUUUGCAUUAUAUCCUAAAUUCAAUCGUUAUUUUAAUUUCACAGUUGUCAAUAGGAAUAUACGAUCAACGUACUAUAAGUGACCAAAUAUCAAUAUAUAAAGGCAUUAAAUUAAAACAAAGACAAACAAUCAAUUUAAAAGAAAUGAACUUGAAUUAUACAUAAGAGUUCAAAUUACAUCAGGUUAACAAAAAUUUAACUACACAGUUUAGAAAAAGAGAACAAGAGAAAGAGAAGAAGGAAGCUCAUAAAAUUAAUUUGAUGAAUCUUGCACUUUGAUGCCUCAAAUCCACUUAUCCACCAUUUCAGAAGCCGCAAAAGAAAGAACAUGAGCGAAUCUUCAGUUUUCUAGUUGUCAAAAAUUGCAUGCAUGUGUAGGAACACCAUUUUCCCUUCUACGUAUUGUUUAGUGUUAAUAACGCUAGAAUGGGCUUACUAAUUAACACUCUAAAAACCAUGAGAUUCGAAUGCUGGAAAUAUUGGAAUUGGAACACCUCUUACAAUCUUCCCUUGGUGCUUUCCUAAAUUUCAUGAUUGUACAAAGUGGGUCAAACUUCAAAGCAUCAAAAUUAGGAAAAAAUCCACCUUAUUAGGCUUCAAUCAUAAUGGAAAAUUAAAAAUCCACAACAAUUACACGAAAUAUAUGCUUACAACCCUAUAAAAAUACCAAGUUAAUUUCUUCUUAAAAUCAUACAAUGAAAUUGUUCAAGUACUUAUCAACAUGGAAAUAAAAUUAAAAAAAAAAACUCAAUUCAGUUGAGGUCAACAUUUACCAAUUCUGAGCACAAUAAUACGAAGGAUUAUAAUGGUUAGACUCUUAUAAUGAAGAAACGUUAACUAAGGUUGGUGUAGGCAUAUACUUGUUAGACAAUUCUUUCCCUAACUUCUACGUGACAUAUUGUAUAAAAAGAAAUAUGAAGCAAAUACAAUAAGAGAAAACGAGGCAAAAGUAAUUAUUUUAGGAAUUAGAUAACGGUUGCAUUUUAUAUUAAAGAAAAGAAUAAGGCCAGGAAUGCCAUUCUACAAAGUUAUUAAUGUGAAAAAGACGCACCUUCUAUUUUCAAAGUUGGACGCAUCUUAGUGAUGACUUCUGCCGAACAUAUGCAAAGGUUCUUCAGCAUCUUCACUCCAAAUACGUACGUGGGGCACAUCUUGGAUGAUCCAGUGGUCUUCUCCUCCAUCAGGAGCAGUGCGCUGCUCAAAUUCAGUUGGCAUGUCCUCGAUAUAGAGAUCUUUAAGUUUCUCCAAGUGUUGAAUUCCAGAGGGUACUGUUUUGAGUUGGGAGAGUUCUCGUAAAGAAAAUAGUUCCAAAGAACACAGUGCUCCUCUGUCGAUAAGGAUGGACUCCAACUUAUUCAAAGAUUUGAGUAGCAGUGUCUUUAGUUUCUGAAACCCUCCACUUUGAAAAUUCAAAGUUUCACCUUCAUAAGCAUUGUCACUUAAAAAGAGGAGCAUCAACCUUGGCAUAUUUUUUAGUGAUUUCAAUGCAUCAUUAGUCAACCUGGAGCCGCUCAAAUACAGUUGCACAAGAUUUGGGAACUGUGAAAUCCAAUUUGGCAACCUUGUUAACGUCCCACGUAGGACAAGCUUCUUAAGUGUAGACAUAGGUGACGUAAUGUACAAGUCAAUUACUUCACUCUCAUCAGCUGUAUAAAUACGUAGUUUCUCCAAGAGUGGCAUCUCAUUUAUCAAGGAACAGAGUCUCUUUGUGUUUUCCCGUAAAAUCUAUCACUGUCAGUUUCCUUAACUGCUUUAGCUUUCCAACCUCUCUAAUGACCACUCCAUCAUCAUCUAUAAUCACUGGAGGUAUCUCUUGUAGGGAUGUCAUGCCUCCAAUAUCCUUCCAUUGAAUUAAACCCGUAUAAUAAGACAGAAGAUGACGUAGCUUAGUAAGCUUACGAAUCUCCUCUGGCAUCUUAGACACACUUGUGUUUCUUAUAUCCAAGGUCUCUAAAUUCUGGAGCUUGCCAAUGGAUUUUGGUAGACUUUCAAUACAUGUAUUCCGGAAGCUUAAAUACUUCAAGUGGCAUAAAUUCCCCAAAUUUUCAGGAACAUAAAGUAAAUCAGAACCUUCAAAAUCAAGUACCUUCAAUAGCAUGUAAUUGGUAGGGAUUUUGUUUACUAAGUGUUCAGAUACUUCUUCCUCUUCUCCUGUGCUAAUAAUAAUUGACCGAAUGGGUGAGCUUCCUAUACUUCCACUAAAAUCAUGGGUUGCAAUUGUUAGGCGUCGAACAAUCUUACUUGAUACAGAUUGAUCAGGCUCGUCAAUAUACUGACAAAAUCCUGUAUCCUUGACUUUUCUAAGGAUCAUGUCGUGUAUUAAGUCGUGAACACGACACCUUUUAACUUUGCCAUCAAUUCUAAAUGAGGAUACUUGCACCAAACUUCUACGGACCAACCCUGAUAAAUAUUGUUGCCCAACUUCUUCCAAAGAUUUUCCGGUUUCAUGUUUGACAAACCCUUCAGCUAUCCACUGUCUAAUCAAUCUAUCAGAUUGAACUUCAUAGUCCUCUGGAUACAUUCCGAAAUACAAUAAACAUGAUCUGAGAUUGAUCGGCAAAUCAUCAUUACUUAAACCUAAAAUUUUUGUUAUACUAUUUAACUCAGAAUUCCUCUCCAAGUCUAAACUUAGAUCUCGACUAAACUGUCCCCAUUCAGGUGCACUUUCAUCUUUUUGAGACAAAAGACCACCAAUGGCCACUAUUGCUAGAGGUAAACCUUUACACUUUCUAACAAUUUCAAGAGAUAUAUCUUUAAGUUCUUCUGGACAAUCUCCAUCGGAACUAUACUGAAAUGCCUUCUUACAGAACAAUUUCAAAGAUUCUUCUUCCGUUAAAGGUUUUUCUAGCUUAUGCACCUCAACAAAUGAUGAUUUCCUACAAUAUUCUGCAACCAUCUCAUCCCUGGUUGUGAUUAAUAUCCUACUUCCAUUUUUAUUAUCAAUUACAGCAGAUUCAAUGUGAUCCCAAAAUUUUCCAUUCCAUACGUCAUCAAACAAGACAACAUACCUCUUGUUGCGCAAGCGGUUUCUGACUUCUUCUGUCAACGACUCGAUGGUAGAAACAUCCUUGGGAGGGUCCUCCUUUUUUUCUUUGCAAAGCUCAUUCAACAUAUGCCUCAGCAAUCCUUCAGAAGAGAAGGAUUGAGAAACUGUGAUCAACGCAUGGCACUCGAAAUUGUUACGCACCUGGUCAUAAACUUGCUUGGCAAGAGUGGUUUUUCCCACCCCUGCAAUUCCCACCACAGAGAUGACAGUGCGUUUUUCUCUUCCAUUUGUCAACCAAUUUUUCAAUAUACCUCUAGGGCCAUCAAGCCCCACAACCUCAUCUUCCUCAAUAAAGAGAGGAUCCCUUCUAAGUUUCUGCCAGGUGACAUCUUGAUUUCCUCUAGAACUGGUUGGUCUUUGCUCUAAAGGAAAAUGGCUUUGGAAACCAUCUCUUUCAGCACGAAUAAGCGAUUUAACAUCCUGAAUCUUAUACGCACUUUGAAGGAGAAGGAUUUGAGUUUUGAUGAAGGCAACAGCCUUACAUAGUAAAGCUGCACAUCGACGAUCAUCAGGUUGCUUAUCCUCACAGGAGAUGUUAUAUUCAUCGAUGACAUCUUCCAUGCGAAAAGCUGCUUCUCUCAGCCGCAUCACCCUUUCUUUUUUUCUAUGACGCCUUCCAUCAUCUUGUUCAGCUUCAGCCACUUUAUCAGCAUCAUUGAUGAAAUCUUGAAAGCUUUCAAGUUCAUCUGUAAUGUCUCUAACUUCUUUUGGGAGAUCUCUCAACAUUUUGACAGCUUCCAAUAUUUUUGGAAGCGCAUGCUGACCAGCCAAGGACACUGCAGUUUCUGCCAUUUUAGUCUAGCUAGCUAGCUCUCUUUUUUGGUUUGUUGGGAGUGCAAAACUUGAUGUUCUGCAACGUUGUAUAGCCAAUAAAUGUACUUAGCCAAACAAUGAUACGGACACGGUUUAUGAUAAUAUCUUAACCAUAUAAUUUCAAUAAAAUUUUAAAAUUAACAUGAUUCUCUAUUUAUAAGUUCUAUAGUCAUGAUUAACAGGUGUCGGUUAUCAGAUUUUUUUUUUUAUAAGUUCUUUUUAUCUAUAUCAUACGGAGAUGAUAUUUUGUAACUUAGUGCACUGUGUACGCGGAGACGAAGACUUUGAGCUUUGCAGCGUCUCUUUUGCGAGCAAGUUGUGAUAUUGUGGUCCAGCUAAUGUGAAAAUGUGAUUAUCAGAUUAUUUUUUUUAAAGGAAUAAUUUCAUUUUGAUUUUUCAUUUAGCACUUAAGGCUCAUAUUUUUGUAAACCACUUUUCGCCCCUAACAGUUCAUAUAUAUAUGCUAGCUUUGCCGCUAAUAAUUGUAUACAGAUGAUUUUUUUUAAAGAGACUUUUUUAACGUGUCUAAAAAAAUAGAUCGAGCAACUUACUAACAUGCUAGUGUGAGAAAAAAAAAUGUUAAACCACAUGGAAGAAAGAUAUGUCUUCUUUUUGGUCAAACAUGGAAGAAGAGAUAAAGUGGCCAUAUUUUUAUUUUCCAAUUUAUUUAUUUAUUCUUUUUAAAUUUUUUAUAUUGUCCCAGCUUCUAUCUCUUCCGUUGUAUGUUAAUUCAGCAACUGUCACUCCUUCGUUAGUCAGUUUGUAUUUUCUUUGUCAUUAGACUCUGCUUCCAAGAAAAAGAAAUAUACCCAAGUCUUGAAGAUUUAUUCUAUCGUCGGAGUAUUUUUCUUUUGCUUGAUUUCGAAUAUCUCUAACUCUAAUUCAAUAUAUUCAUUUUUUCAUGUUCUAAAAAUAUAUAUAAUCUUUUCUUUUCUUUUUAGUAAUGUUAUUUUAUUUUCACUAACAUUUUUUGGUAUAUUAAAAAAUUCAUUUGAUGGGUAUAACAUGCAUGUUUACCCCUGUAGCCAAGUCUUCAUUCAUUCAUUAGGUCUUGUUCUGACAAAAGAAAAGAAAUAGAACUAUGAUAUUCUUCUACCCCGUUUUAGGAUGAAUUGAGAUGGAAAGAUGAGAGAGAAAAGAAAAAAGAUACAGAGACAAAGUGAUAUAUGUGAUAAGUAAUAUACUAAAGAAAGGAGCAAAAUAAAAAAAGAAAAUUUGGUGGACGUGAGAUGAAUAAUUAGUAUUUUUGACAGACAUAAUAUACUUUUGGCCCUUAACUUUUUUGAAUUUUGUAUUUAAUCUUUAAUAAAAAAAUUGACAUUUUGUCCUUAUAAUUUUUUUGAUAAAAUAUUUUUUUAUCCUUAAAUUUCUUAUAAUUUAUGAUUUUGAUCCUUAAAUUAUUUUACCACCGAUCAACAUUCCUAAACUUUUCUGUGUACAAUGUUUUAUCCUUUUCAUCUAUUUUAAUUUGCAUUUAAAUGAAUAAAUUCAUGUUAGAAUGAACACAACAAUCAGUCAUAUCAUACACGAAAUUUAUCUAUUAGGAGAUCAAAAAGAGCUUUUCAAACUAUAACAUAUAUAUAUAUAUAUAUAUAUAUAAACUAGAAUAUUAGAUGUAAUACUGCAAAAAAAACGUUUGAGGAAAUUAAAUAUAUCAUGGGAAACAAGGUGCCAAACUUGAGAUGAAAGUUUGUUGUCAUCUCAGCCUGUGAAAAAUAGAUCAUACUAGUCAAAAGAAUUCCUCAAUACAAUGCAAUCAAUAAUCAUCUAACAGUCCUUUGCACAUGGCUUCUUGCCUUGUUUUGUCCUUUCUCAAUCUAGCUGUCUUGCAAAUUGAAGAUGCCACCUAAAACACACUAUUGUCUCUGCUAUCUUUGGGUCUACCAGUGUGUGAAUAUUAAUUUUAACUUAAAAUAAUUAUUUUUUAUUUAUCCAAAACAACUGAAAAAGACAUUACUUCAGAAGUAAAGAUACAAUAAAUAAAUUAUGUAAGGAACCAUUUUACAACUUUUAAUAAAUAAAAUAUCAUUUUGUAACUUUUAACAAAUAGAAGCUUAACUUACAAUAUAAAAUAGAGAUACAAGACCAACAUAGUAAUUUAGCCAUAAUUUUAUGUCUAACACCUAUUAGUGUGAUGUAGACAAAGAGAAAUAAAGCAUACUCCAAUUCAUUUCAAGCUGAAUCAGUGCCUGUAUCUCAAACACUUCUUCUAGAAGAGAACACAAAGAGCUCUGGUCCAAUCCAUUCAAGCCGAAUCAGUGCAUGCCUGUAUCUUAAACACCUUAUAGAGUACCAAUCCCACCAUCAAGAACAUCUCAUCAAAUGAAUUGUUCCUCACUGCAGUGUCCACCAGCCUGUGCAUCCUUGGUGAGAAAAACCUGAACUCAAAAGUUAAAAUAAUCUAGGCAGCAAUUACACUCAUGAAUACUCCAAGUUAUUGAGCAUAGGUGGUGGAUUACGUGGGGUGUGGUAAUUUUCUGAUGGAAGUAUUGAUGAAAGUUAGAUGUUCUCCAUUCCCAACUUCUUUUCCUAAUGUUGAAUCCACCAACUUGUUUCCCUGCUAGCAUAACAAGAUUUAUUAUCCCUGUUCCUAACCAUGAUUAAGAAGUGCAGUCCGAAAUAUUUCUAUCUGCCCAGAAAAAAUAUAUACAAAAAAUAAUCAUAACUUAUAAAGAACCUUGCCACUAUCAAUGAUGUAAAUACGAGAAACAAUGUGAUUAGGAAACAAAUGAACGAGAUCUUAUAGAGUACAUAUCAGCAAAGUAAGCCAGAAAAAGAGGAAGGAUUUACUUGCCUCUUUAGCUGGCCCUUGUGCUUGCACCUAAUGUGAAUGGCUGGGUCCCAUCCUUGAAGUACUAAGAUACAUAACUCUCCCUAAUCCGCUUCUAAUAUCGUCAUAUUUUUUAUGCUCCUCCUGUAAUAUAUAUAAAAAAAACAGUGAGGACUGGUUUUUCACUGGAAUUCCAAAGGACUAUAAAAUUCUUUAUAUGAAGUUAGACGAGAGGAAAUAAAAGAUCAGCAUAGAGGAACUCAUAUGUUUAGGAUCAAUUCCUGCCACACAUUUAUAGCAUAAGCUUGAGCUAUUAUUUCUUUAUUGUUUUAUACAGCUGCAUCAAACAAAUACUGAAACAUCCUGAUAUUUUUGUUUUCCCAAAAUUCAACAGAGAUUCAUCCUAGUAAAUGAAGAACCGUAUCAACAUUUACCCAGAAAAACCCAGAACAUCAAAGAACAUUCAUCCUUUUCUAGAUUUUAUUAAAAUUGUUGACAUUAAUAUUUUCACACAAAAAUAUUUGGACAUCCUCCUUAUGAUCUUACGACCACACAAAAAAAAAAAUUAUCUCUCCAAAAAUCGUCAGAGAAAAAUAAUGAUCGAUCCAGAGCACGAACAUCCUCACUGGAAAUGCAGAGAAUGAACAUAGGGUUCAAUCCAUUUUCUUCCAACAAAAUUAUCAUAAAAGAUUCUGAAUUUUUUUUCGGAUACUACCAACCCAUAUAUAUCAACAUAAAUCAACCACCUUUUUUUAUUUUUAACAUUCCAGAACACAUUAAAUAAAAUAACAAAGAAUGGAUAGAAAACAGAGAACACUCAAACCUAAGUGAACACCUAUCACUUUUUACCAAAAUGGGUGUACCAUUUAAGCUUCACAAUGAUAUGGACAUCACAUUUCCUUCAACCAAAUAUCCUUUUUGAUAACAUAAGAUGCAUCUGAGAUCAGAUCAAAACACCAAAAAUCAGAACAGGGCCAAAUUUCUCCAUGCAUGCGCACGGAUCCUCCAAAAUCAACAUGCAACCACAUAUAUCAUCACUUGCAUCCACGGAUUCGAGCAUCAACCAUCAAACAAUUUGAAACUCUUCCAAGCAGCAAGUAGAGGUGCUUAGGACUUGUGAAAAACUCAUCAAGCAAUUUGAACACAUCAACGACAAGGAAUUUGAAGUGAAAAGGAGACAUAGUUAGGGCUUAGGACUGGUGGAAAAUUAUAAUUAUAACCUUUUUCGAAAAAGCCUAUGUUAUGCAAAGUAUCUCAGAAAUGAUACACUGAAAAAUCAGAAGUUUUUUAUUAGGAUGAGUUUCAGAUUACAAAGAGUUUUUCUACAGAGAAUUGAAAAGAAUCACAUCCAAUCUAAACAAUAUUUGAGCUAAUUAUACUAGUUUUUACAAAAUGAACAGCUCACUAACUUUAGUAGUUUGUUAUACCUGUUUUAACUACCAGCUUAGUUUGUUACAACUAUUUUAACUACCAACUUAAUUUGUUAGUUAUGUGGACCAACUUAUCAACAAAUCUCCACCUAGGUUACAUAACUAAACAAGGAUCAAAGUGGCUGCUCCCUUGUUGACAUUAGACUAGCUGACAUUACUUCAAACUUAUAAGGUCCAGGCAGUAGAAAAACUUGUUAUUUGGUAGAACUUUAGUGAUUAUAUCAGAGGGAUUAUGCUCAGUGGAGACUUUCUUCACCAACACAGAUCCUUCAGAAAUAGUCUCUCUCACAAAGUGUAGCUUCACAUCUACAUGCUUUGUCCUUUCGUGAUAAAUUAACCUGGUUCUUUGAAAGGUGAAUAGCACUUUGGUUUUCACAAUGGAUAGUGAUAACAUGAUCUUGCCGCUUCAGCUCUCGAACUAUUCCCCUGAACCACAAUGCUUCUUUUAUUGCUUUUGUCAAAGCAAUAUACUCUAUUUCAGUAGUAGACAAUGCAACCGCCUUCUGAAGACUAGCUUUCCAGCUAAUUGCAGUUCCAAAUGUAGUGAAUACAUAGCAUGUGAGGGACUUUCUGGUGUCCAAACAACCAGCAAAAUCAGAAUCUACAAACCCCUCUAUUACAACAGUGUUUUCUUGGCAACCCUCAACUUCUCCAUAUAUUAGACUCUUUCCAAUUGACCCUUUUAUGUACCUCGUGAUCCAUUUUAGAGCCUGCCAGUGUGCCUUUCCGGGAUUUUCCAUAAAUCUGCUUACAUGGCUAGUUGAGUAUGAAAGGUUAGGUCGAGUGCAUACCAUGGCAUACAUGAGUGAACCUAUUGUAUUUGCCUAAGGAACUUUAGACAUGAACUCCUUAUCUUCUUUGCUUUCAGGGGCUUGAUCCAUACUAAUUUUGAACUGUUGAAACAAAGGGUUGAGACAGGUUUAGCAUCUAACAUACCAAACCGAUUUAGAACAUUCUUUAGGUACAUUCCUUGAGAUAUAAACAGUAGCUUCUUGUCUCUAUCUCUCUUGAUCUCUAUACCCAAUAUUCUUUUAGCUCUACCCAAAUCUUUCAUUUCAAAAUCUUUUUUCAAGUCUGCCUUAACUUUUCUUGUUUCAUCCUUGUUAUUGCUUGCUAUUAGGAUGUCAUCUACAUACAAUAGUAGAAUGACAAAAUUAUGAUAUGAGGCAAACUUGAAAUAGACACACUUAUCAAACUUGCUCCUCUUGAACUUGAUGUGAGCCAUGAACUCAUCCAAUCUUUUAUUCCACUGCCUUGGAGACUGCUUUAGACCAUAUAGAGACUUGUUCAGUUUACACACAAAGUCUUCCUUUCCUUCUAUUAUAAAUCCCUCAAGUUGCCUCAUGUAAAUAGUUUCUUCUAGUUCUCCAUACAGGAAGGUCGUUUUAACAUCCAUUUGCUCCAAUUCUAGAUCAAACUUGGAAACCAUUGAUAGCAGAAUUAUUAUGGACUUGUGCUUCACCACUGGAGAAAAUACAUCAUUGUAAUCAAUUCCCUUCCUCUGAGUGAAGCCUCGAGCUACUAGCCUAGCUUUGAAUCUUCCUUGUUCAACUCCAAGAAUGCAUUGUUUCCUCUUGAAAAUCCACUUACAGCUGACUAACUUUGACCCUGCAGGUCUCUUUACUAGGUCCCAAGUAUGGUUAUCAUGGAGAGACUUCAUCUCUUUGUCCAUGGCCAUAAGCCAUUUAUCCUUCUCUUUGCAAUCAACGACAACUUUGUAACAGUUUGGUUCAUCAUUCAUGACCUCACUAGAUGCAACAAGAGAGAAUGCCAUCAAAUCUGCAUAACCAUACCUCUUAGGGGGUUUGAUUUGCCUUCUGGUUCUAUCUUGAGCCAGCAAAUAACCCUUCUCACCUUCUUCCCCAUCAUUGUCAUCAGUCUGAGAUUGAAUAUCAGAUUCUUCUCUAUGCCAAAUUUCAGAUUGAUCUAUUUGGUUUUCUUCAUUGAGCUCCACCUCAAUGCUAUCAUUUUCUGAACUUACAUGGACCACCUUAUCUUUUGCAAUUGCCUUUGUUUUAUAAGCCAUUUCAUACUCAUUAAAAACAACAUCACGACUUAUAAUGCAUCUUUUGUGUCCUGACUCUAGACACCACAAUCAGUAUCCCUUAACACCUUAAGGAUAUCCUAGAAACAUACACUUGAUAGCUCUAGGUUCCAAUUUGUCUUGCCUUGUGUGAGCAUAAGCAACACAUCCAAACACCCUGAGUCUAUCAUAACUUGGAGGAUGCCCUGACCACACCUGUUCUAGUGUCUUCAUGUUUAUAGCUAUUGAGGGGCACCUGUUGAUUAAGUAACAAGCAGUCAUGGCUGCUUCAACCCAGAAAGAUUUUGACAAAUUAGCACUCACAACAUACAUCUCACUCUCUCAAGAAUGGUUCUAUUAAAUCUCUCAGCCAAACCAUUCUAUUGAGGUGUUUUUACUAUUGUCUUGUGUCUUGUUAUUCCAGCCUUCCUAUAGUAGUUAGUGAAAAAAUCUUAACAAAAUAAGUCCAUAUCUAUCCUGAAUCUUUUAAUCUUUUUUCUUGUUUGGUUUUCUAUCAAUGUUUUCCAGUUUUUGAAACAAUCAUGCACCUCGUCUUUAGUUUUCAAAAUGAAAACCCAUAACUUCCUGGAAUAGUCAUCUACCAUUGAUAGAAAAUACCUGGCACAUGAGUGAGAUGGAGUUUGAGAUGGACCCCAUAAAUCAGUAUGGAUGUAGUCCAGAGUACCUUUAGUUCUCUAUUGUCCAGUACCAAACUUGACCCUGCAAGAUUUUCCAUAAACACAGUGUUCACAAAAGUCAAGUUUCUCCACCUUAUCUCCACAAAGUAGGUUCUGUUUUCCCAGUUCAAUCAACCCCCUCUCACUCACAUGUCCCAACCUUCUGCGCCAUAGUUCAGUCUUUGACAACCUUUUGAUAGAAAUUGUAGCAGUUGGUCCCAUUACCACUUCUCCAAUCAGAGAAUACAGGCAUUCUUUUGCAUCCCUUUCAUGAAUAUCAUGGAGCAUUUUAGAACCUUUAGAACUUCAUUCUCCCCUUUGAACACAUAGCCUUGUUUGUCAAACUCACUAAGAGAAAUCAAAUUUCUUUUCAAAUAUGGGACAAGCCUUACAUUCUUGUUGACUCUCUCAGCACCAUCAUGAAGGUGGAACCUCACAGACCUAAUUCCAAUAAUCUCACAUGACUUGUUGUUUCCAAGUAGGACUAAGCCACCAACUUGUUCAUCAAGCUCCUCAAACCAAGACUUGUUUGGGGUCAUAUGGAAUGAACAUCCAGAGUCCAAGAUCCAUUAUAUCUCAGUGUUUUCAUGAUACACCAUUAAAUCCUCAGUUGACUCAUAACCAUCUUCAACUAGAGCAGCAUUUCCUGGUUCUUUAGAUCUAUCUUGCUUGUUUCUUUUCUAUCUAUCAGAACAAAAUCUUUGAGUAUGGCCUUCUCCUUUACAGUGGUAACAUCUAAUGUUUGGUACAUUAGAUACAGAUCGAGUUUGUGACUUGGAUCUUUUCCCUUCUGUCUUAUCAUCCUUCUUAUACGGUCUUCCACGAACUGUGACCUUCCCCAUGUACAAAAGGCCUUUGUUCAUUUAUUUCUUUCAUUUAAUUCCUUAGAGUUCAAGGCUGAUUGGACUUCUACAAGAGUGAGAGAAUAUCUUCCAUAGAGAAUUGUUUCUUUGAAAUGAGCAAAGGUCUUAGGUAGAGCACACAAUAACAUUAAUUCUUGAUCUUCAUCCUCAAUAGUAACAUCAAUGUUUUCAAGAUCAAGAAUCAAUUUUUUAAAGAUAUCUAACUGUUUUUCUACAAUUUUAUUUUCUUGCAUCUUAAAUGAAUACAAUGCUUGCUUAAGGUAGAGACGAUUUACCAGAGAUUUGGUCAUGUACCAGUCUUCAAGCUUUCACCAAAUUCCAACUGCAGUCUUUUCUUUGGAGACUUGUCGAAGCACUUUGUCUCCUAGACUCAAGAUGAUGGCACUAUAUGCUUUGUCGAGCAAGAUCUUCUUGUCUUUACCUUCCAUCUUCACAACAAGAUUGGUUUCACCAUUCAGAGCAUCUUCAAGACCUUGAUGCACAAGAAGAGCUCUCAUCUUUAAUCGCCAAAGACCGAAAUCAUUCUAUCUUGUGAAUUUCUCGACUUCAUACAUUGCAGAUGCCAUGGAUGAUCAGUCCAUGUUCACCACACCAGUUUGUUAUGCAAAGUAUCUCAUAAAUGAUACACAAAAAAAUCAGAAGUUCUUUAUUAGGAUGAGUUUCAGAUUACAAAGAGUUUUUCUAGAGAGAAUUGAAAAGAAUCACAUCCAAUCUAAACAAUAUUUGAGCUAAUUAUACUGGUUUUUACAAAAUGGACAGCUCACUAACUUUAGUAGUUUGUUAUAACUUUUUUAACUACCAACUUAGUUUGUUACAACUGUUUUAACUACCAACUUAAUUUGUUAGUUAUGUGGACCAACUUAUCAACAACCUAGUUCUUCAAACAUCAAACACUGGCAAACCAAGUAGAUUUUCCAUUAUUUUCCUUGCUCACCUUACUAAGCUGUUGGAGUUGAGUGAAGUUGAUAAUGAAUUCUUCCAAGCUUGUAUAAAUGAUUCCCCUUUCCAACAUCUAAAGGAAAUUGUUACUUUAAUUUACUUGGAAGAGAAUGAAAGGAGUGUAUGGAAGCAAAUAUAUGAUCUCGACUUUACUUUACAAAUUUUUAAAAUUAAAAGGCGUAAUAAUGUAUAGAAUAAUUGAACACUGUAGGCGAAAGAGGAAUUCUCUUGACCUUAGUCGCUAUAAUCCUUACAGAAGGCAUAUCUUUUGUACAGAUGUCAUGUCUCCAAUACUAUCCUUCACUGCAAUUGAAGAUAUUUCGUUAGCCAGAAGAAGACGUAGCUUUAAAAGCUUGCUAAUCUCCUUUGGUAUCUCAAACACUUUUGUUUGUCGUACAUCCAAGGUCUCUAAGUUCUGGAGCUUACCAAUGGAUUUUGGAAGACUUUCUAUCUGUGUAUACCAUGAAGCUUAGAUACUUCAAGUGGAUUAAAUUCCCCCAAUUUUCAGGAAUAUGAUAUAGUAUAGCAUCUUCAAAGUCAAGUACCUUCAAUUGUAUGUAUUUUUCAAGUAUUCCACCGAUUAAGUAUUCGGAUAACUUUUGCUUUGUAAAAAUUAAAAUUGACCGAAUGCGUGAUCUUUCAGUAUUUUCAAUUAAAUCAUUGGAAUCUGAUGGUAUUGUUAAGCGUAUAAUGAUCGCACUUGACACCAAUUGAUUAUGCUCAUCAAUAUAGUGACAAAACCAUGUAUCCUUGAUUUUUCCAAGGAUCAUUUUCAUGUAUUAAGUUAUGAACAUGACAUCCUUUAACUUUGUCGUCUAUGGUAAAUGAAGAUACUUGCACCAAACUUGUAGUGAUCAACUCCAUUAAAUGUUGUUGUGCAACUUCUUCUAAAGUUCUUCCACUUUCAUGUUUGACAAACCCUUCAGCUAUCCACUACCUAAUCAAUCUUCCAGAUUUAACUUCAUAGUGUUCUGGAUACAUUCCAAAAUACAAUAAACAUGAUCUGAAAUCAUCAUAACUCAAACCAAUUUUUUUUAAAUACUAAUUAACUCAGAAUUCCUCUGCAACUCCAAACAUAGAUUUUGACUAAACCUGUCCAUUCAAGUGCACUUUGACAUUCACUAUAUAAAAGACCAACGUUCACACUUUCUAACAAUUUCAAGACAUACACCUUCGUUUUCUUUUGGACAGCAUCCACCAAAACCUGAAAAAAAUGCCUUUCCACAUCAUAACAAUUCCAAAGAUUUUUCGUCACUUAAAGGUUCUAGCUUAUACACCUGAAUGAAGGAAGUUUUCUGACAAAACUCUGCAACCUCUGUGUCCGAAGUUGUGAUUGAUACCUCUGUGUCUGAAUUUUUAUCAAUUAGAGCAAAAUCAAUGCCAUCCGAAAACUUUUUAUCCCAUACGUCAUGAAACAGGACAACAUACCUCUUGUAGCACAAGUGGUUUCUCACUUCAUCUAUCAAUGAAUCAUUAUGAAGAGGUGUCUCCAAUUUUUCUUUGCAUAACUUGUAGGAUUGAGACACUGUGAUCCAUGCAUGACACUCGAAGUUGUUAUGGAACUCCAUGUUGUCAAAAUUUCGUUGUAUUUUUUUCCAUGUUGUAAUCAUCCAUCCAACACUUGUCAUAGAACCGAAACAAUUGUGAUCAUUCAUGUUGUGUACUGAUAUAAUAGGUAAAUUCAUUGUUGUACCAUUGCAUUCUUGUUCCUUAUGGUGCUUUUCCUGGUAAAUAGAUCUCCUUAGUGUUUUUCAUUUCAGGUCUCUUCUAUUAUUCCCAGAACAGAAAUGCAAAUGCCACUAUAUGUUGCCAAAACUAUUUGCUAAAUGCAAUAUGAUUCAGACGUGGCAGACCCCCCAUAUGUAUGUCCAAUAUGUUUGUUAUAUAUAAAUUAUAACAGUCCCAUUUCAGAAAACAUUGUUGUGUGGUAUUAUGCGAGUCAAAAUAUUUUUGUUAUCAGAAAGAGUGGUGAAGUUCUCAAACAUCAAGGAUUAAUAGGAAAAGAAAGAGUGAACAAACAAAAACUGGGCAAGUUAAAUUUAAAAUUUUCAAAUUCAAUAAAAUUUUAAAAUUAGAAUUUUUUUUAUCAAAAACUUAAUUAAUUUUUUGUCCUACAACUUAUUUAUUUAUAUAUUUGCCUUCAUUCCUCUAUAGUUGGGAAAUCGACAAGGUAAACACUGGGGAUAUUUAAACCAAUGGGUCUCGAGCAAUCUUAUAAGUGAGUUUGACAUCACACCUUAAUCCCAAACUUUAAGGCUCAAAUUUAUGGGUCUUGUUCCCACUUAUAUGGUAUUCAAUCUUUUCAUUUGUAUCCAAUGUGGUACUUCACCUCGCACUUGUACUCCAACAAUCUUUUCCUUAAAUGUGAAUCUUUUUCACAUGAUAGUUUCCCCCUCGAAUGAAAGUAAUUUUCAAUCUAAAAGUAUUCAAUGAUGGCCCUUAGAACUUAAUCAUGACUACCUUUAGCUCGCCUAACCAUUUCCACCAACAUGCUCUAGUACCUUGUGCCGCCACAACACAUGCAAGACCCGCUUCCUAGCCUCCAUGCAUGGACCCACCUAUCAGGAAGACUUUCAAUAUAAGGGAUCCCUAUGUUCAUGGAUCAACCAUCGUCAUUUUACUCGUUUGACCCGGUCACCACAUCAAACCAUCGACUUUGAUACCAAUUUUUGUGAAAACCUAGGGGGUUAACAUCGAGGAGAUUUGCACCAGUGAGCCUUGAGCAACCACAUAAGUGUCUUUGACAACACACCUUAAUCUCAAACCUUAAGGGUUUUGACAUGUAUUGACUCUCCAAUUUCUUCCAUACCACUGCCUUGGAGAUUGCUUCAAUCCAUAUAUAGACCUCUUCAACUUACAAAUCAGCCGACCCGGCCGAUCCACCUUUACUAAACCUCUCUGGUUGCUUCAUGUAAAUUUGUUGCUUUAGAUCACUGUCAAGAAAGGUUGUCUUCACAUCCAUCUGCUCCAACUGAAUGUCACGAUUGGCUACUGAGGUUAGCACUGCCUUAAUAGAAGUAUGUCUUACGAUUGGGGAGGAAAUCUCAUCAUAAUCAAUCCCCUUCUAUUGUGCAUACCCCUUUGCUAAUAGGCGAGCAUUGAACUUUUCCCCUUCUUUUUCUGAUACUAGAGGUUUCCUCUUGUACACCCAUUUGCAUAUCCUAUGGUUUUGUUGCCUACAGGAAGCUAAACUCACUCCUAUGUCUGAUUCUUCUACAAAGACUUUAUUUCCUUCACCAUAUUGUCUUUCUCAUGGUUGUUCAUAACCUCUUGAAAAGUAGAAUGAUAUCCAACACUAGUGAAAAGUGAAAAAGCAACAAACUUAGCCAAUUCUUCAAACCCAUAUUGAACAACGGGUUUAAUGUGAAGUGAUCUCUAUCUUUGACAAGAUGGUACUCCUGAUGUGGUCCACCUAGACUCACCGAUCCUGGCUUAGGUAUGGGUGUAACCUCAAAUCUUGGACUACAUGGCUCUAUCGUCUCAGGAAUCACCGACAAUUACUUGAAGUCCACCUAAAGCUCAAUGGAGUUGGGGAAAGCUCUAGUAGACACUAACAUAGUUGUCUCAACUAUCUCUGGUAACAUGGAUUGCUCAUCAAACACUGCACCAUUGCUAAUCACCAUCUUCUUGGAAAUUAGAUCCCAAAACUUAAACCCUUCCACACCUUUGGAAUAACCUACAAAAACACAUUUUUCAACUUUGGAUCAAGUUUAGAUCUCUCACAUUGGAUAUAUGCACAAAAGCAUAACACCCAAAUAUUCUCAAAUUAUUAAAAUCAACAGGGUUGCCAGUCCAAACUUCCUCUGCAACUUUCCCAUCAAAUGAUGCUCAUGGUGAUCAAUUAAGUAGAUAACACGCCAUAUUCACCACUUUUGCCCAAAAUCCUUUAGAAAGGAUAGCUUGCAACCUCAGGCGCUGAGCCCUUUCAGUAAGGGGCCUAUUCAUCUUCUCUGCAACACCAUUCUAUUGUGGUGUUUUCCACACUGAGAAAUGCCUCUGAAUGCCAUGUUCCUCACAGAAUUUCUAAAACAGUGAGUUUGUGUAUUUUGUGCUAUUAUCAUAUCUCAACUUCCUGGUCUUUUUGCCCGCCUGAUUCUCCACCUCAGCUUUACACAACUUGAAAUUCUCAAAGACUUCAAAUUUCUAUUUCAUGAAGUACACCUAGACCUUGCGAGAAAAAACAUCACAAAAUAGUGAGAAUCACCCAUUGACGAAUCUCUAGUAGGACCCCACACAUCAGUAUGCACAUAAUCUAGAAUCCUUUUGGUGGUAUGUUUCGUAACUUUAAACCGCACUUUGGUUUGUUUCCUAAGAAAAUAUGCUCACACAAGUCUAACUUGCAACUCUGAAUUCCUUUCAAGAGUCCUCUCUUAUAAAGCUCCACCAUCUCAUGCUCACUGAGAUGACCCAAACACAUGUGCCACAAUUUGGUAGCAUCAUCAUUAGACUCAAUGGAUGCAACUCAACUUACAAUUAUGCUCCCCAAUAGCCUAUAAAUAUUUUGUACAGUUUGUUGUGCUUUCAUCAUAGUCAACGCCCCCUUACACACUCUGAGGGUAUCUUGAUCUCUAUCAGUUCUAUAACUAAAAUCAUGGGCCUGCAAGGUACUAAGUAAGAUCAAAUUCUUCCUCAACUCAGGGAUAUGACGAAUAUCACACUACAUUCUCACUCCACCAUUAUCCAUAGCAAUUUGCACCUAUCUCAUUCCAACAACAACACACUCCCUAUCGUUACCUGUAUAGACAUUGCCAAAAUUACCUAACAUGUGUAUGGUGAACUACUCCUUGUUGGGAGUCAUAUGGUAAGAACUUCCAAAAUCAAGAAUCCAUGCAUCUGUCAACAGAUUGCAUGAACCAGAGAGAACAUCUCCCUCACUAUAGUAGUCUGAAUCAUUAGUCUUUUUGCCACAUUUGCUAAAUGGGAUGCCCUUUCUCCAAAUUUCUUCAACUCUGGGCAAUACCUCUUGAAAUGCCCAUUUUGGUUGCUUUUGUAACACUCUUCUCUUUCUUGCAUUUUCUAGACUUGGACUUCUUCCUAUGUCUACCACUAGAACCCUUGCCAUAUGUCCUUUCACGUUCAUGUUUCCCUUUCACAUACAGGCCAUUUCCUUGCAAACUUCCUACUACAUUCUUUCUCCAUUGAGAGUGAGAUGUAAGUGCAGCCGUUAUUGCCUCCAGACCAAUUAAGUCUUUCCCGUGCGUUAAGGUUGUCACCAAAUGUUUGUAAGAAAAAGGAAAAGAACAUAGUAGAACACAUGCCUUAUCCUCAUCCAAAAUCUCCACCUCCAGCCUUAAUAGAUUGCUGAUAAUCUGAUUGAAAACAUUCAGAUGUUGUUGGAGAUCGAAACCUCCUAUAUCUUCAACCUAUAUAGUUUUUGCUUCAUUUUUAGUUUGGUCAUCAGCAAUUUCGACAUGUAUUGACUCUCCAGUUUCAACCAUACAUUCCUUACAGACGUCAACUUCAUCACAUGAUAGAGGAUCGACAAGUGUGCCUACAUCCUCUAAAGCAAAGUGAAUGUUACUUUUUUCUUAUUAUUCAACAAUGGAGUUACAUCAGGAUAUAUAUAAUAUAUGUGUACAGUAUCUAACCCAUGUACAUUAUCUUUAUGUGUUCUGUGGGGGCUUUGCCUCCUCACCCGAACCCACUUUGUAAACCAGCAGCAAGUGGUCAUUACACUCCACCCUAACUUUACCCUGCCCAUAAAAUAUGAUCCAUGCAAACAUCUAUUAAUAAAUGGUUUAUUUUGAUCAUUUAUUUUUUUUAUAACUUCUAAGUAUGAGUUAUUUUUUAUAAUAAAAAUAUAUUGAAAAUAUCUUUAAAAAUAUUUAUUUAGCAAUUAUUUUUGGCUUAAAUGAUAGGAAUUGAUAUUUUUCUUAUUUAUGGCUUGCAGAUAUGAAAAGGAGGGAUUAAAAGCAAAACAAAUCUAAAAGAUACGAAAAAUAUAAAUAAGGAAGAUUUUUUGGCAUCAAGCCCAAGUCCACUGCAGCAGCUAUAAAAAGGGAGUCAAGCCCAAGUCCACUCCAGCAACUAUAAAAAGGGAGUCAAGCCAAGGAGAAAAGACACACCGAGUCUCAGAGCACUCUCACUGCUACCUAAAACCUGAGAACUCUUCCUCUCUUCUCUCUUUUUAUCAUCUUUCUUUCUUUCACCCCUCUCAUUGUAAAGCCCUCGUGACCAUGAGUGGCUAAACCCCUAGUUAGGGUCUGGCAGACCUAAAAAGCCAAAGCGAUAUAUGAUGUACUUCAUAUUUAUCAAUGCAACAAGAUUCUUUUUCCAGGUUUUUCUAUUAUAUUAUCUUUUUUGCUUUUAUCUUGCAUUAUUCAUCUUUAUAUUUUUUUAGGGGUUAGACGCUCGAGAGAGGGUAACUUCUAAAUAAGAUUUAAAGAAAAUAUACAUGCAUUAGUUUUAGGGGUCAGACACUCAGAAGAGGAUAACUUCUAAUAGAACAAAAAGAAAGGAUUUCAUAAAAAAUUAAUUGCUAGACAUAUAACGAUUAUUUUAUGCCCAUGCAUUCUUGCAAACAUCUAGAAUUCAUACUUCAUGCAUUUUAUUUGUUGAGUCUAUGCAAAGGAAUUUGGGAGAUAAAUGAAUAAAAUAGGCUUGUCAUCAUGAGAAAUCAAGGGCAAGUAAAUGAAUAGAUGUGGGUAGAAUAGAAUCACCUAAAUUGAUAAAGAAAAAUCAUAAACUCAUACAUCCUAAGCAAACAAGGCAUUUUAGGUCCUAACAUUCGCAUUCCAUUGAAUUUUCUCUUUAAUUAUUCUACUUUUAAUUCUUUUGCUUUUUAUUAUUUAUAAUUAACUAUUAUUGCCUCCUAUUCUUUCUUCUACUUUUUUCUUUUAUUAUUUUCCCCUUAUAAAUUGAAAAGUAUCUAAGAUAAGUACAGCACAAAAUUCCUGUGGAAUCGACACUCGGACUUCCAAGACUUUAUUACUUGGACAUUUGGUACACUUGCCAAACGCCUAACAAGUUUUUGGCGCCAUUGUCGGGAAUUUUUUCUUCGUACUUGGUUGCCAUACCUUUUCAAUUUGUAAGAAAUUCUUUUAUUCUUUAUUUCUCACUUUUUCUUUCCCAUUCUCUCUUCUACUAUUUCUUCCAUAAUUUGCACGGGUAGUGCUUGUUUUUGUGUAUGUGAGGUAGAACUGUAAUUGGAGAUAUAAUCCCUAUCAACUUUGAAAUUGAAGCCACUUGCAGGCGUAACAACGCUGCAAGAAGAAGGAAGAAAGAAACACAAGAAAGCGGUCACACCUCACCUCCCCCUUCUCCAUAAAUACAUAUUCAAAUGGAGGAGGAACAUGCACAAUGAGUCACACUAGAGGACUACUCUAGUACAGCUACUCCGCAAUUCUUCACAAGCAUCGCAAGGCCGAAGGUUCAAGCGGCCAACAUCUUUUAUCCUCACUCUCUCAUCCAACUGAUCCAAGGAAACCUCUUUCAUGGUCUUCCAAAUGAGGAUCCUUAUGCUCACCUCGUCUUCUAUAUAGAGAUUUGCAACACGGUCAAGAUAGCUGGAGUUCCUGAAAAUGCAAUAUGCCUCAAUCUCUUUUCCUUUUCACUAGCAGGGGAGGCAAAAAGGUGGCUACAUUCAUUCAAGGGUAACAACUUAUGGACAUGGGAAGAAGUCGUAGAGAAGUUCUUGAAGAAAUACUUCCCAGAGUCAAAGACCGCUGAAGGGAAGAUGGAAAUCACUUCAUUCCAUCAAUUUCCUGAUGAAUCCCUCAGCGAGGCGCUCGACCGUUUCCACAGACUACUCAGGAAGAUGCCUACACAUGGGUACAAUGAGCCAGUGCAACUGAAUAUCUUCAUAGAUGGCCUGUGACCACAAUCAAAGCAACUACUGGAUGCAUCCGCAAGAGGGAAGAUCAAGCUAAAGACACUGGAGGAGGCAAUGGAACUUAUAGAAAACAUGGCGGCUAGUGAUCACGCCAUCCUUCGUGAUCGCACAUAUGCCCCAACAAAGAGAAGCCUUCUAGACCUCACCACUCAAGAUGCAACCUUGCCUCAAAACAAGCUGUUAUCCCGACAAAUAGAAGUCAUAAUAGAGACCCUCGACAAGCUUCCACAACAAUUACAAGCGGUAAGUCCUUCUCAUUCUUCUGUUAUGCAGGUAAGGGGAUGUCACACAUGUGGAGGAACGCACGAGCCUGGACAAUGUAUAGUCCAAGAAGAUCCUUCCAGGGAAGUAAACUACAUGGGAAUACAGAAUUUUCAUAGAUUCCAAGGUUACAAGCAAGGAGGACCGUUAGGAUUCAACCAAGGGCCAACAGAAUUUAAUCAUGGCCCACCAGGAUUCAACCAAGGGAUGACUUUUACACAAGGCUCAAGUUGGAGGAACCAUCUAGGGAAUUAGUACAAUAAGGAGAACAAGAGUCAGCCAUCCUAUCAGCAUCCCAGCCAAGAGCCAAGUCAUCAAAAACCUACUAACAUAGAAGAGUUGCUGAUACAGUUCAUGUAGAAGACUGAGUCACAUCAGAAAACUAUUGAUGCAGUAAUUAGAAAUUUAGAAAUUCAAAUUGGCCAAUUAGCUCAAGAGAAAGAUAAAAGGCCCACUAGAACUUUCGGAGCCAACACAGAAAAGAACCCCAAGGAAGAGUGCAAGGCAGUACUGACCAGAAGCUAGAAGAGAGCACAAGGAGAGGCAAAAGCAAAAAAAGACCAGUCUAAGGAAGGAAGGACGGACAGAGAAAGAGAAGAAGAGAAGAAGGAAGAAGAGGAGGAAGAGAAUACGAUCUUACUCCCUAAGACCAAGAGCUAGUUAGCCCGAGAGGCUAAGAAAGAAGAGCCACCAAUUCCUCUAAAGGAGCCCCCAUAUCCUUUAGUGCUGUCCAAGAAGAACAAGGAGCGCUACUUCAAGCGUUUCUUGGAAAUAUUCAAGGGGCUGGAGAUAACAAUGCCAUUCGAGGAAGCCUUACAACAGAUGCCGCUUUACUCCAAGUUCAUGAAAGACAUUCUCACCAAGAAGGGGAAGUAUAUUGACAAUGAAAACAUUGUGGUGGAAGGCAACUACAGUGCAGUGAUACAGAGGAAGCUACCCAAGAAGUUCAAAGACCCCGGAAGUGUAACUAUCCCUUGCACUAUAGGGAAAGAGGCGGUAGACAAGGCCCUCAUUGACUUAGGAGCAAGUAUCAAUCUGAUGCCACUAUCAAUGUGCAGAAGAAUUGGUGAUCUGAAGAUAGACCUACCAGGAUGACACUUCAUCUAGCAGACCACUCAAUCACAAGACCAUACGGGGUGGUAGAAGAUGUCCUAGUCAAAGUCCGCCACUUCACUUUUUCGGUGGACUCUGUCAUUAUGGAUAUUGAAGAAGACACGGAGAUUCCUCUUAUCUUAGGUAGACCCUUUAUGUUGACUGCCAACUGUGUGGUGGAUAUGGGGAAUGGAAAUCUGGAGUUGAGCGUUGAUAAUCAAAAGGUAACCUUCGACCUGUUUAAAGCAAUGAAGUACCCAAAAGAGAACUGGAAGUGCUUCAAGGUGGGGGAAAUCGACAAGGAAGAUGUUAGCACUCUUGGAACACCACAGACUUCGCUGGAAAGAGCCAUGGUGAAUGUGGUAGACUGCUUAACCAGUGAAGAAGAAGAAGAUCUCAAGGCUUUCUUGGAAGACUUGGAUCGACAAGAUAACAUCCCUAAGGAGGAAGCCAAUUUUGAGGAGCUAAAGAGCAAGAUUCCAUCUGAGAAGAAGAAGGUAGAAUUGAGGAUAUUGCCCAACCAUCUGAAGUGUAUGUUCCUGGAAGAAGAUGAGACUAAGCCCGUGGUGAUCAGUAAUGCACUCACAUCCGGAGAGGAAAAUAGGUUAGUAUAAAUUUUGAAGAAACACAAGGAAGCAAUUGGAUGGCAUAUAUUGGAUCUCAAAGGUAUCAACCCUGCCUACUGCAUGCACAAGAUAAUGAUGAAAGAAGACUACAGGCCAGUCUGAUAACCCCAGAGAAGGCUGAACCCAAUAAUGAAGGAAGAUGUAAGGAAGGAGGUGCUUAAGCUUCUAGAGGCUGGGCUUAUCUACCCCAUCUCUGACAGCACUUGGGUAAGCCCAGUACAGGUGGUACCAAAGAAAGGGGGCAUGACAUUCAUUCAGAACAAAAAGAACGAUCUGAUACCAACACGAACCGUCACUGGCUAGCAAAUAUGCAUCGACUACCGUAAGCUGAAUGAAGCCACAAGGAAGGACCAUUUUCCUUUGCCCUUCAUGGAUCAGAUGCUGGAGAGGCUUUCGGGUCAGGCAUGCUACUGCUUCUUGGAUGGAUACUCAGAUUAUAAUCAGAUCGUUGUGGACCCCAAGGAUAAAGAGAAGACGACCUUCACAUGCCCAUUUGGUGUCUUUGCCUAUAGACGGAUGCCAUUUGGGUUAUCUAAUGCACCAGCCACAUUUUAGAGGUGCAUGCUGGCCAUAUUUUCAGACAUGGAGGAGAAAAACAUUGAAGUAUUCAUGGACGACUUUUCAGUGUUUGGGCCCUCAUUUGAAAGCUGCCUGAAGAACUUGGAGAUGGUACUACAGAGGUACGUAGAGACUAACCUGGUGCUAAAUUGGGAGAAGUGCCAUUUCAUGGUUCGAGAAGGCAUAGUCUUGGGCCAUAAGAUUUCAGCCUGAGGGAUUGAGGUCGAUCGGGCAAAGAUAGAAGUCAUUGAAAAGUUGCCGCCACCAUCAAAUGUAAAGGGCAUCAGAAGCUUUCUUGGGCAUGCAGGUUUCUACAAGAGGUUCAUCAAGGACUUCUCAAAGAUUGCAAGGUCGUUGAGUAAUCUGCUGAAUAAGGAUGUGGUUUUCAAGUUUGAUGAAGAAUGUUCAACAACAUUCCAGACCCUGAAGACCAAGCUUGUGACGGCACCAGUAAUGAUUGCACCUAACUGGAGAAAGGAAUUUGAAUUAAUGUGUGACGCCAGUGACUAUGCAGUGGGGGCAGUUCUGGGGCAGAGGCAAGACAAGGUAUUUCACGCCAUCUACUAUGCUAGCAAGGUCCUUAAUGAAGCAUAAAUGAAUUAUGCCACCACGGAGAAGGAGAUGCUAGCCAUUGUCUUUGCCUUGUUGAAAUUCAGGUCUUAUUUUGUAGGGUUGGAGGUCAUAAUCUUCACUGAUCAUGUUGCUAUCAAGCACCUUCUCACCAAAGCAAAUUCCAAGCCAAGGCUGAUUAGAUGGGUCCUACUGAUACAAGAGUUUGACAUUGUCAUCAAAGAUAAGAAAGGAUCUGAGAACGUGGUAGCUGAUCACCUUUCUCGGUUGAAGAAUGAAGAGAUAACCAAAGAAGAACUGGAAGUGAAAGGGGAGUUUCCAUAUGAGUUCUUUCUACAAGUUGCCACAAGACCUUGGUUUGCUGAUAUGGCUAAUUACAAAGCCACAUGGAUCAUUCCAAAAGAAUUUAAUUGGAGUCAGCGGAAGAAAUUUUUCCAUGAUGCCCACUUCUAUGUAUGGGAUGACCCUCAUUUGUUCAAGACAGGAGCCGAUAAUCUACUGAAGAGGUGUGUCACAAUGGAGGAAGCAUAGAGCAUUCUUUGCCACUGUCACAGUUCACCCUAUGGCGGUCACCACAGUAGAGACAGGACAACAACAAAAGUGCUACAAUCAAGUUUCUUUUUGCCCUCUAUCUUUAAAGAUGCUCACGAUUUUGUGCGUUGUUGUGAUAAAUGCCAGAGAAUAGGGGGGAUUUCUAGAAGAAACGAGAUGCCACUACAAAACAUCAUGGAGGUAGAGAGUUUUUACUGUAUGGGCAUUGAUUUUAUGGGACCUCUUCCUUCUUCAUAAAGGAUUAUCUAUAUCCUGGUGGCUGUAGACUAUGUGUCCAAGUGGGUGGAAGCCAUAACAACUCCAAAAGAUGAUGCCAGGGUAGUGAUAAAGUUCUUAAAGAAAAAUAUUUUCUCCGUUUUGGAGUCCCAUGAGCCCUAAUCAGUGAUGGAGGAACACACUUCUGCAACAACCAAUUGAAGAAAGUCCUGGAGCAUUACAAUGUUAGACAUAAGAUGGCUACACCUUAUCAUCCACAGACCAAUGGCCAAGUAGAAAUUUAUAACAGAGAGCUUAAGCGAAUCCUCGAAAAGACUGUGGCAUCAUCAAGAAAGGAUUGGGCUUUGAAACUAGAUGAUACUCUCUGGGCCUACAGGACAACAUUCAAGACCCCCAUCGGAUUAUCACUGUUUCAGCUAGUAUAUGGGAAAUCAUGUCACUUACCGGUAGAGUUGGAGCAUAAAGCCUAUUGGGCUCUCAAAUUGCUAAACUUCGAUGAAGCUGCAUAUGGAGAAAGGAGGAAAUUACAGUUGCUGGAGUUAAAAGAAAUGAGAUUGAAUGCCUAUGAGUCCUCUAGAAUUUAUAAGUAGAAGAUGAAGGCGUAUCAUGAUAGGAAGUUGCAGAGACAAGACUUCCAGUUAGGCUAAGAGGUUUUACUCUUUAACUCCAGGCUUAGAUUAUUCCCAGGAAAGCUGAAAUCAAAGUGGUCAAGGCCAUUUGUGAUUAAAGAAGUGAGACCUCAUGGAGCAAUAGAAUUGAUGGACCCUAUAGGAGACAACCUUAAGAGGAGAUGGAUCGUCAAUGGACAGUUUUUGAAGAUCUAUAAUGGCGGACAAUUGGAGAGGUUGACAAGCGUUGACUACCUGAAGGAAGGCACAACGUCUAGCUAAAGACGAUAAACUAAGUGCUGGCUAGGAGGCAACCCAGCACAUCUGUACAAAAUUAGAUUUUUUAUUCAAUUAUAAAAAACAAGUUUUUUUUUAGGAUCUUCAUGGACUCUCAGUCCACUUGGGAUGUAUCCACAAUUGAUGACUCAGAGGCCUUCAUCCAGUAGGUUGUUUGGCCAGGAGUCCAACCCUCUACUGAUGGGGGGUGAGCCCUCUGAGGUCGGAGAUACCACUGAAGUUGGAACUAAGGAUGAGACCAUAUUGUAUAUCUAGCAGCUGAUGGGGAUCCAUGGCCCACACAAGAUUGAGACCCAAAUCUUUUUACUAGGAUUUUUUUCUUUCGUUUCUUUAUAUUUCUUGUCUUUAGUUUUUCUUUUUCACUAUCUUUCAUUAUUUUUCUUUAAUUUCAGUAGUUUAAAUUCAGUCAUUACAUAAAAAUUGCAUGAUAUUUAUGAAGUCACUAGUGCUAAGGCUUUUUCUGAAGGACUUAGACACUUGAAAUGCUGCAUACCAAUUUUUGUGAAAAUGCUGGUUUCAUGAAGGCAAAUGUUAGUUCAAGUAAUGGAGUAUGAAUCACAACAAAGAGAGGAAAAGGUUAGUUUGUCGGAAAGAAAUCAUGUGCGGUAAGCCAACAACUUUGUUUUGUCCCGGUGAGUUGUGUGAAACUUACUUGUGAGAGAAAAUUUGUUUUUAAUUUCCUGUUAUUGCAUCAUUUUUAUACUGUUUGAUUAAUUACAUGAGGUGGAAAUGAUCAAGGCUAUGUUUCUUCUUAUUUUCAGCCAAAAAGCCAACCUUUGAUGAUAAUUUAUCCCUUGCAACCUAUUUGAGCCAAAAAUGAUAAUCAUGUUUUUUUUUGUAAAACCCUUAAGCUUACUUUAAUUAUCUCCUACCUUGUUUUAUGGUUUAAGAGAGCAUAAGGAUCUUAGUUAUGAUAUGCUCCUAAUUUGGGGGAGGGUUAAGGUAAAAAUUGUCUCAGGAAGAUAAAACAACACACAAUAAGGCACCUUAAAAAAAAUUGUAUGCCCAAAGUUUCUUUCCAAAAAAAAAAUAAAAAUUGAAUGCCCAAAAGUUUCUUUUCAAAAAAAAAGGAAAGAAGAAUAAUAAGGGCAGAAAAUAAAUAGGUGCCAUAAGUGCUGUUAGAACAAUAAAUUGAGGUAAAAAAAACCUAGGCUGAAUAAGUGAAAGUUUUUCUAGGAUAAAUGCUCUCUUAUAACCCUAAUUUUUGAAAUCCAAGAAAAACCAUAAUUUUUUUUAUUAUUUAGGCCACAUUACAAGUCAAUAAAAGUCCCUAGUACCAAGUGUAAGUAGGAUAACUUUAACUAAGAUGAAGUGCAAAAAUUAGAAACAUUAAUUGCAAGUCGUAGAAAUUUAAACACUCAUCCAAGACACUUGUGUGCAGAGAGAAACACUAAAACCUUGUGAGGAAAACUGAGGCAAGCUGACUUGAUUGAUUUCUGUUACUAACCAAUUCUAUCUCAAUGUUUGUUUAUGCUUCCAUUGCAAGAUCAUAGCAAAAGCAAAGAAGGUCCAGCUAAGGGAAUUUGAAAAAUUGCAGCUAUUGAAAGUGUUAGAGCAUUCGGAGCCUCCUCUCAUUUUUUUUUUUGCUUGAGGACAAGCAAAGUUUUAAUUUGGGAGAUUUUGAUAACCACUAAAUAUGAGUUAUUUUUUAUAAUAAAGAUAUAUUGAAAAUAUCUUUAAAAAUAUUUAUUUAGCAGUUAUUUUUGGCUUAAAUGAUAGGAAUUGAUAUUUUUCUUAUUUAUGGCUUGCAGAUAUGAAAAAGAGGGAUUAAAAGCAAAAUUAAUCCAAAAGAUAUCAAAAAUAUAAAUAAGGAAGAUUUUUUGGCAUCAGCCUCAAGUCCAUUGCAACAGCUAUAAAAAGGGAGUCAAGCCCAAGUCCACUUCAACAAUUAUAAAAAGGGAGUCAAGCCCAAGUCCACUUCAACAAUUAUAAAAAGGGAGUCAAGCCAAGGAGAAAAGACACACUGAGUCUCAAAGCACUCUCACUAAUACCUAAAACCUGAGAACUCUUCCUCUCUUCUCUCUUUCUAUCAUCUUUCUUUCUUCCACCCCUCUCACUGUAAACCCCUCAUGGCCAUGAGUGGUUAAACCCCUAGUUAGGGCCUGACAGGCCUAAAAAUCCAAAGCGAUGUAUGAUGUACUUCAUAUUUAUCAAUGCAACAAGAUUUUUUUUCCAGGUUUUUCUAUUCUAUUAUCUUUUCUGCUUUUAUCUUUCAUUAUUCAUCUUUAUAUUCUUUUAGGGGUUAGACGCUCAGGAGAGGGUAACUUCUAAAUUAAAUUUAAAGAAAAUAUGCAUGCAUUAGUUUUACGGGUUAUACACUCGAAAUAGGAUAAUUUCUAAUAGAAAAAAAAAAGAAAGGAUUUCAUAAGAAAGUCAUUGCUAGACAUAGAAUGAUUAUUUUAUGCCCAUGUAUUCUUGCAAACAUCUAGAAUUCAUACUUCAUGCAUUUUAUUUGUUGACUCUUUUCAAAGGAAUUUAUGAGAUAGAUAAAUAAAAUAGGCUUGUCAUCAUGAGAAAUCAGGGACAAGUAAAUGAACAAAUGUGGGUAGAAUAGAAUCACCUAAAUUGAUAAAGAAAAAUCAUAAACUCAUAGAUCCUAGGCAAACAAGGCAUGCUAGGUCCUAACAUUCGCAUUCCAUUGAAUUUUCUCUUUAAUUAUUUUGCUUUUAAUUCUUUUGCUUUUUAUUAUUUAUAAUUCACUAUUAUUGCCUCCUAUUCUUUCUUCUACUAUUUUCUUUUUUUAUUUUCCCCUUAUAAAUUGAAAAGUAUCCAAGAUAAGUACAACAUAAAAUUUAUGUGGAAUCGACACUCGGACUUCCGAGACUCUAUUACUUGGACAUUUGGUACACUUGCCAAACGCCUCACAAUUUUCAAAAUGAUGCAAUUUGAACCGUGAAUAAACUUUUUCAUCUCACUAUUUAUUUUUUCAAUUGGCUUCUGCUGUUAAUAAACAAUUUAAUUUGGUCCCUUAUUUGAUUCAACUUCAUCCCACUAUUAAUAAACAAUGUUAAGUGAAUUUGGACGAAAGUGAUAAAAUUAUAUCAAUUUCAAAUUAAGGGACCAAAUUAAAAAUUUUAUUAUUACCAUGUCGAAGUUGAAUAAAAUAAAUAAACAAUGAGACAAAAAUGAAUAAAGACUUAAAAAACUUAUUUCAUAGUAGACGAGCCUAAUUUUUAGUAUUUUACUCAAGAUAAAUGACAGAUAAUUUGAGUUUAAUAAUAUGUACUAAAAGAUGCGUAAAAAGUGUUGCACAAGGGAAAGUGAACCCUAUGCGGUAGUAUCGUGAACUCGAAAGUCUGGGUAUCGUACUCUAGAGAUUAGUUGUUUUCUUGAAUAAUUCAAUUGAAUAAACUAAAUAAUUUUGGGGGGAGGGGGGUGGUUUAUCUUGUGUUUGAGAGUGUUUUACCAAUUGUGUCAAAGAAAAUAUAAAUUAAGUUGAGCAAUAGUUUCUAAGGAAAAAGUGUAUGAAUGAAGACAAGCCCGAAUUAUGAAUUUGUGUGUACCCAUUUUCCCCUAAUCCUAAUUAUAAUUAUGAACCCGAAGUUAAUGAUUAAUCGCCGAUUGCCUCAAAUGUAAUUGUAAGCCUAUGGUCAAUGUGUAAUUAUCGGUGCAUAACCUAAUUUAUGAUAGUUAAUGAUUAUUGUUUUAUAUAUGACAUAUAAUUUAUGAUUGAAUAACAAUGUGUAAUUGUGCUUUGUAUUAUCAGUGCAUAACCUAAUUUUUCUUAAAAAAAUUUCCACUUACCUUGCUCAUUUUGAAAAUUUUUGGACCAAAAGUUUGGAUACCAAAUUUGCUGAAGCACUAUGCUAAAAAGAUUAAAAGUGAUAAGCCAAAACUUAACAUGUCUUGUUAUAGUACAAGUUCACGCAAUCUUAACAUAUACAACCCAAAUUUUCACUCCAAUUCAAGUUCUAGAAGCAUAAUUGAAAACUAAAAUUAGUAUUUACUAUUGUAAUUGAAGGUAAAUUUCUUAACUCAAAAAUUCUUUUCCUCAGCUGAAAAUCCUAAAUCUUUAUUUAUAAUUUCUCAAUUAGGGCCAUCAUUUGGUUGAAGAAUAUCUAAAUUUUCGUAAUUGUUAAUAUUUAUUCCUAGUAUCUAAAUUCAAUCCUUAUUUCAAUUUCCUAGUUGUCAAUAGGAAUCUACAAUCUAUAGGCAUGCAUAGUCAUCAUUACGGUUGAUCAAGAGGCUAUUCAUAUGCUUAUUUGUGGAAUCCAACAACUAUGAUAUACAAUAUACUACAUGUGUUAUUCAUAUCUUUUUUUUUUUUUACCUUUUCACAAUAAUGAAUACAUAAAAAUCAAGUAUGCUUAAAACAAGGAUGUAAUAGCUAGGCAGGGGUACCUCUUGUAGGCUUGUACUCCAUCAUCUAAUAUAUUUUGUCUUGUAAUUUUUUUAAAACUUGAAACAGUCUAAAAUCAUAGAAUUUUUGUUGUUGUUUUCAGUUGCUUGCGCUCCAUAUUGUUUUACAACAGAGUGGAUUCAGCUUUUAUCCUCAAAAAUCGAAGGUGCUUGCAAGUGUACAUAUAACACUACUACAAAAAACAGUUUUAACAUCGGUUUUGGAUAAAACCGAUGUUAAGUUAACGCGGUGACAUAUUUGUAAAUAAAGUAUCCUUCUUAACAUCGGUUUUCCAAAAAACCGAUGUUAAUGCAUACACUUUAACAUCGGUUUUUCAAAAACCGAUGUUAAUGCAUAUACAUUAACAUCGAUUUUUCGAAAACCGAUGUUAACAUCAUUAGUUAACAUCGGUUUUUGAAAAACCGAUGUUAACGUAUGAUAUGUUAACAUCGAUUUUUUGAAAAAUCAAUGUUAAUAUAAACUUUUUUUUAAUUAUUUAUAUAUUUUUAAAAAAAUAAUAUAUUUCGUUAUUAAUUAUAUUUUAAUUAAAAAAUAAAAUAAUUAAUAAAAAAUAAUAAAUUCAAAAGGUAAGCAUUUAAAAAUUAAAUUAAAUUUUUAAAAUGAAUUUUUUAAUUUUAAUUUAAUUAUUUCAUGAUUAUCAUUUAAAUAUAACAAUCAUUUAUAUAAAUUAUUUGAUAUUAGUUAAUUUGAUAAUAUAAAGAAACUGUUUUUAAUAAUAGAGUUUAACUUUUAUAGAUUUUUAUAGAAUGUUGGUAAAAACAAUUAUAUCAUAAAAAAAAUUAAAAUCUUUCAUUAAUAUAUUUUUAUUUAAUUAUUAUAAAAAUAAAAAAUUAGUUUUUUUCUUCAUAAAAAGGUAAAUGGAGAAUAUUGUUUAAAAAUUCUCUGAAAUCCUACUAUAUUUAUAUUAUCGUAUUAUCUUUAAAUUUAAAGUAAAUUAUAAUAUUUGUAUAUAUUAAUUUGAUUUAUUGAAAAUAUAUGUUACAGUGAUUUAAUUUAAAUAAUUAUAGUUAUCUCAUAUAUUUGUAGGAUUUAAAAAAAUGAUAUUUUUAUUAUUUUUAAACAAAUUUAAACAAAUUUUUCAGAACAAAAAUAAAAAUAUUUUGAUGGCACGAAAAUUAUGUUUUAAGUCUUUAAAUUUAGAGUUAAUUAUAAUCCACAUGAAAUUUAUUUUUAUUACAUUUUUCAUUUUUUUAUUAUUUUUAACCUCAUUUGUUAAUUAUGUGUAUUUUUUGUUAAUAAAUUUAAUAAAAAAUUAUUUAGGAAAGAAGAAACAAAGAAAAAGAAUUAUAUUUAAAUAGUGAUGAUUUUUUUUUUGUCAAAAGUUAUUUUAAUACUCAAUUAAAUAUAUUUUAAUACUCAUUUAGGAAAGAAGAAACAAAGAAAAAGCAUUUCGGAUUAAUUAUUUUCAGUCUCUAUUUUUUUUUAAUUCUAAUUUUAUUAUAUGAACAAAUAUUUGGUUUGUCAAAGUCUUCAAACUUUUCUUUAUUAUCUUUAGAUUUUGCCGUCAACUUUAUUUGUUUGACAAAAUGAUGUUAUGAUAAACAUUGAGACUAUCACAUGUUAGAUAAAAAAAAAUAUAUUGAAUUUUAUUAUUAACUUGUGUUAAAAAUAAAUAUCUCCAAACAUGAAUUAUAUCACCCAAAAUCAAAAUCAAAUAUGUAAAACCAAUUCCAUUUAAAAUUAAUUUUGUAAAUGCUGAUUCAAAUUACUAUCUAAAAAUUGAUUAUGUUGUGAUGAAAAUUCUGCAUAAAGUUGACUCAAGGAUAUGUUGCAAAUAAUGGUUAAAGUCGACCAACUUUUCAUAUACAUACACAAAAUUUUAUAAAUAAAUGACAAUAUAAAAUUUUAACAAAUUCAUUAAAAAUCACCAAUUUUUUAUGACUUAUUUUUCAUCAUUUAAUGAUUUUUUCUUUUUUUUUUGAAUAAAUUUUUUAUGAGUCUCACUUGUUUCCUUCUUUAAAAGUGAGACGUACUAAAAUUAUAAAUUUUAACUAAUUAUAAAAAAGGGUAUGGGAGAAUGUGGCUAACAUUUCUCCCUUCCUGUAUUCAAACUACAUUUAAUUUUUACAUUUUAUCAAUACUAUUUUAUUGGUUCAGUGGAGUAAUUUUAACUAAUGAUAAAAAAAGGUAUGGGGUAAUUUUAACUAAUGAUUUAUUGAAAAAGAAAUUUUGAUAUUUUUUUUAUAAAAUCUUACAUGAAAACAUAUAAAUAAAUAAUAAUUUAAUUUAGAAAAAUUUAAAUAUUAUAAAUCCGUUCUAUAUUAAUUGAAAUAGGCUAAUUUUCAAAUAUUACAAAUAAAAUUACCCCCAACAAAUUUUUCUUAAAUAACUUCGUUAAUUCAUGUUUUAAGAAAAUCAUUAAUUCAUGUUGAUAUUAAUUUUUUUUAAAUUCCUUAAAAAAAUUAUUUUUAUAUUAACUAAAAGUAAUGCAUUUUUAAAAAAAAAUUAGUAAACACUGUAAAUUUAAUUUAAAAUUUGUGUUUUGAAAAAAUCAUUAAUUCUAUAUAUAUAUAUAUAUAUAUAUAUAUAUAUAUAUAUAUAUAUAUAUAUAUAUAUAUAUAUAUAUAUAUAUAUAUAUAUAUAUAUAUAUAUAUAUAUAUAUAUAUAUAUAUAUAUAUAUAUAUAUAUAUAUAUAUAUAUAUAUAUAUAUAUAUAUAUAUAUAUAUAUAUAUAUAUAUAUAUAUAUAUAUAUAUAUAUAUAUAUAUAUAUAUAUAUAUUGUUUCUCCCAAAAGCGCAUUCUGUCCUCACUCAAAUGUACUCACUCACUCACUCUCCCUCGUCGCCGCUGAGACACAAAGAGUAGCUGCCUCGCAACGCCGCCCUUGCCAUCACGAAGAGUAGCUCUCUCGUGACGCCAUCCUCACUAUGCCGUUUCAGGUGAGAUUUUUAUGCAUCCAUCGCGAUUUCACCCUAUAUUUUUAGGGAAUUUGAUUUCGAAAUCACAAUAGGAGCUGAACUUCACUAAACCCGUAGGGACUGCGCCUCUUUAGUUAGAAAAAGAAGUCAAAAGGCAAAACCUAGCACAAAAAGCAUAUUUGAUUGUUAAUGUUGAUGGAGAGUGUGGAAUGCUCCCAAACAAAAACCGUACCAUGGUUAUUUCUGGCAAUGUAGUGGCUUUUUUGCUGUGAUGUUGUGAUACGUUUCUGUAAUGUUGAGUGCAAAUAUGCACCACCUAGAACUUCUUGUAACCAUCUUUGUCUUUGGGUUCAAGUGCUCCAAUUUCAAAUUUUGAAAAGGCAAUUUUAUUUUGUGCCUCCUCUUUUUCUUUCGGCACUCUCUGCAUUUUUGUAUUUUUUCAAAUUUUUUUCGGAUGAUUUUACUGUUACAUCUCCUAUUCCAUAUCCUUAUAGAUCUUGAUUAUGUUCUUUGUUGUUUUUUCAUGGUGUGUGAUUUUUUAUGUGAUGGAGCUUAUCAUCUGCUAUUAUACAUUUACAACUUACAAUUUUGAUAUUUUCUUAAUUGAUGCUGCAGUCCCACUAUGUUCUGUUGCUCUGUUCUUUCAAAGAACAACUUCAACAGCAUGUCCGGGUCCAUGCAAUGGAAGCAGUCAUGGUUUGUUGGGAGAUUGAGCAAUCCUUACAAAGUUUAACAGGUACAGCGAUAGUCUUUUUAGUGAUUGUUACAUCUCAACAUAAAAAUAAACCAAUAAAGGUUGGGUACAUGAUAAAAUGGAAAUCAGUACCAGAAAAUGAUAAAAUGGAAAUAACUUGAUUCAAGUUACCUCAAUUAUGUUCCUGCUAUCAAUGAACCAGCCUGUAAUUUACUCUCCCAAACACAAUAUUUUAGUUAUUUAUGACCAAUUUUUAGAAAACUGCAAUCAUUUAUAAAAAAAAGGCUCCUAUCUAAAAAAUUUACUCACAAUUUCAAUGGGAAGAAAUCUCAAAUAAUAUUUUAUAGGAAAAUAGGCGUAACAUGUGCUGCUGUAUGUUUGUGAUUAACUAUUAACUAAUAACUAUACGGUCUCGGGUCGGGAACUUGGGACAGAGUCGUUUCUGGCAAUUAAUUUAGACUGAGGGUACUUAAGUUCUCGAAAUCAGGGAUUUUACCUGCCGUGAGUUGUAACCUCAUGUUCAAAUUUUCUUACAAGGUCAACUAUCAGUCAAUAUUGCAAGGUUCAGAUUAACAAUCAAUGAUAUGCAAGUCCUUAAUUGUUGUUGGACUAAGAAGCAUGGCUACAGAGAUUAAUUUUCCUUAUCUUUUCACAUAUAAGGUUUGAGGGGAUUUGUGAGACUUCAAAUCAUGGCUUCUUAACUUAAUUAAAAUAGAAACAUAUAUAACCAAAUAACGAAGAAUAUACCAAACCCCCCACUUAUUGUCUCAGAUAGAAUGAUGACAAUUUCUGUAUUUGAUGAAAGUAUUGACGACUUUUAUAGUGCAUAGCCCAGUUGUCCAUAUUUUUUGGCACGUUAUUGGCAAUUUGGAUGGAGCACUUUCUACUCAAAUAGAGAGGGAAUUUUUUUAUUUCUUUUAAUGUACUAAAUUUCUAAGUGAUUGGAGCAUUUAGAUUAUUAGAGUAUCUGAUGUCUAAUAGCGAAAGUAUAUAGUAAAGACUUUAGUUCUUACUUAAAAAAAUGUCAUACUAAUGAAAAUUGUUAAUUGUUAAAAAAAUGUUAAAGUUUUUUAUUUAACAAAAAUUAACUAGUGUGUUCGGAACUCAGUUAAGUUCAACUAAUGGUUUAAGGUAAAAAAAAAAAAAAAAUACUUUUGAGAUAGAAGUAAUUUUAUUAAAGAAUUAGAACUUUUAUUCUUUGAUUCUUGCUUUCAUUCAGUUAAUAUCAAUAAGGAAAUGAUAAGGAAUUCAUACAAGUAAUAUUAUAUUUAAUUCUCUUAACUAAAAUAUUAAAUUUAAAUAUUAUGAAUAAAAAAAAUAUGUAAUUGAAAAAAAAAUUCACUAAAAAUAAACGAUCAAAUUUUAUGACAAAAAUUAAUUAUCAUAAAAUUAGUAUAUAUAUAUAUAUAUAACUGGAUUUUUUUCUAUGAAAAAAAAGUCCUAGGAUUUGAUUCCCCAAUUCCUUCUCUGUACGUAAAUAAAAUCUCGUGAGUGAGCAACCAUAAAGUUUGAAAAUGGAUUAGCCUAAUAAAAAAGGACGAUAUAAGCUUAUAACAGUGAAUAAGAUUUAUCUUCACGUUGCGUUUUCUUUUUCUUUAGUGGAGAUAAAUUCUAACCACCUUUAUGUUGCAUUUUGUCUCCGUUACUACCAAAGAUUUAAUUCUCACCAUUAAUUCGUUUUAUCUUUCUUUCUCCAUUAUUAUUAUUUUUUAAGUAAACUGUCGGUGACUCUCCUAUGUGAUCUGUCUCUCUCUCUUUUAGCCUUUAUCAUUUUGUAGUCCAACAGUUAAGAGAAAAGGGAAUACAAUUGCAGUUAGAUCUCUAUUUCCCACAAAAGGAGUCCUAAGUAGUAAGUAAGACAUUUUUUUAAUAUAAUUUAGAAUAAAUUGUACUCGUAUCUUCUGAGCGCUUAUUAUACUUAAUCUUACUCUUUUUUUUUAUCAUAUACAAGAUUGUCUUAUGUAGGUGUUCAUUUAAUUAUUUCUUUGAUUCUUGCUUUCAUUUUGGACCGUGCUGCUCAUCAUCACAGGUACAAAUGUUUGUUACCAAUGAAUAUUUUUAUUACGUGUUCAUUGCCAUUAAUGACAAUUGAUAUAUGCUAUACAAAUUGUGUUCAUGAUGAGUGAACGUACCUUAGAUUCCUGUUUGAGAUUGGAUGGAAUGAUUCUUGCAAACAGUUUGCAUUAAUCAUUGUAUUCAAUCUUGAAUUGUCCGUUUGGACAGUUUGGGGAAACUGAUAUUUUUAUGGUAGAUUCAUGUGUUAAGGUUAAAAUUAUUUUGUUUAAUUUGAUGAAAUUUCGGUAAUGCAUUUCUAGUUGUUCUCUGAGUACAUACUUGAUUAUCGGGAAAUUAAUUUCACCGAUUUUAUGUCGUGUACUUGGAAACCAAUGCGAAAUGCUGUCAAAAUUUUGUCAAAUUUAACAAAAUAGAAUUAAUCCUGAUGUAUGAAGCUACCAUAAAAGACGGUUUUCCCGAAUGGGAUAGGGCCACACCUUUAAUAUAAAAGUGAGAUUUUCAUGCAUCGAAUAACUUUGAGAGUAUGACCGAGAUAUUACUUAGAUGGAUCGAAGUUGGAUGAAUGAAAGUCGCAUCAGCCCAGAUGGAAAAUAUUAUUGUCCUUGCAUCAAUUGUUUGAACGGAAGACGACAAAUACGGGAUGACAUACGAGAGCAUCUGCUGUGUAAUGGAAUUAAAAGAAAUUAUACGACAUGAAUAUGGCAUGGUGAAAUAACAUACAUGCAGAGUAGGCAAUAAUCCGAACCGUUUGAUGUAGAAAUGGGAGAUCGCUUGGAGGAUAUGAUUCGUGACCUUGGACAAGAGUCUUUCCAGCAAGCACAUGCCCCUGUGUAUAAAAGAUUGCAGAGUGACUCAAAGAAGCAUUUGUAUCCAGGAUGCAACAAUUCCUUGACGCUAUUGUCGGUGGUGUUAAGUCUGGUUAAUGUUAAGGUCAGAUAUGGAUGGAGUGACAAAGGCUUUACUUCAUUGCUUCAAAUAGUGCACGAUCUGCUUCCACAGGAUAACACAUUGCCUAAAAGCUACUAUCAGACCAAGAAGAUAUUGUGUCCGAUGGGUAUGGAGUAUCAGAAGAUUCAUGCUUGCCCUAAUGAUUGCAUACUGUACAUACAUGAAUUUAAAGAAAUGUCAAAAUGCCCUAGGUGUGGGGCGUCACGGUACAAGGUGAAGGAUGAUGAGGACUGCAAUUCUGAUGAAAACUCAAAGAAGGGCCCUCCAGCGAAGGUAUUAUGGUAUCUUCCCAUCAUUCCAAGGUUUAAGCGUUUAUUUGCUAAUGAGGACGACGCAAAAGAUCUUACCUGGCAUCCAAAUGGGAGAAAAUAUGAUGGAAUGGUCCGUCAUCCAGCUGAUUGCUCCCAGUGGAAGAAGAUUGAUAGUUUGUAUCCGGAUUUCGGCAAAGAGGCAAGAAAUCUUAGACUUGGACUAGCCAGUGAUGGAAUGAAUCCAUAUGGCAAUUUAAGCACUCAACACAGUUCAUGGCCAGUUCUACUAGUAAUUUACAAUUUUCCGCCUUGGUUGUGCAUGAAGCGAAAAUACAUGAUGUUGUCUAUGAUGAUAUCGUUCCCAAGACAACCAGGAAAUGACAUUGAUGUUUAUCUAAGUCCGUUGAUUGAAGACCUGAGAAAGUUGUGGGAUGAGGGGGCUUUAGUGUUUGAUGGGUUUCGCAAGGAGACUUUUAAAAUGCGUGCAAUGCUUUUUUGUACCAUUAAUGACUUUCCAGCAUAUGGGAAUCUCAGUGGUUACAAUGUUAAGGGUCAUCAUGCAUGCCCCAUCUGUGAAGAAGACACAAGCUACAUACAACUGAAACAUGGUAGAAAAAUAGUGUACACUAGACAUCGCCAUUUUCUAAAAGCUCAUCACCCUUACAGAAGAUUGAAAAAAGCUUUUAAUGGAAGUCAAGAGCAUGAAACUGCGCGGAUACCAUUAAUUGGUGAGCAGGUCUUCCAGCGGGUUGAACACCUUAAUACUGUAUUUGGAAAGACUCAAAAGAAGGAUAAAAGUAAGAGUUGCAUAUGGAAGAAGAGGUCCAUUUUCUUUGAUCUUUCGUACUGGUCUGAUCUAGAUGUUAGACAUUGUAUUGAUGUUAUGCAUGUAGAGAAAAAUGCAUGUGACAGUGUCAUUGGGACACUCCUUAACAUUCAGGGCACGACGAAAGAUGGUCUAAAUACCCGUCAAGAUCUAGCUGACAUGGGCAUACGAUCGCAGUUGCAUCCAAGGUCUGAUGGUAAAAAAGAUACUUGCCUCCAGCUUGUCAUACUUUAUCCAGAAAGGAGAAGAUCAGUUUGUGCCAGUGUUUGUGCCGGGUUAAAGUCCCACAAGGAUACUCUUCAAAUAUUAAGAGCCUUGUGCAGUUCAAGGAGCUUAAGCUGGUGGGGUUAAAGUCUAAUGAUUGUCACGUGUUGAUGCAACAAUUGUUAGCCGUGGCCAUACGAGACAUUUUGCCUAACAAAGUCAGGUUAGUCAUAACUCGCCUGUGCUUUUUCUUCAAUGCCAUAUGUAGCAAAGUCCUUGAUCCAGUCAAGUUUGAUGACUUGGAAAACGAGGCUGCAAUUAUAUUGUGCCAGUUGGAGAUGUAUUUUCCUCUUGCUUGCUUUGACAUCAUGGUCCACUUAAUUGUUCACCUGGUCAGAGAAAUCAAAUGUUGUGGUCCUGUUUAUCUACGCUGGAUGUACCCGGUUGAGCGCUACAUGAAGAUCUUAAAAGGGUAUACCAAGAAUGUACAUCGUCUAGUAGCAUUUAUUGUUGAAAGGUACAUCACAGAAGAAGCCGUUGAAUUUUGUUCAGAGUACAUUGAAAAGGCUAAACCUGUUGGCUUUCCAGAGUCUCGCCAUGAUGACAGAGUGGGCGGUAAGGGUUCAAGAGGACUGCAUGUUAUCACUCCAAGUGUAGAAGAUUUGUUACAAGCUCACUUGUAUGUGUUGAACAACAGAAAUGAAGUUUUUCCAUACAUAGUUCAGCAUGAAUGUUUAGUCAAACCAAGUAAUCCAAAAAUGUCAAAGAACUGGGUCUUGAAAAAUCAUAACAAGACUUUCUCUGAUUGGUUUAAAGAUACAAUCUUUGCUGACGAAAAUGCUUCUAAAACAUUAAGAAAGCUAGCUCAUGGGCCUAAAAGAAAUGUUAUAACUUGGCAAGGAUACGACAUAAACAAGUAUUCCUUUUACACAAAAGCACAAGACGACAAAAGUACAAUGCAAAACAACGGGGUCACCCUAAGGGCUGAAUCUCAAUACUUUGCAAUUGUACAUGAUGACAAUCCUUGUGUAGCUUCAAUCCCAUACUUUGGCUUCAUUGAUGAAAUAUGGGAGCUUAACUAUGUCAAAUUUACUGUUUGUGUUUUCAAAUAUAAGUGGAUUGACAACAACACCGGUGUAUGGACUGAUGAUGUAGGAUUUACGUUGGUAGACCUAUAGAAACUAGCUUACUAGAAUGACCCUUUCAUCAUGGCAGAACAAGCUAAGCAAGUAUUUUAUGUGCAAGACCCUUGUGAUGAAAGGUGGUUUGUGGUUCUACACAGGAAAACAAUUGGUGUUAAUGUAGAAGACGAUGAUUCAUACAUGGACACUUAUGUUAGUCCUUUGUCUACACAAAUGACUUCUAACAGCGUCGGAGAAGAAGAAGCUGACGACAUUCAUGCUAAUCGUAAUGAUCAUGAUGAAGGAGAAUUAAUUAACAUCGUCUAAUGUAAUUUUCUAAUAUAGUAUUUCAUUUCGGUACAUUCGUUUACAUAACUCAUACAAUGUUUUUUUGAUGAUAUUAACUAACUCAACUUUUUCUCUUUAAAGGACCAUGGCUACUCCACCUGCCUCGCCUCCUCCUCCUCUUCCUCCUCCUCCUGCAGACGCAUCAGUGUCUCCAUCUACAUUGAAGCGGACACGCAAGGCGACACGGCUACGAUCAUUGGCCACUAGACUACCUGGGGCAGAAAGACCUGUGGUCAACGUCGAUCUUGCUACCGGCAAGGCCGACGAUACCCAAAAGAAGAAAUUAAGAACAUAUUUGGGGAUUGUCGCUCGUGAUAAGGUCGACGUGACAUAUGACACCUGGAAGGAAGUCCCUACUGCUCAGAAGGAUUUGAUAUGGGAGGAUAUUCAGGUAUUUGAGUUUUCUUCAUUUAUUUUCUUUAAUAGUCUAAAUUUGUUAUUUACUUACAAUAAAACCUAAUUUAUUGUUUGUUAGGCAGAAUUUGAAAUCCCUGAAGCUUCUGACAGUAGGACAAAGAAGAAAAUUCUUCAGAUUGUCGAUGAGCGCUGGAGGCAGUUUAAAUCUGACUUGACUAGGAAAUGGGCACUUGCAGCCGACAAGGACGGUGUGGACGACAUUGUCUGUGAAAAAUAUGGCAUUAGCAAGGAGAAAUGGGCCCAGUUUUGUCAGACCUGCAGAGACCCCUCAUGGGUGGUAUGUACUUUGUCAUUUUAGUUGUUUUCCACAACAAAAUCACUUCUUAUAAUUUAUUGUAAUAAUCAUUUUCAUUAAUGUUAAACUUUUGCAAGAUGUGCGGAAAAAGACACAGGCCUCCCAGAAGCAAAACACUGCCCCCCACAUAUUGUCUCGUGGGGGUUAUGAAUAUUUAGAAGAAAAGCUCAUGGCUAAGAAGAUAAAGAAAAGACUGGAAGAAGCUGCCCAGUCUGGAAGCACUGAGGGCAUCAUUGACCCUCCAUCUCCCAUCAGAUGCCACAUGAAAUGGAAGAUGGCUCGCACGAAGAAAACUGGACAGAUGACGUCUGAGGCAGCAAAGGAAAUAGCUGACAGGAUUGUAAGUCAUUUUUAAUUAAUAAUUGUAAUUAUCUUUGUGUAUUCUGUGAAUUCCUUGGACAAAUAUGUGUUCAGUACAGGAUUCUUUGGACAAGAAGGCGUCACAGGGAUCGUUCAUCCCCCAUGGACGUCAGGAUAUCCAGACUGCUGUCAUUUGGCGACCAGAGCACCCUGGCCGUGUUCGUGCUGUUGGAGCCAGUGUCACCAUAAAGCAAUACUUUGGAUCGGCUUCACGAACGUCCCGCAGUUCUUUCUCCAUGCCUCCUAAAGACCUAGAACAGCUGACCCAACAAAUCCGAGACCAACUGGAGGAGUCAAUCACAUAAAAAGUGACUCGAAAGCUUAUGGCAUCCUUCAGCCAGAUGCAGUCCUAGUUUCAAUCUCAGAUGUAAUCACAGGGACUUGCACUACCUCCAGAGCCAGAGGUUGGUCCCUCAGGUCCUCGUGUCAGCACAAAGGAGAGUUGUGUUGCUCCCUCAAGGAACGAUCCAGGGACGGGUGACUCAAACAAAUGCGGGCUAUACAUUGAAGAAAAUCCUUCCUGCCUGGUUGCCCUAGGAAGACUUUAUGAGGGAUCCACAACAGUUCACAACAUCCCUUUGUUGCAUGACCAAGUCAAGGUUGGUGUUGAGGAGGUUAAAGAUGCAGAGACUCUCGUUCUUGUACCCAUUGACAAGGUUACCUUAGUGGGGCAGGCACUUAACACCUUCCUUGCUUGGCCAACACAUCUUGUGAAGCGUUUAUCAGAACAGGUAUUUUACUCUGAUUAUAUGUUUAUUUUUUUUCAAUUAAUUUGUUCACUGUAAUCAAAACUUGCUAAUUAAUUAUGUUUGAUCAACAGGCAGCUGUGUCUCCAGCAAAACCUCCAGAAAGCCCGGAUGAAGAGGUCGAUGAUCCCCUGUACCUGAUGACAUUGACUAUCACACAACUGUUUUUGAAGCCUCUCCAGGUUAUGUGGGAUGCUACCAUAUUCGGGGUGUUUAAUCAAAACUUCCCAUUGUAUAUAAAGCACGAAGAUCUCUCUGAAAUUGCACACGGUGGUCAAUGUCUCAGCAUAUCUGUUAUACAGUUGUGGAUUCUGUAAGUCAUUUUAGAUUACUGUUAAUUACCAAAGUAAUUGUUUUAAAUUUAUACAUAAUUAACUUUGGCUUAACAACACAACCAUCUGAAUGAGACAAGUGUGCGAGCGGGGAAUUCUAAUGUGUAUGGAUUCCUCGAGCCACAGUCCAUUCAGAGAUUUGGGCAAUCACAAUUUGAAUCCGGAAGUUACAUCAAGAGUUGGAUACAAAGUUCAAAACGAGAUGUUUACCUUGGAACCUGAAUGGGUAAGUCAAACACAACAAUUGAAUUGAAAUAAUCUAUACUACUACUAUAACCCAUAUUCGUCUCUACUGCAGCGGACACUGGCAAAUGGACGUCAUUCUGCCUAAGGAAAACCUAGUUGUCUGGUUUUGUUCUUUACAUAACAGGCCAGACAACUACCUUAAGGGAAUAAUUAACAGGUCAGUAUUGUUUUCAAUACAUUUUCAUUGGCAUAACUCAACAACAUCAAUAUUUUAAUGUUCCUCAUAUUCAACACUAGUGCUUUGAAAGGACUUGAUGAUACUCCACAACCUAAAUCCAAGGCUGCUGCUAGGUGGAUUGUUGUUAAGGUACGUGAUUUAAAUAAAAGUUCUACUUAUAUAUAUUUUAUGUGUGUGUACACUAAUUGUAGUUAACAUUUAAUUAAUAUCCAAAUUUCAUUAUGUAUUUAGUGUAAUAGAAAAAAAGGAAUCACUGAAUGUGGCUACUAUGUGAUGCACUGAAUGUUCACGAUAAUCUUAGGAUCUUUCAGGAAUAAUUGGGAGACGGUAAUUGUUUAUUUCAAACAAAGUUGGUUUUCUUAUAAUUGUUAUUACAUUAUUAAUUUAUUUUUUAUUUGAUCAUGCAGUAUUUUAAUGAAGUUAGACCAUUGGAAGCAGAGAGAUUGAAGGCGCUUCGCAUCCAGUAGGCACAGUAUUAUUUAAAAGUUAGAAAUCAAACAUAGGAUGUUAAGCAACUAUGUAACUUUAGGUUACUUAAUUAGUUUACAUACUUUGCAUUACAUUUUUUACAAUUGUUGUUUCAUCUUAACAUUGAAUAACCUUUGUUGAUAGCUAGUUUUUUGCUAAAACCUAUUUGAAAGCAGAAUGCAAAUGAUAUAUGUUGUGUGCUGUGUGGUUUGAUUUUAAAUUUACAAGUUAAAUUUUGGUUUUUUUUGUAAAAACAGAGACAUUAUUUAAAAAAAAUUCCUGAAAAUAACAUCGGUUUUUUGAAAAAACAGAUGUUAAUUGUCAAUAGUAACACAUUCGUUAACAUCGGUUUUUUGAAAAACCGAUGUUAACUGUCAAUAGUAGCACAUUCGUUAACAUCGGUUUUUUUUACAGAAAACCGAUGUUAACGUUCAACAUUAAUAUAUAUUUUUUGGGUGUAAUUCAUAUUAGCAACAUCGGUUAUUUAUAUAACCGAUGUUGGUAAUUUUACAUUAACAUCGGUUUUUAAAAAACCGAUGUUAACGAUAAUACUAUCAACAUCAGUACUUUCAACAUCGGUGUUGAAAGUCAUAAAUAACCGGUGUAGAAAGCAUAUUUUCUAAUAGUAAACUGCUAGGGGAGAGAUGAGGAAACCCAAUAUCUGUGGCAAUUUGUUUGAAAAGGUACCAGAUUGAGGUUGCAUGUAAUGCUCUAUAGACCUCAUCAGAAGCUGAUUUAUAUGUCAUACCUCAAUAAAAACAAAUGAAAUUAAAAAAAUUAUUUGUUUAAAAACUACAUUCUAAGACGGCUGUACAGAUAACCACCUUAGAAUGUAGUACAUUCUAAGACGGUCGAAGCCUAAAACCGUCUUAGAAUACGCAGUACAUUGUAAGACGGUCGUCAUAGACACAUUAGUUUUUUACGACAUGGUCUACAACGACGUCGUGUAACCGACGUAGUAUGUUUAAAAUAACCGAUGUAGAUUGUGCUUUUUGUAGUAGUGAAAGUACAACUUGUUAACCAUACAAUGCAAUAUCAAUUCAAGCGGCCAAUCUUUCAAGCUUUGUUUAUUUUCCGAGAAAGCAGAGGGAACAUCCAAGACGGACGAUAUAAAACUAUCCUUUUUUUUUUAUUUUCUACACCAUUAAAUAUAAAAUGAAGAUUCUUUUUUAAUUUUUUUCUCUUAUCAAACAAUCACUAAUGGUGAACAAAUCACAUUCUUUAACAAAAAUUAUUCAUUGGUAAAGUUGAUAGAUUACUUUACACGUAUAAUAUUGUAACAAAAGAAAAAGAAAACCAAACAAAUUAGGUCAUUUUAUACUUUUUUUCUCUUUCUUUUCAUUUAUUAUGUUCAUUUUAUGAGAAUUUAUCAAAUUGACUUGAUAAACUAGACAAUCUAAAUCAAUCCAAUAUUUUGAUUCAAAUUGGUUUGAGUGCUUUUUUUAACUUCAAAUUUGAAUAUCCAAUUACAGUUUAUUUGAUUCUCUAAUAUAUUCCUUUGCUUGAAAAAAUCACAAUUUGUUUGAUUCUCUAAUUUAUCUUUUUUACCUUGCAUUAACAUAAAGUUUAAAAUCAUAAAAAAUCAACAAUUAGUGGAGAUAAAAACUUAAAAAGAAAAAAGGAUGAUUUAUUUUAAAAAAAUUCAAAUAUAAGCAAUAUAUAAUUGAAUAUGACUAGUUAGGGUUUAAUUUUAAUUUACUCUAAAUUCGGACCAAUUGCACAAAAACUUAUAAAACUCAUACUUCCUCCAGUCUCAAAUAUAAGAAAAAGGUCUUAAUAAACGAUUGUCCUUAAAGCACUAGUUAAGAAACUAAAAGGAAAAUAUAUUUAGUAUAAAAAUUAUAAGAGAGUACAAAAAGGAUCAUGAGCAACACAAUUUUUCGUCUCCCAUUAAAAUAUUACUACUUUAAGUUCCUUAACUAGUGCCUUAAAGGAACUAGUUGGGAUUUGCCAAAGAAAAAUACUUAUUUGCACUAAUUUAAAAAGUUAGUUAAUAACAUUUAACUGAAUCAAUCUCAAUAAAACUAUUUGUUCUAAACUUAUCCUUCAUCAAAACAUGGUAUUAGGAAUAAAAAAAUAAUUAAAAAAAAUUCAAAUAAAUGAAGGACACUUUAGAGAUAAUAACAUUAACUAAAGUAAAUUUAGUUGAAAUUUUUUUAUAUUUGAGACUAAGAAAAAUACUUUUUUUCUUAUAUUUGAGACCAAACGAAGCAUUACUUUUUCUUUCAUAAAGCAAACCUAAUCAUGGUUAGCCCUUAAAAUUAGUAUUACCACACAAAGUUGAGUGUUGGCAUUACACUUUCUAGCACACUUUUUUAUUGGUUGAAAUUUGUUAAAAAUAAAAAAUCAUGAGUAAGGUCCAUUAAAUAAGAAGUGAUGAAAUCCAUACAAUUGUAUAAUUUUUACUCUCUCCUUUUUAUAUAUAAGAUCUAAUUAUCUAAUUCAUCAAGAUUAAAGAAAGUGACUAAUUUAAUUGAUAUUAAUAAGUUUGUCUUAUGUUUAUAAUAUUUUUUAAAAUUAUCCUUGUCAUUAAUACUUCUCUCUUCUAAUGGUUUGUCAAUAUAUAUAUUUUUUUCUUUUAAUGAUAAGUAUUUUUAAUAUAAAAAUAAUUAAUGAAAGAAAUAUUACAGAUUGAAUUUUUUAAAAUAAAAUAAAUAUCAUUUUAAAAGUCUUAUAAAUAAAAACGGGACAAAAUAAGUAAUUUCAACUAAUAGAAAACAGUGUGUAAAAAAAGAAUAUGUUAAAGUCUUAAAAGAGCAUGUUGUCAAUAUGUUAAAGUCAAUAUUUCUCCAUGUUAGCCACACGCGAUGACACACAUUGCCACAAACUUUAUUAUAAUAUCUUGUAUAUUUUCAUAUUGCCUAUUUUAUAUCCAGUAAGUGUGUAAGAUGAUGUUCUCACGUACUACUCAUCCUAUUUUUUAGUUGAAAAAUUACAUUAGGGAAGCCAUGCCACCUCUUGUAAAGUCAAGGAAGACUAUCAAACCCACUGAAAAUUUAUAGUAAUAUUCACAUAUUACCUACCAAUAAGGGGAAAUAGGAAAAUGGAUCCUAAGUUAUAGCAAGUGUGGACAAAAGUCUCCAUCAAAUGCGUCAUUUCUUGUUAGCCUAACGAUUAAUUAAUCUUAAUUGUACAAAUACUGUAAAUGUAAAAUUAAAUUUAAGUAAAAUAAUAAUCUAUAUAUGCAUAAUUAUACAGACAUGAUUAACUUUUAUGGCCAUCGGGUUUUCUCUAAUACGUCUCCUUUAUCUAUAUAGCAUAUUAGUGUUAUAUAUUUUGUACCCAUUAGUGUUAUAUAAAAAAUUUAUCACAUAUGUUGAGAGGAAGACUUUAAACUUUUCAGCAUCAUCCCUCUUAAAUAUAUUGAGCAAGUUGUGAAUUUGUUAUCUAGUUAUAUUGUAUAUAAAUGUGAUUAAUUAAACAAUGUUAAGGGUUAGUUGUACGGAUAAAAUUUAAAUAAAAUAUGGUACAAUCGUCAAAUUAUUUACCUUGCAGGCAUGAAUGCAUAUAUAUAUAUAUAUAUAUAUAAUUUUGAUUAUUCAUUUGGCUAUAUUAUUUUAGUUUGCAACGGUAAUUUACACAAUUGAAAAACCUUUCAGAAAUUUGAGGUCUCCCCUAACACUCUCCACUCUCGCGUUGGUCCACUCCUCAGCUUUACAAGCAAGAGAGUCAAGAUCAGAGGCUACGUGGACUUGAUGACCACCUUCGGCCAUGGGAAGCUCUCCAGGAGCUUCACCAUCAGAUAUCUAGUGGUUAACACAGACACAUCAUACUUUGCCUUAAUUGACAGAAAGACACUCAACGAGCUUCGAGCCAUAAUCUCCACGCCCCAUUUGACAAUGAAAUUUCCUACACUGACAGGGGGAGAUUGUAACCGUCAAGGCUGACCAAAAGCAAGCAAGAUAAUGUUAUACAGAAAGCCUAAAGGUAGCACUAUAUCCUCCCAUCUAGGAGCUAGCUAUGCCUUACCCCAUAGUGGCUGAAGCCUCUUAAGUCAUGACAAUGGAGGAAGGGUUUCAAGUUCGAAACCCACCGAAGUACUUGUCUAGUUGCAACUUCGGGGCAGUGCAACUCCAGCAUAUUGCCGACGUGCUACACAGAAGCACAAAUUUAUUUGUCUGGCUGCCAUCUGACAUGCUGGGAAUCCAUCCUAGCAUAAUCUGCCACAAACUUGUUAUCUACCCCAGGCCUAACUAAUAUCACAGAAGAAAAGGAAGAUGGAAGAAGAACAAUGUACAGUCAUCAAAGCAAAAGUCAACAAGUUCCUUCAUGAAAACUUCAUCAUAGAGGUUAAAUUUACUACCUAGCUUGCCAAUGUUGUCAUGGUAAAAAAGGCCAAUGACAUAUGGCGAUUGUGCAUCGAUUACAAUGAUCUGAAUAGGCUGGUCGAUGGAGUGUCUAGAUUCUAGGUGCUAAGCUUCCUAGAAAUUUCUCUAAAUACAACCAGACCAGAAUGCAUCUUCCAAACGAGGAAAAAAUGACAUUCAUCACAAAAGAUGCCAACUUUUGCUAUUCCAGCUUUUUCUAUUCACCUGUUCGUUCUUGCUGCCUCUCAGUCCCCACUUCGUUCGUGGUUCGUGUCGCCCAAUCUCAUCGAAGUGUCAUGUCUCCGUCAGGUGCAUUAUUUGUGUUGUUAAUUUAACCCUUCUAGUACAAUUGUUGUUGUUUUUAUUCUUCCUUAUGAAUGUGUUACUGUUAUGUUAUAAAUAGAUGUUUUGUUCUUGUUGCUCCAUCUGUUGUGUUCUUUUGUUGACUGAGUAGGUAGAUUGUUUUCAUGAAUUCUCAAUGCAUGUACUUGAGAUUUGCUCUUACUCUGUUCCUAGAUUGGUCCUUUGUUGGGGGGGGGGGGGGUGAAAAAAGAGAUUGUGUGUGUAGUUAAUCAAGCAGAUGAGAAAAUAAACACGAUUUUUUUUAUCUCUCAUGUAAAAAACGGUCCAUUUUAUUAUAGAAUUGUUUGUGAGGUGUUUGAGAAUUAAGGGAUAGGAAAUCAAUCAAACUUAUUCUUGACUCUGUGUGCUAUUUCCAUCUGGAAUUACAUCCAAUGUUAGUUGUUGGAAAGGUUUAUGAAUUCAUUAAAUUGAUUUCAUUGACAUGAAUUGGAACUUUUGAACUUUUUUGUAUGACAAUUUUCACACUUUAUAUUUAAAUUAGCUUGGGUAAGGAUUGUUUGUGAAACCAAUUGCAUGGGAACUUCUGAUGCUAGAUGGAUUUGAUUUUAUUGUUUUGAUUAAGCCAUCCAUCUCCUUGUUCAUUGUUUCCCUAACUCUUGAGGAUUUAUGGUGUUAUUUACUAGGAAGUAGGAAUGCAAUUUGAGAAGGCUAGUUGCUUGACAUGUUAAUCUAAGAGGUGGCUUUAACUGCAAUAAUUAUGCUUAUAUAGACAAGGAAAAAUAGGCUGAUUUUUUUUUUGUCAAAUUCAGCUUCUAACUUUAUGUUGGUUAAUGCAAGUUUAAGUUUAUUAGUUAGUUUAGUUGAAGAAGAAAGAUAGAUAUAGUUACUUAGAUUACUACCUAACUCCCCUAAAAAAUAUUACUACCUAAUAAUAGGUAACUGAGUCUAAAAGUGGUUAACAUUAACACAUGGAUAAUUAUAUACAAUUAUACUAAUUUACUCUUAAUCACUUUUGAAUUAAAAAUGUAGACACCAACUACAAAAUUUCCUGACAUAACACAAUUCUUAUUCUAUUAAAUUGAAAUUAAGAAUUGAAAUUUAUAAAUUAUUACUAUAAAAAAUUAUACUAUCAAUCAUUAAGAAACGAUAAAUAAGUAUGAAUUUAAAAAUAAUUAUAAUAAAAAAAUAUUUUAUUCUAUUAGUACAUAGACUAUUUAUUCUAAAAUUAAAAUUAAUAAAUAAGUUGUAACAUUUAAAUUUGUUAUUAGUGGUUUUUAAAUUUUCCUUUAUUUUAAAUGGAUUAAUUUACUUAAUUUUCAAAGGAGCCAAACAUUAUUCUUUGGGAUAAAAUAUGUUUUGGUAUAGUUUUUUUUAAAUGGUAUACUUUUUUAAAAAAUUGGUUUUAAGCCUUAUAGUUUGAAAUCAACUAUUUUGGUCUCCAAACUUUAAAGAAUAUGCAAAUUUAGGCAUUCUUUUCUUUGAAUAUACAAAACCUAAAACUAAUUUUAAAUAAUACAAAAACCAAAAAUAUAUUUUACUUACGCAUAAUUUUAUUUAACUCACCCACGCAUGCAUGCGAGAUUGGCUCACUAUACAUUAUCUCAAAGUAUACACCUCACAUCUCACAUCUCACAUAUCAUAUGGAGGAGUUAUGUAACACUUCUAUGGUGAGGAAUGUGCACUUAGUAGGUGUUAAGAAGUAUGUAGAAGGGAAAGUUAGUUGCUUCUCAAAUCUUUAAUUUCUUGAUAUUAAAUUCAAAUAUUUAAUUCCUUGGUAUUAAAAAAAUACAGCACAUUGCUUCUCAUAUCUCUCACUUAGCAUUCAAAUCUUUAAUUUGUAGGCACUUUUCAUUUUCUUGUUUGCAUCGUGAUCACGACACCCCUUGUUGGACAUUAUACUACCAUCAUCACAAGUAAGAUUGUUUUUCAUAAACUUUUGAGGCUCUUUUUUGUUAUCAAAUCUUUUAUAACUUGUUGACUUUUGAACGAUAGACAAGUACACCAAAUUGUCAUAAGUAGUAAAGUUAAAAUGGAAGUCCGAGUGUUGAAUCCAAAAUGACUUUAUUUGCACUUAAGUAGGUGAAUAUAUAAUUUUCAAGCAAUAAUUAAAUUGGUUUAAAAAGUUGUGAAGAAAAUAGUAAAAUAAAUCGACAUAAAAUUAAAUUAAAAUAAAUAAAAAAAGAAAGACAAAUAUAAAAAUAAAUUACUUGAUUAAAACAAAAAAGAUUAGAGAACCCAAUAUUAUUACAAGAGUAAAUUCAGAAUAUGAGAAUAUUGAAAACACAGCCUACAAGAACUACUCUUGAUGUAUUAAUGAUUUUUUUUCUAAUUAUGUUUAUUCCAAUUUUAUACCUGCAACUACUCAUAUACUCUAAUCAAGAUCCCUCGAGUAAAAAAGCCUAACAUAUCAAUCUUCUCUCCCGAAUCCCUUUAAGAGAUAAAAUAGUUAAAUUGCAUUAAGAAUAGAGAUGUAUAACAGGCUAAAUAAAAUCAACAUAUCACUGGUGAUGAAGUUAUUUAGAUACCCAAUUUCCCAAUAACACUGUCCAAUGAUACUCCUAAAACUUACUAAGCAAGUGGGUGAUCAAACCAUAAACAAUAAAAUAAAGCACAGGAAAAGAUAAUGCAAAAGUAAUAUUCAUAAUUGAUAGGAAGAGAAAUUACAUCAAGAACAGUUGGCUGCUAAGCUUCCAACAAAUGAGGGUUUAACCUCUCAUUGUCAUAGGAGGCUUUACAAUUGCAAGAGGAUAAUAUUAAGUAAAAGGGGUAAUUGAGAAAGGGAAUGAAGAAAAAGAAGGACUUCUAAUGUUUGUUUCUCCUUCUUCUAGCUUUUUCCUUUAAUAAGGAAUUGUAUUCUCUAGGAAUUUAUGUGUUUGUUCCUUCUUCUCUUUCCCUCUUUUAUAGGUGCACAUUAGCUUAGUUUUCACACAACCAUUACGCUAAGCGCGCUUUCCAUGCUUAGCAAGUAUGGUGGUAAUCGCAGUCAGUGAGUGUCUCACGCUAUGCGUGUGUUGCACGUUGAGCCUGUGCAUCGCGCUAAGCGCCUGAGACACAAUAAGCGAACAACUUCAGAUCUUCAAUUUACUUCUUGGGCUUUACUUUGUUUUUAUGCGCCAAUUAUUCACCAAACAUAAUAAAUUCAUUAACUUUUGAUAUUUUCUGCGCAAAAACUUAAAUGAUGUUAAAAUUUCAUAAAACUGCAAUUAUGUAGUGAUGCACCAGUUAAAAAGUCUACAGACAAACUAAGGUCUUCUUUGGUGUCAAGAUCCAUGCAACUACAAAAAAGCGGUGUUUUUUUCUUAUGAUAAUGGCAAUGAAGACCUAGAGAAUGAAAGACAGAGAUGGACAGAAAUGGAAAGUGAGUGGAUCUGUCUUACUGAUGAACUUAGAGCUGAUUUUGAGUCCUACCGCCAACGUACAGAAAGGUUGGAGAUGGAACUGAAAUUAGAGAAGAAGUCCUCAGUGGAGAUGGAUGAUUCACUAAAGAGAGCUGUUAUGGGACAUGCUAGAAUGGUAGAACACUAUGCUGACCUACAAGAAAAAUACGAUGACUUGGUUACUAAGCAUGAUGCUACAAUGGAAGGGAUAGCAGAGGUGAAGAAGGCAGCAGCAAAAGCCUCAAUAAAAGGUCAUGCUCGCUUCGCCAAAUCUCUUUCUGCUGAGCUUUCUGCAUUGAGUGGAAAGAGAAAGGGAUCAAAAUUAUUGAAAAAAGAGAACCAGAGCUUGAAGAUUCGACUUUGAGAUACUGCUGAAGCUGUUCAGGCUGCUGGAGAACUACUUGUUAGACUAAGAGAAGCUGAACACGCAGCAGCUGUUGCAGAGGUACAUUUCUAUCUCAUUUAGGGAUUCCCUAAUCCAAAGCAUCAUAUUUUAAGGGUGUUAUUCUGGUGUUAAUUUGGGUCGGUGUUUUUAAUAGAAUUGUUUGGAGUUUGAUCCAUAAAGAAAUUUAUCAAAUGCUAAUAAUACCAACAGUCAUCCACACUGAUUUAGCAAUCACAAAUUCCCCCUCCUCCUCAUCUCCUUUAAUAAAUAUACCUUAAAAGUCAUAAUAAUAAUGAUUUUUUAUUGGAUGACAAUGUAAAAUUAUUUUACGUUUUUAGUGCAUCACUAUUAAAUUCUUUUCAAAUUUUUUGAUAGUUAGAAAAAGGAUUAAUUACGUUUUGUUGUCCCACAAUUUAUUUAUUUUGUAAACAUUGUCCCACUAUUAGUAAAUGGUUCAAUUUGUCCAUUAAUUUUACACCUUUUGCUUGCUCGAUAGCUAAUUAACAAUUUAGUCUUCCAAUUCCAAGCAAUCUAUGUAUAAAGAUAAAUCAUUUAUGUCUUUUCAAUUAAUAUUAUAAUUGGAUGACUUUGAGAGAUCCCACACCAGUUCUUCUCCGUGACUAAGAAUUUUUUUUUUAAUCAAAAUGUAACAAUUUCUUUCAUUAAUUACCAAAAUGGAUAAAUUUUAAAGACAAUUUCAGAUACGAAAAAAUCAUACUUCAUAAAAGGAUUUCACUUUUCCAUUUUUUUAUUUAUUUUUUUACACAAAUUUUUGCAGCUAAAAAACCACCACAAAUUGUUUCAUCAGUAAAAAGGAAGGCAUACAAAUCUCCCAUUUUGUGCAAGAUAAAAAAACUGCCAUUAAUUGCUUCAUAAGUGAAAAACAGACAAAUUUCUCAUUUUCUGGUGGUCCAAGAUGCAAUUUGUGGUGGUGUUUUAGCUGCUAAAAGGGAAAAAGGAAACAGAGAAUGUUCUUAAGACAGAUUAUAUCAUUUAUAUUCUACUAACUUCUCGGACCUCCUCAUUAUCAAAUGCCAAAAUUACAAAUAAAAAGAGGAGAAUAAUGUGACUUUAAAACCAGUAACUGCGGUUGAGGAGAAUGAGCAUAUUAUAUGUUCCGUCUUAACACAUUUCUGAUUCUUAUGUUAUACAGAACUUUGCAAAUGAAAAUUUGAAGAUGCAAAUUGAGAAGCCGGAAAGAAAACACAAGACAGAGAUUAAUACCAUGAAGCAGUACAGUACAAAGAGCAAAUUACCAGAGUCUGCAUUGCAACCACUGUAUAGAGAGGAUUUUGAUGUGCCGCAUAAUGCAACUUCCUCCUAUACGUAUGAUGAUCAGGCAUCAAGAGCAGAUUUUGGAGCAAUAUAUCAGGAGCAUUACUAAUUCAACUGUUGUUAGUAUUAUUAUCAAUUUGAUAGCAGAGACUGCGCAUAUGAUAAAACUCAACAAUUUGUCUGGCAUCAGAUCCUACUUGGAUCAAAGGGAAUUCCUAAAUGCCUCUUUCUUUUUUGUAUUCCUAGAAUUUUAUUGUAUUUUUUUUUCAUGUUGUGAUCAUCCAACACUAGUUAUAGAACUGCAACAAUUGUGAUCAUUCAUGUUGUGUACUGAUAUAAUAGGAAAAUUCAUAGUUGUACCAUUGCAUUCUUGUUCUUCACCCCUAAUUUUUCCUGGUAAAUAAAUCUCCUUAGUCUUUUCAUUUCAGAUUCUUCUUUUACUCCCUAAACCAGAAAUGCAAAUGCUACACGUUGCCACAGUUGUAUGUCCAAUAUGUUUGUUAUACCUCAUGUGCAAAAUAUGAUAGAGGGAUAAGUGUACCUUACGCAAUAAUAAUAGUGACACUACUAGAAAAAUAGCAUUUUACAUCGGUGGUAAAAGCCUUUCAAAGACGGUGGACAUGCGUCUUUGAAAUUAAUGACGUUGUAGAGGAUGAAUCUUUCUACGACGGUCGUAAAAGGACCGUCUUAGAAACACAUGAUAAACCAAGUCAUGCUUACGACAACACCGAUGUAGAAAGCAUUGUUUUCUACAUCGUUGCUGGUGUAAAUACGACUUGGUUUAUCACGUGUUCUACGACUGCGGUUACGUUACGACCGAUGUGGAAAGCUUUAUUUUCUACGACGUUGUUAGCAUAAGCAACGACUUAGAAAGGGCGUAUUCCUACGUCAGCACCGACGUAGAAAGUUUAAUAUUAAUUUAAUAUUAUCAAUUUAUUUAUAUAUAAAUUUAUAUUUUAAAAUAAUUAUUUAUAAAUAAUUAUCAAUAAGUAUUUAAUUAGAUUAAUAAUUAAUAAUAAACAUAAUAAUAUAAUAUUAAUUAAUUAUCAGUAAAGUAAUUAUGAAAAUUUAAAACCAUAUUAUUGUCAAGUAAUUAAGAUAAAUAAUGAUUAUCAAUAAACAUAAUUAUCAGUAAGUAAUUAAAAUGUAAGUUAAUUACAUUAAUAUUUAACAAUAAAGAUAAUUAUAUAAUAUUAAAUUAAUGAAACCAUAAUAUAAGCUGAAAAUUUAAAAAUAAUUUUACUAUAUAAUUUUUUACUAAUUAUGAUAAGUACAUAUAAUUUUUUUACUAUAUAUUAUGGUUUUAUUUAAUUAAUAUUAUAUAAUUAACCAACAUAAUGAUUAUCAAUAAAGAUAAUUAUUAAUAAGUAUUUUAAAUGUAACUUAAUUAGAAAAUUAAUUCAAAAUAUGAUAAGUACAUAUAAUUCAAAAUUAAUUCAUAAUUAUAUAAUAUUAAAUUAACUAAAACCAUAAUCAUAGCUGACAAAUUACAAAUUAUUAUUGUCAACUAAUUAUGAUAAGUACAUAUAAUUUUUUACUAUAUAUUAUUGUUUUAGUUAAUUUAAUAUUAUAUAAUUAAGAAUCAUAAAGAUAAAUAAUGAUUAUGUAUAAUUAUUUAAAAAGUAACUUAAUAAGAUUAAUAAUUAACAAUAAACAUGAUUAUAUAAUAUUUAAUUAACUAAAACCUAAAAGAACAUUCUAUAACCCCAUUUUCGUGGUGGAAAUACAAAAUUACUAAAAGAACAUAUAAUAUAUAAGAUUAAUUUACAAAAUUAAGUGAUGUGAUAUCUAGCUUAGCAACAAACAAUAUAAAUAUUGUUCAUGAAAUAUCUAGCAUUCAGAAUGUAUAACAAUGAUCCUAGUCAACUUGCAAGGAACUAGUCUGUAUGUACGUUAUUCAAAAAAUUAAGAAAACCUUCUUCCAAAAAUAUUGUUUCAGCAGAACCUUGAGCAUCUUCAGUUUACAAAUAACCACCUCCUUUUGAACUCCCAUGACUGGAAAAAGUUAAGUGGUGUGAUUAAAAUAUUUUUUUAUCAUGUUCAUGCAUCAAUAAAGAUAACUAAUGCAACUCAAGCAUACAACAGAACCCAAGCAGACCAAUUACUUUGAACAAUCCAAUUCACCAACACCUCAUGAGGAUUGAAGAAAAAUAUAAUACAUAAAGAAGAGAAUUGAAGAAAAGAAAGAAAAAAAUUAACAGUCAAGAGGAUUGAUUUCAAACCUUUGAUAAUGAGACAAUCUCAACGUCAAGUGCUUCCAAAGUGAUCCACCUUUUCCUCCCAUGAAUGAAAAGCGUGCUCUUCCCUAAUCAAGAUGGAAAGAACAAUAAAUAUAGGAUUAUAAGUAGUAUAUGAUGCAGGAUUUUAUUUCAAUAUGAAGAGAUGCUAUGCUGCUUGAUUAUUAUAGUUUAAAGAUCCAAACGAGAAAAGAUCUAUGUAUUGUGUAUUAUAAACACAGUUGACAAAUGAGUUUGAGAUAUAAAAAAAAUGUGUCUUCAGCUUAUGUAUAAACAAUCAAAUAUUAAUAAACUUGAAAGCAUAGAAGACCUUCUUUGUGGAUAAACUACCCAACCAAAAGGUGUUUUCAGCUUCAUGCCCAAACAACCCGCAAAAUAGACUUUUUGAUCCACCAACUUGACCAGCCAAGUGACCAAAUUUCCUCCAUUGUUUCACCAAAUUGUAUAUAACCUGGGUAAGAUACAAACUAGUUAAGUAUAAAUUAGACUACAGAACGUAUUAGGACACAAUUUUGCAGCAUCACCCCUUACUUAGGACCCAAAUCUCGGAUGUCUUUCUUCUCAGUGGGUAUAGAUUUCACCCUUUACAAUUUGUAACUGUAGAUAUCUGUCUUUGAAUGCAGAAUCAAGAGCCCUGAAGUCAAAUUCCUAGGGAAGAGAUACAUUCAAACUUGUAGCACAUUAUCUUCUUGUAAUAACUAUAGUUUCUGUGAGAUUAAUAUGAUUCUUAUUUCUUACCUUCCAAUCAACGGGGUAUACGUAAGAAUACCCAUCUUCAUAGUCUAAAAAAGCUCGGCAUCUCUCUAGUUUUUCUACACGACAAAGAGUAAUGGAAUUCUAAAAUUUCAGAAGAUUAUGACUAGACUAGUCUCUUCAGUUUUACAUAUGAAGAUAGAUCCUUUUAGUGAAGUGAAACUUAAUAACACAAAAUAUGAUCACAUCAGCUGGCAUGAAUAGCUUAAGCAAAGACCAAAUUUGUUGUUUGUAAAUUUGCAGUUAAUGCUCCAAUGCCCAACAGUAGCGGUCUUCUCUGGCAAUGACCUGAAAAUCGUAAAGGAGAUGAGAUAAAUUCUUUCAAAAUCCAGUACUACGAAAGAUAACUAAGUCUAACAUAGCUUAAAAGGUCCAAUCUUUGAUGCUACAUAUAUAAUAUAUUCCUAUACGGACUGUGUUUCUAGGAGAAAUUCUUAUGUUCUCCAUGAGCAACAAUUUCCUUGCUCUUUAUGAGUAUUGUAUAGUAACUCAGCUAUGGCAUUAAAAAUGUAGUUAAAGGAGACAAUAGUGGCUGAUGUAAUCUAGCAGCUACAACUUUCACUAUACACUAGAGAAUAGAGAACUGAAAUUUUUCUUUCAUAUUUGUGAUUGAUCUUCACUGAGCAAUAUGCUAUAAAAUAAAAUAAAAUAUGUGUUUAAUCAUAGGCUUACUGUCACAGGAUAGCUGAUAUGGAAACUAUUGAGAGAGAAAAGAAGAUUGAUAGAUUAAUUGAUUUAUUGAUUCAAUCUCAUUGUAUUCAUGAAAUUCAUAAUAAGUUGCAUCAAAAGCUUCAGUUUGUUAUUGUAGGUAGUAGGUUGAGGCAAUAUUUCUAAGGUUACUACUUAGUGGUUAGAGGUAGUCCUAUUUCUAAGGAGCACCUACCUGACAAAUUAAGCUACAUUUGAAGGCUGGAUGUUUUAUUUGCUAUUUAUUUCAGCUCUACCAUACAUAUUAGUACCUAUAAUCUUUCCAACUUUUGUAAGCAAAGUGUAUCCAACCACCGAUUUAAAGAUUGAAAAGUAUCUAUCUUUAUAUGCAUAUAAUGGUUUAUACCCUUACUUUAAGUGAGGGAGCUUGGUAUAGAUUUUACUAAAAUCCAUUAUUUGGCCUUCUGAAGUACAUUAUUCUUACUUUAAAUGUGUCUAACUAACAUAAUUUUACCCUCACAUUUUUUUAUUAGCCAAAUAAAAUUUUAUUGCAUUAAAAGGUACCUAAGGUACCAUGCCAAGUCAUCAUAGAAAUUUACACAAGCCAACAAUUUUCCAUGACUGAAUAUAGCUACCCAUCCUCACAUCACAAUGUAUACCCACACUAAUUCCAUUAAUAGUCGCUUAUUGUAAGCAUUAUACAAACAAAACAAGCCUGUUUGACUAGAAGGCAAGAAUUCCACUAGCACCUCCUCAACUGAAAUCCACACCGAUCCAAUACGCGCCUCACGAUUAAAUAUCAAUAUUUCAAGAUAACCGGUCUUCGUUACCAAGUGAUAUAUAUUUGCACCAAUCAAAUUAUUCCUUCUUCCUUGUGUAUUUAAGAUCAAGUUUUUUUUAGCAUUCUCAGUAACUAUUAUUGAAUCUCCACUAGGAUUUCAGAAGAUGCAUGGAUUGAAGCUUUUAAGGGAACUUUCAAAACUAAUAAUACAACAGUUUAAAUUAUCAUUUCAUCAACUGGAAUCUAAAAAUUGAUAAUACGAUAUUCAAAAUUCAUUGCAAAAGAAAAAUAUAUAUUAAAAGAGUUAGUCAUUACCACACUAAUCAAAAGUCCAUUCGAUCAUGUUAGUCAUGUAAAUCGUGCAGGUUUUGAUGAUGUCAAAAACAAUUUGCUUGAUAAGGAGUGUCAUCAUCAAAAAGGGGAGAAUGUGAAUCAUGCAUGUUUUGAUGAUGUUGAAAAGAAAUCAUUUCAUAAUAUGAUUGUCAUCAUCAAAAAGGGGGAGAAUGUGAAUGUAUGUAUACAUAAUUUUGAUGAUGCCAAAGAAGAAUCAAACAAGGUUGCUUCAAAGGAUAAGCAUUGCUUCAAGAUUAAUACAAAAUUGCUUCAACAAACAAAGUCUUGUUUCAAGAUUCACUAUAGAUCAAGUCUUGCCUCAAAACAAAGUGUUUCCAAGACAUACAAGGCUCUGGUAAUCGAUUACCAGACAAUGUAAUCAAUUACCAAAAGACAAGUUUGAAAAAUAGCUAUUUAAAAGGGUUUUGAAUUUGAAAUUUGAACCUAUAAUCGAUUACCAGAUGUUUGUAAUCGAUUACCAGCAACAGAAAUCUAGAAAUUCAAAUUCAAAAGUCAUAAAUAUAAUUAUGUAAUCGAUUACCAAAAACAUGUGAAGAAUUUCAAAAAAAGUUUUUUGAAAAGACACUCUCUUCAAACCAUUUUGAAAAGGCAUGAAGGGCCUAUAUAUAUGUGUGUCUGACUUCAUAAAGUAUAAGAGAAAUUGACCAAGAGAACUUCAUAGCCAAAUGCUCUCUCAACAACUCUUGGGCAAACACUUGCAAAUCUAUUCAGAGUUCAUGGAACUUCAAUUGUAAUAUCCUUCUCUUAAAGAGAGAAUUCUUCUUCUUCUUCUUCUUCUUCUUAUUCAAAAGAGAUUGAUUAAGGGACUGAGGGUCUCUUAAGUUGUAAGGAUUCCUGAACCCAAGGGAUGGGUUGUCCCUAUGUGGUUCAGACUUUGUAAAAGAAUUUUACAAAGAGAAUGGAAAAUCUCAAGUGGGUUGCUUGAGAACUGGACGUAGGCAUGGGGAGUGGCCGAACCAAUAUAAAUCGAGUUUGCAUUUCUCUCUUCUCUUAUCUCAUUUAUUAUUGCAAUCAAUUUUGUCUUGCAUGUUUAAAGAAUAUUAUUAAAUUGAUUACUACUUCUUCUUCUGCAUUUUGAGCCUAUCAUUUAGAAGGGGGUUAAAAGUUUGUUAGUGAAAAUUAAUUCACCCUUUCUUAAGAUAACUGAGGCCAUUUGUCUAACAAGUCAUACAUAUACACAUCGUGGAAGGAAAGUGAUUGGAUGGGAUUCUCUUUCAGUGGGGUCCUGAUGAGAUUUGAAAUUCAGAAGCUUUCAAUGUUCAUUCUUGAUGGGUGAUUGAACUGUCAUUAGCUAGAGUACUCUCCAAAUUGAUGAUAAGGUUUUGAAGAAUACUUCAUGUCAAAGGAAAGGGAGAAAUCGUAGUUGACACUUCAAUGGGUGUAAAGCUAAUCGUUCGUGUUUUUUUAGUACCUGGAAUGAGUCAAACUUAUCUGAGUGAGUUACAUUCUUGAAAAAUUAUACUUUCUACAUUUUUCAUAAUAAGCCAUACAAGAUGCAUCAUAUUUGAUCCAUGCAGAAACAAGUUGUUGAUAAUAAACAUGGUGGCAGUUUUGUAAUUAAGAAGAAUGAUUUUUCUUUUAUGACACACAUUCUAAGACGGUUCUACCGAACUGCCUUAGAAUGUACUAGGGGAAACUUAAACGACAACGGGUUUAUAUACAAAAAUGUCGUUGUUUUUUCCCCUAAUUACAUAAUUGCCACGCGUGUACUUUAAUUUAAAAUCCCUAGACUCUUGCGCUUCCUUUAGUCUCUUGUGCUUCCUUUGAACCCUUCAGUCUCUUGCACUUCCGCCAGGAAAUCACCGCCACGUCCACCGCCACGGCCAACCUCUACGUCGACAAGGAGGACCCCCUCGGCGGGAACUAUGGCGACGUAUCACUGGUGGAGCUGUAGUCCAAGAUGCCGUUAGAAGUUGGCGAGUGGGCGUGUGUGGAGGCGCUCGACGGCAUGCUGGAGAACAAUUUAGUGUUGAUCAGAGGGAGGGCACAGGCGAUUCGCCCCAUCGGGAAGAAGAUGGUGUUUUUGGUCAUCAAAGAGAACGGUUUCACUGUUCAAUGCUUGGUGCAAGUGCAGCCUGAUACGGUGAGUUCGCAGAUGGUGAAGUUUGCCGUGAAUCCAUCGUCGAUGUCGAAGGCGUUGUUUCGGUCCCCACCGCUCCCAUCAAAGGCACCAGUAGCAGGUUUGUAAUAGUUUUAGGGUUUGUGAAUUGUGAUUAGGUUAUGGUUACUCUUCAAUGCAAUGCUCAACGUUGUAGUAGUCAGACAUGUUGAUGAGACUCUUUCAUAUUCUGCUUCUUUAGUUACCUCACUCAUCAUGCCAGCGCGAGGGGGGCCCCCACUCGACCUCACCACUACUCCGCAACAACAAACCGAUGGCGAUGAUGAUUCCCUCACCUACCUCUGGCCCCUCCCUACAUAGUUCACUUCUGGUAGCAACACUCUCUUCGAUUGACCCCGUGCUCACCCUCUCUGUCGCUGGAAACGGUGGUGGCUCCGCCAUUCUUAGGGCGGCCUUCGACCAAUAUAGAGGGAUAGUGUUCAAGAACAUCACUGGUGUCGGGUUUAGUUUCAUCAGAAAGCUGGGGGAACGAUUGGUGUCUUCUAUUUUAGCAAGGAAUCUUCCCAAGUCACUAUUGAGGUGAGGUGCAUUGCUGAUUUACGAUUUCUGGAUUUAGGUUUUAGUUUUUUCUUAAUUACUAAUGAAUUUAGAUAUUCAAUGUUACUUUUCUUUUUUGUGAUUUGGAAAUUGGAAUUGAAGUUUCUUGUUAUGAUUGACUUGAGUUUUGAUCAUUAAUGGGAUGCCCAAGUUAUGAUUGACAAGCACUUUUCUGAGUGCCAAAAGCUGAAUUGAAGCUGGUUUCGACUUUAUUUAUUUAUUUAUUUUCUUUUUGAGGAAUCUUCCUACUUCCCCGUACUAGAAACAAUUCAAUCAUGUACUUUCCUUUGCUUUCUAAGAUUAUAGUACUACGCAUAUCUUAACUCGUAUUUUACAUAUUGCCAUUGUAAUUUACUCAAACAAUUGUUGCAGAAAAGGAAAACAAAAAUGUUAUUAUUAUUUUUUAAAAAUUAUGUGAUUCAUUUCUUAGUCAUUCUGCACGGUUGUAAGUCAUCCUAUUCAGUGAUUUUUUUUAUUGUAGGCAAAUACAGUUUAUGGUGCAUAGCGCGGAUUAGAGGUAUGUAUAGUAUUUGCAACUCAGUCAGCUCAAACUAUUUUUUUUUCUUCUUUUUAACUUUAUUUGGUGGUUUGAAGUGGAGGAUCAGUGAUGGCAGAUGGUGAGGAGGUAAAGACUACAGAUUGAUGAAUGUUGAGCUUUUAGUUAUUGUGUAGUGCUUAAACUUGCGAUGCUUGAUGGCUUUAUUUCAUAUCUGAUUGUUGGAAUUGUAAAUAUAUCAAUCUUACAUUAUAUAUAGUUCAAUUGUAGAAUGAGAGAAGUAUAUAAUUUAUAUUAAGAUAUAUUUUAAAAUAAAUAAUACUAUCAUAAAUAUGAUAUCUUCUAAAUAAAGUAUCAUCUAUACACACAACACACAAAUACUUAUUUAUUUAUUUUUAAUUUGUUAUUAUGUGUUUUAAAAAAUUAUAUAUUAUGUGUUUUCUUAUUGGUCUGCUGAUUUUUAUUUAUUUUUAAUUUGUUAUGGUUUUAUAACUUUCAUACUCUUGCUAAGUUGUUUUAAGGUUGUACUAAGUUGUUCAUCUGCUUAAUUCUAAUAAGCUUCAUGAAGCCCAAGACCAUUUUCUAUGUCUUAUUAUUGUAGUCGUAUCAUUUUACGUGUUCUUUGCAUUACUAUUGAUUAUAAAAUUAAUUUCUCUUCUCCAAAUACAUUCCGCUCUCUCUCAAUUGUGAUGCUAAUCAGCAAGUGUACUGAGUCGCAUAAGUAAUAUAAAAUGGUAAGUACCAAGUAUCAAAUUCACGGGGAACUUGUUUCAUUCAGAAAGUACUCAUUCAGAGGCAAACAUUUUUAUAAAGCAAGUAAUUAAUAAAAAGAGUUUUUGUCCACAAUUUUAAUUAACUACAAAAUUAACUAUCUAAAGGUGAGAGAUAAAAUAGAUGAUUAAAAACGUUGGGUCUUUCUACUGAACAUACUUGAUGUUACUGAGUAAUUUUCUCUAUUUAAGGUUGUUUUAGUGUUCUAUGCCAAAAAUAACUACCUAAACCAAGAUUCCUCGAGUGAAUGAGCCUAACUCUAUUUAAACAUUAUUCUAGAUCCCUCAUCGAACUUAGCCUAAACAAGUUGCAUUAAGAUUACGACAUAUUAUAAACUAAAUCCCUGCACUCUGUCCCCAGACAUACAGUUCUCUAGCUCGUUCUAUCAAGUUCUAAGGAUUUAAAACACUUUCCAAUGCUAAAAAUCCUAACUUUAUAUACAAAUGGGUGAUCAAGCCAUAAGCAUGCAGGAAUUAAGUGCAGAUAGAAGCAAUGAACACAUAAAAACAACUUUAAAUAGAUAGUAGAGAAUUUUACAUCAAAGUUCAGUAGAAAUCCCCAACAAGAGAUUUAGCCUUUCAUUGCAAGUUAGCACCUUUCAGCACCAAGAACAGAUUUUUGAAGGAUAAUUAAGAUUACAAAGUGGUGGGGAUGUCUCCUCCACCUCUAAAAACCUAAAAAUCACUCUUAAACCUAAAAUCUCUUGAAGGCUGAGGCUUUUCGUUCAAGCUCUUCUCUCUUGCUCUAUAAUUCAUCUUUGCUACGUCUCUCUCUCUUAUUUUUGCCAACUUUAAUGUUUUAAAGGCUUCUUGACAUUUCAGAUUAUGAAGGCUCGCUUAGCGCCACUUUCUCGCUAAGCGUGAGUAAGUUAAUUUUUGCUAAGCAAGAUAAGCGUGCUGAGCGUGAGAAGGGACAAACUCCAGGCUAGGCGAGUUGGCGAUGUGCUGAGCGCGAAACCUUCUAAAUGGUCCUCUUCUAGGGUUGCUCAAUGUGACACCCUCUACCCCUCACAUAUAUACUAGUAAGGAAUAAAAAAAAAUCAAAUAUUAAUUAAAAGUAUUUUUAAAACAUUUUUUUUUAAAAAGUCUUUCAAAGGGGAAAAAGGCUCACAUUCAUUUUCUUCUACAUCAUAUUCAAACAUGUCCAAAUAAAUAAUAAAGUAUUCUCGACUUAAACAAGGUCGUCUAAGUUUCAUACAAUUAAUAUAGAACCUAUAUUCUAAUGUCACAUCCUAUCAGAGCAUUGUGUUCCCGUGUCCUCUAGCAUGAGGUUCUUCAUAGUCAUCCACCUAUUCAUCUGCUCCCCCGAACACAAGUUCAAAAUCAUCACAGGAUCCAAACACAACAACACACAAGGAGUGAGUUAUCACAUUCCUAGCUAAUAGAGAAACAAGAUAAUUAAAUAUACAUAUAUUAUAUAAAUGAGAUAGUACUUGCUUAAACAUAGCUCACGUAACUUCACCACUUCGUCAUUCAAAAUUCACUUUUCAAUCAUCAAUCACAUUACACAAGAAUCUCACACUCCGAUCAAGAUAUAAUAACACAUCAAUUUCAUAAUAAACAAUUAGCAAGCAUAUGCCACACUUAUGCUAAGACUCAAUCCUAUAUGUAAUGUGGUACCAUGUUAGUGAAAAACCACCCUAGGGCGCUUAGGAGUACAUAACAAGACACACCACACAAUGGGUUUGUCAGGUCACUCUCACUAAGUAAGAUCAUAGGGAGACCAAUCAGGGUCAUGAUGUUUUGCAAGAAUGCUUCAACCAUAUGGGAUCAACAUAGGCUUAAAGGAACACUCAAACCCGGUGACCCCCAAGGCCUACACUCCGAAGACUCCGUCAGGGCCUCUCCCUCCUGAUUUAGGUCCAACCCCUAAAAUAAUUUUGCAUGCAGAUAUUGCUCAUGAAUUAUACAAUACCCACGACCUUACACUCGUGUUUUAAACACGUUUAACACAAUUGCGCUACGAUUUAACAAUGGUUCCUAAAUAGGAAACCUACAUUUUCUCUUUAAUACUGCGCAUCAACGCUUUUCUCAAGAUAACAUUGGUCGGGUUAUUGUACAAUUCAUAGCUUACAACACAAGUAAUUUCACAUCAAGUGUUAAACACAUCCACUUAUUCACAAUCGAAUAUCAUGCCCACACUUUAACAUUCCUAAUGAUAUUCAUAAGGUACAACAUACACAUGUUCAUCAAAUUUAACCAUAAUAUUCUCGAACUCUAACACUUAAUAAUUUUUGGAAUCAUACUAUAACAACUCUACAAUAUUAUUUACAUAAAUUAUUAAUAUAAAUAAAUAUAUAACUACUUCUAUACAUAUAAACUAGCAUACAUCAUAUUGGAUCACAAAUUUCAAAGUAAGUUUUCAAUGCACAAAUUCUAAAUAAUUAUAUGAACACUUUGAUCAAUUUCAAUUAUGAUAUUAAUUUUAAACUGUAUAAAAAACAUAAAAAGCAUGAAACAAAGAAAAUACAAAAUCAAUAUCUCACUUUAAAUUUCUCCUUACUUUAUUUCAUCAAUUCAUGCUAAUUAGAAAAAUGCUCGAUUUAUAGGGUUCACACUUGACACAAUAGCAUAUCAAUUUCACAACAAUUGGUUUGUCAAACAUAUAUAAUUCAUAAUUAUAAUUAUAAGGAUAGAAUAAAAAUGAUGAAAACACCCCAAAACCCAUUCUAAUUGAUACUCUAAGGAUCCCUACACAUGUUCUCACUAAUUCCCAAUUGUGAAUAACUCAUCCCUUACCUCUAAGCGGACUCACGUGUCUUCCAACAGCGAUAGCGGCAUCUCUGGCGGUUCCCUAAGAUUCCUCCAAUUUUUCCUCCGACUGUUCCGAUAGAGUUCUCAAACGUCAGAGAGACUGAGAAGGGAUUGAAGCCUCCAUUUGUACUAUCUUCAUGCGAUUUCUUUUGCUACCUCCACGAACAUUAUCUCAACAAUCCCAACGGUGAAAGCGUGCGCAAUUGAAUUUUGAACAAGAUAUCCAAAUUUCACGACAAUCCAGCGGUUAACAAAACCGGAAUUGUAGUUUUACCAAGACAGCUAUGGGUUUCUGCGGGAAAGAAAAAGGCUACAAUGCGAAGGAUAUUUCUCUCAGCUCAAACAUGAUAUCGAAAUUCCCAAUGGAGAGAAUGCUUGGAAUUGGGUUGCGGUGUUUAAAUUUCACGAUCAUCCAAUGGUGAAUGAGUCCGAGAUCGUCAUUUUUCUGAGACAGGUUUGGUGGCCUAUGAGAAAAAGAGAGGGUUUUGAAAGAAGAAAAAAGAAAAAAUGAAAUUGAGAGGCAGAGGAGGUUGAGGAGUCAGUCUGAAAACUGACCUUGCAUUUUGCUAUUUAUAGCUAGGGGUAUUCACGAUCUAUUAUUUACUCUAUUUAUUUAUUUUUAUUAUUUUAUAAAAAAAGAAAUUCUAUUUCAUUCUCCAUCAAAUGAAUAAUAAAAUAUCCUUUUUAUUUUCUCUCAAACCAUUAUUUUAUUAUAACUAUUUUUCUUUAUUUAUUUAAUUAUAAAACAUCAUUAUUCUCUAAAAUUUUAUUUACGAAAAAAAUGGGAUGUUACACUCAACACGCUAAGCGAGCUGAAUGCUCGCUUAGCGGAUGUUACUCGCUAAGCGCAUAUGCCUCGCUUAGCAAGACAUCAACUGCUGCACCUUUUUCUUCUUCUUUUGGCCUGAAAUUGAAGUUGAUUCACUAUUAGUUCACAAAAUUAGGAGUAUCUACUGAGAUAAAUCAACUAAACAUGAAAAUAUGUACAAAUACUACAAAAGAACUAUUAAUUUGACGAAAGAUGAAGUAUAUAUAUAACUUUUCAACACAAAAGUUAGUCGUAAAUAACGACUAACAAAAUACUAAAUGUGCUUGUAUUUCAGACACCUGGGGAGACAAGUUUCCAAAUUCUGAUCCUGACUGGGACCUGAUCAUUGCAAGUGAUAUCCUAUUAUGUAAGAUUAUUAUUGUUUACUAUCUUGGUUAGCCAUUUUUAUUUUUUUUAAAAAAAAAACUGAAUGCAAUGCAUCCAUUAAGGAAUAGCAUGCCAUUGUUAAUGGUUUGUAAAGUAAAACUACCAGUAUUUCCUGCAGAUUGAAAUGUAUAAAGAUACUAGAAGAAUUAAAAAGCUAGUUCUCGUGUUCCCAUUGAAAUGCAUUAGUUCUCUGCUAAGUUGGUAUCACUUUAAGUGGUGAUGGAGAAUAACAUCAAAGUGACUAGCCUAGUUUCACUAUUCAUUUUUUUUCUACAAUUAUUUAAGUUGCAAUGUCCAUCUAUUUUGAGCUUUGUGACUUGGUGCUUAUUGUUUCUUGGAAUGCCAAGAUUUGUAAUUUCAAUCUGAGAUUGAUCUAAUUUGUGAAGGAUUGUUGUGAAAGGAGUGAACUAGUACUUUGUCCUUUUAUUUCCAAAUUCUAAUUCUCACUAAUAAUCUGUUUUUCCUUAAAAGUAAAAAAUGAUGCAUUUAAAUUAUUAUACUUGUUUAAUGAAUAUUAAAUAUGUCAUUUAAUUUCAUCAUAUUGUAAUAUUUAAUUGGAUCUGUGAAGAUUUUGGUCUUUAACCAAGCUGAAUGACAUGUGAUUUAUAUAACCUCCUCACCUAGAGUGAUAAGGCUUCUAUUGUUGUAAUAUUCAAUUGAAUAUAGUUUUUUUUUGUGAAUUGUAAUAACCUAAUUUUUUUUUGUUAAAUUCAAGGAACGGAUGGUGUCUGGUCACGGUCACAUGUCCACUUGACAAUGUUCUGGGAAAUGUUUUAAUUUGUGUUUCUGAUCUUGUCUUAUGGAUUUCUUUCCUCUUGAUUGUCGUUCCUAGAGAAAAGAGAUUAUUACAAAUGCAUAUAGUCCCUAAUAUCUCUCAUAUCUUAAACGUUUGUAGAUGUGAAAUAGUAUGCAAAUUUGAUUCAGACCAUUUCCUUUCUUCUCAAUUGUUACAAGCCGCAAGGGAGAAGAGCAGUUUCUCCGACUGGAAAUGAUGAGAAUGAUGGUAUUGUGUUAUAAACCCUUUUAACCAACAUGCUUUGUAAUUGAAGUUAUAUUAAUUAAUUACCUAUUGACCCCUUCUCAUGCAUAUAUAUAUAUAUAUAUUAUUAAUUAUCUGUAGGCAAAAGUGAUUAGAACAAAGAGUGUACAGUUUAUUAAUUACAUAGCUUUCAAUUCUGUAAAAAAAAAUAAAAGUAGCUCGAACUAAAAAAUAAAAAAGGCAUUCUACAUCGGUUUUGAGACGACCGAUGUAGAAUGUUCAACAUUCUAAGACGGUCUAUCGCGACCAUCGUAGAAAAGGUUUUCCCUUUUUACGACGUUCCCUAUGACAACAAUCAUAAACCGAUGCAGUAUGCUUCAAAUAACCGAUGUACAAUCUCAUUUUUCUAGUAGUGAGGACAAGUAGUGGAUCUCUGUCUCAAAUCAAUUAUCUACUGGAUUAGAAAAUGUCUUCAUAGUAAAUCAAGCUAUUUGGCUUAAAAAAUCGAACUAAAAUGAGACUAAAUUAAAAUAAAGCUAUUUUAUGGUGGGGUGAUCAUAAAUCAACUGUUAGCAUCACUAAUACUCAUGUCCAACAUGGAAGGACUAAACACAUAAAAGUUAAGUUUCAUACAAUCUAAGAAAGAGAAAACAACUAGAUACAAGUACACAGAAACAUAUGCUCUAUUCAGUUCAGCUCUUUUUAGCAUGAUUCUAAUCUAGCAAGUUAAUUUAUUCCUUCUUGUUAUAGUGAUUCUAACACCAGUGCCAAAUCAACAUGUAGUAAGUAGUUCAUCAACAACAUCGUGAUUCAUGAACCAAAAAGAAUCAUGUUUUGGAGAAAUCUAUUUUUUCACUUUAGGGUUUCUUUAGUAAAUAUUGGCCUACACAAUAUGUUUUUCCCCAACACUAUCAACUUAAAACAUUUCUUAGAAUAGAACUAGGUAUCACUGAAUUGAAUUUUACCUAACAUUAACCAAAAGACUUACAACCUCAAUUGAUCAAAAGCAUAUGCACCAUAUUUGAUUCAUAUAGAGGAAAAUUGAUAAUAGUAAAUAAGAUAGAAACAAAAACAAGUAGUGGCUCAAAUCAAUCCACUGCUGAGGAAAAAAAUAUCUCAGUAGCAACAACAACAUAAAAAGCUAUUUGGCAAGGAAAAACAAAAUACAUUGGGACUAAAUUUGUAAUGAAGCUAUUUUAUUGUGGGAAUAACAAUAAAUAAGCUAUCACCACCUAUAAAGAUCUGGCUCAUCAUGGAAAGAGUAAACAUAUAAUAUUUGUGUUUCAUGCAACCUAAGAAGGAGAAGAAGUUGGUUUAGUUUAGUUCAUUCAGCUUUGAAAACCAGUUGGCAUACAUAGUAGUUCUAUACUAAUGAUGAUGUUAAUCAAUACCUACUUUCCUUAUUAUAUGAACAUAGUAUGUUUAGAGUAGUUAAAGGCAUGUCUAAGGCACCAGAAGGGCCAAGUGCCUCUUGGCGUCAUAGGGGUGAUAACUUCGUAACAGUCAUUCUAUAAGAGCGUAAAUAAAUGUGAAUGUUAAAAAAAACAAUUGUGGUUCUAUAGGACUCUUUGCCUAUUAUAAUCUAACUAAUGAUGCAUCCAACCAAUAUGUCUGCCACCACUAUAUCCCAUUCACCACAUGAAAAUUGAAUUCUUACGUAUGUUACAAGCUUAGGCAAGUGAAUAACAUUGAAGUCAAAAUAUGAAGAAUGUGUAAGUCAUUAAACUAAAACAAUGCACUCAAUCAAUCUUUUUUUGCCUCUCAUAAAAAAGUAGCCAUUCUAACCAUCAGGCAACCCAUUCAGUUUAAUCAUACAGACACAUACAAAAGAAAUUCAAAUUCAAGAAAAGAAGCAAAAGAAAUAAAAAAUGUGCAACAAGAAAAGAAACUGCUAAAAAGAAAAUAAAGUGCUGCUACAUCUCAUAUACAUUAUUUCAUUGUCUAACCUAUGCUUCAUGCUACCUUCAUAGCCCUGCCUGUCUAUCUCACCUCCUACUAUCAUUUUCAUGAAUUGAAACAAGAAUAGGAGUUACCCAACUCACAACUCAACCAUGAAAUGCUACCCACAAACCAAUUCAAGGUUCUCUAGAUAAACUAACCAAUUAUGCUUCACUCCUUGUGGAAGCUUCAUUUCAACCAGAAGCUAUUUCUCAUUUAGAAGCUCAAACUUUAGGUUCUAUACAUGCACCUAUCCAAAACCUAAAACUAACUUAUGAUAAAGCUAAUACGUACAAAUUCUAUCAUUAAAUUAAGGGAGAAACUCCAUUUAUCCUUCCAUCUUGUUUUAAAACAAGAAGGAAGGAAAAAUGAAGUUUAGCUUUAGAUGCUAAUUAAGUUGAAUUUCAAAAUUGAUUCAGAGAAGCACAAGUGCUCUCAACAACCUAAGUUAUACUUGACAAGAGAUGCAGUAUACUAUAAUUUACACUCCCUAACUAAUUGGGAUUUCAUAGUGUCCUAUGCAUUUCUAGCAGAGAUGUUCGAGUUUUCAGGAUGCGUACCCUAAUGUUCAAAAAUUUUCAAAACUGGCAUAGAACUACUAAAGACCACAAAGGCCUUGAAGGAAAUGUUUGACUUUUCAGGAUGCGUACCCUAAUGGAGGGUUUUCAACAUAUAAGUAACAAUCAAAUAGGGGAAAUGAGAAACUGAUCUAGCUACAUGAUCACGGUAAGUGACGGCGGCCGAAGAUGUUCGACGACGGGGUGAGGCAACGUGGAAGAUAGCUACCAUGAAGAUUGUGAGCUCAGGGAGGGCAGGUUGUGUAGCGCGCGGGAAGUCCAGUGAGUGAAAGCAUGAGGACUGGUUUCAACGACAUGCUUUAAUAGCAACAUCAUUGAUGAAGAAGCUCCUAAUUACAAAAAUGUCACUGUUUAAGCAACUAUGACGGGUUCUCACAACCGAUGUAGAAUGUUCGUCGUAAAUUGUGCUUUUUCUAGUAGUGUGGUUUCGAAAGUAUGGAUAUUAAACCCAAAUGACGAGUUGUAUUCUCAUUAAACUAAUAGUUGAAGUAAUUAAAAAGAUAGUUUAAAUAUUUUUAUGGUUUUGGUUUUAUAAGAAAACAAAUAUAUGAAUAUAAAGAAAGGGUUCAGUGAUGAUAAGAGUGAUCAAAGGUUAUGACUUACUAGUACUAAUUUUCUCUCAAUCCUAGUUGCAAUAAAAUUCUUUUUCUAGUUAAUUACUCAUUCACAAAAUCAACUAAAGUCUAUGAUAAUGGUUAGAAGAUGCUCCCUGCCUUAAAUCAAUACCCCAAUGAUCAUGGAUCUAUCAAUCUAAGUCAAAAGAAAAUCAAUUAUAGGAAAGAUGAAGUAAAGAUUAGCUAAUCUAUCAAAUAUUAUCCAAACAGUUUGAUCAUGCAAUUUGACAUAAAAUAUUCUCUACUUAAAUCUACCAAUUAUAGAUUGAAUAUGACCCUCUUGAUUGACCAUGAUCAUGGUCAAUUUACCAUGGCUAUCGUUGGAUCUUGACGAUGUUUGGGAGGACUAUUGUCACUUUAUUGUGAUCAUGCUGAUUACCACGACCACCAUGACCAAUGUACCAUGCCAUAAUCAAGUUAUGUAAAGUUGUUAAAUCUUCAUAAAUUUUUACAAUUUCCAAUGUAACAUCCCAUUUUUUGUAAACUAAUUUAAAAAGGAUUGAAUUUAUAAAUAAAUAGAAUUUUAGAAAAAUGAUAAGGUUUUUAUAAUUAAAUAAAUAAGGAGAAAUAACUUUAUUAAUUAAAAUAAUGACUUGAGAGAAAAUAAAAAAAGAGUAUUUUAUUUAUUCAUAAAAUAGUGUUUGUUUUUAUAAAAUAAAUAAAUAGAGUAAAUAAUAGGUUGUGAGUAUCCUAGUUAUAAAUAAUGAAAUGUUAGGCCAGUUUUCAGACUGACGAUAGCUUCUCAACCUCCUCUUCCUCUCAAUUUCGUUUUCCCUUCUCUUUCUUCCAAAACUCUCUCUUUUUCCCGCAUACCACCAAAAUCAUCUCGGACUCAUUAACCGUUAGAUCGUCGUGAAAUUUAAACACAAGGUUCGUAACUCAAUUCUGAGCCUCACCGUUGGAAAUUACGAACAAAUGUCAGAGCCGAGAGAAAUAUCCUUCGCAUUGUAACUUUUCCUUUCCCGUAGUAACCCAGAGCUAUCUCGGUAAAAUUACAAUCCCAAACUCGUUAACCGUUGGAUUAUCGUGAAGUUUUUAUAUGUAGUUCAAGAUUCAUUUCUGCACAUCUUCACCGUUGGGAUUUGCAAUAUAAUAUCUGUGGAGGGAUAAAGAUGCACCGCACGUAAGACCAUGGAAUGGAGGCUUCAAUCCAUUCGCAUUCUCUCUAAUGUUUGGGAACCCUAACAGAGCAACCGAAAGAGGAGCUCAAGAGAGCACCAGAAAUGCCACAAUUGAUAACGGAGAACGCUUGAGCAACUACAUCGAGGUAAGGGAUGAGUUAUUCACAAUUGGGUUUUAGUGAGAACAUGUGUAGGGAUCCUUAGAGUAUCAAUUGGAAUGAGUUUUGGGGUGUUUCCACAAUUUUUGAUUCUAUCCUUAUAGUUAUAAGUGCGAAUUAUAUAGGUUUGAUGAACCAGCUGAUGUCCCAAUAAGAAAUUGCUAUGAAAUUGAUGUGUUCUUGUGUUGAGUGUGAACCCUAUAAAUUGAACCUUUGUCUAAUUAGCGUGAAUUGAUGAAAUUAAGUAAGUAGAAUUUAGCGUAAGAGGGAGUGAGAUAUUGAUUUUGUAUUUUCUCCUUUUCAUGCUUUUUAGUUUUUUUAUAGCUUAAAAUUAAUAUUAUAUUUGAAAUUGACCAAAGAUUUCUAGUAGACUGUGUGGUAUUCUUAGAUAAUAUAUACGUAUUCAUGUAUACUUAUAUAUAUGGGAAAGUGUUCAUAUAAUUAUUUAGAAUUGGUACAUUGAAAGCUUACUUUGAAAUUCUUGAUCCAAUAUGAUGUAUGUUGCAGGUUUUAUAUAUAUAGAUUUAGCUAUAUAUUUAUUUAUAUUAAUAUUUUAUGUAAAUAAUAUUGUAGUGUUGUUAUAGUGUGAUUCUGAAAAUUAUUAAAGUGUUAGAGUUUAAGAAUAUUAUGGUUAGAUUUGAGGUACAUGUGUAUUGAGAUGUGUUUAUUGAGUUGUGAGCCGUGAAUUAUACAAUAGCCCGACCAGUGUUGAUAUUGAGAAAAGUGUUGAUGCACAAUGUUAAAGAGAAAGUGCAGAUUUCCUAUUUAGGAACCAGUGUUAAAUUGUAGCGCAAUAUGUUAAACUUGUUUGAAACACGAGUGUGAGGUCGUGAGUAUUGUAUAAUUCAGGAACAGUGUUUAUAAAUGAAAUAUGUGAUGAAUUUUGGAAUAACAUGUUGCUUUGAGAUUAUAGUAUUGUUAUUGAGAUUGAGUAUAAGUACAAAGUUGAACAUGUGUUAAUUUGUGAGAUAGGUGUAAACAUGUGAUGGUGGAUUGUGACACUAUGAGAUGUGAAAUUGUGAAUGAGUUUUGGCUGUGAAUAAGUGUGUGGUUAACACUUGAUGUGACAUUACUUGUGUUGUAAGCUGUGAAUUAUACAAUAACCCGACCAGUGUUAUCUUGAGAAAAGUGUUGAUGUGCAGUGUUAAAGAGAAACUGUAGGCUUCCUAUUUAGGAACCAGUGUUAAAGAGAAAGUGUAGGUUUCCUAUUUAGGAACCAGUGUUAAAUUGUAGCACAAUUGUGUUAAACAUGUUUCAAACACGAGUGUGAGGUCAUAGGUAUUGUAUAAUUCAUGAGCAAUGUCUGCAUGCAAAAAUUAUUUUAGGGGUUGGACCUGAAUCAAGAGGGAGAAGCCCUAACGGACUCUUCGGAGUGUAGGCCUUGGGGAUCACCCGGUUUGAGUGCUCCUUUAAGCAUGUGCCGAUACCACAUGGUUGGAGCAUUCUCGCAAAACAGUGUGACCCUGACUGGUCUCCCUAUGAUUUUACUUAGUGAGAGUGACCUAACAUACCCAUUGUGUGGUGUAUCUUGUUAUAUACUCCUAAGCGCCCUAGGAUGGUUUUUCACUGACAUGGUACCACAUUGCAUAUAGGCUUGAGUCUUAGCAUAACUGUUGCAUACGCUUGCUAAUUGUUUAUUAUGAAAUUGAUGAGUGUUAUUAUGUAUUGAUCGGAGUGUGUGAUUCAUGUGUAAUGUGAUUGAUGAUUGAAAAGUAAAUUUUAAAUGACAAAGUUAUGGAAUUACCUGAGUUAUGUUUAAGUAAGUGAUAUCUCAUUUAUAUGAUAUGUAUAUAUAGUUGUCUUGUUUCUCUAUUAGUUAGGAAUGUAAUAACUUACUCCCUAUGUGCUAUUUGUGUUUGGAUCCUGUGAUGAUCUUGAACUCUGUGUUCGGGGAAACAGAUGACUAGGUGAAUUGCUCUAAGGAACCUUGUGCUGAAGGACGUCGGAACACAAUGCUCUAAUAGGAUGUGACAUUGGGACAUAAGUUCUAUAUUAAUUGCAUGAUGUUAGUCUAUUUUAUUUUACCUCAUUGAUUUAACAAAACAUUUAUUGUAAAUUUUGACGGCCUUAUUUUGAGCCGAAUAUGUUUUUAUUAAGUUAUAUUUGGUAAUAGUGAAGUGAAUGUGAACCUUUUAUCCACAUGGAUUUGUUUACCAAUAUAAUUAUAUCAUGUAUGUAUAUGUCGAGGUAGAGGGUGUCACAUCCUACUCUUUCACUCAAUUGAGUGGCUAUACAUCUGAAAUAUAAAACUAGUAUUCAAAUGUGAAUUAUACCAAGAAAAUGAAUAUAAAACAACAUAAAAGUUUGUACAAAAUAUCACUCAGAAAGUGAUUUAUCAAUAACUUAUAACAGUUCCAUUUUCGAAAACAUUGUUUUGUUGUUUUAUGAGAGUUAAAAUAUCUUUGUGAUCAGAAGGAGUUUUGAAGUUUCCAAACAUCAAGGAUUAAAAGGGAAAAAAAAGAGAGUGAAUAAACAAAAAAACUAGGCAAGUUAAUUGAAUAUUUUAGAAUUCAAUAAAAUUUUCAAACUUUUUGAAAGUAAAAAAAAAUCUUACUUUUUUGUCCUACUAUUUAUUUAUUUAGCAUUGUUCCUCUAUUAAUAAACAAUUUAAUUUAGUACUUUAAUUUUCACGGUCUAGUUUUACCCCUUACUAAACUUCUUGUUCUCACUGUUUGGCUUUUCAAUUUUUUUUUCAAUUUUAAUAAACAAUUUAAUUUGUUCCUUUUUUUGAUUCAAUAUCAUCCCACUAUUAAUAAACAACGUCAAGUGAAUUUGGACAGAAGAGACCAUACUGAAUCGAUUUGGAAUUAAGCGAUCAAAUUAAUGAUUUUAUUAUUAGGUGGACAAAAUUGAAUAAAAUAAAUAAUGAAUGAGACAAAAAGAUAAAAUUAACCCUUGAAAAAUUUAUCUUACUCCAGAUAAGUGAUAUAUAAAUUGAUUUUAAUAAUAUAUAUUGAACCAUUAAUUUUUUUUUGAAAAAUAUGGGAUCAAACCUGAACAUAAAAGUUUGGGUACCCAAAUUGCUGAAACACUAUGCUAAGAGGAUUAAAGUGCUAAGUCAAAAUCAAACAUGUCUUGUUACCGUACAAGUUCACCCCAAGCCUAACAUGUACAACCCAAAUUUUCACUCCAAUUCAAGUUCUAGAAGCAUAAUUGGGAACUGAAUUUUUUAUUUACUAUUGUAAUUGAAGGUAAAUAUACCUUAACUCAAAAUCUCUUUUCUGCAAUUGAAAAUCCUAAAUCUUUAGAAUUUCUCAAUUAGGGCAAUCAUUAAGUUCAAGAAUAUCUAAAUUAUCAUAAUUGUUGAUAUUUAUUCCUGUAGAAUCUCCAAACUUGUUGCAUUAUAUCUUAAAUUUAAUCCUUAUUUUAAUUUCAUAGUUCUCGAUAGGAAUAUACAAUCAACGCACUAUAAGUGACCAAAUGCCAAUUCAUAAAGGCGUUAAAUAAAAACAAAGACAAACAAUCAAUUUAAAAGAAAUAAACUUAAUUAUAGAUAAAAAUUCAAAUUACAUCAAGUUAACAAAAAUUUAAGUACACAUUUUAGAAAAAAGGGAAACAAGAGAAAGAGAAGAAGGAAGCUUAAAAAAUCAAUUUGAUGAAUCUUGCACUUUGAUGCCUCAAAUCCACUCUUCCACCAUUUCACGGGCAGCAAAAGAAAGAACUUGAGGGAAUCUGAGUUUUCCAGUUGUCAAAAAUUGUCUGCCUUUGUAGGAACACUAUUUGCAGCUUCUUCGUAUUGUGUUGGUGUUAAUAACGCUAAAAUGGGCGUAAUAAUUAACACUCAAAAAACCACAAGAUUGGAACGUCGGAAACAUUGGAAUUGGAACACCUCUUACAAUCUUCCCUCAGUGCUUUCCUAAAAUUCAUGGUUGUACAAAGUGGGUCAAACUUCAAAGCAUAAAAAUUAGGAACAUUUAACACAAUCUAAAAUGAUACAAUGAAAUUGUUCAAGUAUUUAUCAACAUGGAAAUAAAAAACUCAAUCCAGUUGAGGUCAACAUCUACCAAUUCUGAGCACAAUAAUAGAAAGGAUUAUAAUGGUGAGAAUCUUAUAAUGAAGAAACGUUAACUUUGGUUGGUGUAGGCAUAUACUUGUUAGACAAUUCUAUCCCUAACUUGUACGUGAGAUGUCGUAGAGAAAGAAAAAUCAAGCAAAUACUAAAAGCGAAAAUGAGGCAAAAGUAAUUAUUUUAGGAAUUAGAUAAUGGUUGCAUUUUUAUUGAAGAAAAGAAAAAGGCCACGAAUGUCAUUCUACAAAGUUAUAGAUGUGAAAAAGACGCACCUUCUAUUUUCAAAUUUGGACGCAUCUUAGUGAUGACUUCUGCCGAAUAUAUGCGAAGGUUCUUCAGCAUCCCUGCUCCAAAUAAGUACAUGGGGCACAUCUUGGAUGAUCCAGUGGUCUUCUCCUCCAUCGGGAGCAAUGCGCUGCUCCAAUUCAGUUGGCAUGGAGUGGAUUAUGAGAUCUUUAAGUUUCUCCAAGUGUUGAAUUCCAGAGGGAACGGUUUUGAGUUGGGAGAGGUCUGCUAAAGAAAUUUUUUCCACAGAACACAGUGCUCCUCUGUCGAUAAGGAUGCACUUCAACUUAUCCAAAUAUGCAAGGAACAGUAGCUUUAGUUUCUGAAACCCUCCACAUUGAAAAUGCAAAGUUUCACCUUCAUAAGCAUUGUGAGCGAAACAGAGGUACAUUAACCUUGGCAUAUUUUUUAGUGAUUUCAAUGCAUCAUUAGUCAACCUGGAGCCGCCCAAAUACAGUUGCACAAGAUUUGGGAACUGUGAAAUCCAAUUUGGCAACCUUGUUAACGUCCCACAUAGGACAAGCUUCCUAAGUGUAGACAUAGGUGACAUAAGGUACAAGUCAAUUACUUCACUCUCAUCAGCGGUACCAAUACGUAGUUUCUCCAAGAGUGACAUCUCAUUUAUUAAGGAACACAAAGUCUUUUCGUGUUUUCCCCUAAAUUCUACCACCGUCAGUUCCUUUAACUGCUUUAGCUUUCCUACCUCUCUAAUGACCACUCCAUCAUCAUCUAUUUUCACUGGAGGUACCUCUUGUAGGGAUGUCAUGCCUCCAAUACCAUUCCAUUGAAUUGAACAGCUAGAAUUAGCCAGAAGAUGACGUAGCUUUUUAAGCUUCGUAAUCUCCUCUGUCAUCUCCGACACAUAUGUGGCUCUUAUAUCCAAGGUCUCCAAAUUCUGGAGCUUACCAAUGGAUUUUGGAAGACUUUCUAUCCAUGUAUACUGGAAGCUUAAAUACUUCAAGUGGCAUAAAUUCCCCAAAUUUUCAGGAACAUAACUUAAAACAGAACCUUCAAAAUCAAGUACCUUCAAUAACAUGUAAUUUGUAGGGAUUUUGUUUACUAAGCGUUCAGAUAAUUUUUCAUACUUUCCUGUGAUGAUAAGAAUUGACCGAAUGGGUGAGCUUCCCAUACUUCCACAUAAAUCAUGGGUUGCAAUUGUCAGGCGUCGAACAAUCCCACUUGACAGAGAUUGAUCAAGCCCUCCAAUAUACUGACAAAACCCUGUAUCCAUGGCUUUUUUAAGUAUCAUGUCAUGUAUUAAGUCAUGAACACGACACCUUUUAACUUUGCCAUCAAUUCUAAGUGAGGAUACUUGCACCAAACUUCUACGGACCAACCCUGAUAAAUAUUGUUGCCCAACUUCUUCCAAAGUCUUUCCGGUUUCAUGUUUGACAAACCCUUCAGCUAUCCACUGUCUAAUCAAUCUAUCAGAUUUAACUUCAUAGUCCUCCGGAUACAUUCCAAAAUACAAUAAACAUGAUCUGAGAUUGAUCGGCAAAUCAUCAUAACUUAAACCUAAAAUUUUUUUUAUGCUAUUUAACUCAGAAUUCCUCUCCAAGUCUAAACUUAGAUCUCGACUAAACUGUCCCCAUUCAGGUGCACUUUCAUCUUUUUGAGACAAAAGACCACCAAUGGCCACUAUUGCCAGAGGUAAACCUUUACACUUUCUAACAAUUUCAAGAGAUAUCUCUUUAAGUUCUUCUGGACAAUCUCCAUCGGAACUAUACUGAAAUGCCUUCUUAUAGAACAAUUUCAAAGAUUCUUCUUCAGUUAAAGGUUUUUCUAGCUUAAACACCUCAACAAAUGAUGAUUUCCUACAAUAUUCUGCAACCUUCUCAUCCCUGGUUGUGAUUAAUAUCCUACUUCCAUUUUUAUUAUCAAUUACAGCAGAUUCAAUGUGAUCCCAAAAUUUUCCAUUCCAUACGUCAUCAAACAAGACAACAUACCUCUUGUUGCGCAAGCGGUUUCUGACUUCUUCUGUCAACGACUCAAUGGUAGAAACAUCCUUGGGAGGGUCCUCCUUAUUUUCUUUGCAAAGCUCAUUCAACAUAUGCCUCAGCAAUCCUUCAGAAGAGAAGGAUUGAGAAACUGUGAUCAACGCAUUGCAGUCGAAUUUGUUACGCACCUGGUCAUAAACUUGCUUGGCAAGAGUGGUUUUUCCCACCCCUGCAAUUCCCACCACAGAGAUGACAGUGCGUAUUUUUCUUCCCUUAGUCAACCAAUUUUCCAAUAUACCUCUAGGGCCAUCAAGCCCCACAACCUCAUCUUCCUCAAUAAAGAGAGGAUCCCUUCUAAGUUUCUGCCAUGUGAUAUCUUGAUUUCCUCUAGAACUGGUUUGUCUUUGCUCUAAAGGAAAAUGGGUUUGGAAACCAUCUCUUUCAGCACGAACAAGGGAUUUAACAUCCUGAAUCUUAUACGCACUUUGAAGGAGAAGGAUUUGAGUUUUGAUGAAGGCAACAGCCUCACAUAGUAAAGCUGCACAUCGAGGAUCAUCAGGUUGCUUAUCCUCACAGGAGAUGUUAUAUUCAUCGAUGACAUCUUCCAUGCGAAAAGCUGCUUCUCUCAGCCGCAUCACCCUUUCUUUUAUUCUAUGACGCCUUCCAUCAUCUUCUUCGGCUUCAGCCACUUUAUCAGCAUCAUUGAUGAAAUCUUGAAAGCUUUCAAGUUCAUCUGUAAUGUCUCUAACUUCUUUUGGGAGAUCUCUCAAAAUUUUGAAAGCUUCCAAUAUUUUUGGAAGCGCAUGCUGACCAGCCAAGGACACUGCAGUUUCUGCCAUUUUAGUCUAGCUAGCUA
rnacentral:lncRNA from 1 species